AAGACCUAUCCCAACAAUUUAUUCAUUCAUGGAGAUGAUCAGGGAGAUGCAGAAAGCUCAGGCAAGAAAAUUGCUCGAACAAAUGAGUUGAAGAAACUGCCAUCAUCAGAAGACUGAAGCAAAACAAGUUUGAGACAACCACUGGACGAUUCUUUGAUUCAGCAAAUCGGACUCAUUUUACACUGUUCGAUAGGGGAAUCUAACCCCCUGUAAUAUGUUGUUGACACGGGAACAAAUUCAGACCAGACCAUACUAAACAGACUCGGACGGACGGCAGCAAUCUAAGAGGAGGUGAACUUGGUGACGGCCUUGGUGCCCUCGGAGACGGCGUGCUUGGCGAGCUCGCCGGGGAGGACGAGACGCACGGCGGUCUGGAUCUCCCUGGAGGUGAUGGUGGGCUUCUUGUUGUAGCGGGCGAGCUUGGCCGACUCGCCGGCGAGCUUCUCGAAGAUGUCGUUGAUGAAGGAGUUCAUGAUGGACAUGGCCUUGGAGGAGAUGCCGAUGUCGGGGUGCACCUGCUUGAGCACCUUGAAGAUGUAGAUCUUGUACGUCUCGACGCUCUUCUUGGCCUUCUUCUUCUUCUUGUCGGCGCCGCCGUCCUUGCCGGGCACGCGCUUCUCGGCCUUGGGCUUCUUCUCCGUCUCCACCGGCUUCUUCUCCGCGGCGGGCUUCUUCUCGGCCUUGGGCGCCAUGGCGGUUUCGGCGGAGGUGGAGGCGACGAGGGAUCGGGUUGAGGAAGUUUGCGGCGCGCGGGGAGGACUGGAGGUUUUUAUUGGGGUUGUGGGUUUCCCGGUACGGGGCGGUAGGAAUAUAUAGGGGUGCUGGGAGGGGCGUGAUUGGUGGAGAGGGUUGGGGUCUGGAUCGAUGAGAUGGCGGGAUGUGGGGUCGUUGGAUUUGAUGGACGGCUGGAUUUAGGCGCGCCGCGUGGGGGAUUCCGUGUGGGGAUGCGUGAUCCCACGGUUCAGUGGUGGGUUUAGGCGGCGACCAGAAAUUUGGUAGCGGAAUGCGCGCGGGAAGGUUUGGUUUGGAGGCUUCGUGUUUUUUUUUGACAAUUUGGAGGCUUCGUGGUGGGUUGUGCAAGGAUUUUCGCGGGGAUCUGGAUUUGCCCGUGCUUACGAUAGGCUGGGCUAGGCCUUGGCACACCGAAAUGGCUCCGGCUGUGCACAGCUAUAUUUUUUUGUUCUGCGUGUGUGCACAGCUAUGUUGUUAUAGUUGUCUCAAAAAAAACUAUGUUUUUAUAGUUUCUCAAAAGAAAACUAUGUUGUUACAAAAAAAAUAUACAUAUUUUCAUUUUAUUUGUUGCGGGAAAAUUUUUUGAUCUAUUCAUCAAUUGUGAACACCAUAAGUGAAAAAUUGCAUCCAGUUUCGUAGACAACCUAGCGACAAAAUACAAGAACUGAAACGAGUCGAAGGCACGCCGCCGUCAUUGCCCUUCCCGCACUGGAGCCUUUCAAAUCUUGUUGUAGUAAAUAGUUGAGAAGUCGUCGUGCUAAGGUCCCGUGGGAUCAGCGCACUAGAACAACAAUUGUCGCCGAUGAAGAGAAACACGGACCGAAAGGCAACCUACAAAUACACGAACGCAGACUGGAUUCAAGCGGAUAUACCAAAGACAAAUACCGGUCGAAUCCUAUGAAAUCUGCUCGAGACACACCUCCACAUGUCCUCCGAUAACACUAGAAGCACCACCGGGACAUGAGCUAGGCGGGACGAAGUUUAUUCUAUCUUCAGGGAGCCACCACGGUCUCGCCUUUCUGAGCAAGACCAAAAAACACCUAAAAGUGGAGCUCUUCCGUUGGAAAGAGCCGAGAUCCAUCGCGCGUCCAUGUUUCCAGGAUCACAGGAGACGAGGUAGAUCGAAGAAUGCGUUAGCGAGAGGCAACAGAAACCCAAUUGUGAGCGACCUUGGUCGCACGAGCAAAGGGGUACGAUCUCAUUUACACUAGAAUUAGCGGCAAUCCUUAAACCAAAGCUAUGACCAAUUGCCUAAAAAAACUAUCAUCAAUAGUGGAUUCUCAAACGAACCAAUAUGUGGUUGGAUCGUUAGAAGAACUGUAGUAUCCCCAGCCCAUCGGGGUUCAAGUGAAAGAUUUGACACCGGUGCUCACAAAAAUUUGGAUUAUUUUGAGGCCUUGCGACGAUGUGUGUUUAGUGGGAGGUGACGUUUUCGUCGGCUAUGAAAGUGUAUGUGGCGACUUCGUCAAUCUCAAUAUGAUGUACCGGCUCAGUCUUUCGGAGAUGCUCAUAGGGGUAGGGUGUGCGUGCAUGUGUUUAUGGGUGAGUGUAGUGUAUGUAUGAGCUCAUGCGUCUAUACUGUGUUAGAAAACAAUGGAUCCUCAAGUUGGAUCAAUCUUACUAUGUUAACAUUUUUCCUCAAAGAAAAAUAUGGUAACACGCCCCCCUAAAAUACUAUGCUAAUGUUUCUAGCAAAGAGAAACUAUGUCAGUUCCGCACUAGCAAUGCAAAUACUCAAGAUUAAGGGCAUGUUUGAUUCAAAGGAUUUUUAUAUAAAUUUUGAAGGAUUGUAAUUCUUCAAAAAAUAUUCUAUGCUAGUUGGUUGAGCAGCGGGGUUUAAUUUUAUAUAUAUAUAUAUAUAUAUAUAUAUAUAUAUAUAUAUAUAUAUAUAUUUAAUGAUGGUUCCGUUGUAUUAUGAUCCAUAGGGAUUUUUCAUCCAUCCAGGCUUUUAAAAAAUAAUCAUUUUUUCUGUGAUGCAACAAACCAAACAAAAUAAUGCAGAAUUCAAAAGGACAUGACAUUGCAAUCAUUUGUCUUUUUCUACUCAUGUGUGUUUUGUAAUCCUAUGAAUCAAGAAAGCCCUAACAAGUUGUAGUUACCAACAGGUAAGAGAAAGUCAAAAAAUGUCGACAACCAAACAGAACACACAUAUGAGGAUGUUAUGCUCAAAGAAUCCCUGGGAAGAUUCUACAUCCGUCGGAGAGACCUAGACUUCUACUUUAUCUUAGGCCACAUAGUUUGAGCUCAAGUGUAGAUCUUGAGGUGACCUUUGGCCUUCACUAACUUAUUGAGGCUGAUACACAACCUUAGUAGCUCCUAGAUGACGACUUGUUUGUGGGACCAUGCAUUGUAUGAUGAAUGUUCUAAAAGGUCCCUAGUCGAAAGGGCUGUGUGGACACGCAGCCGAAUAGACUAGCAUAUGACACGGUCGAUGGAUUGGUCUCACUAGCCAUGGAGCAUUGGAUGCUAACCGGAUAAUAUGGACAUGGAAGGAUCUGGUCGGAUUCGACAUAGUCGGAUCCGAGUCGAGAUAAGGUCCGAGUCGGACAGACCCAACUAUGAGACGCAGCGAUAUGUCAUAUGUGAGUCUCUAGUACAACAUACGUUCUAUGUCCUAGGACCUGACCUGACGCAUGUACUCGGGAUGGUGACAGACCUGCUUUGGGCCGACCAAACGCUACUCCGUGAUUGGGUAGUUACAAAGGUAGGUUUCGGGCUCGUCCAGACCCAUGCUGCGAGACAUGGUCGAGCAAGAUGGGAUUUGCCCCUCCGAUCAGGAGAGAUAUGCUCUGGGCCCCUUGUGUGAUCCGAUCAGGAUAAGCAUGGCCAUGCGACAUGGAUUAUGAGAUAAUCCGGUUUGUGGUCGGCAUCACUGGAACGAGAAAGAGGUCGGGCUAGCACAAGGAUGACAGACUCGCCUUGAGCUCGACAACAUAUAUCGUGUGGCAAAAGGAAUGGAAGUGUGAUGUACAGGUUCGCUAACCAGCUUCAUAGUCUGCUUGGUGUUCGGCAUGCCUUGCUAGAGGCCACUACCAACCAUGCAGUUCAGAGGUGAUCCGAACUGCGACCAAGCCGGCUUGAACCUAAGGGGUCGCGCGCUUAAGGGAUGGAACCUACAAGGUCGGAUCCGAGGACACUGGUCGGAUAUGAUCCGAGCUGUAUUCGGAUUGUGGCCGAGUAGACUUAUGGGCUUUAGGGUCCGUGCGAGGCCCAAGUGUUGAGCCCGCGACGGACGCCUAUAUAAAGUGGAGGUGCCGCACACUCAGGGAUUGAUCGCUUCGGCGCUGUCACUAGGGUUUGCAUGUGUUGCGAAUAGACACCUCCACUCGCCACUGAUUGUGUGAUCGGACCUAGCAGUCCGCCGCACGACGUUCCUCCUACACGCGCGGAUACCGUUAGAGGUGGUGCACUUGCGCCUCUCCGGCGAACCUGUACGAGGGAUCCGACGGCUGGCUGUUCGUGGGAGAUCGGACGAGGAGGAGACGAACCACGCGGACGCGCUGCCCCAACUCUUCUUCCGUUGCACGACACUGCGCGUCUAGUGGUAACAAACUGUGAUCCAUCUCCCGUAGCAUGUUCCUGGUUGUUCUACGCGUAGGUAAAUUUUAAUUUGCAGUCGACGCACCCUACCGUAGAACCCAACAGUGGUAUCAGAGCCUCUGCUAUAGGAUUUGGAUUCAGAUCGCAUAUUAGAUAUGUGGAGGCGGCAGAUGAGAUCUGUCGUCGUUUAUGAGAUCGGCUGUGUGCACGGUUGAUGAGAUCAACUGCACAUGGGGAUCGAUGAGGCUAUGUUUUCUGUCAAUCGGGAUCGAUGAGGUCGUGACACAACCUACCCCUACCGGUUGGUUAUCCACCAUCGGGGUUAACAGUGAAACAUAAAUCCGAAUCAGAUUCGCGAUGAUCGAUGAGAUCAAUCAGAUCGGAAAAUUCGGCGUGAGCGGGACCGCCGUGUGCGUAGCGCCUUGUAUUUCGUACCCGACACACAAACCGGUAGAAUACGAUUCUAUGCAUAACUUUGUUUUGCAGGUUUGAUGUGAAUAGUAUGGCUCAUGUGUAUGUGAUGCAUGUGUGUAAUUUAUACAUGGCAUGCGCGUCAUGUUUGUCAGCCGGCAGGAGCCAAAGUGAUGUCAUUAUAUUGUAUAACGACCUGCAUGUCGACUUGUGACUCUAUGUAAAAUUCAUUACUAGUUGUAGUAGUUGGAUGAUAGAGAUCAGGUUGGUGGCUUGGCGUCCCGGCGUGACAAACAAGAUGGAGUUCCUAGAUGGUCAUCGGAGUCGGAGCCGACCUCGAAGAACGUCCAUGAAGGAGCCAUACUAGUUCACAAUAUAUGUUUAUUUGUGAUUGUUAUGCUUCUUGUUUUCUAUGCAUGUUAGAAUGGUAGAAAGAUCCCUCAUAAAUAUCAAGCGGAUUGCCAUCCCCGAUGUUGCACCUUCGCACGUCAAGUACGUCUAGUAGUGGGCUCAUAAAAUUGAGGUGCUGCUGGGUGUCCUUGAACUGAAGGGUUCGUGUCGGACACGGACAUGCACUUGUUGGAAAUAUGCCCUAGAGGCAAUAAUAAAAUGGUUAUUAUUAUAUUUCCUUGUUCAUGAUAAUUGUCUAUUGUUCAUGCUAUAAUUGUGUUAUCCAGGAAUCGUAAUACAUGUGUGAACACAUAGACCAUAACAUGUCCCCAGUGAGCCUCUAGUUGUCUAGCUCGUUGAUCAAUAGAUGGUUACGGUUUCCUGACCAUGGACAUUGGAUGUCAUUGAUAACGGGAUCACAUCAUUAGGAGAAUGAUGUGAUGGACAAGACCCAAUCCUAAGCAUAGCACAAGAUCGUGUAGUUCGUCUGCUAAAGCUUUUCUAAUGUCAAGUAUCAUUUCCUUAGACCAUGAGAUCGUGCAACUCCCGGAUACCGUAGGAAUGCUUUGGGUGUACCAAACGUCACAACGUAACUGGGUGGCUAUAAAGGUGCACUACAGGUAUCUCCGAAAGUGUCUGUUGGGUUGGCACGGAUCGAGACUGGGAUUUGUCACUCCGUAUGACGGAGAGGUAUCUCUGGGCCCACUCGGUAUUGCAUCAUCAUAAUGAGCUCAAUGUGACUAAGUAGUUAGUCACGGGAUCAUGCAUUACGGAACGAGUAAAGUGACUUGCCGGUAACGAGAUUGAACGAGGUAUUGGGAUACCAACGAUCGAAUCUCGGGCAAGUAACGUACCGAUUGACAAAGGGAAUUGUAUACGGGAUUGCUUGAAUCCUCGACAUCGUGGUUCAUCCGAUGAGAUUAUCGUGGAGCAUGUGGGAUCCAACAUGGGUAUCCAGAUCCCGCUGUUGGUUAUUGAUCGGAGAGUUGUCUCGGUCAUGUCUACGUGUCUCCCGAACCCGUAGGGUCUACACACUUAAGGUUCGGUGACGAUAGAGUUGUAGAGAUAUUAGUAUGCGGUUAACCGAAAGUUGUUCGGAGUCCCAGAUGAGAUCCCGGACGUCACGAGGAGUUCCAGAAUGGUCCGGAGGUAAAGAUUUAUAUAUAGGAAGUCCAGUUUCGGCCACCCGGAGAGUUUCGGGGGUCACCGGUAUUGUACCGGGACCACCGGAAGGGUCCCGGGGGUCCACCGGGUGAGGUCACCUAUCCGGAGGGCCCCAUGGGCUGAAGUGGCGUGGGAACCAGCCCCUGGUGGGCUGGUGCGCCCCACCCAAGGGCCCAAGGCGCCUAGGGUUGGAAACCCUAGGGGGCCGUUGCCCCCCUCCCCCGAGGGGGCAUGCGCCCCCUGGUUGGAAACCCUACGGGGGCCGUUGCCCCCCGAGGGGCCGCCCCCCCUCUAGAUGGGAUCUCCAAGGGGGGCAUGCGCCCCCUAGCCCCUAUAUAUAGUGGAGGGGAGGGAGGGCAGCCGCACCCUAAGCCUUGGCGUCUCCCUCUCCCUCCCGUGACACCUCUUCCUCCUCCAGUAGCGCUUGGCGAAGCCCUGCUGGAAUCCCGCUGCUUCCACCACCACACCGUCGUGCUGCUGGAUCUCCAUCAACUUCUCCUUCCCCCUUGCUGGAUCAAGAAGGAGGAGACGUCUCCGCUCCGUACGUGUGUUGAACGCGGAGGUGCCGUCCGUUCGGCGCUAGGAUCAUCGGUGAUUUGGAUCACGACGAGUACGAAUCCAUAAACCCCGUUCUCUUGAACGCUUCCGCUCGCGAUCUACAAGGGUAUGUAGAUGCACUCCUCUCGCUCUCGUUGCUAGAUGACUCCAUAGAUUGACCUUGGUGAUGCGUAGAAUUUUUUUAAUUUCUGCUACGAUCCCCAACCGUGGCAUCAUGAGCUAGGUCUAUGCGUAGUUUCUAUGCACGAGUAGAACACAAGUUGUUGUGGGCGUCGAUUUUGUCAAUUUACUUGCCGUUACUAGUCUUAUCCUGAUUCGGCGGCAUCGUGGGAUGAAGCAGCCCGGACCGACCUUACACGUACGCUUACGUGAGACAGGUUCCACCGACUGACAUGCACUAGUUGCAUAAGGUGGCUAGCGGGUGUCUGUCUCUCCCACUUUAGUCGGAUCGGAUUCGAUGAAAAGGGUCCUUAUGAAGGGUAAAUAGAAAUUGGCAUAUCACGUUGUGGUUUUGGCGUAGGUAAGAAACAUUCUUGCUAGAAACCUAUAGCAGCCACGUAAAAAAUUGCAACAACAAUUAGAGGACGUCUAACUUGUUUUUGCAGCACGUGUCAUGUGAUGUGAUAUGGCCAGAAGAAUGUGAUGAAUGAUAUAUGUGAUGUAUGAGAUUUAUCAUGUUCUUGUAAUAGGAAUCACGACUUGCAUGUCGAUGAGUAUGACAACCGGCAGGAGCCAUAGGAGUUGUCUUAAUUUAUUUAUGACCUGCGUGUCAACUGAGACGUCAUGUAAUUACUUUACUUUAUUGCUAAUCGUUAGCCAUAGUAGUAGAAGUAAUAGUUGGCGAGACAACUUCAUGAAGACACGAUGAUGGAGAUCAUGGUGUCAUGCCGGUGACAAUGAUGAACAUGGCGCCCCGAAGAUGGAGAUCAAAAGGAGCAAAAUGAUAUUGGCCAUAUCAUGUCACUAUUUGAUUGCAUGUGAUGUUUAUCAUGUUUUACAUCUUAUUUGCUUAGAACGACGGUAGCAUAAAUAAGAUGAUCCCUCGCUAAAAUUUCAAGAAAGUGUUCCCCCUAACUGUGCACCGUUGCGAAGGUUCGUUGUUCCGAAGCACCACGUGAUGAUCGGGUGUGAUAGGUUCUAACGUUCGCAUACAACGGGUGUAAGCCAGAUUUACACACGCAAUACACUUAGGUUGACUUGACAAGCCUAGCAUUUACAGACAUGGCCUCGGAACACAAGAGACCGAAAGGUCGAACAUGAGUCGUAUAGCAGAUACGAUCAACAUGAAGAUGUUCACCGAUGAUGACUAGUCCGUCUCACGUGAUGAUCGGACACGGCCUAGUUGACUCGGAUCAUGUAUCACUUAGAUGACUAGAGGGAUGUAUGUCUGAGUGUGAGUUCAUUAAUAAUUUGAUGAGAUGAACUUAAUUAUCAUGAACUUAGUCUAAAAUCUUUACAAUAUGUCUUGUAGAUCAAAUGGCCCACGCUAAUGUCAACCUCAACUUCAACGCGUUCCUAGAGAAAACCAAGCUGAAAGACGAUGGUAGCAACUAUACGGACUGGGUCCGGAACUUGAGGAUUAUCCUCGUAGCUGCCAAGAAAGCAUAUGUCGUUGAAGCAGCGCUAGGUGAAGCACCCGUCCCAGCAAACCAAGACGUUAUGAACGCCUGGCAAACACGUGUUGAUGAUUACUCCCUGGUUCAGUGCGGCAUGCUUUACAGCUUAGAACCGGGGCUCCAAAAGCGUUUCGAGCAGCACGGAGCAUAUGAGAUGUUCCAAGAGUUGAAAAUGGUUUUCCAAGCUCAUGCCCGGGUCGAGAGAUAUGAAGUCUCCGACAAGUUCUACAGUUGUAAGAUGGAGGAGAAUAGUUCCGUCAGCGAACACAUACUCAAAAUGUCUGGGUUGCACAACCGCUUGUCUCAGCUGGGAGUUAAUCUCCCGGAUGACGCGGUCGUUGACAGAAUCCUUCAGUCGCUUCCACCUAGCUACAUGAGCUUUGUGAUGAACUUCAAUAUGCAGGGGAUGGAAAAGACCAUUCCUGAGGUAUAUUCAAUGCUGAAAUCAGCGGAGGUGGAGAUCAAAAAGGAACAUCAAGUGUUGAUGGUGAAUAAAACCACUAAGUUCAAGAAAGGCAAUGGUAAGAAGAACUUCAAGAAAGACGGCAAGGGAGUUGCCGCGCCCGGUAAGCAAGCUGCCGGGAAGAAGACAAAGAAUGGACCCAAGCCUGAGACUGAGUGCGUUUAUUGCAAGGGAAACGGUCACUGGAAGCGGAACUGCCCCAAGUACUUAGCGGAUAAGAAGGCCGGCAAUACCAAAGGUAUAUGUGAUAUACAUGUUAUUGAUGUGUACCUAACCAGCGCUGGUAGUAGCUCCUGGGUAUUUGAUACCGGGGCGGUUGCUCAUAUUUGUAACUCAAAGCAGGAGCUGCGGAAUAAGCGAAGACUGGCGAAGGACGAGGUGACGAUGCGCGUCGGGAAUGGUUCCAAGGUCGAUGUGAUCGCCGUCGGCACGCUACCUCUACAUUUACCUACGCGAUUAGUUUUAAACCUCAAUAAUUGUUAUUUAGUGCCAGCUUUGAGCAUGAACAUUGUAUCUGGAUCUCGUUUGAUGCGAGAUGGCUACUCAUUUAAAUCCGAGAAUAAUGGUUGUUCUAUUUAUAUGAGAGAUAUGUUUUAUGGUCAUGCCCCGCUGGUCAAUGGUUUAUUCUUAAUGAAUCUCGAACGUGAUGUUACACAUAUUCAUAGUGUGAAUGCCAAGAAAUGUAAGGUUGGUAAUGAUAGUCCCACAUACUUGUGGCACUGCCGCCUUGGUCACAUUGGUGUCAAACGCAUGAAGAAACUCCAUGCAGAUGGACUUUUGGAGUCUCUUGAUUAUGAAUCAUUUGACACGUGCGAACCAUGCCUCAUGGGCAAAAUGACCAAGACUCCGUUCUCCGAAACAAUGGAGCGAGCAACCAUCUUAUUAGAAAUCAUACAUACUGAUGUGUGCGGUCCAAUGAGCUUUGAGGCUCGCGGUGGCUAUCGUUAUGUUCUCACCCUCACUGAUGACUUAAGUAGAUAUGGGUAUGUCUACUUAAUGAAACACAAGUCUGAGACCUUUGAAAAGUUCAAGGAAUUUUAGAGUGAGGUUAAGAAUCAACGUGACAGGAAAAUAAAGUUCUUACGAUCAGAUCGUGGAGGGGAAUAUUUGAGUCACGAAUUUGGCACACACUUAAGGAAAUGUGGAAUUGUUUCACAACUCACGCCGCCUGGAACACCUCAGAGUAAUGGUGUGUCCGAACGUUGUAAUCACACUCUAUUGGAUAUGGUGCGAUCUAUGAUGUCUCUUACCGAUCUACCGCUAUCAUUCUGGGGUUAUGCUUUAGAGACUGCCGCAUUCACUUUAAAUAGGGCUCCGUCGAAAUCCGUUGAGACGACACCGUAUGAAUUAUGGUUUGGAAAGAAACCUAAGCUGUCGUUUCUUAAAGUUUGGGGAUGCGAUGCUUAUGUCAAUAAACUUCAACCUGAAAAGCUCGAACCCAAGUCGGAAAAAUGCGUCUUCAUAGGAUACCCUAAGGAAACCAUUGGGUAUACCUUCUACCUCAGAUCCGAAGGCAAGAUCUUCGUUGCCAAGAAUGGGUCCUUUCUGGAGAAAGAGUUUCUCUCAAAAGAAGUAAGUGGGAGGAAAGUGGAACUUGAUGAGAUGACCCCUCUCGAACCAGAAAGUAGCGCGGCACAAGAAAAUGUUUUUGUGGUGCCUGCACCGACUAGAGAGGAAGUUAAUGAUGACGAUCAUGAUCAAGUUACCACUGAACUUCGUAGGUCCACAAGGACACGUUCCACACCAGAGUGGUACGGCAACCCUGUCCUGGAAAUCAUGUUGUUGGACAACGGUGAACCUUCGAACUAUGAAGAAGCAAUGGCGGGCCCAGAUUCCAGCAAAUGGCUUGAAGCCAUGCAAUCCGAGAUAGGAUCCAUGUAUGAAAACAAAGUAUGGACUUUGACAGACUUGCCCGAUGAUCGGCGAGCGAUAGAAAAUAAAUGGAUCUUUAAGAAGAAGACGAACGCAGAUGGAAAUGUUACCAUCUAUAAAGCUCGACUUGUCGCUAAGGGUUAUCGACAAGUUCAAGGAGUUGACUUCGAUGAGACCUUCUCACCCGUUGCGAAGCUGAAGUCCGCCCGAAUCAUGUUAGCAAUUGCCGCAUUCUACGAUUAUGAAAUAUGGCAAAUGGACGUCAAAACGGCAUUCCUUAACGGCUUCCUUAAAUAAGAAUUGUAUAUGAUGCAGCCGGAAGGUUUUGUCGAUCCUAAGAAUGCUGACAAGGUAUGCAAGCUCCAGCGCUCAAUCUAUGGGCUGGUGCAGGCAUCUCGGAGCUGGAACAUUCACUUUGAUGAGAUGAUCAAAGCGUUUGGGUUUACACAGACUUAUGGAGAAGCCUGUGUUUACAAGAAAGUGAGUGGGAGCUCCGUAGCAUUUCUGAUAUUAUAUGUUGAUGACAUACUAUUGUUGGGAAAUGAUAUAGAAUUCUUGGAAAGCAUAAAGGCCUACUUGAAUAAGUGUUUUUCAAUGAAGGACCUUGGAGAAGCUGCUUACAUAUUAGGCAUCAAGAUCUAUAGAGAUAGAUCGAGACACCUCAUAGGUCUUUCACAAAGCACAUACCUUGAUAAGAUAUUGAAGAAGUUCAAUAUGGAUCAGUCCAAGAAGGGGUUCUUGCCUGUAUUGCAAGGUGUGAGAUUGAGCACAGCUCAAUGCCCGACCACGACAGAAGAUAGAGAAAAGAUGAGUAUCAUCCCCUAUGCCUCGGCCAUAGGGUCUAUUAUGUAUGCCAUGAUGUGUACCAGACCUGAUGUAAACCUUGACGUAAGUUUGGUAGGAAGGUACCAAAGUAAUCCCGGCAUGGAACACUGGACAGCGGUCAAGAACAUCCUGAAGUACCUGAAAAGGACUAAGGAUAUGUUUCUCGUUUAUGGAGGUGACGAAGAGCUCGUCGUAAAGGGUUAUGUUGAUGCUAGCUUCGACACAGAUCUGGAUGACUCUAAGUCACAAACCGGAUACGUGUAUAUUUUGAAUGGUGGGGCAGUCAGCUGGUGCAGUUGCAAGCAAAGCGUCGUGGCGGGAUCUACAUGUGAAGCAGAGUACAUGGCAGCCUCGGAGGCAGCACAUGAAGCAAUCUGGAUGAAGGAGUUCAUUGCCGACCUAGGAGUUAUUCCCAAUGCAUCGGGGCCGAUAACUCUCUUCUAUGACAACACUGGAGCUAUUGCCCUUGCCAAGGAGCCCAGGUUUCACAAGAAGACCAGGCACAUCAAGCGUCGCUUCAACUCCAUUCGUGAAAAUGUUCACAAUGGAGACAUAGAUAUUUGUAAAGUGCAUACGGAUUUGAAUGUCGCAGAUCCGUUGACUAAACCUCUUCCACGGGCGAAACAUGAUCAACACCAGAACUCUAUGGGUGUACGAUUCAUCACAAUGUAACUAGAUUAUUGACUCUAGUGCAAGUGGGAGACCAUUGGAAAUAUGCCCUAGAGGCAAUAAUAAAAUGGUUAUUAUUAUAUUUCCUUGUUCAUGAUAAUUGUCUAUUGUUCAUGCUAUAAUUGUGUUAUCCGGAAAUCGUAAUACAUGUGUGAACACAUAGACCAUAACAUGUCCCUAGUGAGCCUCUAGUUGACUAGCUCGUUGAUCAAUAGAUGGUUACAGUUUCCUGACCAUGGACAUUGGAUGUCAUUGAUAACGGGAUCACAUCAUUAGGAGAAUAAUGUGAUGGACAAGACCCAAUCCUAAGCAUAGCACAAGAUCGUGUAGUUCGUCUGCUAAAGCUUUUCUAAUGUCAAGUAUCAUUUCCUUAGACCAUGAGAUCGUGCAACUCCCAGAUACUGUAGGAAUGCUUUGGGUGUACCAAACGUCACAACGUAACUGGGUGGCUAUAAAGGUGCACUACAGGUAUCUCCGAAAGUGUCUGUUGGGUUGGCACGGAUCGAGACUGGGAUUUGUCACUCCGUAUGACGGAGAGGUAUCUCUGGGCCCACUCAGUAUUGCAUCAUCAUAAUGAGCUCAAUGUGACUAAGUAGUUAGUCACGGGAUCAUGCAUUACGGAACGAGUAAAGUGACUUGCCGGUAACGAGAUUGAACGAGGUAUUGGGAUACCGACGAUCGAAUCUCGGGCAAGUAACGUACCGAUUGACAAAGGGAAUUGUAUACGGGAUUGCUUGAAUCCUCGACAUCGUGGUUCAUCCGAUGAGAUUAUCAUGGAGCAUGUGGGAGCCAACAUGGGUAUCCAGAUCCCGCUGUUGGUUAUUGACCGGAGAGUUGUCUCGGUCAUGUCUACGUGUCUCCCGAACCCGUAGGGUCUACACACUUAAGGUUCGGUGACGCUAGAGUUGUAGAGAUAUUAGUAUGCGGUUAACCGAAAGUUGUUCGGAGUCCCGGAUGAGAUCCCGGACGUCACGAGGAGUUCCGGAAUGGUCCGGAGGUAAAGAUUUAUAUAUAGGAAGUCCAGUUUCGGCCACCAGGAGAGUUUCGGGGGUCACCGGUAUUGUACCAGGACCACCGGAAUGGUCCCGGGGGUCCACCGGGUGGGGCCACCUAUCCUGGAGGGCCCCAUGGGCUGAAGUGGCGUGGGAACCAGCCCCUGGUGGGCUGGUGCGCCCCACCCAAGGGGGUCGUUGCCCCCCGAGGGGGCAUGCGCCCCCCUGGUUGGAAACCCUAAGGGGGCCGUUGCCCCCCGAGGGCCCCCCCCCUCUAGAUGGGAUCUCCAAGGGGGGCAUGUGCCCCCCUAGCCCCUAUAUAUAGUGGAGGGGAGGGAGGGCAGCCGCACCCUAAGCCCUGGCGCCUCCCUCUCCCUCCCGUGACACCUCUUCCUCCUCUAGUAGCGCUUGGCGAAGCCCUGCUGGAAUCCCGCUGCUUCCACCACCACACCGUCGUGCUGCUGGAUCUCCAUCAAAUUAUCCUCCCCCCUUGCUGGAUCAAGAAGGAGGAGACGUCUCCGCUCCGUACGUGUGUUGAACGCGGAGGUGCCGUCCGUUCGGCACUAGGAUCAUCGGUGAUUUGGAUCACGACGAGUACGACUCCAUCAACCCCGUUCUCUUGAACGCUUCCGCUCGCGAUCUACAAGGGUAUGUAGAUGCACUCCUCUCUCUCUCGUUGCUAGAUGACUCCAUAGAUUGAUCUUGGUGAUGCGUAGAAUUUUUUUAAUUUCUGCUACGAUCCCCAACAGCACUGCAUCAGGUUAACUUGACAAGGCUAGCAAAACGGUUUUGGGCCUUGUGGCAAACAAGGUUGGGAGCCGGGGUAUGAGAUAGCUUCCCGACCGACAGGAGUCGUAUAGAUAUACGAUUAGCAAGGAGUUGCUUACCGGAUAGGCAUGUUGUCUAGCAGUGAUGCUAAAGCUCACUAGUCACAUGUGCUAGUCGGAUCCUGAAUCACUGAGAGUUUGCGGAGGGAUGCUGACUUCAGUGGGAGUAUUUAUGUUUAAGGCUAGAAUUACUCUACAUAAACACAUUGCUUAGUGAUUGCAUAUUUUCUGUUGUAGAUCAAUGGCACCACCUACUCAACCCAACUUUGCAUUGAAAUCAAUUCUGGAAAAGGAUAAACUGAAUGGAACAAACUUUACCACCCGGUAUAGAAAUCUGAGAAUUGUUCUCAAGCAUGAUAAAAAGGAACAUGUUCUAGAGGAUCCACUUCCAGAGGAACCUACCGAUAAUGCUAGUGUCACAGCUAAGAAUGCCUACCAGAAACUCGUUGAUGAAUCAACGGAGAUCAGCUGUCUGAUGCUGGCUUGUAUGGAGCCCGAUUUGCAACAGCAUUUCGAAAAUGUUGAGGCUUACGAUAUGAUCGAGAGUCUCAAGAGCAUGUUUCAGACACAGGCUAGGACCGAAAGGUUCAACGUCUGGCGAUCCGUGAUGGAUUGCAAGCUGAAGGAAGGUGAUCCACUGAGCCCACAUGUGAUCAAGAUGAUCGGAUAUGUGCAAGCUUUGGAUAGGUUGGGCUUCCCGCUCUUGGAUGAGCUAGCUACUGAUGCAGUUCUGGGAUCUCUUCCGCCCAACUAUGGGACGUUCAUCUCGAACUAUCAUAUGCAUGGCAUGGAUAAGAAGCUCACUGAAUUGAAUGGGAUGCUUAAGGUGGCAGAGCAGGAUAUUAAGAAAGGCACGCACCAAGUGUUGAUGGUGCAGAAAUCGGCUAAGUUCAAGAAGAGUUGGUCUAAGAAAAAGGCUAAGGCAAAGGGCACGGAGACAGUAACCUCCGCCGCUGCGUCAAAGUCUGGACCGGACUCAAAGACCAUUUGCUACCAUUGCAAGGAAACUGGUCAUUGGAAGAGGAACUGUAGCAAGUGGCUUGCAGAGCAUGGCAAGAAGGCCGGAAAUGCUUCUUCAGGCAAAGGUACACUUGUUGCAUAUGUUAUAGACAUUUACCUUACUGACAUACCUAGUAGCUCUUGGGUAUUUGAUACCGGAUCGGUUGUUCAUAUUUGCAACUCGAUGCAGGGGCUGGUAAGAACUAGGCGUGUGGCACAAGGGGAGAUUGACAUCAGGGUCGGCAACAAAAGCAGGAGUUGCUGCGUUGGAGGUCGGCAUGAUGCAGCUCCAGCUUCCUUCUGGAUUUAUUUUGGAAUUGAAUAAUUGUUAUUACAUUCCUGCACUUAGUCGGAACAUUAUUUCUGCCUCAUGCUUGAUGAGUCAGGGUUAUGAAUUCAAUUUAAAGGACAAUGGUUGUUCGUUUUAUUUGAAUGGUAUGUUCCACGGCUAUGCACCCAUUGUUGAUGGGCUAUUUAUAUUGAAUCUAGAACAGGAACCGGUCUAUAACGUGAAUGUCAAGAGGCAUAAGCCUAAUGAGAUAAAUCCGACAUACUUCUGGCAUUGCCGGCUUGGACACAUUAGUCUGAAACGCAUGAAGAAGCUCCAUGAUGAUGGGCUCCUAACUUUGUCCGACUUUGAGUCGUUCGAGACAUGCUUGCUCGGCAAGAUGACUAAGUCUCCUUUCGUAAAGAGUUACGAGAGGGCGUCCGAGCUGUUAGAACUUAUACAUAGUGAUGUGUGUGGUCCAAUGAGCACAACUGCCAGAGGUGUCUAUCAGUACUUCGUGACUUUCACCGACGACUUGAGUAGAUUUGGAUAUAUCUAUUUGAUGAGGCACAAGUCGGAAACUUUUGAAAAAUUCAAGGAGUUUCAGAACGAGGUUGAGAAUCAGCUCGGCAAGACUAUAAAGCUUCUACGAUCUGAUCGUGGAGGUGAGUACAUGAGCCAGGAGUUUGAUGAUCAUCUGAAAAGCCGAGGUAUAGUACCUCAGCUCACACCUCCGGGUACGCCACAGAGAAAUGGCGUGUCGGAACGGAGGAAUAGGACCUUGUUGGACAUGGUUCGGUCAAUGAUGAGUGGAGGUGAGUACAUGAGCCAGGAGUUUGAUGAUCAUCUGAAAAGCCGAGGUAUAGUACCUCAGCUCACACCUCCGGGUACGCCACAGAGAAAUGGCGUGUCAGAACGGAGGAAUAGGACCUUGUUGGACAUGGUUCGGUCAAUGAUGAGCAAAUCGGAUUUACCCUUGUCAUUUUGGGGAUACGCUCUAGAAACUGCAGCUUUCACACUUAACAGGGUACCAUCAAAAUCCGUAGACAAGACACCACAUGAGAUGUGGACCGGGAAGAGUCCCGGUUUGUCUUUUCUAAAGAUUUGGGGUUGUGAAGCAUUUGUCAAGCGACUUAUGUCAGACAAGCUUACACCCAAGUAGGAUAAAUGCAUAUUCGUGGGAUAUCCGAGGGAAACCUUGGGAUAUAGCUUCUACAACCGGGAAGAGAACAAAUUGUUUGUUGCUCGGAACGGGGUUUUCCUUGAGAAAGAGUUUUUCAGUCGGGAGGCCAGUGGGAGGACGGUCCGACUCGAAGAAAUUCGAGGACCACUCGGGGACGGCUCGGCUGGUGAUGAGAUCAUACCGAAGUCAGUCAGGGAACCCGUAGUGGAAGCGGCACCAGAACCACGGAGGUUGGAAAGAUUGCGCAGAGUGCGUGAUGUAUUGUUGCUAGAAAGCGACGAGCUGGCCACGUAUGCGGAAGCGAUGGUGAGCCCAGAUUCCGAGGCAUGGCUGGAGGCCAUGAGAUCCGAGUUAAAGUCCAUGGAUGAGAAUCAAGUCUGGGACUUGGUUGAUCCGCCGCCUGGCGUGACGGCCAUUGGUUGCAAAUGGGUCUUUAAGAAGAAAACCGAUGUGGAUGGAAAUGUUCAGAUCCACAAAGCUCGGCUUGUCGCUAAGGGUUAUGGACAAGUUCAAGGAAUUGACUACGAUGAGACUUACUCGCCGGUAGCGAUGCUGAAGUCGGUGAGGAUCGUACUAGCUAUAGCUGCAUAUUUCGAUUACGAGAUAUGGCAGAUGGAUGUCAAGGCAGCUUUCCUCCAUGGAAAUUUAACCGAGGACGUGUAUAUGAUACAGCCCGAGGGUUUUGUCGAUCCGACUAGCGCUAGUAAGGUAUGCAAGCUCAAGAGAUCCAUUUAUGGGUUGAGGCAAGCAUCUCAGAGCUGGAAUAUUCGUUUUGAUGAGGUCGUCACUGGUCUCGGUUUCAUCAAAAGCGAAGAGGACGCUUGUUUAUACAAGAAGUUAAGUGGGAGCUCGAUAGUGUUUUUGAUCUUGUAUGUGGAUGACAUACUACUGAUCGGAAAUGAUGUUUCAAUGUGGAACUUGGUCAAGGAGUCAUUGAAUGGCAAGUUUUCGAUGAAGGACCUUGGUGAGGCAAUGUACAUUUUAGGCAUUAAGAUCUAUAGAGAUAGAUCGAGGAGGCUGCUCGGCUUAAGCCAGAGCACGCACAUAGAUAAAGUGUUGAAGCGGUUCAACAUGAGUGAGGCGAAGAAAGGGUUCUUGCCACUCUCACAUGGUAUAAGGCUAAGCGAGACUCAGAGUCCUUCGACAUCUGAUGAGCGAAGCAGGAUGAGUAGGAUUCCGUAUGCCUCGGCAAUCGGAUCCAUCAUGUAUGCCAUGAUAUGUACAAGGCCAGAUGUUGCUUUUGCAAUAAGCCUAACAAGCAGAUACCAAGACAACCCAGGUGAGAGUCACUGGGCAGCAGUAAAUAAUAUUUUGAAGUACCUGAAAAGGACUAAAGAGAUGUUCCUAGUUUAUGGAGGUGAGGAAGAGCUCGUCGUAAGGGGUUACGCCGAUGCUAGUUUCCAAACCGAUAGAGAUGAUUGUCGAUCACAGUUCGGAUUCGUGUACGUCAUGAACGGAGGAGCAGUGAGCUGGAUGAGUUCCAAGCAAGAUACAAUGGCCGAUUCUACCACAGAAGCCGAAUACAUUGCGGCUUGUGAAGCUGCGAAAGAAGGUGUUUGGAUCCGGAACUUUUUGGAUGAUCUUGGUAUUUUCCCAGCCUCGGUAAAACUGUUGGACCUUUAUUGUGAUAAUUCUGGUGCCAUCGCACAAGCCAAGGAGCAGAGGAAUCACCACAAGGUCAGACAUAUAGAUCGGAAAUAUCACCUGAUACGAAAGAUCGUAAAGAAUGGUGAUGUAGAGUUAUGCAAAAUUCACGCAGAUGCAAAUGUUGCAGAUCCGUUGACUAAGCCGCUUCCACAACCCAAGCAUGAGGGGCACGUUAGAGCCAUGGGCAUUCGAUGUCUAUUUGAUUGACUCUAGUGCAAGUGGGAGACUGUUGGAGAUAUGCCCUAGAGGCAAUCAUGUAUGAUGAUAUUUCCUAUGUGUUUAUGAAUAAAGAUAGUCCUUGGACAUUAUCAAUGAUGUGUAUCAGCAAGUAUGUGACUUGUUUGUGGAACCAUGCAUUGUAUGAUGAAUGUCCUAAAAGGUCCCUAGUCGAAAGGGCUGUGUGGACACGCAGCUGAAUAGACUAGCAUAUGACACGGUCGAUGGCUUGGUCUCACUAGCCAUGGAGCAUUGGAUGCUAACCGGAUAAUAUGGGCUUGGAAGGUUCUGGUCGGAUUCGACGUAGUCAGAUCCGAGUCGAGAUAAGGUCCGAGUCGGACAGACCCAACUAUGAGAUGCAGCGAUAUGUCAUCUGUGAGUCUCUAGUACGACAUACAUUCUAUGUCCUAGGACCUGAGCUGAUGCAUGUACUCGGGAUGGUGACAGACCUGCUUUGGGCCGACCAAACGCUACUCCGUGAUUGGGUAGUUACAAAGGUAGGUUUCGGGCUUGUCCAGACCCAUGCUGCGAGACAUGGUCGAGCAAGAUGGGAUUUGCCCCUCCGAUUAGGAGAGAUAUGCUUUGGGCCCCUUAUGUGAUCCGAUCAGGAUAAGCAUGGCCAUGCGACAUGGAUUAUGAGAUAAUCCGGUUUGUGGUCGACAUCACUGGAACGAGAAAGAGGUCGGGCUAGCACAAGGAUGACAGACUCACCUUGAGCUCGACAACAUAUAUCGUGUGGAAAAAGGAAUGGAAGUGUGAUGUACAGGUUCGCUAACCAGCUUCAUAGUCUGCUUGGGGUUCAGCAUGCCUUGCUAGAGGCCGCUACCAACCAUGCAGUUCAGAGGUGAUCCGAACUGCGACCAAGCCGGCUUGAACCUAAGGGGUCGCACGCUUAAGGGAAGGAACCUACGAGGUCGGAUCCGAGGACACUGGUCGGAUGUGAUCCGAGCUGUAUUCGGAUUGUGGCCGAGUAGACUUAAGGGCUUUAGGGUCCGUGUGAGGCCCAAGUGUUGAGCCCGCGACGGACGCCUAUAUAAAGUGGAGGUGCCGCACACUCAGGGAUUGAUCGCUUCGGCGCUGUCACUAGGGUUUGCAUGUGUUGCGAAUAGACACCUCCACUCGCCGCCGGUUGUGUGAUCGGACAUAGCAGUCUGCCGCACGACGUUCCUGUUGGAAUUUGCUAGUGGGCUUUUCGCCCAAAGCCCAACUAAAAUUCUGAAAUUCUCUUGGCCCAUUCAUGCACACAUGUGAGUGGAGUGAGUGAGGCUAAAGUUUAGUCCCACCUCAUAAGUUGAGAGAGAGUUGCACCUCUUUAUAAGGUGAGCUCUUCUACCACUUGUAUGAGCAUGAGAAGAGGAGACCUACACGCGCGCUCCUCCUCCUCGCUGGCCUCGCCACGCCUCGCCUCGUCACGACGCGCCGCGGGUUGCGGGAUUGAGCCGAGCCGAGGGCAGAGCUAUGCACGUCGUCUAUAUUUUUGCUGCUCGGGAAAAAUUAAUGAGUCAUUAAUUAAUAAUUAACGGACGCGUUAAUUACUGAAUCGUUUCCGAUUCUUUUGGAUCGUGAUGACUCGGACGUGGGGUUUACUCCCACGACCUACCCGACCCGCACUUAUAGUCAGGCAGACGUUUACCCUAGCCGCCGCCGCUUUGUAUGGUUUCUCACCACCGUUCCAGAUCAUUGCGCCGCCAAGCAAGUCUUCUCCAUCCCUCCUUUCGGCGUGCACCGGGAGAAGGGAUAGCAGGCCUCCGGAACCCCGCCUCUCGUGAUCCUGUACGGGAGAGGGGCGAUCAGGUUUUUGGGGAGCGCACUCGUGCGACUGCUGGCAGCGACGACUUCGCGAACGACGACUUCUUCCCCAACCUCGGCAACCUCAUCCUCGACAACAUGGGCGACAACGUCAACGUCGGCGGUGCUGCUCCCGCUGCACCGUAUGUGAUUCUAUCCUUCCUGUUCGAGAUCGUGGUAGAAUUCAUGUUUCUAGUAUGUGCCCUAGAUGUGAUCUGUUCAUCUACUAUGCUAGUUCGCAUGAUUAGUUCAAUCUCUGCUACUAUAGUCAUGAUUUAUCUUCUGUUUAUUCGGAUUAAAUCUCGUAGUAAUUUGCUCAUAUUUCUAACAAUCCCAAAACCUGAUUAUAGGCAAUUUACUCCGAGUGGUUUUGCUGCGCAUUUGAAGCCGCCUGCCUUUAAGGGGGCGCAAUAUAAGAGCUGGCGCACGAGAGCAGUCUACUGGUUUCAGACCAUGGGCUGCUAUGAUGCCACCAAGGGCAGGCCUGAGGGCGAUCUUAAUCCAGCACAACUGGAAGCUUUUGAGAAGAUCGAUACUCUCUUUAAAGGCGCUCUUCUGAGUGUUCUGGAUGAUUCCAUUGUGGAUUCGUAUAUGUCGUUUGAAAACGGCAAGGACAUGUGGGCUGCGCUCGAGGCCAAGUUUGGUGCCUCGGACGCCGGCAGCGAGUUGUACGUCAUGGAGGAAUUCUAUGACUACAAGAUGACUAAUGAGCGCUCUGUUGUAUAGCAGGCUCAUGAGAUACAGUCGCUCGCAAAAGAACUUGAGUACUUCAAGUGUGUGUUGCCGGACAAAUUUGUUGCCGGAGGCAUCAUUGCCAAGCUUCCACCUUCGUGGAACAAUUUUGCUACUUCCCUGAAACACAAGAGACAGGAGUUUUCUGUUGUGGAUCUCAUUGGUACUCUUGAUGUUGAAGAGAAGGCGAGAGCAAAGGACACACGUGCUCGAGUUGCUGAGGGAGCUUCUAGUGCCCACAUGGUACAGAAGAAGAACUUCCAGCCCAACAAGUUCAAAAACAACAAGAACAAAACUCAGGGCAAAGGCAAGUUUGAUACAAAGAACAAGCCAUCACAUUCUACGAACUUCAAGAAGAAUUCUCAUAAGAAGGGGAAGGGACUUUGCCAUGUCUGCGGUGAUCCUAAUCACUGGGCUCCGAAGUGUCCUAACCGCUUUGAGGAGUGCGAACAUGAGAAGAGCGGCAAGUCCGCUAAUGUUGUCAUUGGUGAUCCUGAUAUGAAGGAAUCAGGGCCACAUGGACUUCUCCCAUGCUGAUGGGGAAUGGGUCACAUGCCAUCAUUCGAGGUGUUGGUACGGUCGAUCUGAAGUUUACUUCGGGGAAGACCGUGCGUCUGAAGAACGUUCAUCAUGUGUCGUCCAUCAAUAAAAAUCUCGUUAGCGGUUCCCGUUUAUGUCGAGAUGGUUUUAAGUUGGUUUUCGAAUCCAAUAAAGUUGUAAUUUCUAAGUAUGGACAAUUUGUUGGAAAAGGCUACGAGAGCGGAGGCUUGUUCCGCCUGUCUUUGUCAGAUAUUUGCACUAAAGUUAUUAAUAAUGUUUGCCACAAUAAUGAGUCUGAUAUUUGGCAUUCACGACUUUGUCACAUUAACUUUGGUUGCAUGACGCGGCUAGCCAAUAUGAAUUUAAUUCCGAAAAUCUCUACUGCCAAAGGCUCCAAGUGCCAAGUAUGUGUGCAAGCUAAGCAACCUCGCAAGUCCCAUAAGACUGCAGAGGCAAGAGACUUAGCGCCACUAGAGCUUAUACAUUCUGAUCUUUGUGAGAUGAAUGGCGUGUUGACAAAAGGUGGAAAGAGAUACUUCAUGACGUUGAUUGAUGACUCCACUAGAUAUUAUUAUGUGUAUCUUCUGAAAUCAAAAGAUGAGGCUCUAACUUUCUUCGAAAACUAUAAAGCUGAGGCAAAGAACCAACUUGAUCGGAAAAUUAAACGACUUAGGUCCGAUCGUGGUGGAGAGUAUUUUUCCAAUGAAUUUGAUCUGUUUUGUGCGGAACAUGGUAUAAUCCAUGAGAGGACGCCUCCCUACUCACCUCAGUCAAAUGGGGUAGCCGAAAGAAAGAACCGAACUCUAACUGAUAUGGUUAACACCAUGUUAGACACACCGGGUCUCUCCAAGGAAUGGUGGGGGAGGCGCUAAUGACUGCAUGUCAUGUCCUAAACCAAGUUCCCACAAAGCAUAAGACCAUGACUCCAUUUGAGGAAUGGGAAAGGAAAAGAUUGAAACUCUCUUACCUACGUACUUGGGGUUGUUUGGCGAAAGUCAAUAUACCAAUUCCCAAGAAGCGCAAGCUUGGACCAAAAACCGUGGAUUGUGUUCUUUUGGGCUAUGCUUUUCAUAGCAUUGGCUAUAGAUUUUUGAUAAUAAAAUCUGAGGUAUCCGACAUGCAUGUUGGUACGAUUAUGGAGUCGAAUGAUGCAACUUUCUUUGAGGACAUAUUUCCUAUGAAGGAUAUGUCGAUUUCAUCAAAUCAGGAGAUACCUACUCCAUCUAGUGAGGAAUUCGCUGUAAUUCCUGAACCCACCAUUGCGAUGGAACACGUUGAGAAUCCUGUUGAGGGUGACAAUGGAACUCCUGUGAGGAGUAAGAGACAGAGGACUGCAAAGUCCUUUGGUGAUGAUUUCAUUGUGUACCUCGUGGAUGACACACCCAGGACUAUUUCAGAAGCCUAUGCAUCUCCUGAUGCUGACUACUGGAAGGAAGCUGUACGUAGCGAGAUGGAUUCCAUCUUAGCUAAUGGAACCUGGGAGAUCACUAACCGUCCUUAUGGGUGCAAACCUGUAGGAUGUAAGUGGGUGUUCAAGAAGAAGCUUAGACAUGAUGGUACGAUUGAAAAGUACAAGGCACGGCUUGUGGCCAAGGGUUAUACCCAGAAAGAAGGUGAAGACUUCUUUGAUACUUACUCACCCGUGGCUAGACUGACCACAAUUCGGGUGCUACUAUCACUAGCUGCCUCACAUGGUCUUCUCGUUCAUCAAAUGGACAUUAAGACGGCUUUCCUCAAUGGAGAGUUGAAGGAGGAAAUUUACAUGGAUCAGCCAGAUGGUUUUGUAGUACCUGGUCAGGAAGGAAAGGUGUGCAAGUUAUUAAAGUCUUUAUAUGGCCUUAAACAAGCUCCUAAGGAGUGACAUGAGAAGUUCGAAAGAACAUUAACUACUGUCGGCUUUGUACUAAAUGAUGGUGACAAGUGCGUGUACUAUCGCCAUGGUGGGGGCGAAGGAUUUAUUCUUUGUCUGUAUGUCGAUGACAUACUGAUCUUUGGAACCAAACUUGAUUUAAUCAAGGAGGUUAAGGAUUUCUUAUCUCGCUGUUUUGAGAUGAAGGAUCUAGGAGUAGCUGAUGUUAUCUUAAACAUCAAGCUGUUGAGAGAUGAGAAUGGUGGGAUCACACUGCUUCAGUCUCACUAUGUGGAAAAGGUCUUGAGUCGUUUUGGGUAUAGCGACUGCAUGCCUUCUCCAACUCCAUAUGAUGCUGGUGUGUUGCUUCGAAAGAAUUGACGGAUUGCUAGAGAUCAACUGAGGUAUUCUCAGAUUAUUGGCUGGCUUAUGUAUUUGGCGAGUGCCACAAGGCCUGACAUCUCAUUUGUUGUGAGCAAGCUGAGUCGGUUUGUGUCAAAACCGGGAGAUGAUCAUUGGCAUGCGCUUGAGAGAGUUAUGCGCUAUUUGAAAGGCACUGCGAGCUAUGGGAUUCACUACACCGGGUAUCCAAGGGUAUUGGAGGGUUAUAGUGACUCAAACUGGAUAUCUGAUGCUGAUGAGAUUAAGGCCACAAGUGGUUAUGUUUUUACACUUGGUGGUGGCGCUGUUUCUUGGAAGUCUUGCAAGCAGACCAUCUUAACAAGGUCAACUAUAGAAGCAGAACUCACAGCAUUAGACACUGCCACUGUUGAAGCAGAGUGGCUUCAUGAGCUCUUGAUGGACUUACCUAUGGUUGAAAAACCAAUACCCCCUAUCCUGAUGAACUGUGAUAAUCAAACUGUGAUCGUCAAGAUAAAAAGUUCUAAGGAUAGUAUGAAAUCCUCAAGGCAUGUGAAGAGGAGACUAAAAUCUGUCAGAAAAUUGAGGAACUCCGGAGUUAUUACGUUGGAUUAUAUCCAAACAUCGAAAAAUUUGGCAGAUCCCUUCACAAAGGGUCUAUCACGUAAUGUGAUAGAUAAUGCAUCGAUGGAGAUGGGUCUGAGACCCACCGCAUGAGUUGUCCAUAGUGGUAACCCACUCUAUGUGAUCGGAGAUCCCGUGAAGUAGAAGUGAGAGACAAGCUGUUGGUCAGCUGGGAGGAGAGUAUCCCUAUAUUAACUAUCCCACUCCGUGAAGAUGCAAUACUCUCCUGAUCUGCAUGGCAGGUUGAUACUUAUCUUAACUAGUAGAAUGCCCGUGCGUUGCCACGGGCUUCAAAAAAAUUACUUGUUGCAUAUAUAAACAUAAUGCAGGUCAAAUUUCAUAUGUGUAGAAAAUUAGAAUUCUUCUUUACUUGCAAUGUAUUUAGAUAAAAAUGUAAGUCAACGACGUAUACUAACUUAUCUGUACCUACACGGGCGGCGCUACACAUGGUGCAAUGAGCAGAGAAAUGCAACUGUUGUGAAACUUGACCGUGUGCUGAUCAAUGAUGAGUGGGAGUGCAUGAUGCCAAACUGCUUGCUGCAAGCCCUUCCAUUAGAGAUGUCAGAUCAUUGCCCAUUGCUGCUAAAUUGUGAUGUAUCAUUUAUACACUCCCACGCUUUCCGGUUCGAGAAUCAUUGGGUAAGGUCAUAAGGAUGCAAGGGUUCCAGGAGAUAGUUCAAUCUGCUUGGCAGGGGUGUAGCCCGGGAUCGGAUCCGGUAUGCAAGUGCUAUCUAGAUAACACAUGGACGCCUUUUUAUGCAGGUGCUAUCUAUCAAAUAUGACCGGUUGUCUCAGGGAGAAUUUCCAUUAUUAUUAUCCAUUAAUUAAAGAAAAAACAUGGAGGAUUUUGUUCCUUAAAACUAAUUUUCCAAAAUGCUACAACCAGAAAUUUCAAUGCAUUACACAAUUGUGUGGCAAACUGUUACACAUGAAAUUUGCCACUUAGAACCAUACAGUUUACCUUAGGAACUACUACAGCAAAAGACAUACGCAGCAUAACAUCCCAACUCUACAAGAUAACUAAGAGUACAUACACAGGAGCAGAUACUCCCAACGAUUAUAAUAAGCUAUAAAAAGAUUGUUUCCUAUUAUUGGGAAAAAGUACAUAAAAUCAGGCGAUCGAGCAUAUAAGAAAUUUCACUGAAAAUUUAUAAACAACAAAGUAUUUGAACUCAUUAAUGGAUCUAGUGGAUUCAGUGGUCGAUUUAUUGAAGAUGCAAGGAUAAAUUCAAGUAUUACCAUUUGACAACUAUUCAUGUGUCAGGAAGUUGAGCAAUUUGAUGUCAAUCUUACCAUGGGUUAUACCAGUAGUAUGGCCCUGCAAAUGCUAGGAGAGGUUCACAAAUUUAAGCAUCAAUCAGAAUGGGCAUGACUGGUUGCUACUUACAUAUCAUAGGCCAAAGAGUUCAGAACCUCUCCGGUCCAAUUUCGACCAUCACAUGUAACGGAAAACAGUAGAGGGGACAUAAAAAAGGCCUUGGCAUUAACACCCAUGAAAUGAGAUAAAAACAGGUUUGUGGUAACAUUCCAAUCUGAUGCACAAGAAAUCUGAAUAAAGCAUCACCAAAUCGAGAAAUGGUUGGUUCUUUAGUCCCAUGCAUGAAAAUUUGUACACUUUCAAGUUUUUGGAUCAACAACACUAAAUAAACAGAGCAGCUAACGAAACAAUCAUUAUGUUACAAAAGCAUUUCUCAUGUCUUCUGUUAUUAGGUCCAUACAUGAUAGUAUUAGGCCAAAAAAGUGAAAUAGUGUAAUGAGAAGGUCUAGCAACUAUAUAUAUAUAUAUAUAUAUACUUUUGCUACAACUGCCAAUUUACGGUUUCAGAGAAGAUCCAAGAUCUGUAGAGUCAACUCAUAGAAAAGGGAGCCAAACAGGGAACCCAUCACUCAUGAGGGACAAACAUUCCUUGACCCAUCCUUUAGAUACCAAUGUCGGAAUUGAUAUAUAUAUUAUAACAAUUUCCUUUAAACUUCAGUUUUUUUACAUGAGCACCUUUACUGUUGGCUUCGUCAUAUUUAUCCCUAGUUACAUAAUAUAAGGAACACUUUCUCACAAGAUGCCAUGUAUGCAACAAAAAGGAAACGAAGUACGUACUAUUAUGCAUCUGAACCAUAUUGACUACUAAUGUGACCAGUGUUGAUAAAUCUGGAAAGGUUGCAAGUUGCUCGGAAAUUCAAAGGGCAUCAUAACAAGCUUGUAGGUCGGGUGCACACACUCUCGAAGGCGACCAGGGAGAGUUUGAUGCAGGUGAUGCUGCCGUCGGCGAUGCCCUACCGCAGAAGCUCCACCACGUGUCGCUAGUUAUCACACCUGACCUUAAGGAUCUGCAACACAUCAAGACGCAACAUAUACUCAAAUCAGCAAAUUGUAGACCAGGAGCCCACACGAGCGACCUCAAGAAUAGUAUGCAUAUCCAGUUCGGGUGGAUCUAACUUUUAGAAUGCUAAAUAUCUAAAAGGUCACUAAUACGAAGUUCACCAGGCUUGGGAGCACCUGAUACUUUCCCCAUCAAUCAAACAUGUAUCAAGUGACCGAGUUCCAAAUCAUCUUAUCACUUACAAAGAACUCUGUCAUGUAACUAAAUACCACAUAUCAAAGAUGGCCAUAUGGGCACAGGCACAAGCAAGGGUGAAGGCACCGUUGUUGAUGCCCCCAUCAAGCUUGAAGUUGUGGAACGGGUAAACUCUGCUCCUCAACACUUGACACACCAACAUAUCUGCUAAACAAUCAGCACCUAUUUCUCUAAUGGGCUAAUGUCAUUUUUGUUGAGACUAUAUGUUCUUCCUCAUGGUCCUGGGAUACUAUGCCCAAAGUAAUUUCAACUUCUGACCAUGCUGGCGGGCUUGGAGGAGGACCAGAGCACACUAUCUUCUCCACUCCUUCACAAGGUUGUGCCUCACCCUCCAUGAAAAAACGACCUACUUACUCCCCUUUAAUAGUAGAGAUUAAAUUGUUGAUUAUUCCAAAGAGUAAUAACCAUAAUUAAAAAUACUAACAAGAAGGAAAAACAACAAAAAUAAUCUUAUAUAAUGCAUUGCAUACCUGGUUAACAUGGAGGGGUUGGCAAGACCAGACUAAGAACUGUCAUAUUUAAUUUUCACUCAUAUAAAACCUAUAGGCUAAAAAGUAAUAAGAUAAUACAUCAUGUCGAAAAUAAAUUGACAAAGCAUGUUAAUUUCAAAAGGGAGCAUCGUCAAUACAAUAUGAACAUUUGCAUUUGCGCUCUCCAUAUGAAUGACUGGCAUGGCAUAGAACGUCCAUCAAACUUGGUAAUUAUAUUCAACCAUUUUAAAAUAAAGCACAUUGUUAUUGUAAGGAAUUUAUUAUUAAUGUGAGGUUCCAUUGGAUAAAUCAAUCUGACAACACAGUCAAAAAGAUGUUUAGAAUGGGUAGCCUGUAUUAAGUAACAAUAUAACUUCCAGCACAUAGUAGUGGGCUAGUUGAUGAAAUAACCGGACCAAACUACAUGGAGAUUAGACAUAAUUUAGAAGUGUUAUUAGACGUGGUCAAAAUUCAAGAAGGCCAAUCUUCGCAUUCGUUUAAUCAUUUUGAAGGUAAUUCUCCGCUACAUCAAUCCAGUUGCGCUAAUAGAAGCCCAUAUAUAAAAAUAAUGUUAUGGAUUAAUAAUUUAAUUUGCAAAGGACAAAAAAUGAUAUUACCAUUUUUCGGUGUUGAACACAACUAAAUGGUAAACAAUCCACCAAGUCCUUGCCACGGAUAACAUACCUAUAGUCUACUUUCCACCCCUACUUUACCAGGUUCGCCUCCCCAUGGUAUCCCCCUCCUCCGCAGGUCCCUGCUCCAAUAUAAUGCAUGAAUACACUCCAUCCAAAACCUACAUACAUAAGAAAAACACCCAUUGUAGAAUUCCUCAGGGAUCCACUUAAGUUGUGAAUCAGUCCGCCAAGCAAAAGGAAUUAACUGAUGAAGGGGCAAGGGAAAUCACCUAUGAUGAAUGGCAAGUUUGAAAAUGAGAAUCAUGACCAGGGGCGUAAUCUUCAACUGCAACGAUUACCUGAGAUCCUCCAGAAUAAUUUAGUGCGUAACCAAGCUCAUAUGGAUCCUGCAAGGAACAUUGAGAAAUAUUUGAGCACAAAAAGGGAGUCAAAGAGUGGCAGACCGCAAGGAACAGAAAAUGAUGAAACAACACAAUAGCAGAGGAAAAACAUAGAAAUGUAUAGCUUUUUUAUAUCACUACUAAACCUGAGAUCAUCUUGGAAGUGAAGGAACUAAAUAAUUACAGUACAAUAGGCGCAUCAACAACAAUCAAUCUGUAGUUUUAGUAAUACACUCUUGAUUAAUAGACAGAAGCACAAUUAACAAUAUGAAGUGCUCGUGAAACUAAUACUCAAUGGACUGCACACUGAUCACUGUCCACCUCAUUUUGAGUUCUGUCCACCGCAUUUUGAGUUGGUUACCCAACUCUUUCACACUGAGUUGCAAAAACUCCAAAAUAUAUGACCAAGAAUAACAGACCUGAAAAGUUGUGUUUAAGGGGAAACUUCAGAGCAGAUAAAAGCAGUCUCAAACACCUUGUCCUUUUUAGUUGAGCAACUCUUUGGGAAGUAAAUGCCCUGGUUGUAAGAAGGAACGCAUAGAAAACAUAUUUGCAGCGAAAAGUGAUUCAAUAUAUGAGCAAUUAGGACAAGAUUAGUGCUUUGGGAAUUGAGAGAGUUGUCCUCCGUAAUAUGAUAACAUGCUUUGGGAAUUAGGCAAGCUCGGGAUUCUGUGGAGAUGUUCGAUAACAUGCUUCUAGAAAGCGUCAUGUUACACCACGCCCAUCCUAGCUAGACACCAUAGUACGUUGUGAGGUUGACUCAUGCACCAUAUUUGCCACCUGGUCUGGCCGUCCUGCAGGGCCGGUCCUGAGAUUUCGGGGGCCCAGGGCGAAAACUAAUAUGGGGCCCCUCAUCGCCCCUCAUAUAUAUGUUUGCAUAUAUCAAUAUCAAACGUUGAGAUUGCUAAGUGGACCUCCCACCCGGUAUAUGUAUGUAUGUAGUAACCGAUCAAAAAAUGUAUGUAUGUAGUAUUAUAAUACACAUCAAUUUAGGACGUAAUAUUCAAUGCACUAAAAUAAUUUCUACAAAACAUCUUAAUGUUGAUUCAAAUAACAAAUAGAAUCAUAAACACUUACUUGAUUCUUAACAUCAGUAGUUGGUUCGUCCACGGGAAUUACUGCCAACUCGUCGAAGUGCCCCUAUUACUCUUGAUAAAAUUUAUCCAUAGUUCCUCUCUGUAAUUAUAUUAACUCAUCCAUAAGCCUAUUUUCCUUUUUCUUGCUCAUUACCAAAUCGAUACUUUCCAGAUGAUAUAAUAUCAGGCAGUGCUAAAACACAACAAAUUACAAAAUCUGUUGAGCUAAAAUAAUCUAAUUGCCAACAUACAUGUAGUGACAAUGGUUAGUGAAUUAGUGAUUAAUAGUAUACCUAGGAGAUCCGGCCGGUGAAGCAAAUAGGGCUGAUUGGUGAACUGGUGUGAUCGACUGCUUGAUACACAUAUCAUAGGUGGAAGGAACUUUGUGGCAGAAAAACAAAAGGAGUCCUGGAGCAAUCAGAUCAGAAGCAACAAGCCAACCAUCUUGUUCCUGGCAGGCCGUCUGAACGUCGCAACCCGCUGGAUCCGCUUGCGGCCUCGCGCAUUUGUUUCCUGGCGGCCGCCGUGUAGGGCGUGACUUGCAUCGUAGGGAGGGAAGGAGACCACGAUCUCGGAUGGAAAAAAUAGGAGUUACUCCUCUGCUCACACAUCGUAGCAGCAUGCCUCGGGCCUCAUGCGUACAUGGAGCAUACCUGGGAUGUGGCCCCUAGAGUUUGGGGGCCCGCGGUAGCCGCCCCCUGCCCCCUCAGGGCGGCAAUCCAUGCCGAGCGGCAGUAGUGAGGUGCCAUCGUGGUGGUGACGGGCGACGCAUCUGAGCGCCGGGGGCGACGCAUCCGAGGAGCCGGCGGCGCCGGCGUUCUCGUGAUCCGUGAAGGCCGCGUCUGCCCAGAUAGGCAGAUCGGCGGCGGCUGCGAUGCCCGGAUCGGCAGAUCGGCGGCGGCGGCUGCGUAUCCUCGGGAGAGGAGGAAGAGCGGAUCGAGACCUCGUCCGCGAGAGGAGCGCUAUGUCUCUAGGGGAUCGAUAGGAGUGGGUUUUUUUGGCACGGGUUUUUUUCGCGGGAGGGUUGCGAGUUAACGGAGGUGGGAGGAUGAUGAAAAAACCGGAGGUGGGACGAUGACGAAAAAAACCCAGCAAAAAUAAACCACGGAGACUAUUCACCAAGUCGUCCAUUAGGAGUAGAGAUGUGUUCCAAGUGCCUUAUUCGGGUAAGCAGAGAUGUUCCAAGUGGCUCAGGGGGUGGAUGUUAAAGAUGAACUGCAGGCCCUUGAUUUCAUAUCCAACGACUGGAAAAUCGACUGACCAGAGAUGAAAAAGUCAGUCGACUGACGUGUAGCCUCACCCUACUCUGAUUUACACGACUAGCUGCCCCGGCUCUCGCACCCGCUGCUUCUCUGGGCGCUGCUGCUGCUACUGCUUUUCUGCUACUAGUGUGUUCAGUUUCAACAGUAAAAUUUAGUUUUCACAGCAAAAUUCAGUUUCGACAGUUAAAUUCAGUUUCGACAGUUAAAUUCAGUUUUGACAGUUAAGUUCAGAGAUGAGCGGUUGAUGUAUUUUACAUCUAGCACUUUGUGGUUAUGUAUUUUACGUCAUCUAUUGGAGAUGCUAUUAGAAUUCCACUCAUGUUAACGUUGUCUCUCUUGUCCUGCUUCAACCUCGCUGUCGUACAACUCACCGGAGCUGCUCCAACGACGAAACCCUCCAUCAUAGCGAAGCAGUACCCCGGGCUCUAUCUCCAGAUGCCUAAGAUCUUCUUCCCCUCCUCCGACAGCCAAAUCAGCCGGAGCAUCCUCACCGACCAACCCAAUCACGCUCAGAUCGACAUGGCUUUGCCAAAGAGGUUGUACACUUAUUGCAUCUCUUUUUUACUCUACAGGUUAUAUAUAUUGUCCACUGAGCACACGUAGUAACGUGAAAUACGAUUAGUUUCUCCUACUAUAUGACAAGCAGUGAGGUACCAGGCAACUUAGCUAUCCGUGAUGGACUCUCUUGAACGCUAUCAUUAUUUAUCUCUGCGCGUUUGAGCUGUGCAUUUGUAGAUGGGCCUGGGAGUUGAGCUAGUAGGGCAGUGGCCUGGGUCCAAAGUAGUAGAAGUAGCACAAAUUUUUUUAGUGUAGGCUUUUCCGCUCAAGCCUGCCUACUAGAAUCGCCAGUGCUUGAAAGGAAAAGUGAAGGAAAAACAUAGGAAUUGGAAAGUUUCCUAUGGUACUACUAUUCAUGUAUUUGGUUCAAAGGAAUGGAGCAAAGGAAAACUGUAGGAUUUGUUCCUUUAGUGUUUCUUUGAAAGAAAAACCGUAGGAAUUUUAAUAUCCACUUGUCCUCCUUUUCAAAUUCCUAUUCAUGAAGCACAAGACUAAGAGAUAGUAGCAUAAUAGCACUAUAACCGUACAUUUUCUUGUAGUUUCACUUAAUCUCACCAUGCUUCUUUGCCUCCUGUGAUCUUCCAAUUCUUGUGAACCAAACACCCAGAUUGGCAGAAAUCCUGUGUUUUUAAAUUCUCUGUUUGCACGUGCAUUCCUAUCCUAUUCCUGUGUAUUUACUAUCCCUGCAUUGUUCGAAUCCUCAAAUUCAAACAAGCCCUUACACAAUUACUUCUGUUACAGAUAUGUGUCAAAGAAAACCUUGUGUGGUUUGUCCUGCUCAUGCUGCGCUGUGUUCCACCCCAGCUCAGCUGCUCCAACGAUGGAAGGGUUCACCACAGUAGGGAUCCGCUCUCCAGACUGUCUUUCGCCGCCUCAAAUCUUCUUCCCCGCCGCCAGCAGCCACGACAACUGCAUUACCAUCAUCAACUGAGCAGAUGACCUUGAGGACUACACGAGUCCGCAAGAAAGGUCGCACUCUAUCGUGUCCGCUUACGUUAUGCAUCACUUAAUAUGAUGACAUGCUACUUUAUCGUCGUGCUCACCUAUUAGACUCCGAGUCAAGUCCAAAAUAAUGCUGAAACUUGAGUUUUUAAAUGGUCAUGGGGUACAUAUUAGGGCAGCAAUCAGUACUAUGUGUCUACUAUCUGGUUAAUCUCGGGUGUCUACUAUGAGUUUCAUGUUGGGUGCAAACAAACAUUAAAGGAGCCAUUAUCUGUAUUUUUUAACUAAAGCUAUUAUCAGCCUGCUAUCAUUGGUUUUGGGUCCAUCCACAGUUUGCUACCAUAACUCUGGAUUUGUUCAUGCUCUCCUUACAUAAUCUCACUAUGUUUUAUUCCUAUGCAUGUCAGUUAUUGUACACAAUGGAACUGAACAUGUAGAGCAAAAGAGAUGAGCCUUGCGUGGCAAUAAAAUUUCAUGCAGACAUCGCUCCAUGGUGGGUGCAAAGGCAGCCCCCCCUCCACCCAUUUCGGAUUGUAAUCAAGAGGAAGAUAACUGUUCUGAGGGGGAUUUAGAAGGAGAAGACCACUCCUAUUUACCCCCUGAGGUCUUCGCUCUUACUUGGGAUGCCGAUGUUGGUAAUUUCAUGCAUAUGGUGCCUUGCAUUGCUUACUUUAUACAUCAACUAUGUCAUCUGCUUAGUUUAGACAUGCUUUGUGUGAAUGCCAUCUGUUUAGUUUCUUUAUCGUAUAUGUGAAUCAUGCAAUGCCAUCUUGUUUAGCCAGGCAUCAUAUAUGUGAAUUUUGCAAUGCCACCCUGGUUAGCCAGUCAUCUUAUAUGUGAAUUAUAUCAUGCCAUCGUUUUUCUAUUACGUAUUAAAUUUGUCAACAAUUUUAGUACAUUCAGUUACUCUUCCUGUGCAUCAGCAAUUCGACACAGUCAUGGAAAAAUCUGGAGCGGAAACAAGGUCUUUAGAGCAGACAAUGCUAUCUGACGAAGCGCAUGUCUUGCUGGUUACGGAUAGCUCCUCAGAGGAGGAUUCAGAGACAGAUGACCAGUCCUAUCCCCCCCCCCCCGAGGUGCAUGCUCUAACUUGGCAGGGUUAUGUUGCUCAUAUCGUGCGUAUGGUGUCUUGCAUUGCUAUGUCCUUUGCUUAGUUUAGACAUGCUUUGUGUGAAUGCCACCUAUUUAGUGUCUAAUUACCAUAUAUGUGAAUUAUGCAAUGCCAUCUUGUUGCAAGACAUUAUAUAUGUGAAUUAUGCAAUGAUAUCUUGUUGCAAGACAUUAUAUAUGUGAAUUAUGCAAUGCCAUGCUGUUUAGCCAAACAUCAUAUAUGUGAAUUAUAUCAUGCCAUCCUUUUUUGUAUUUCUCAUUGCAUUUGUCAACAAUGUUUGUAUAUUCAACUGCUCUUCCUGUGCAUCAGCCAUUUGAAUUGGUGAUGGAUAAAUCUGGAGUGAAAACAAGGUCUUCAGAGCAGACAAUGCUACCUGCUGAAGCAGAUAUCUUGCUAGUUACAGGUAGCUCCUCAGAGGAGGAUUCAGAGGCAAAUGUGAAAGUGCUAGUUAUCGACUAGAGGGGGGUGAAUAGGCGAUUUUUAUGAAAGUCUUCAAAACAUGAGGUCUUUGAAGACAAACAGAUGAAAUGAACCUAUUGAUAUGCAGCGGAAGAUAGACUACACUAGACAAGCCAUAGUCAAGUAAGCAAUGUAGUGAAAGUAUGAAGACUAUCAGCAGCUAGGUAGUAUGGAUCAGGAUGGAAGACAGUAUAAAGCCAAACAAUAAAUAGUCUUCACACAGUGAAGUCAAUCAGAUCAGACAAGCAAGCAAUGACUUCAUGAAGACAAACUAAAAAGUAAAGAGAAGUGAGGGAUAGAACCAGUUGCUUGGUGAAGACAAGGAUUUGGUAGACUAGUUCGAGUUGCUAUGUCAACUGUACGUCUGGUUAGGGAGGCUGAGAUUUAACUUAGAAGACCGCGUCUUCACCUUAUUCCCCUUGAGCUAAGGACACCCAGUCCUCGCCCAAUCACUCUGGUAAGUCUUUAAGGUAGACUUCCAAACCUUCACAGACUUCGUUCAUAAUGACUCUUGGAUGCUCAGAAUGCGAUGCCUAACCGGCUGGAGGAUUCACAGUCCUCAAGUGUAACAAGUCUUCAGGUCACGCGGACAGAAAGACUUCAGUGAUGCCUAACACUCUUUGGCUCUGGGUGUUUUGGGCUUUGUCCUCGCAAGGAUCUCUCUCUCAAAUGCUUUGGAGGUGGGUUGCUCUCAAACGACAAAAGCCGUGCAGUAACUCUAAGCGGCCACCAAUUUAUGGUGUAGGGGGUGGGCUAUUUAUAGCCACGAGGCAACCCGACUUGAUAUGUCCGAAAUGACCCUGGGUCUCUAAGGAACCGACAUGUGUCCAAUGGUCGGAUUUCAAACACACGUGGCAGCUUUACUUGGGCUACAAGCAAAGCUGACUCAUCCAACUCUGGAUAAGAUUUGCUCUCAUUGUCUUCGCUUGAAGACAUAGGAUUUUGGUUGAGCAUCACGUUAGUCACUCUGACUUUGUUCACUUGGACCCCACUUAAUAGUAGGUGGUUCCUAUGACUCAACAAGGAAGAAAAGGAAACUACGAAACAACUAUGUCUUCGCACACCAUAGUCUUCAAGUGAAUGUCUUCACAUGUCAUAAUCUUCAUCGUGAAUGUCUUCACGAACCACCAUCGUCUUCAAUGUCUUCACACAUUUUUAGGGGUCAUCUCUGGUAGGUAAACCGAAUAAAUAAGGGACUACUACCUAUGUUAUCCUGCAAUUCUCACAAACACAUUAGUCCCUCAACCGAGUUUGUUGUCAAUACUCCAAAACCAACUAGGGAUGGCACUAGAUGCACUUACAAUGUCCCCCUUUUUGGUGAUUGAUGACAAACUGGUUGAAGUUUUCAAUGGGGAUAAAAGUAUGUGAAAGUUAAAGGCCCCCCCUGAAGAUGUGCAUAUAAGUAGUUUGCUUUUGAAUGCAAAUGCACAUGGUAGGUUUCAAUUUGUGGAGAUCCUCUUCAACUUAUAAAAAUAACGAAGAUAAUGACAUGCACAAUGAAAAAUGGGCGUCUGCAGAAUGACUUCAUGCGGAAUUUAUCAUUGCAUCACAAAGUAGCAGCAAGAGUAGCAGACGAACAUCAAGUUUAAGUGUUACAACUCAAGAGCCAAAUAGUUUUAAAGCGAGAGUUGUAUGAACUUAGCAAAAAUAAUGCAACCACCCCAUAUGGACUUGCUUGAAGACUAUCAACCUCAUAUGCUUCUCCCCCUUUUAUCAGUAAGGACCAAAAAGGUUUGAAGACAUAGAGGAUCUACUCGUUCCCUGUUGGAGUAGAAGAUGGAGCAGGACCGACGUUGGAGUUUGGUGGUGCAGACGGGCCUGAAGCAGAAUCGUGGUGCAAUGCAGCCAGAGUUGGUGAAGUGGCGUCAUCUUCUUCAUCGACGAUUCUCGCAACAACAGUUGUCGCUGAAGACGAAUGUUCAGAAUCUUCAAUGGAUGGUGUGCGACGCUAGCUUGCAGAUUGUGGGGGCUUGGAGUAAAACUUGAAGCUCUCUAUGAAGCCAUCUUCGCAAAAAUCAUAUUCAGAGCAGAGCAAUGUGAGGCUCUUCCAGGACCGCCAACAGGCUUCAUGCACAAUGAAAGAGUUCUUGGUGGCCAAGUUGCGAAUGCGAUUAACAUCCACCAAGAGACUCUGCAUCUGACGCUUCAGCCAGUCAUGAUGCCUAUCUUGCUUUUGAUGUAAAGACACCAGAAGCUCACGGUCGUUGAGGACACGAGGACGCUUCUGAGGCCUUUGAGCAAUGGUGCUGGCAGUGGCUUUAGUGUUUGCACGGUGCGGCAUACGCAAGUUUCCAGCCAGAGGAUAAGCAGGAGUUGUAGCAUUUGGCACAUGAAUCCCUUCAAUAGGCUGCGUGAAGCUUUGGAAUUCUGCAUUCUGAAGGUGGAGUGGCUUCUUUGCUGGCUCGGGGUAGAUGGCUUCAAUGGACAUAUCAACAUCAGGCAAAAACACAAUAUGGUUGUGUGCUGAAGGUUGAUAGUUGAUGGUUGAAUGAAGCUUGAUCAAGCACAUCACCCAUGGAGCAUAAAAUUUCAGGCCAAAAAGAUCAAUCCCAGAAGCAGCAGGCUAUCCGAUAAAGAAAUCCUGAGUGUUGAACCUGAUGCCAUUGAUGAUAUAGAAAACCAAUGUCUUCAUGGCGCCUUCGAGUUUAGCUUCAGAGGGAUUGCCUUUGAUUGGCUAGAGAGUACGCCUCAGAAUGUGAUAGACUGUGCGUGGCAAGUACUCAAGGUCCUUAACAAAGAACUCCUUGGGGUAUUCGGCGUCUUGGGGCAAUGGCUUCAUCAUGCUCAGCAUUUGGCUCAUGUUGGGCUCUGGCUUCUGGAAGAUGCUUUGCAGUUCAUUCUGAUGAAGCUGACAACCAGGUUCGUGCAACUUACCUGGAGUGGGCAGGGAAGUAAGAUCAAUGAUGUCCUGAGCUUUGGCUUCAUGAUGAAUAUCUCCUGUCAUCCACUCAAGGACCCAAGUCUUCGGAUCCCUGUUGUAGCCUCAAAUGUGCAAUGUUGCAUAGAACUAGAGCAGAAGUUCUUCAUUCCAGUGCUCCUUGUCAGUCACAAACGGCAGCAGCCCAACAUCCCGAAAACAAUCAAGGGCCUCUUCGAGGCAUGGGAGCCCAGUCAUAGCAUCACAAUUCAGACGCUUAUGCGGAAAAUCCCGUCCUGGUUGUAUAAGAUGUAGGAGUAGUAGCUUUGCUGCUAAUGGCUCCAAAACCUGUCAGAGGAUAUCUUUGGCUUCGUGUACAGGUUCUUGGCACUGUCAAAGAAGGUGUUGUGCUCUCUGAAGCUGAGCACACUGAACGAGCCCUGUGUUGUGGCAACACUUGGAAGCCUUGACAAUCUUGGCUUAGGCUUCUGAACUUGAGGCCUCUGCUCCACAUGAUACUUAUAUUGCGGCCCGGGAGGAGUGGGUGGAACCAUGAUAGGCCAUCUGACAGUCUCCAUCUCACCAUGAUUGAACACACGUUCCAUAGUAUGAGGCCUUGGUGGAGGAACGGCGUCAUCAGAGAUGAUUGGCUGCACAAUGGUGUUAGUAGCAACAUUGGCUUCGGGCUCCACAUUCUCUUCAGCCAUGACAGUGUCAUUGGCUUCAGUAUUAUUGGUUGUGGCAGCCUCAUUGUUUUCAACCUCCAUCUGUUCAACAACUAGAGGGUCGGGCACGAUGACAUUCUCAUCUGGUCGGACCGGAUCACUGGCAGGGGGUGUGGGUUCUCUUUCUUCUUCUCUCUCUUCUUCUUUUUCUUCUUCGGCUGAUGCAGCUGGAAUGUCUUUAGCAGUUUUAGCUUCAGACUCAGAAGCAGACAUAGAAGGGGUGGCUUCAGGGAACACUUGAUGUGCUACUGAGUUGUUGUGUUGCACAUCCUCUUCUAGAAUGUUUGUCAUGGAGACCUGUGGCCUGAGGCCUUUGCGAAGCCUGCGAAAUGCUGGCGACGCCUUUCGAGAGGGGGUGGUAUGUUCCAUGAAGUUGUCAUCAUCAAACACCGGAGUGGUGACUUGAGCUGGUGGAGUACGUGGGGUCUCGUCUUGCAGAGGGGUGACUUGUUGUUGUUGCUCAACCCAUGAGUCAUCUUGAGCAACUGGCAUCAAGGGACGACCAAUGCUAAUAAGUUUCACUGCUCAUGAGAGCAGGCGAUGAUACCAACUUGGGUUCAAGUUGAGGAAGGACUUCAUCAUCAUUCACAUUGUCUUCGUGACCAAUGUCUUCAGCUGUGAUGGGGUCAACAACUGGAAUCUCUUCACUGUUUGGAGCCUCUGUGGAAGUAGGCUCAUGAAUCACUAGACGACGCUCUUGGUUGGUAGAGGCAGGGAGAGCAGCAUAAAUUGGUUCAACAUUGAGGGGCUCUGGGGCAGCAGCACACUCUGUUCUUGAAGACUUUGAAGCCUUUGUCUUCAACUUCUUCUUGGAGGGAGCACCGUUAGAGGUGUCUUUGAGCUUCCUCUUUCUGGCUUCGGCUUGCCUUGUCUUCUUUAGCUCGGAAGCUGAUGAGGGGACCUUUAGCUUCGAGGCAGUCAUGCUGGCAGGGAAGACAAUGCUGGGUUGUUCCCGCCUUUGAGCUUCAGGUAUGGCUUCAGCAGACUUCUUCUUUUUCUUGGCAGCCAUCUUGGGCUCGAUGCCAGGACACCCAAGAGCCUUUCUCUUCUCAGCUUCAUUGUGCGUUUGCACACAUUUUUGUGCGUAGUACUUCAUACGCUCGCGUGAGCCUUUGGCUUCUUCAGGCUUCUUGUUGAAUUUGGCCUUGAGGACAUUCAUGAUCUUCUUGAAGAUUUGCACAUCAGCCACACUGAGCUUGGCCAUGUGCUUCUUGAAGUGUGCCUUCUCAUAGUCUAUCUUGUUCUUGAGCUCGAUGAUUUUCUGAGCCAGAGCAAGUUCAUUUGCAAUGGCUUCGUGAAAGGUGACGCUGAUGUCCACUGGCAGCUGCAGAUCAUCAAUGUUGAUGCUCUGGUCCUCAAACCAUUCCUCAAUGAAGUUGUUCAGAAUGUCAGCAUUAAAGAGAGGCAGGUCAUGGAAGAUCUCAGCCUCUUGCUUGCUCUUGAUCAACAUCUCUAGAGCUUCAUCACCAAGAUCUUCAUCACUGGAUAGAUCAAUGGUAUUGUCUUCAUUGCGCAUAACCGCAGCUGGAGUUAGGUCAUGCCCUGAAAUCUUCUUGGGCUUCUUGGUCUUCUUGGUCUUCCUGGAGACUCGAGACAAGUCUUCAGAUUGCACACUUGGUUCAGGAGGUGCAAUCAUCAAUGGCUUCACAGUCAAAGAUUUUGGUGCUGCAGAGGGCUUUGAAGCUUUUGACUUCUUCUUUUGCUUCGGUGGUGCAGGUGCAUCCUCAGAGUCUGCAUCAUCAGCAGAUUGCUCUACCGUUGCCCUCUGAGAAGCAAUAUGGGAGAGAAGCCCAUUGAAGCUAUUGAAGGGGCCGAUGACAUUGGUAUUGGCGUCACGUGUGCCAUCCGGUUUUGGAGCAGACGGACCAGGGUUGAAGUGGAGUCCGAGAUCCUUCCUGUUUUUGGCAGCCGACUCCUUUGUGAACUGAAAGUUGCGCUUGAAGAGAUUGUCGUCACGACACCAUAGAAGAGAUGAUGGGUCGGCAUUUUUUGGCUGAGGUCCUCGGACCAUGCAAGGAUAUAAGCCUUGGGCAAUAGCUUCAGGCUUCGACUUGGGUUGCAGAUUCUUGUAAAGAAUAUCGCCCCACAGGUGCUUGAUAGCAUUCUUCUCAACAUAUUCAGGUGACGAAGUUAUACUUGAACCAUUUUUCAGCCCAAUAUCUUCGAAUCCAUUGUAUUCUGGUCUUGUGCUGAUUGUAGCUCUCCUCUGGAUCAGACUUGUACAGUUCAAACAGAUUGGGAGGCAGAUCUAGAGCAGUAUUUCCACGGCGCUGCCUGCCACCCUUCCUUGCAUAUUUUUCAGAGGCCAUAAUGUUCAGACAGAGAGGCUUCAAGACAGUGAAAGGCUUCCGUCUACUUGUCAAACAAGAACUGGCUUCAGGAGAGUCAAUAUGAUGCUGUAAGAAUUCUGCAAAUGAAUGCAGACUAUGAGAACCAAGGGAUUCUCCCACAGACAUGUACCUGUGACAGCAUUAGAGAUGCGAGGUAAGGGGAAGAGGUCAUAAGCAUUAUCAGAAGAUUUUGAAGAUAAAUCAGUUUGAAGACAUUGACCUCAUAGUGCGAAGACAUUCACUUAUUUGAAGUGAGUUGGUUCCAGAUUUGUACGAAUCCAUGAAUAAGUACAAGUGAGGAAUCUAACUAGUUAUGAAGCAUAAGUGAAUAUACUUUGCAAGAUAUGAGAUUCAGAAAGAGAAAGAUCCAGAUUUGGAAGUGUAGAAACCACUUUUGGUUGAAGUGGAUGGAUUUGAUAGAUUGAAAAGGCUGUAAAAGGUGAGAUUUAUUUACCACAGACGAACUGCUAGACGACACAAAACGGAUGCCGAGCAGUCUGAUCUCCCGCGCCCUAACUUGGCAGCGGAAGACACCUACGGCGGCGGCGGAGAGGACGAGGUCCACGGCCGGCGUGAGGACAACGUCGAAGAGGUUGAGGCAGCUAAGCGCUUCAUCUCCAGCGUCGACGCGAGCUAGCGGUGGCGCUAGGGUUUGAGCGAGAUGGCGAGGUGAAAGAGGAGAUAAUGACCGCGCGUGACUAUGUAUUUAUAAGGUAAAGGGCUGCACAACGCAAUUACACAGGUUCCCCUGGCGGUUCACAUAUGAUGGACACGUGGCAUGCAUGCAACCCAUUGAGAGUUGUUCCAUGUUCCCAUGCACGCCUAGUUUGUCAGGUGGUCGUUCCGGCUUCUCCGGUAUCCAGGCAAAAGAUACAUGGCAUUAAAAUUAGAAUUAAAUGGGUGUCUCUAUAUCUUCAGCUGACAAGGACGCAGUGAAGACAUUCGACACGUGUCAACAGAAUGCAUACGACUAGAUAGAUAGAAUUUGAGGAAGAAGCACAGAAGGGGUUAGGGUCCGAUCACAUUCACUUAGUUCAGAAAAUGGCAAGUUUGAAGACAUAUCUAUAAGUGAAUGUUGUAGAGGACAGAACACACACACACACACACAAACACACACACACACACACACACACACACACACACACAUAUAUAUAUAUAUAUAUAUAUAUAUAUAUAUAUAUAUAUAUUUAUAUAUCAGAAAAGACCAAAUCAACAUUGUGAAGAUAAACCUUGAAGUCAAAUCAAUGUUGAAGAAAAACCAAAUAUGAAUAUAAUGCAAUCAUGACGCCAAAUGAAAAUCUUCGAGGAGGUUUGAUGGUGGCGUUACCCACCGUAUAGGAAGUAUUAGACCCAGACACGGCGCACAAUUAUCGUGGCCCUUUGAAGUCAAAUUCCGCGCUAAUGUAUUCACACUUAGAGGGUAAGUCUUCAUUAAUUGAAGAUAUACGUUACUCCGUGUGUUGCACAUCUAAGUCAUCAACAUGCAUAAGCGUUAGGAUGUGUGUCCAUUCACAGGACAUUCGAGGAUUCUAAGAUAUUUAGCUCACACUGCAGCUUGUAAAACCUUUCUCAUCCAAGGGCUUUGUGAAGAUAUCUGCCAAUUGCUCUUCAGUGUUGACGUGAAUGAUAUCAAUGUCUUCCUUCAUGACAUGAUCUCUGAGAAAGUGAUGACGAAUCUGAAUGUGCUUUGUCUUCGAGUGCUGAAUUGGGUUGUUGACAAUCUUGAUGGCGCUUUCAUUGUCGCAGGAGAGUGGCACAUGCUUCAGGUGGUGCCAUAGUCCUUGAGAGUUUGCUUCAUCCAGAGAAGCUGAGCGCAGCAAGAUCCAGCAGCAAUGUAUUCAGAUUCAGCAGUGGAGAGUGAUACAGAGUUCUACUUCUUUGAAGACCAACAGACAAGAGAUUGUCCAAGAAAGUGACAUGUGCCAGAUGUGGAUUUGUGAUCAACCUUGUCUCCAGCAUAAUCAACAUCUGAGAAUCCAACUAGAUCAAACUCCGAGCCCUUUGGAUACCAUAAUCCUAGUGUUGGGGUGUGAGCCAAAUAUCGAGGUAUUCGCUUCACUGCUGUAAGUGAUGCGAUUCCUUUGGUGUCGCUUGGAAUCAGGCACACAUGCAAACGCUAAGCAUUAUAUCAGGCCUAGAUGCACAUAAGGAGAGUAAAGAACCAAUCAUGGAGUGGUAUACCUUCUGAUCGAACUCUUUACCAUUUUCGUCGGGGCCUAAUUGGCCUUUGGUUGGCAUUCACGUCGUGUACCCUUUGCAGUCUUGCAUUCCAAACUUCUUCAUGCAAUCUUUGAGGUAUUUCUCUUGUGAUGUGAAGAUGCCAUUUCUCUGCUGGCGGAUUUGAAGACCAAGGAAGACUUUCAGCUCACCCAUCAUGGACAUCUGAUAUUGCUCUUGCAUCAUAUACCCAAACUCAUCACUGUAUCUCUUGUCAGUGCAGCCGAAGAUAAUGUCAUCCACAUAGAUUUGGCAUACAAACAGUUCACCAUCAUAUGUCUUCGUGAAGAGAGUGGGAUAUAGUGAACCAGGUUUGAAGCCUUUGCUCUUCAGGAAGUCUUUGAGUGUGUCAUACCAAGUGCCAGGAGCUUGUUUGAGGCCAUACAGUGCCUUGUUGAGCUUGUAUACCAUGUUAGGACGCUUUGGGUCUUCAAAGCCAGGUGGUUGUGCAACAUACACUUCUUCAUCAAUUUUGCCAUUGAGAAAGGCACUCUUUACAUCCAUUUGGUACAGAAGAAUGUUGUUGUGGUUGGCAUAGGCUAGCAGUAUGCGAAUGGCUUCAAGCCUAUCCACAGGAGCAAAAGUUUCAUCGAAGUCAAUCCCUUCAAUUUGUGUGUAACCUUGAGCAAUGGGAGGAGCCUUGUUUCUGACAACUUGACCAUGCUCAUCUUGUUUGUUGCGAUAGAUCCAUUUGGUGCUGAUGAUAUUGUGCUUGCGAGGAUCAGGACGCUUAACUAGUUCCCGUACAUUGUUCAGCUCGAACUGUUGAAGCUCUUCUUGCAUAGCUUGAAUCCAUUCAGGUUCCAUGAAGGCUUCAUCAACUUUCUUGGGUUCAGAUAUAGAGACAAAUGCAAAGUGCCCACAGAAAUUUUCUAGCUGUGUUGCUUUUGAACGAGUGAGUGGACCAGGUGCAUUGAUGCUAUCAAUUAUCUUCUCAAUCUAGACUUCGUUUGCUACUCGAGGAUGUAGUGGACGAAGAUUUUGCCCUUGCCGAUCAUUGUCUUCAUCUUCAGCACUGGCUUCAGGCUGAGCAUUGUCUUCAUGCUGAUUAGGUGCAGAAAUGAUGAUUUCCUCUUCAGCCUGUUCCUCUGAAGGUAUGAUUUCUCCAGUACGCAUAAGCUUGGUAGAUUCACUUGGUGUAGCUUCAUCUAGCACAUUUGGUAGGUGCUCUCUUUGCGAGCUGUUAGUCUCAUCGAAUCGCACAUCCACAGUUUCAACCAUAAAACCUUCAUGUGCUUUCGGUGCAAAUUUUGAAGUGUGAUGCGGAUCCUUGAUCCAGCACUUAGCACCAAAGACUCUGAAAUAGCUGACAUUUGGCUUCUUACCAGUCAGGAGCUCAUAUGAUGUCUUCUUCAGGAACUUGUGAAGAUAAACACGGUUGAUGAUGUGGCAUGUUGUAUCAAUGGCUUUAGGCCAGAAUUUCCUUGGAGUCUUGUACUCAUCAAGCAUCGUUCGUGCCAUCUCAAUGAGGGUUCUGUUCUUGCGCUCCAUGAUGCCAUUUUGCUGAGGUGUGUAUGGAGCAGAGAACUCAUGCGAUGCCCAAUGUAUGAAGAUAAGUGUCGAGGCCGGUGUUCUUGAAUUCUAUGCCGUUGUCACUUUUGAUGUGCUUGAUCUUGAUGCCAUAGUUGGUCAUGACACGAUUGGCGAAUCGUCUGAAGACAUCCUGCACUUCAGUCUUGUAGAGAAUUAUGUGCACCCAUGUAUAUCUUGAGUAAUCAUCAAGAAUGACGAAACCAUAGAGGCAUGUAGUGGUAGUAAUGGUAGAGUAGCGAGUAGGGCCAAAUAAGUCCAUGUGAAGUAGCUCGAAGGGACGCGUUGUUGUCAUGAUUGUCUUCGAGGAAUGCUUGGCCCUAGUCAUCUUUCUGGCUUCACAAGCACCACAUAGAUGAUCCUUCUUGAACUUGACGCCCUCGAUGCCUAUGACAUGCUUCUUCUUCUUCGCGAGAGUGUGCAAUUUCCUCAUGCCCGCAUGCCUUAGUCUCCGAUGCCAGAGCCAGCACUCUGAAGCUUUUGCUAGAAGACAUACGACCAGCUGUGGUCCUGCGGAGAAAUCUACCAUAUACAUAUCGUCUUUUCGAUAUCCUUCAAAGACUGGAGAUUUGUCAUAUUCCAUAAGCACAAGGCAAUGAUAUUUUCCAAAUAUCACAAUCAUGUUCAGAUCACAAAACAUUGAGACAUACAUUAAGUUGAAACCAAGGGAUUCAACAAGCAUCACUUUAUCCAUGUGCUGAUCCUUUGAGAUUACAACUCUACCUAGGCCCAAUACCUUGCUUUUACCAGUGUCAGCAAAUGUGAUGUGACUUCUGUCAGACGGACGUAGGGUUGAAUUCAUAAGAAGACUUUGAUCACCAGUCAUGUGGUUAGUGCAUCCACUGUCCAUAAUCCACUCAGUAGCCUUCGGAGUCGUACCCUACACAAAGAUAGGCUUCACAAAGAGAAGUGUGAAGCAUAAACAUUUGACGAACAAGCAUACUAUCAAAGUUCAGAUCCUUGUUAGGGUAGAUAGGAUGAUUGUCAAGAAAUCCUAGGACGAAAUGCAUAGUAAGACCAUUUUGGCAUUUUAUCUUGCGUCCCACAAGAUGUUUUAGGUCCCCAACAUAAGCGUUAGAAGCUUUUGAUUUCUGGCUGGAGACCAUUUCCUGCAAAAGAGAGUUAAUUCUUCAUAACCACCCACAUAUUCAGGGGUGGCUUAGAAGCAACGAGUCUAAGUGCAGCACAUGAGAACUUUGGCUUUGAAGCCCUAGCAAAUAGUCUUGCAGGAGGUGAAUAAUAAUCAUAAGAAUAAGUAGAAAAGUUCUUGGUCUUAUGAACAUAGCAGCAUCAGAGAACUUUGGCUCUGAUGAAACACGCUCAUAUUCAUAAGUCUGAGUAUGGUUUCCCUGCAAAACAUUGGUGUUAGGGUGACCCUGGUGGGUCCUCUGUCUUUAUGAAGCCUUUGGAACAUAUGAAGCCUUUGGUCUGGGGUUUGUCUUCUUCCCAGGUGGUGUCAUGAUGACAUUAACAGGAAGCUUCUCAAGACAACUUUUGGGGACCCAGAUCUUCUUCAAAGGUGGCCCAUUCCUACAGUUAGUACCAAUAUGCCUGGCAAACACUUCGCCAUUCUUAUUUUGAACAGUUUAUGAUUUGCAUCAAAGGAUUCAUCAAUGAUAAUAGGGUUAGCACAAGUGAAGCCAGAUAAGGUAGAUGGAUCCACUGAAGGUCCCUUUGCAGCAACCCAUGUGGUUUUGGGGUACUGCUCAGGCUUCCAGUAUGAACCAUUAACAUUCAUUUCCUCUCAAACCCAACACCCUCUUUCCUAGGGUUUCAGUUCAGAAUCUAUUUCUUGAGGACAUCACAUAGUGUCUGAUGCCCUUUGAGGUUGUUGUACAUCCCUGUUUCAAGCAAUGUCUUCAACCUAGCAUUCUCAUCAGCAAUAGUAGUGGUAUCCUCAGAAGAGGGGUUAGUCACCACAUCAGCAGUUGAAGAUAUUGCAAUAGUAGCAUCAGUAGAACAUUCUGCAACAAAGACAACAUUAUCACGCUCAAGACAUUUUAAACAUGGUGGCUCAAAGUCUUCCCGAGUGAAAGUGAUCUAUUGAGCACGAAGUGAAUCGUUCUCCUUUUGAAGAUCUUCAUGAGACGCUCUCAGAUUCUCAAGUUCUUGCUUCCUUUGAAGAUAAUCAUAGGAAAGUUUCUCAUGAGUAGCUGAGAGAGUUUCAUGACGACUUUCAAGUUCUUCAUACUUAACAUGAAGAUUUUUUAUGUAUUCAAUUAAGGACUGAGUUUGAUUCAUUUCCGCGUCCAACAAGCCAUCGCUUUUGUCUAGCAACUUUUGAAUAUGUUCCAUAGCAGUUUGCUAUUCAGUUGCAAUUUUAGCAAGUGUUUUGUAGCUAGGUUUGGAUUCACAUUCAGAGUCAUCUUCACUGGAUGUUUGAAAGUAAGCAUCGCAUGAGUUUACCUUGGCACCACGUGCCAUGAAGCAGUAGGUCGGAGCAGAGUCAUCCUCAUUAUUGGCUUCAGCAUCGGCGAUGUGGCCAUUGUCUUCGGUGUUGAAGAUGGACUUGGCGACGUAAGCCAAAGCUAGAGCCAGGGUUGCCACGCCUGAAUCGGACUCCUCCUCAGACUCCACCUCCGCCUCCUUAGAAGCAGAAUCCUCCUCUGCAUCCAUCUCCUUGCCAAUAAACGCACGAGCCUUGCUGGACGAGCUCUUCUUGUGAGAAAGACUUUGAAGAAGACUCUGAGGAUUUCUUCUUCUUCUUGUUGUCAGAAUCAUAUUCCUUGCUCUUCUUCUUCUUAUUAGAUUCCUUGUCCCAUUGAGGACACUCAGAGAUGUAGUGACCAGGCUUCUUGCAUUUGUGGCAUGUUCUCUUCUUGUGGUCACGAGUGGAAGCUUCAUCAUUUCUUGAGCUGGAUCUUGAAGACUUUCCAAAGCGAUUCUUCUUGGAGAACUUCUGGAACUUCUUCACAAGCAUAGCUAGCUCCUUUCCAAUGUAUUCAGGAUCCCCAGAACUGCAGUCAGAUUCUUCUUCAGAUGAGGAAACAACCUUUGCCUUCAAAGCACGGGUUUGGCCAUAGUUGGGGCCAUAGAUGUCUCUCUUAGAUAACUGGAACUCAUGUGUGUUGAGCCUCUCAAGUAUGUCAGACGAAUCGAGAUCUUUGAAGUGAGGACGUUCUUGUAUCAUUGGGGGCAGGGUGUCGAAUUAGCUGUCAAGUGAUCUCAGGAGCUUCUUGACGAUUUCGUGCUUGGUGAUCUAAGUGUCGCCAAGUGCGCGAAGCUCUCAAAUAUGAGCUGGACAUUCUCAUUGUUGUUUCUCUUGAAGCGGUUGAAGAGGUUGUGAAGAACAUCAAUCCUUGAAUCGCUCUGAGUUGAGACGCCUUCGUUGACCUUGGAGAGACAGUCCCAGACUAGCUUCGCAGUUUCCAGUGCACUCACACGGUCAUACUGUCCUUUGGCCAGAUGACCAAGAUGAUGUUCUUGGCAGUCGAAUCCAGUUGAAUGAACCUCCUGACAUCAGCAGCGGUGACACCUUCACCGACCUUGGGAACGCCAUUCUUGACGACAUACCAGAGGUCGACAUCAAUGGCUUGAAGAUGCAUGCACAUAUUAUUCUUCCAGUAGGGGUAAUCAGUGCCAUCGAAGACCGGCACGCAGUGGAGACCUUGAUUAUCCCUGCAGUCGACAUAGCUAAAACUCCAGGUGGUUAAACCGAAUCACACAGAACAAGGGAGCACCUUGCUCUGAUACCAAUUGAAAGUGCUAGUUAUCGACUAGAGGGGGGUGAAUAGGCGAUUCUUAUGAAAUUCUUCAAAACACGAGGUCUUUGAAGACAAACAGAUGAAAUGAACCUAUUGAUAUGCAGCGGAAGAUAUACUACACUGGACAAGCCAUAGUCAAGUAAGCAAUGUAGUGAAAGUACGAAGACUAUCAGUAGCUAGGUAGUAUGGAUCAGGAUGGAAGACAGCAUGAAGCCAAACAGUAAAUAGUCUUCUCACAGUGAAGUGAAUCAGAUCAGACAAGCAAGCAUUGACUUCAUGAAGACAAAUUGAAAAGUAAAGGGAAGUGAGGGAUAGAACCAGUUGCUUGGUGAAGACAAGGAUUUGAUAGACCAGUUCCAGUUGCUAUGACAACAGUACGUCUGGUUAGGGAGGCUGAGAUUUAACUCAGAAGACCGCAUCUUCACCUUAUUCCCCUUGAGCUAAGGACACCCAGUCCUCUCCCAAUCACUCUGGUAAGUCUUCAAGGUAGACUUCCAAACCUUCACAGACUUCGUUCACUGGUGAUCCACAAUGACUCUUAGAUGCUGAGAACGCGACGCCUAACCAGCUGGAGGAUUCAUAGUCCUCAAGUGUUACAAGUCUUCAGGUCACACAGACAGAAAGACUUGAGUGAUGCCUAGCACUCUUUGGCUCUGGGUGUUUUGGGCUUUGUCCUCGCAAGGAUCUCUCUCAAAUGCUUCAGAGGUGGGCUGCUCUCAAACAACAAAAGCCGUGCACUAACUCUGAACAGCCACCAAUUUAUGGUGUAGGGGGUGGGAUAUUUAUAGCCAGGAGGCAACCCGACCUAAUAUGUACGAAAUGACCCUGGGUCACUAAGGAACCGAGACGUGUCCAACGGUCGGAUUUCAAACACACACGCGAACUUUACUUGGGAUACAAGCAAAGCUGACUCAUCCAACUAUGGAUAAGAUUUGCUCUCAUUGUCUUCGCUCGAAGACAUAGGAUUUUGGUUGAGCAUCACAUCAGUCACUCUGACUUUGUUCACUUGGACCCCACUUAACAGUACGGUGGUUCCUAUGACUCAACAAGGAAGAAAAGGAAACUACAAAACAACUAUGUCUUCACACUCCAUAGUCUUCAAGUGAAUGUCUUCACAUGUCAUAAUCUUCAUCGUGAAUAUCUUCAUGGACCACCAUUGUCUUCAAUGUCUUCACACAUUUUUAGGGGUCAUCUUUGGUAGGUAAACCGAAUCAAUAAGGGACUACUACCUGUGUUAUCCUACAAUUCUCACAAACACAUUAGUCCCUCAACCAAGUUUGUCAUCAAUACUCCAAAACCAACUAGGGGUGGCACUAGAUGCACUUACAAGAUGACCAGUCAUAUUAUCCCCCUGAGGUGUAUGCUCAAACUUGGCAGGGUUAUAUUACUCAUAUCAUGCAUAUGUUGUAUUGCAAUUCUUAGUUUUUACAUCAUAUACACAAUAUUGAAUGCCAUCUCCUUAGUUGACACAUCAUAUAUGUGAUUGCCCUCUGCUCACUUGCUUAGUAUAUAAAUCAUAUAUUUGAAUUAUAUCAUGCCAUGAUGUUUCCAUAGACAACAUGUAUCUAAAUUAUGGCAUGCCAACCCAUUUUCUAAAGACAUAAUAUAGUUAUAUCAUCUCAUCCUAUUUACAUAGUCAUCAUAUUUUGAAUUAUGUCAUUCUAUCCGUGAAUUAUAUCAUGCCAUCAUGUUUCCAUCGACGGCAUGUUUGUGAAUUAUGGCAUGCCAACCACUUUAAUAGACACAUCGUAUAGUUAUAUCAUGUCAUCCUAUUUACAUAGUCAUCAUAUUUUGAAGUAUGUCAUUCUAUCAUGUUUAGUUAGCCAUCAUACAUGUGAAAUUGUGUCAUGCUAUCCUGUUUAAUUAGCCAUCAUAUAUGCGAAAUUAUGUCAUGUUAUUCUGUUUGGUUAGACAACAUAAAUGUGAAUUAUUUCAUGCCCUGUUUUCUUCCCUACUAUCCAUUGCACCUGUCUAUCUUACAAUGUCUGUACAUUCAAUUAGUUUUCUUGUUUAUCAACCAUUUGAAUUGGAGGGGGUGAUGGCAAUAUCUGUGGGAGUAAAAACAUGGUCUUCAGAAAAGAUCGUGCUACCUGUCGAUGCAGAUAGAACCACAUUUGUACUUGCCCAAGAACCAGACCCACCACACAUAAUCCAGACUCACGCAGAUUGUACCCCUACCCAGUUGGACAGAGAACCAGCUACACCCCUUCUAACCCCAACCCUAGCAGAUAGUAACCCAGUUCCAGUUGACACAACACCGUCUCCACCACAGAGCACCCAAACACGAGUAGUUAGUAAGGCAAGUGCAGUGCCCAAAGCACGAGGACCAUCACUCUAAACCCCAAGUCAACGCUUAAAGCAGAAGAAGAAUUGUUCUCAGGUUAGGUUCCGUAGCUAUGGUUCAUACUCCUUUGCUCUUGCAUCACUGUAUUUACUCAUACCAACUAAUUUCAAAUUUGAAGGAUGUAAUUGAAACUCCAAUGGCGCAACAAGUAUGUUUUAAACCUGUUUCUUUAACGUGUUUGCUGUUGUAACCUACUCUAUGUUUAUUUCAGUUUCAAUUGAAUAAAUAGUUAUGUUCUCAUGCCAUGCACAUUACAAAUGUUCUUAUUACUGUGUAGUUUCCCACACUUAUAUUCUGUCUAUGCUGCUUUGUCUUAAAUAGAUAUGAUUUGAACUGUCUCUAUCUUGAUUUGGCAACAUAAACUAGAAUGAUAUAGACCAUACAGUGACCAUACUACAUAGAUAUAUGUUUGUUUCAUGUUGUUAUCCUGUCCACCUUACUACUGAACUGGUUUACCAAAAUGAGUUUCAUAUACAACAUGGUAAACCUGUGAUGUGUCUGUUUGUUUCUCUUUUAGAAUGCGGAUAAUAUUGGAGAGGAGUACCCCGUUAUGCACUGGUAAAGGAAGUAAUGCAGAUAAGGUUCAAGAUAGUGAGACAUCCCUGUUGGUCUCCAAGAAAGCUGAUAAAAACUAUAUUGAAGACACUAAGACAACCCCAAAGUCCUGUCUUGAUGUAGUGUUUGAGUUACUGGCUACUACUGCUGGCACCAGCUCUUUGAACUCGCUGCCUGAAUCAGUUCAGCUUCUUGAGUCUCAACUUCAAGUUGAAAGACAUCGAUCAGAUGUUAUGCGUGUUGGAAAUAUGCCCUAGAGGCAAUAAUAAAAUGGUUAUUAUUAUAUUUCCUUGUUCAUGAUAAUUGUCAAUUGUUCAUGCUAUAAUUGUGUUAUCCGGAAAUCGUAAUACAUGUGUGAACACAUAGACCACAACAUGUCCCUAGUGAGCCUCUAGUUGACUAGCUCAUUGAUCAAUAGAUAGUCAUGGUUUCCUGACUAUGGACAUUGGAUGUCAUUGAUAACGGGAUCACAUCAUUAGGAGAAUGAUGUGAUGGACAAGACCCAAUCCUAAGCAUAGCACAAAAGAUCGUGUAGUUCGUUUGCUAGAGCUUUUCCAAUGUCAAGUAUCAUUUCCUUAGACCAUGAGAUCGUGCAACUCCCGGAUACCGUAGGAGUGCUUUGGAUGUACCAAACGUCACAACGUAACUUGGUGACUAUAAAGGUGCACUACGGGUAUCUCCGAAAGUGUCUGUUGGGUUGGCACGGAUCGAGACUCAGAUUUGUCACUCCGUAUGACGGAGAGGUAUCUCUGGGCCCACUCGGUAAUGCAUCAUCAUAAUGAGCUCAAUGUGACUAAGGAGUUGGCCACGGGAUCAUGCAUUACGGUACGAGUAAAGUGACUUGCCGGUAACGAGAUUGAACAAGGUAUUGGGAUACCGACGAUCGAAUCUCGGGCAAGUAACGUACCGAUUGACAAAGGGAAUUGUAUACGGGAUUGAUUGAAUCCUCGACAUCGUGGUUCAUCCGAUGAGAUCAUCGUGGAACAUGUGGGAGCCAACAUGGGUAUCCAGAUCCCGCUGUUGGUUAUUGACCGGAUAGUCGUCUCGGUCAUGUCUGCAUGUCUCCCGAACCCGUAGGGUCUACACACUUAAGGUUCGGUGACGCUAGGGUUGUAGAGAUACUAGUAUGCAGAAACCCUAAAGUUGUUCGGAGUCUCGGAUGAGAUCCCGGACGUCAGAGGAGUUCCGGAAUGGUCCGGAGGUGAAGAAUUAUAUAUAGGAAGUCCAGUUUCGGCCACCGGGAAAGUUUCGGGGGUUAUCGGUAUUGUACCGGGACCACCGGAAGGGUCCCGGGGGUCCACCGGGUGGGGCCACCUAUCCUGGAGGGCCCCAUGGGCUGAAGUGGGAGGGGAACCAGCCCCUGGUGGGCUGGUGCGCCCCCAUGGGCCUCCCCCUGCGCCUAGGGUUGGAAACCCUGGGGGUGGGGGGCGCCCCACCUGGCUUGGGGGGCAAGUUUCCCCCCUUGGCCGCCGCCCCGCCAUGUAGAUGGGAUCCCAGGGCCGGCGCCCCCCCAGGGGGCCUAUAUAAAGGGGGGGAGGGAGGGCAGCAGUACCCUAGCCCCUGGCGCCUCCCUCUCCCUCCUGUGACACCUCUCCCUCCCGCUUGCGCUUGGCGAAGCCCUGCCGGGAUCCCCGCUACUUCCACCACCACGCCGUCGUGCUGCUGGAUCUCCAUCAACCUCUCCUUCCCCCUUGCUGGAUCAAGAAGGAGGAGACGUCGCUGCUCCGUACGUGUGUUGAACGCGGAGGUGCCGUCCGUUCGGCGCUCGGUCAUCGGUGAUUUGGAUCACGACGAGUACGACUCCAUCAACCCCGUUCACUUGAACGCUUCCGCUCGCGAUCUACAAGGGUAUGUAGAUGCACUCCUUCCUUCUCGUUGCUAGUAAACUCCAUAGAUGGAUCUUGGUGAUGCGUAGAAAAUUUUAAAAUUCUGCAACGAUCCCCAACAGUGGCAUCAUGAGCCAGGCCUAUGCGUAGUUACUAUGCACGAGUAGAACACAAAGCAGUUGUGGGCGUAGAUGUUGUCAAUUUUUCUUGCCACUACUAGUCUUAUCUUGUUUCGGCGGUAUUGUGGGAUGAAGCGGCCCGGACCGACCUUACGCGUACGCUUACGUGAGACAGGUUCCAACGACUGACAUGCACUAGUUGCAUAAGGUGGCUAGCGGGUGUCUGUCUCUCCCACUUUAGUCGGAACGGAUUCGAUGAAAAGGGUCCUUAUGAAGGGUAAAUAGAAAUUGGCAUAUCACGUUGUGGUUUUACAUAGGUAAGAAACGUUCUUGCUAGAAACCUAUAGAAGCCACGUAAAAACUUGCAACAACAAUUAGAGGACGUCUAACUUGUUUUUGCAGCAUGUGCCUUGUGAUGUGAUAUGGCCAGAAGAUGUGAUGAAUGAUAUAUGUGAUGUAUGAGAUUGAUCAUGUUCUUGUAAUAGGAAUCACGACUUGCAUGUCGAUGAGUAUGACAACCGACAGGAGCCAUAGGAGUUGUCUUUAUUUUUUGUAUGACCUGCGUGUCAUUGAAUAACGCCAUGUAAAUUACUUUACUUUAUUGCUAAACACGUUAGCCAUAGAAGUAGAAGUAAUCGUUGGCGUGACAAUUUCAUGAAGACACGAUGAUGGAGAUCAUGGUGUCAUGCCGGUGACGAAGAUGAUCAUGGCACCCCGAAGAUGGAGAUCAAAGGAGCAAAAUGAUAUUGGCCAUAUCAUGUCACCAUUUGAUUGCAUGUGAUGUUUAUCAUGUUUUACAUCUUAUUUGCUUAGAACGACGGUAGUAAGUAAGAUGAUCCCUUAUAAUAAUUUCAAGAAAGUGUUCCCCCUAACUGUGCACCGUUGCGAAGGUUCGUUGUUUCGAAGCACCACGUGAUGAUCGGGUGUGAUAGAUUCUAACGUUCGCAUACAACGGGUGUUGACGAGCCUAGCAUGUACAGACAUGGCCUCGGAACACACGCAAUACACUUUGGUUGUCUUGACGAGCCUAGCAUGUACAGACAUGGCCUCGGAACACGGAAGACCGAAAGGUCGAGCAUGAGUCGUAUAGAAGAUACGAUCAACAUGGAGAUGUUCACCGAUCUUGACUAGUCCGUCUCACGUGAUGAUCGGACACGGCCUAGUUAACUCGGAUCAUGUUUCACUUAGAUGACUCGAGGGAUGUCUAUCUGAGUGGGAGUUCAUUGAAUAAUUUGAUUAGAUGAACUUAAUUAUCAUGAACUUAGUCUAAAAUCUUUACAAUAUGUCUUGUAGAUCAAAUGGCCCACGCUGCCCUCAACUUCAACGCAUUCCUAGAGAAAACCAAGCUGAAAGAUGAUGGCAGCAACUAUACGGACUGGGUCCGGAACCUGAGGAUCCUCCUCAUAGCAGCCAAGAAAGAUUAUGUCCUAGAAGCACCGCUAGGUGAAGCACCCAUCCCAGAGAACCAAGACGUUAUGAAUGCUUGGCAAUCACGUGCUGAUGAUUACUCCCUCGUUCAGUGCGGCAUGCUUUACAGCUUAGAACCGGGGCUCCAAAAGCGUUUUGAGAAACACGGAGCAUAUGAGAUGUUCGAAGAGCUGAAAAUGGUUUUCCAAGCUCAUGCCCGGGUCGAGAGAUAUGAAGUCUCCGACAAGUUCUUCAGUUGUAAGAUGGAGGAAAACAGUUAUGUCAGUGAGCACAUACUCAAAAUGUCUGGGUUGCACAACCGCUUGUCUCAGCUGGGAGUUAAUCUCCCGGAUGACGCGGUCAUUGACAGAAUCCUUCAGUCGCUUCGACUGAGCUACAAGAGCUUUGUGAUGAACUUCAAUAUGCAGGGGAUGGAAAAGACCAUUCCUGAGGUAUAUUCAAUGCUGAAAUCAGCGGAGGUGGAGAUCAAAAGGGAACAUCAAGUGUUGAUGGUGAAUAAAACCACUAAGUUCAAGAAAGGCAAGGGUAAGAAGAACUUCAAGAAGGACGGCAAGGGAGUUGCCGCGCCCGGUAAGCCAGUUGCCAGGAAGAAGUCAAAGAAUGGACCCAAGCCUGAGACUGAGUGCUUUUAUUGCAAGGGAAGUGGUCACUGGAAGCGGACUGCCCCAAAUAUUUAGCGGACAAGAAGGCCGGCAACACCGAAGGUAUAUGUGAUAUACAUGUAAUUGAUGUGUACCUUACUAGUACUCGUAGUAGCUCCUGGGUAUUUGAUACCGGUGCAGUUGCUCAUAUUUGUAACUCAAAACAGGAGCUGCAGUAUAAGCGGAGACUGGCGAAGGACGAGGUGACGAUGCGCGUCGGGAAUGGUUCCAAGGUCGAUGUGAUCGCCGUCGGCACGCUGCCUCUACAUUUACCUACGGGAUUAGUUUUAAACCUCAAUAAUUGUUAUUUAGUGCCAGCUUUGAGCAUGAACAUUGUAUCAGGAUCUCGUUUAAUUCGAGAUGGCUACUCAUUUAAAUCCGAGAAUAAUGGUUGUUCUAUUUAUAUGAGAGAUAUGUUUUAUGGUCAUGCCCCGCUGGUCAAUGGUUUAUUCUUAAUGAAUCUCGAAUGUGAUGUUACACAUAUUCAUAGUGUGAAUACCAAAAGAUGUAAAGUUGAUAACGAUAGUCCCACAUACUUGUGGCACUGCCGCCUUGGUCACAUUGGUGUCAAGCGCAUGAAAAAGCUCCAUGCUGAUGGACUUUUAGAGUCUCUCGAUUAUGAAUCAUUUGACACAUGCGAACCAUGCCUCAUGGGCAAAAUGACCAAGACUCCGUUCUCCGGAACAAUGGAGCGAGCAACCAACUUAUUGGAAAUCAUACAUACCGAUGUGUGCGGUCCAAUGAGUGUUGAGGCUCGCGGUGGCUAUCGUUAUGUUCUCACUCUCACUGAUGACUUAAGUAGAUAUGGGUAUGUCUACCUAAUGAAACACAAGUCUGAAACCUUUGAAAAGUUCAAGGAAUUUCAGAGUGAGGUUGAGAAUCAACGUGACAGGAAAAUAAAGUUCUUACGAUCAGAUCAUGGGGGAGAAUAUUUAAGUCACGAAUUUGGUACGCACUUAAGGAAAUGUGGAAUCGUUUCACAACUCACGCCGCCUGGAACACCUCAGCGAAAUGGUGUGUCCGAACGUCGUAAUCGCACUCUAUUGGAUAUGGUGCGAUCUAUGAUGUCUCUUACCGAUCUACCGCUCUCAUUUUGGGGCUAUGCUCUAGAGACUGCCGCAUUCACUUUAAAUAGGGCUCCGUCGAAAUCCGUUGAGACGACACCGUAUGAAUUAUGGUUUGGGAAGAAACCUAAGAUGUCGUUUCUAAAAGUUUGGGGAUGCGAUGCUUAUGUCAAGAAACUUCAACCUGAAAAGCUCGAACCCAAGUCGGAGAAAUGCAUCUUCAUAGGAUACCCCAAGGAAACUAUUGGGUAUACCUUCUACCUCAGAUCCGAAGGCAAGAUCUUUGUUGCCAAGAAUGGGUCCUUUCUGGAGAAAGAGUUUCUCUCGAAAGAAGUGAGUGGGAGGAAAGUGGAACUUGAUGAGGUGAUAGUCACCCCUUCCGAACCGGAGAGUAGCGCAGCGCGGGAAGAUGUUCCUGUGGUGCCUACACCGACUGGGGAGGAAGUUAAUGAUGAUGAUCAUGAAGCUUCGGAUCAAGUUACUGCUGAACUUCGUAGGUCCACAAGGACACGUUCCGCACCAGAGUGGUACAGCAACGCUGUCCUGGAAAUCAUGUUGUUAGACAACGGUGAACCUGCGAAUUAUGAAGAAGCAAUGGCGGGCCUAGAUUCCGACAAAUGGCUAGAAGCCAUGAAAUCCGAGAUAGGAUCCAUGUAUGAAAACGAAGUAUGGACUUUGACUGACUUGCCCGAUGAUCGGCGAGCCAUAGAAAAUAAAUGGAUCUUUAAGAAGAAGACAGACGCGGAUGGUAAUGUGACCAUCUAUAAGGCUCGACUUGUCGCUAAGGGUUAUCGACAAGUUCAAGGGGUUGACUACGAUGAGACUUUCUCACCCGUAGCGAAGCUGAAGUCCGUCCGAAUCAUGUUAGCAAUUGCCGCAUUCUAUGAUUAUGAGAUAUGGCAAAUGGACGUCAAAACGACAUUCCUUAACGGCUUUCUUAAGGAAGAAUUGUAUAUGAUGCAGCCGGAAGGUUUUGUCGAUCCUAAGAAUGCUAACAAGGUAUGCAAGCUCCAGCGCUCCAUCUAUGGGCUGGUGCAAGCAUCUCGGAGUUGGAACAUUCGAUUUGAUGAGAUGAUCAAAGCGUUUGGGUUUACACAGACUUAUGGAGAAGCCUGUGUUUACAAGAAAGUGAGUGGGAGCUCUGUAGCAUUUCUCUUAUUAUAUGUGGAUGACAUACUAUUGAUGGGAAAUGAUAUAGAAUUCUUGGAAAGUAUAAAGGCCUAUUUGAAUAAGUGUUUUUCAAUGAAGGACCUUGGAGAAGCUGCUUAUAUAUUAGGCAUCAAGAUCUAUAGAGAUAGAUCAAGACGCCUCAUUGGUCUUCCACAGAGUACGUACCUUGACAAGAUAUUGAAGAAGUUCAAUAUGGAUCAGUCCAAGAAGGGGUUCUUGCCUGUAUUGCAAGGUGUGCAAUUGAGCAUGGCUCAAUGCCCGACCACGGCAGAAGAUAGAUAAAAGAUGAGUGUCAUCCCCUAUGCCUCGGCCAUAGGGUCUAUUAUGUAUGCCAUGUUGUGUACCAGACCUGGUGUAAACCUUGCCGUAAGUUUGGUAGGAAGGUACGAAAGUAAUCCCGGCAUGGAACACUGGACAGCGGUCAAGAAUAUCCUGAAGUACCUGAAAAGGACUAAGGAUAUGUUUCUCGUAUAUGGAGGUGACGAAGAGCUCGUCGUAAAGGGUUACGUCGACGCUAGCUUCAACACAGAUCUGGAUGACUCGAAGUCACAAACCGGAUACGUGUAUAUUUUGAAUGGAGGGGCAGUAAGCUGGUGCAGUUGCAAGCAAAGCGUCGUGGCGGGAUCUACAUGUGAAGCGGAGUACAUGGCGGCCUUAGAGGCAGCACAAGAAGCAAUCUGGAUGAAGGAGUUCAUUACCGACCUAGGGGUGAUUCCCAAUGCGUCGGGCCCGAUGACUCUCUUCUGUGACAACACUAGAGCUAUUGCCCUUGCCAAGGAGCCCAGGUUUCACAGGAAGACCAGGCAUAUCAAGCGUCGCUUCAACUCCAUUCGUGAAAGUGUUCAAAAUGGAGACAUAGAUAUUUGUAAAGUACAUACGGACCUGAAUGUAGCAGAUCUGUUGACUAAACCUCUCCCUAGAGCAAAACAUGAUCAACACCAGAACUCUAUGGGUGUUCGAUUCAUCACAAUAUAACUAGAUUAUUGACUCUAGUGCAAGUGGGAGACUGUUGGAAAUAUGCCCUAGAGGCAAUAAUAAAAUGGUUAUUAUUAUAUUUCCUUGUUCAUGAUAAUUGUCUAUUGUUCAUGCUAUAAUUGUGUUAUCCGGAAAUCGUAAUACAUGUGUGAACACAUAGACCACAACAUGUCCCUAGUGAGCCUCUAGUUGACUAGCUCGUUGAUCAACAGAUAGUCAUGGUUUCCUGACUAUGGACAUUGGAUGUCAUUGAUAACGGGAUCACAUCAUUAGGAGAAUGAUGUGAUGGACAAGACCCAAUCCUAAGCAUAGCACAAAAGAUCGUGUAGUUCGUUUGCUAGAGCUUUUCAAAUGUCAAGUAUCAUUUCCUUAGACCAUGAGAUCGUGCAACUCCCGGAUACCGUAGGAGUGCUUUGGGUGUACCAAACGUCACAACGUAACUGGGUGACUAUAAAGGUGCACUACGGGUAUCUCCGAAAGUGUCUGUUGGGUUGGCACGGAUCGAGACUGGGAUUUGUCACUCCAUAUGACGGAGAGGUAUCUCUGGGCCCACUUGGUAAUGCAUCAUCAUAAUGAGCUCAAUGUGACUAAGGAGUUGGCCACGGGAUCAUGCAUUACGGUACGAGUAAAGUGACUUGCCGGUAACGAGAUUGAACAAGGUAUUGGGAUACCGACGAUCGAAUCUCGGGCAAGUAACGUACCGAUUGACGAAGGGAAUUGUAUACGGGAUUGAUUGAAUCCUCGACAUUGUGGUUCAUCCGAUGAGAUCAUCGUGGAACAUGUGGGAGCCAACAUGGGUAUCCAGAUCCCGCUGUUGGUUAUUGACCGGAGAGUCGUCUCGGUCAUGUCUGCAUGUCUCCCGAACCCGUAGGGUCUACACACUUAAGGUUCGGUGACGCUAGGGUUGUAGAGAUACUAGUAUGCGGAAACCCAAAAGUUGUUCGGAGUCCCGGAUGAGAUCCCGGAUGUCACGAGGAGUUCCAGAAUGGUCCGGAGGUGAAGAAUUAUAUAUAGGAAGUCCAGUUUCGGCCACCGGGAAAGUUUCGGGGGUUAUCGGUAUUGUACCGGGACCACCGGAAGGGUCCCGGGGGUCCACCGGGUGGGGCCACCUAUCCCGGAGGGCCCAUGGGAUGAAGUGGGAGGGGAACCAGCCCCUGGUGGGCUGGUGCGCCCCCCAUGGGCCUCCCCCUGCGCCUAGGGUUGGAAACCCUAGGGGUGGGGGCGCCCCACCUGGCUUGGGGGGCAAGUUUCCCCCCUUGGCCGCCGCCCCCCCAUGUAGAUGGGAUCCCAGGGCCAGCGCCCCCCGGGGGGCCUAUAUAAAGGGGGGGGAGGGAGGGCAGCAGUACCCUAGCCCCUGGCGCCCCCCUCUCCCUCCCGUGACACCUCUCCCUCCCGCUUGCGCUUGGCGAAGCCCUGCCGGGAUCCCCGCUACUUCCACCCCCACGCCGUCGUGCUGCUGGAUCUCCAUCAACCUCUCCUUCCCCCUUGCUGGAUCAAGAAGGAGGAGACGUCGCUGCUACAUACGUGUGUUGAACGCGGAGGUGCCGUCCGUUCGGCGCUCGGUCAUCGGUGAUUUGGAUCACGACGAGUACGACUCCAUCAACCCCGGUCACUUGAACGCUUCCGCUCGCGAUCUACAAGGGUAUGUAGAUGCACUCCUUCCUUCUCGUUGCUAGUAAACUCCAUAGAUGGAUCUUGGUGAUGCGUAGAAAAUUUUAAAAUUCUGCAACGAUCCCCAACAAUGCGACAGGAAGCUGAAGGACUGAGGAAGUCCCUACAGAAUUCAGAUGCAUACUUUUUGGUGCAAUAUCAAGUGCUGGAGGAUUUAAGCACCAAACAAGAGAAAGUUAAUAAGCUUGCUAAGCAUCUUGCCAGCAUUACGGGUACCCAGGAUAUUGUUUCUUGAGCUCUUCUGAAGUGGUUUCAGUUCUGGACUUGUUUUGCUGCGGCGUUUAUUUGCACUGGUCGCCAACUUUGACAACCAGUGUAUGUGAUAUGCUGCUUUGUUCCCUAUAUUUGCACUGGUGGCGAACUUUGAUGCCCAGUGGAUGUAAUAUGUGUCAUAGUCGUGAUAGCCUAGCGUAAGUUUCUUGCUUAUUUAUUUCCCUGUUGUCUUGUUUAUUUGUUUGCUUGUAGUCAGUGCAGUUCUUUUUCCGCGGUUUGCUAGUGGCUGCAAUAACCUAUUUUUUAAAACUAAGCCACAAUAACCAUGGGCUACAUAUUUAUUGUAGUGACUGUAGGCCUCCUACGGGCCGUAGAAACAAUGGGCCUUCUACGGGCCGUAGAAACAAUGGGCCUCCUACGGGCCGUAUCAUCAAUGGGCCUUCUACCCGUAUGAUCGAUUGGCCAAACAUGGGCCAAUAACAGACUGCAUUACGGGUCAUAAACGGGCUAGAGUUGGAAUCGUCCGAUCAUGGGCCGACCAUAUCGGGUCGUUGUUAAUCGGCCGUAUUUGAUGACGCUAUGAAAACGGCCCAACGGAUUAACGGUCCACAAACGGGCCGGCUGUAACCAUGGGCCGAAUUUGGCCCACAAGCAGAAAAGGACAGUACGGGCCAUAAGUAACUGAAUGCUGGAAAUGAGCCCAAGAAUAAAUGGCCCUGAGAAGGCCGAAAGAUAACAUGGUCUGGAAAUGGCCCAAUGGAAUAAUGGGCCGUUAAUGGGUAUAAAGUGAUACACUGUUCAUUACGGGCCAGUUUCACCACGAGCCGUUAAUGGGCCAAGAGUUACAAAGGGUCUCAUAUGGGCUGAAAGACGUCAUGGGCCAUACAUGGGACGAAAGAUAAAACGGGCUGGAAUCAUAUUGGACGGCCCAGAUGACGCUACUGGGCCUAAUUCGGAUAGGCCGUAACGGGCCGUGGGUUAGUGGGCUGUAAAUGGGCUAUAUGCGAACAUGCCGUUAACAGGCUUUCCGUGGGCCGGCCCGCUACCUUUUGACCAAGUCAAAUGGGCCGGCCUUUUCACAAGAAUGGGCCUCUGGUGGGUCGUGCCACGUGUUGACGUAUCAUAGGCGCCUUCGGUCCAAUGAGUGGAUGACAUCUGUCCCAACGGUGAGCCGAUCUACGUGUUUCCUCCAGCCAAUGAUGAUUUUACACGUGGAAAAUCCCCAUUGGUCGGGGCUGUUAACGGGUUAUCGGAUCCAAACCGGAACCCGAUAGCUUAACAGUGACCCGUUACGGUGGAUGCCACGUGUCGGUCACCCUUGACGAAAGCACUUCUAUGACGCGCGAUUUAUCGUCAUGGAAGUGGACACUUCCGUGAUGAUAAUUUUGGUAAUGUCAUGGAACACUUCUACGACAGCACAUGUAUGACUAUCUUGAUUCUGUCAUAAAAUCAUCAUGGAUGUACAUGCAUGAUAGAAAAUGUGACCUACUGUGACAAACACGUAUCAUCCUAGAAGUGUAUUUUUUUGUAGUGCACCCUGAAGCAAAGUUCAGACCUAUGAACUUCACUUCUCCAUCCCUUUUCUCGCAAAAUUCCAGCAAAGUCCUAUUUAGAGUAUAGUGUCCUUGUGACCCAUGUGUCAAGCAUCAUUAAAACAUAUAGGGGCUCUUUGAUUUGUCGGAUUCUCAAAAUGCAGGAAUAGGGUGGCAUGUCCUAUAGUACCCGACAAGAUUAGAGAAAAUAAAGGAAUCAUGCAAAAAGGUUUGAGUGGAUGGAAAUUGUCUUGCAAAAUGUAGUACAGAUGGAUCAUAAGGAUUCCAAUCCUACGAGUCAAACAACCAUCAUAGGAAAAUUCCUGAGGACCCAAAGCCUCCAAAAAUAAUGUUAAAAUUCUUUGAACCAAAGGAGCCCGUAGAAUUGAAAAACAAGCGUCGCCAUCUUUUUUUUCCUUUUUACAUUAGGGGGAGGGGGUUGCGUGACAACAUGACAUCCUCCAUUGUAGUGAUAUUUACUACACACAUGUCUCAAUAUGUUUGUUGGUGCCUUGACUGUAUGUUAUUGACACCAAACCCCACCCAAUGACAUGUUGGAAAUAUGCCAUAUAGACAAAAAUAUUGUAUAAUUAUAUUUCCAUGUUUAUAAUUAAGCAUUUAUAUUCUAUGUUAUAACUGCUAUGAUCCUGGAAUAUGCGAUUCAGUGAAAAACUCGUACGCACGUGUGGAACAAUAAAGGGUAAGAUAUGAUUCCUAGUCUCGCCUCUAAACUAGCUCAAGUGUUGUUUAUGAUCAUGUUUUCCGAAUCUUGAGAUAUCGUUAAGUAUAACGAUAGUCUCGAAACAACAUUGAGAAUAUGACGAUAGAAGAACGGUCAUAUUGAGUUGACCCAAAUUUAUUUGCUAUACUUUAAGAUACAACCGUUAGAAGUCAAUUGUUUUAACACAGAGUGUUAACGUGUGAUUUAGUUCCUUAUACCAUUAGAGUAUCAUGGUCACUUCUUAUCGUACGAUGAACUUUGGGGUUGAUCAAACGUCAUCUGUAACACGAUGAUCAUAAAGAGAACUUACAGGUUCAUCAGAAAGUUUGAAAAGGGACUAGAUAGCUCGAGAGUGGGAUUUGCUCCUCCGAUGAUCGAGAGAUAUUUUUAGGGCCCUCUUGGUGUGACAGAAUCCAUCAUUGUCUGGCCAGUCACAGGUGACUAUGUCACGGGGAUGCCGGAACAUGUCUGAAAGUGCAAUCAUGCCCUUAACCUUAUUUUGAUGUUGAUGACAACAUGCAUAUAGGGGACUAAUCAUGUUUAUCAAGUAUAUCUCAGGAUUAAGUCUCAAGGGCCAUGUGUGGAUCAUGACUACGGACAAAUAUAUAUCACUCAAGAGCGGAGAUACAAGACAAUAGCUUUGGCUCUUUUUUCGUUUAUUCUUGAGUAUAGGGAUCCCGCACUAUUAAGAGGGGAUCGUUGGAUAUCGUGAAAGACUUGCUCAAAACCCACAAAGUAUCCUCUCACAACAUCUCUGUUCCAUCUCUAAGUUCUUCCACUACCUUUUGCACAAAGUCUGUUGUGAUCCUGAGCUAGUGUGCUCUGUUAUCACCGGACGUCCGACCCCUCACAGCCGACCGGGCAUCUGGCUCUCUCCGGAUGUCCGGUGCAUCUUCACAGAAAGAACGUAGCGGAAAUCUGGUCCUCUCCGGACGGCCGGUCAUCGGACGUCCGUUUCUCUCCAGAAAUCCGGUACACCCUCAACAGAACACUUAUUAAUGGAUUUCCGGUCCUCACCGGACGGCCGGCACAUUCCGAACGUCCGGUGGCUGUGUGUCUCGUGCUACUUUGUGGCCUGGUGGAUUCCCAGCGAGCGGACGACCAGCGGCCUGGUCAGACGUCCGGUCCAAUCUGUGCCACCGGACGUCCGGUAUUAUCCGGACGUCCGACAACUCCAGUACAUUAUGUGGUUCAACGGUCAGUUUUUACACUACUACUAUAUGUAGCCUCCUCCCUCCACGGGAUAAGGUUGACCAUUCACUUUGAGCUUUCCAAUAACACAUUACACUCCCUCUCUUUAUCCCCUACACCAAAUCCUAGAUCCCCAAGGGAUUUGGGAACAUUUGAGAGAAGUUUUCCAAUAAAGUGAUAGAUCCACUUCUUCCCCUUCUUCUCACCAAAGGAAUUCGUGAUUGAGCAAGUUCUUGAGCUUUUCCCAUCGUUCUUGUUACUCUUGGAGGUUGGAGACUCCUAGGCGGUAGGAGUCAUUCGGAGUGGAAUCGAUUGUUGUGAUUACCCCCAGAAAGUUUGUGAGGGUUUGGAGAUCACCCCAAGGUCUACCACUAGUGGUUGAGAAACGCCUUCAUGGUGUUGUCUCAAAGGGAGAAUAGGGUGAGCCUUCGUGGCAUUGGUGUGCCUUCGUGGUAACAUCCACCUCUCUAACGGUGACGUAGCUUCCCUCCAAGGAAGUGAACAUCAGCAUACAUCCUUGUCUCUCAGAGUUGUGAUUAUUCCUAACCCUAAGUCUCUACUUGUGGUUACUUGUCUCUUAGUCCUUACUUACAUCAUAUUGGGCUUGCUUACUCACAUAUUUGUGUUACUUGUUUACCUUGCUUAGCUCUUAGCAUCAUACUUGCAAUUGUUAGGCUCACUUUCAUAUUUUGCAUUAUUGCCUAAAAUUACUAAGUAAUAAUUAAAAUGUGUAAUUGUACCUAUUCCCCCCCUCUAGGUUCAUCUCGAUCCUUUCAAUUGGUAUCAGAGCCUCGUGCUCUAUUCUUGUGGCUUAACCGCCCUAGAGCGAGAUGAACCCCGAUGGGACUCCCCUCACUACAAAAAAAUACACUUCCGUGAUGAUACGUGUUUGUCACAGUAGGUCAUGUUUUCUGUCAUGCAUGCACAUCCAUGACAAAUUUAUGACAGAAUCAAGAUAGUCAUACCUGUCCUGUCGUAGAAGUGUUCCAUGACAUUACCAAAAUUAUCAUCAUGGAACUGUCCACUUCCAUGACGAUAAAUCGCGUGUCACAGAAGUGCUUCCGUCAAGGGUGACGGACAUGUGGCAUCCACCGUAACGGAAUGCCGUUAAGCUAUCGGGCCCGGUUUUGGAUCCGAUAACCCAUUAACAGCCCCGACCAAUGGGGAUUUUCCACGUGUAAAAUCAUCAUUGGCUGGAGGAAACACGUGUCGGCUCACCGUUGGGACAGAUGUCAUCCACUCAUUGGAUCCAAAGCGCCUAUGAUACGUCGACAUGUGGCACGGCCCAACAGAGGCCCAUUCCUGUGAAAAGGCCGGCCCGUUUGACUUGGUCAAAAGGUGGCGGGCCGGCCCACGACAAGCCUGUUAACGGCAUGUUCGCAUAUACCCAUUUACAGCCCGCUAUCCCAGGGUCCGUUUAUGGCCUAUCCGAAUUAGGCCCAGUAGCGUCAUCUGGGCCGUCCAAUAUAAUUCCAGCCCGUUUUAACUUCCGGCCCAUGUAUGGCCCAUGACGUCUUUCGGCCCAUAUGAGGCCCUUAGUUACCCUCGGCCCCUUAACAACCCGUGGUAAAACUGGCCCGUUAUGAACAGUGUAUCACCGUCGGUGUCAAAACCGGCGGAUCUCGGGUAGGGGGUCCCGAACUGUGCGUCUAGGAUCGAUGGUAACAGCUGACGGGGGACACAAUGUUUACCCAGGUUCGGGCCCCCUCUAUGGAGGUAAUACCCUACUUCUUGCUUGAUUGAUCUUGAUGAAUAUGAGUGUUACAAGAGUUGAUCUACCACGAGAUCGUAAUGGCUAAACCCUAGAAGUCUAGCCUAUGAGUAUAUGGUAAUGAAUCUAUCCUAUCCGGACUAUGCUCUCUGGUUUAUAUAGACACCAGAGAGAUCUAGGGUUUACAUGAGGUCGGUUACAUAAAAGGGAAUCUUCAUAGUUGAUCGCCUAGCUUGCCUUCCACGCCAAGUAGAGUCCAAUUCGGACACGGGUAUAGUCUUCGGUCUUCGUGUCUUCACAUCCCAUCAGUCCGGCCCAUGGAUAACAGGCCGGACGCCUGAGGACCCCUUAGUCCAGGACUCACUCAGUAGCCCCUGAUCCUGGCUUCAAUGACGAGGAGUCCGGCGCGCAGAUUGUCUUCGGCAUUGCAAGGCGGGUUCCCCUUCUUCCGAACUCCAAGAUAGUCUUCGGAUGCGAUGAUUGUAUCCGGGCCUGUUACAUGUACCACACACAACCGCAGAGAGAAUAUAAUAUUUGCACGAAUCUAAUCUGUUGACAGCUCUUCACCACACGACAUCACGUUUGUCCGGUCAUAAUCUCGAACCGUUUUUCAUCUGCCAUCCCACGUUUCGAGACGUGGUUGCUAUUGGCAUGUCUUGUCGAAGCAGAGAUCGUGCCCCCUUAUCGCGGGAUUCUCAUCAAUGCGGGCAUGGGUAACCCAACCGUGCCGUUUACACAACCCUUGGGAAUAGGCGAAUCUCAAGGCGAGGGAGGAGGCGUUUAAUAUUGGCUGCCUUUAUAAGGAGAUAGGGAUUCCCCUUCCUCUUCUCACGCUUUCUCUCUGUCCCCGCCUUCUCGUGCUCUAGCACCCAAGUUCCAAUCUCCUUUCCACUCAAGCAACCAUGUCCGGAUCCGGUGGUCAGGGUAAGUGAUGGUCUCCUCUGUCACGGAGGAGGACAUUACUGAGCUCCGGGCGGCCGGGUAUUUGGUGAAGGGAAUCGCCCACUGCUUGCCAGCCGAAGGACAAAUCGUUCCCACGCCGAAGCCCCACGAGAGAGUAGUAUUCCUCCCUCAUUUCUUCCGCAGGCUGGGGUUCCCAAUCCACCCCUUCGUCCACAGGCUGAUGUAUUAUUACGGGGUGGAUUUCCAUGAUUUGUCCCUGAAUUCCUUCCUCAACAUCUCGGCAUUCAUCAUCGUAUGCGAGGCCAUCCUCCGCAUCCACCCCCACUUCGGACUGUGGCUCAAAGUCUUCAACGUGAAGCCGAAGGUGGUAGAUGGCCAGCACGCGGAGUGCGGAGGGGCAAUGGUGAGUAAAUUGUCCAACGUCUCUUGGCCCAAAGGCACCUUUGUGGAUACGGUAAAGGAGUGGCAGAAGCAGUGGUUCUACGUCACAGAACCACGCGGCACCACCUGGGCUGUGGCCGCCGAAUUCCGCUCCGGCGCUCCUGUGCGACUCACCUCCUGGGUCGAGAAGAGUCCGGACUGGUGCUCUCCUGACGAGCUGAUAGCGCUGCAGACGCGCGGUCAGAGCAUGGUAACCAAGAGCAUCAAGCUCGUCGAUGUGAUCCAGGUGAUGUUAGUUCGCCGGGUCCUUCCAUGCCAGCACCGAAGCCGCCCGCUGUGGGAGUUCAAUCCAAAGAAGCACCGGACCCUGGUGAGGCUCUUCGACUACGCAUGAAGGCGCAUGGAAGUUUCUCUUCAAGGGCAAUGAGAAACCACCGGCCACGGAUUCAGACCGUGGUCACGAUUGUACACACCCCGCCAGCAAGGUAUGUUAUUUCGAAUGUGUCUUCAAUCUAAUUGUUUCGAGGAUGAUGUCUGAGGUUUUAUUAUUGCAGCUUCAGGACUGGACGGAGAGGGCAAAGCGGAUCCAGUGUCUGGCUCCGCUGCCCGAAGAAUCGGUCAUCCCGCGCUUGGCGGAGAUGCUAGUACCGACGCCGUACAAGGCGCCGGAGAAGAAGCCAAGAAGAAGGCAAAGGGGGCCAAGAGUGGCCUCCGUCAUAAGGGUACUUCGUACAUGGCGUCCGAAGACGACAAAACUCAUUCCUCUGUCCCUGAGGACAAUGACGGGGAAGAGGAGGAGGAGGAAGAAAACAAUCCUCCCCCUGAGGAGAGGAAGACAAAGAGGGCGGCUCCGGCGCAUCUGGAGGCGCAGGCGCCCAAAAAGGGGAAGGGCGUUCCCACGGUCAACACCGCGUGGGACGUUGACAGCAGUCCGGAAUGACGCCCCCGUGCUAAGCCCCAGGCCGCGUCGUAAGUGACAUGGCUUAUUUAUGCGCACAUCCAGCCCUUUCUCUCCAUUAUCUUGAUGUGGUUAACCGUACCAUUGCAGUCCGGCCCGCGACUUGAUCCAGCGAUCCUCGUCUGGAAGUUCGUUGGCCCCGUCGGAGAUGGCGAGCCAGUCGCCACCACCCGCUUAUUCCCCCGGGGCCGGGGAUGACACUGAAGUGCGGUCCCGGAGGGCCAAUCCGAACCGGGGAGGAACCAGGACGCUGUCCGGGAGGCGCCACGAGGCGAAGUCUCCACUGCCGGACAUAUGGAGGGGAUGAUCCCCAUGGAGACUGGCGAAGAGGGCCAUAUCCAGCUUGGCCCUCAGCCGAAUACAAUUCCGGAGGCCCAUAUGGCUCCGGAGUCGGGCGGGCAGCCUCCUUUGAAGGAGGGGGGUGCGCCGCUUCCGCCGGUGGUCCCUGUCCAUCCAAGGGCACCGGAUAACCUGAUGGAGGCGCUACGAGGCGCCUCCGUUAUGGAAGAGCAUCGUGUCCUUAUGGGCACGGUGAUCGAGAAGGUUCAGUCUGCCAAGAGUGGACUGAACGAAGCCUGCAGCAACCUGUUGACAGGUUACGAGGUAAGUGACAUAGAAAGAGAAAAAAUCCCCGUAUAGUCAGUAGCCCCUGAGACACUGUCCGGUGUUCAGAUAGAAGAACCGGACAGAGGAUCAAUCCUCUGUUGUAGGAGACUAACAUAACAUGUAUGCAUAAGCAGGCGUCACUGUUGGCCGCAACCUCACAUGCUGCCGAAGUCUCUGGAUUAAAGCAGAGGCUGGAGCGGACCGAGAACGAGAUCGGCGAGGUUACAAUGCGGCUUCAGGAGAAGCAAGGUGAGUAUCGUCUUGCUGUGUGUUCGGAAAGAACAAGCGUUGCGUACUAACCGUAAUGUCGAAAUAUGUGCAGGAGCCGCAACUGAGGUGGAGGCCCUAAAACAGGCUCAGGCCGAAGUCGAGGGGAAGGCCGACGAGCAGCAAGCCGCUCGGAAAAAGCUCGAGGCCCGAGUCAAGGAGGUCCAACAGGAGCUCCAAGACGUGAUGAAAAAAUGUGAGAUCUUGGAGAAUGAUGCGUCGGCUCAAAAGGCCGAACUUUCCAAGGCUCGUCAAAGCGCGGAGACCGCACGGAAUGAGGCCCGGGCCGCCCUCCAGGAGAUCCAGGAGGCUAAGAAGAUCACGGCGGGUAAGACUUUUAAGAUGCAAAGCAAGUAUGCGGAGAAGCAAUACCUCUUACUAACCCGGGUUCGGAGUUCCCAGGGGCCUUUGCGGAUUUACCACGUAGCGUAUCGGACGCUGCAGAGUUCUACCAAGCCGAAGGAAGAGGUUCGAUGGAGAAGUUAUUCUGGAUGCAGUAUGCGACGCCAGAGCAUCCCGUGUCCUUCACCGAUCAGCUGAAGCAGCUGGUGGAGCUGCACAGGGUGGCCGAACUAGCCAUGAAGGAUUUAUCAAUCCGGCUAUGGCCAGCCAAAGCUAUGCCCGGCAGCUACUUCAGACUUGUGAGGCGGCUAGUGGAAGCCUGUCCGCGGCUGGACGUCAUCAAGCGCUCUGUGUGUAUUGAAGGAGCCUGUAUGUCCUUCGCUCGCUGCAAGAUGUGGUGGGCAAAGAUGAACACUGUUGAAGUGGCCAGCGGUCCGCCGGAGGGCAAGGAGCACCGCACACUCGAGAAAUAUUUUGUGGAUGUCGUGGAAGGGUCUCGACUUGUGGCAGCUCAAUGUACGAAGGACAUUAUGUUCGAAUGAAUACAUUCAUGUUGUCCGUUGCCUUGUAUUAUAAAGACAAAGCUUAUUUUAUAAUGUAAUUUUGUUAUGCUUUAAAUUGUUUCCUCCUGUGCGGCCGUGUUAUAUGCAAUCUGAGGGUUGGCCAGUCGUCGGCUUCUGCCCUCACGUAACUAGUACGGAGGUGUUCGGGAUGGGAUCUAAACAAUCUUGAUCCAAUUAUAUGGUCCUUGAAGGAGUUGUUUAGCGCAACGAACAAGGCAAUCAGACUAUACGGCUUAAACGCCCUCACUUAGCCAUAGGAGUUUUAUAAUUAAGCAAGUGCAUAGCCCCUGGUCCAAGCCAGGGUGCUGUCAGCAUCUGAUCGGGAAGUGCCGACCCUUCGCGUGACGCGCAAAAAAUCUCCAACGAUUUUGUAACCCUCGAACAGCUGACCGGCUCUCGCCGUAUCAUGACAGUCAGUUUUCGGCUUUAUCUACUGAGGUGCUCAUCCGGUCAAGGCCAGGGCACAAUCGCAGUAGUUCUCCCUUUACUACCCUAGCCGAUAGAGCGGAACAUAGGGUAGCAAGCACAGGAGCCGGGCAACCCAACUAUUGACCAAAGACAUGAUUCGGAGCCAAUGCAUAUAAUGCUGUAUUCGGGGUGCCGAACUCAUAUAUAAGAAGUGUUCGGACUUUGCCGCCGUAUUGUGGGGCAAUAAGUAGCCCCUCGCGAAUAUGAGACGUACAAAGAAGUACCGAUGCAGCUGAUAAGCAGAUCGAAAAUAAAAUGAAGUAAGAAGCGAAAACCACAGAAACUGGGCCGCAAACCGUUUUCAUUACAACUGGAUGGAUACGCCAAGGCGUAUUUUGUACAAAUAUUGCGAUAAGCAUCCGGACUAUUUAACAUGUCGGAAUCAAGAGGGCGCAGCGUGCGGGUCCUGAGAAAUAAAUAUAAAUAUCGUCGAGAAGACGUAUGGAGGUUACUCUACGCAUGUAUGCUGCUGCCAUCCUUUAUAUGCCGAUCCUUCAGAGGGACUGGCCAACAGGCCCGUGGGAAAAGGAACCUGAAACAAGAAAAAAUGGUGAAAAUGCGUGUGCCCGGGAUUGGUCUGGCCGAACUGUAGGUCCCGGGUUAGCUUCUGCCUCCGUCAAUAUCCAUGGGAUUUUGAGUGCGUAAUUAUGUACGCGUGGUGCAAAUGCCACUAUUUCAUCUAGACUAGGAUGGAGGCCGAAUUGCUAAUCGAGCUCUUGACGAGCCGCGCUGUCCUGCUGCAGUGUAGGCCGGAACUUCUUGAUGAUGUCCAGUGGCUCGGCAGCCGCACUAUGGUGCUGCUUGAGAAGGCCGCUCUGUACUUCUACUGCUAGGGCGGCGGUGUGCUCCUCUGUUCGAAGGGAGCGUUCCGUAUUGCCAUUCACUGUUAUGACACCUCGUGGACCGGGCAUCUUGAGCUUGAGAUAAGCAUAGUGUGGCACUGCAUUGAAUCUAGCAAACGGAGUUCGUCCGAGCAGUGCGUGGUAGCCGCUGCGGAAAGGGACGAUGUCAAAGAUUAACUCCUCGCUUCGGAAGUUAUCCGAAGAACCGAAGACUACUUCCAGCGUGAUUGAGCCUGUACAGCAGGCUUCUACGCCUGGAAUGACUCCUUUAAAGGUGGUCUUCGUUGGUUUGAUUCGUGAGCGGUCAAUGCCCAUCUUCCGCACUGUGUCUUGAUAUAGCAGGUUGAGGCUGCUACCACCGUCCAUCAGGACUCGUGUCAGGUGGAACCCGUCAAUAAUUGGGUCGAGAACUAGUGCGGCUGAACCGCCGUGGCGGAUACUAGUUGGGUGGUCUCGUCGAUCGAAGGUGAUCGGGAACGACAACCAGGGAUUGAAUUUUGGGGCGACUGGCUCUACCGCGUAGACGUCCCUGAGUGCUUACUUACGCUCCCUUUUGGGGAUGUGUGUAGCGUAUUCAUGUUCACCGUUUUGACUUGGGGGGGGGGAUUUCUUCUGUUCUCCAGUGUUCGGCUGCUGGGGCUCUCCGUCCUCGUCCUCACUUUGUGAUCCCUUUUCUUUAUUUUCAGCAUUUAGCUUGCCAGCCUGCUUGAAAACCCAACAAUCCCUGUUGGUGUGGUUGGCUUGCUUGUCCGGGGUGCCGUGUAUUUGGCACGGACGGUCGAUAUGCGGUCCAGGCUGGAAGGUCCUUCAUUGUUUCUUUUGUAGGGCUUCUUCCAUUGGCCGGACUUGGAGCCACUGAAUCUGGCAUGGACUAUGGUGUCAUUGGUGUUGUUGUCAUUGCUUCGGCGUUUGUGCCUAUUGCGCCGGAGUUUGCCAGUGCUAUUUUUGGCCUCAGAGGGGCCUGUCUCGCUGGCUGUGUUGUUACUACGAGCCAGCCAACUGUCCUCUCCCAUGCAAAAGCGGGUCAUGAGUGUCGUGAGGGCUGCCAUGGACUUCGGUUUUUCUUGGCCGAGGUGGCGUGCUAGCCAUUCGUCACGGAUGCUAUGUUUGAAGGCUGCUAAGACCUCGGCAUCCGGACAACCAACGAUCUGGUUCUUUUUAGUUAGGAACCUAGUCCAGAAUUUUCAGGCUGAUUCUUCGGGUUGUUGAACUAUGUGACUUAAGUCAUCGGCGUCUGGUGGCCGGACAUAAGUUCCUUGGAAGUUAUGGAGGAAAGCCUCUUCCAAGUCCUCCCAGCUGCCGAUGGAGUUUUCAGGCAGGCUGUUAAGCCAGUGCCGAGCUGGUCCUUUGAGCUUUAGUGGGAGGUAUUUGAUGGCGUGGAGAUCAUCUCCUCGAGCCAUGUGAAUAUGGAGGAUAAAGUCCUCGAUCCAUACUGCGGGAUCGGUUGUGCCGUCGUAUGAUUCGAUAUUGACGGGAUUGAAUCCCUCGGGGAAUUCGUGAUCCAGCACUUCAUCUGUGAAGCAUAGAGGGUGUGCGGCACCUCUGUACCGGGCCGUGUCGCUGUGGUAUUUGGACCGGGCGUGGUUAGGUUUGUCACGUCCGAAUAGGUAGCCGUCGUCAUGCCUCGAGGCACAUCCUCGCGAUCCGUAGAUCGAUCUCGUAUGUCCUGCUCUACUGUCCAGGGUCUGUCGGAGGUCAUAGGUGUGACCCCGAACUCUUCCGUCUUUAUUUUUGCGGGGCGGUUGGGCGGUCUGUUGUUUGGCCUGGGUUGCCGCUUUGUCUCGACCGCGGGGUGAUCGGUCUGCCGCUCUAUCCCGACCACGUGGUGGCCGGUCCGCAUUGCGCGAGGGAGGUAUGGGAUCUGGUGCCUCCUCACCGAACUGAGGUAGCAGUUUGCAUUUUGGGUAGCUCUUGGCUGGGCGCUUGAGGCCGUAUUCAUCGGCUGUAAGGACAUCAGUCCAUCUGUCGACGAGCAGAUCUUGUUCGGCUUUAAGCUGUUGUUGUUUCUUUUCCAAGCUCCUUACAGUGGCUAUGAGCUGUAGCUUGAAGCGCUCCUGCUCGAGAGGAUCCUCAGGCAUGAUGAAAUCGUUAUCGCCGAGGCUUGUCUCCUCCUCGGAGGGUGGAUGAUAGCUAUCGUCCUUCGGGUCAUCUUUUAUGGCCUGUUCAUCAGGGUUAUCCUGCCCGUUGCCGUUUUCCUCCUGUUCGGACAUGGUUCCGGUAGGCUCUUCAUUGUUUUCGGCGUCGCCCGGAGUACUAUUUUCUCCGGUGCCAGUAUUGCCAUCCUUUGAGCGACGAGGCUUAGAACGGCGUUUGGGGCGCCGGCGCUUGGGCUGCUCAGAGGGCUUGUUAUUAUCCGGCUCAUCUUUGUCGUCGCCGGAUCCUUUUGGUGUAUCAACCAUGUACACGUCGUAGGAAGAGGUGGCCGUCCAAUGUCCAGUGAAUGGCGGGUCUUGGCCUUGCUCAUCGUCGGCAUCGUCGUCCAUACCAGUGAUGUCUUCGGAGCCAUAGUCGAGCACGUCGGUUAAGUCGUCGACGGUGGCUAUGAAGUGGGUGGCGGGUGGGAAGCAAAAUUCCUCGUCGUCCGCCUCCAGCUCGAACCGAACAUAGUUCGGUUGUGAACCUUCCUCCAGGGACAAGUUCUUCAAAGAAUUUAGUACGUCACCCAAAGGCGAAUGCUAGAAGAUGUCUGCAGCGUUAAAUUCGAAAAUUGGUAACCGAUCCAGCUCGGUGUCCGCAGGCGCACCUGAUCCGGAACGUGCUGCCAGAGACGAGUCCGGAGUUCCGCAGACGCAAGCAUUGCAGGGUGUCGAGUCCAUGGGCGGCUCCAACGCCGCGGACCUUACGGCCUCGGAGGGCACGAUCUGCUUUGGUCCUGAGGCCGUCGCAGCAACAGGGUCCAUCUCCUGGAUGUGAUCCGAUGAUAGAUUUGAAUCAUAUUCAUCAGAGAGAGGGGGAGCGAUCGCCGCAGUCUCAAAUCCGUCGAAGAUCAAGUCUCCACGGAUAACCGCGACGUAGUUCAAGCUUCCAAAUCUGACCUGAUGGCCAGGGGCGUAGCUUUCGACUAGCUCCAGAUGGCCAAGCGAGUUGGCCCGCAGUACGAAGCCGCUGAACACGAAGAUCUGUCCGGGGAGGAAGGUUUCUCCCCGGACGGCGUCAUUACUGACGAUUGAAGGGGCCAUCGAGUCCUUUUGUCGAUGGCAUAGUGGAACUCUCAAUGAAAGCACCAAUGUCGGUGUCAAAACCGGCGGAUCUCGGGUAGGGGGUCCCGAACUGUGCGUCUAGGAUCGAUGGUAACAGGAGACGGGGGACACAAUGUUUACCCAGGUUCGGGCCCUCUCUAUGGAGGUAAUACCCUACUUCCUGCUUGAUUGAUCUUGAUGAAUAUGAGUGUUACAAGAGUUGAUCUACCACGAGAUCGUAAUGGCUAAACCCUAGAAGUCUAGCCUAUGAGUAUAUGGUAAUGAAUCUGUCCUAUCCGGACUAUGCUCUCCGGUUUAUAUAGACACCGGAGAGAUCUAGGGUUUACAUGAGGUCGGUUACAUCAAAGGGAAUCUUCAUAGUCGAUCGCCUAGCUUGCCUUCCAUGCCAAGUAGAGUCCAAUCCGGACACGGGUAUAGUCUUCGGUCUUCGUGUCUUCACAGCCCAUCAGUCCGGCCCAUGGAUAACAUGCCGGACGCCCGAGGACCCCUUAGUCCAGGACUCCCUCAAUCACUUUAUACCCAAUAACGGCCCAUUAUUCAGUUGGGCCGUUUCCAGCCCAUGUUAUCUUUCGGCCUUCUCAGGGCCCAUUUAUACUUGGGCUCAUUUCCAGCAUUCGGUUACUUAUGGCCCAUUACUUUCAUUUUCUGCUUGUGGGCCAAAUUCAGCCCGUGGUUAUAGUCGGCCCGUUUGUGGCCCGUUAAUACAUUGGGCCGCUUUCAUGUCGAAAAAAACCCGUUGGGCUGUUUUCAUAGAGUUAUCAAAUACGGCCUAUUAACGGCCCGUUAUUGUCCACGAAUAGUAUGGCCCAUGAUUGGCGAAAUGAUGAUACACCCCGUAGAGGGCCCAUGUUGGAAAUAUGCCCUAGAGGCAAUAAUAAAUUGGUUAUUAUUAUAUUUCCUUGUUCAUGAUAAUCGUUUAUUAUCCAUGCUAGAAUUGUAUUGAUAGGAAACUCAAAUACAUGUGUGGAUACAUAGACAACACCAUGUCCCUAGUAAGCCUCUAGUUGACUAGCUCGUUGAUCAAUAGAUGGUUACUGUUUCCUGACCAUGGACAUUGGAUGUCGUUGAUAACGGGAUCACAUCAUUAGGAGAAUGAUGUGAUGGACAAGACCCAAUCCUAAGCCUAGCACAAGAUCGUGUAGUUCGUUUGCUAAGAGCUUUUCUAAUGUCAAGUAUCAUUUCCUUAGACCAUGAGAUUGUGCAACUCCUGGAUAUCGUAGGAAUGCUUUGGGUGUACCAAACGUCACAAUGUAACUGGGAAGCUAUAAAGGUGCACUACAGGUAUCUCCGAAAGUGUCUGUUGGGUUGGCACGAAUCGAGACUGGGAUUUGUCACUCCGUGUAAACGGAGAGGUAUCUCUGGGCCCACUCGGUAGGACAUCAUCAUUAUGUGCACAAUGUGACCAAGGACUUGAUCACGGGAUGAUGUGUUACGGAACGAGUAAAGAGACUUGCCGGUAACGAGAUUGAACAAGGUAUCGGGAUACCGACGAUCGAAUCUCGGGCAAGUAACAUACCGAUAGACAAAGGGAAUUGAAUACGGGAUUGAUUGAAUCCCCGACAUCGUGGUUCAUCCGAUGAGAUCAUCGUGGAACAUGUGGGAGCCAACAUGGGUAUCCAGAUCCCGCUGUUGGUUAUUGGCCGGAGAACGUCUCGGUCAUGUCUGCAUGGUUCCCGAACCCGUAGGGUCUACACACUUAAGGUUCGAUGACGCUAGGGUUAUAGGGAAUAGAUAUACAUGGUUACCGAAUGUUGUUCGGAGUCCCGUAUGAGAUCCCGGACGUCACGAGGAGUUCCAGAAUGGUCCGGAGGUAAAGAUUUAUAUAUGGGAAGUCCUGUUUUGGUCACCGGAAAAGUUUCGGGUGCUAUCGGUAACGUACCGGGACCACCGGGAGGGUCCCGGGGGUCCACCAGGUGGGGCCACCGGCCCCAGAGGGCUGCAUGGGCCAAGUGUGGGAAGGGACCAGCCCCUAGGUGGGCUGGUGCGCCUCCCACUAGGGGCCCAAGGCGCAUGGAAGGGGGGAAGGGGGAAACCCUAGGCUCAGAUGGGCCUAAGGCCCACCUAGUGGUGCGCCCCCUCUCUCCCCCUCUGGCCGCCCCCAUAGAUGCAUCUAGGGCUGGCCGCACCCCUUGGGGGGGGGAACCCUAGAUGGGGGCGCAGCCCCUCCCCCUCCCCUGUAUAUAGUGGGGGUUUUGGGUCUGCCAUAGACAUGAGAACAUCUCUCUCUCUUGGCGCAGCCCUACCCCUCUCCCUCCUCGUCUCUCGCAGUGCUUGGCGAAGCCCUGCUGGAGUGCCACGCUCCUCCAUCACCACCAUGUCGUUGUGCUGCUGCUGGACGGAGUCUUCCCCAACCUCUCCCUCUCUCCUUGCUGGAUCAAGGUGUGGGAGACGUCACCGGGCUGCACGUGUGUUGAACGCGGAGGCGCCGUGGUUCGGUGCUUAGAUCGGAAUCAACCGCGAUCUGAAUCGCUACGAGUACGACUCCUUCAUCUGCGUUCUUGCAACGCUUCCGCAUCGCGAUCUAAAAUGGUAUGUAGAUGCACUCCCCUUCCCCUCGUUGCUAGAUUACUCCAUAGAUUGAUCUUGGUGAUGCGUAGAAAAUUUUGAAUUUCUGCUACGUUCCCCAAUAGUGGCAUCAUGAGCUAGGUCUAUGCGUAGUUUCUAUGCACGAGUAGAACACAAAGUAGUUGUGGGCGUCGAUUUUGUCAAUUUACUUGCCGUUACUAGUCUUAUCUUGAUUCGGCGGCAUCGUGGGAUGAAGCGGCCCGGACCGACCUUACACGUACACUUACGUGAGACAGGUUCCACCGACUGACAUGCACUAGUUGCAUAAGGUGGCUAGCGGGUGUCUGUCUCUCCCACUUUAGUCGGAUCGGAUUCGAUGAAAAGGGUCCUUAUGAAGGGUAAAUAGAAAUUGGCAUAUCACAUUGUGGCCUUUUGCGUAGGUAAGAAACGUUCUUGCUAGAAUCCCAUAGCAGCCACGUAAAACAUGCAACAACAAUUAGAGGACGUCUAACUUGUUUUUGCAGGGUAUGCUAUGUGAUGUGAUAUGGCCAAAAGGGUGUGAUGAAUGAUAUAUGUGAUGUAUGAGAUUGAUCAUGUUCUUGUAAUAGGAAUCACGACUUGCAUGUCGAUGAGUAUGACAACCGGCAGGAGCCAUAGGAGUUGUCUUAAUUUAUUGUAUAACCUGCGUGUCAAUGAAAACGCCAUGUAAUUACUUUACUUUAUUGCUAACCGUUAGCCAUAGUAGUAGAAGUAAUAGUUGGCGAGACAACUUCAUGAAGACACGAAGAUGGAGAUCAUGAUGAUGGAGAUCAUGGUGUCAUGCCGGUGACGAAGGUGAUCAUGCCGCGCCUCGAAGAUGGAGAUCAAAGGCGCAAGAUGAUAUUGGCCAUAUCACGUCACUUUAUGAUUUGCAUGUGAUGUUUAUCAUGUUUACAUCUUAUUUGCUCAGAACGACGGUAGCAUGAAUAAGAUGAUCCCUCACUAAAAUUUCAAGAGAUGUGUUCCCCCUAACUGUGCACCGUUGUGAAGGUUCGUUGUUUCGAAGCACCACGUGAUGAUCGGGUGUGAUAGAUUCUAACGUUCGAAUACAACGGGUGUUGACGAGCCUAGCAUGUACAGACAUGGCCUCGGAACACAUGCGAAACACUUAGGUUGACUUGACGAGCCUAGCAUGUACAGACAUGGCCUCGGAACACAAGAGAUCGAAAGGUCGAACAUGAGUCGUAUAGUAGAUGCGAUCAACAUGGAGAUGUUCACCGAUGAUGACUAGUCCGUCUCACGUGAUGAUCGGACACGGCCUAGUUUGACUCGGAUCAUGUAUCACUUAGAUGACUAGAGGGAUGUCUAUCUGAGUGGGAGUUCAUUAAAUAAUCAGAUGAACUUAAUUAUCAUGAACAUAGUCAAAGGUCUUUGCAUAUUAUGUCAUAGCUUACGCUUUAGUUCUACUGUUUAAGAUAUGUUCCUAGAGAAAAUUUAGUUGAAAGUUGAUAGAAGCAAUUAUGCGGACUGGGUCCGUAAACUGAGGAUUGUUCUCGUUGCUGCACGGAAGGCUUAUGUCCUUAAUGCACCGCUCGGUGUGCUGAACCUAAGCGUCGUCUGUAGAUGUUGCGAAACAUCUGACAUACACGUUUUGAUGACUACGUGAUAGUUCAGUGCGUAAUGCUAACGGUUUAGAAUUGUGGCACCAAAGACGUUUUGAAACGUCGCAUAACAUACGAGAUGUUCUGAAGACUGAAAUUGGGAUUUCAGACUAGUGCCCACGUCAAGAGGUAUGAGACCCCUGACAAGUUUCUUAAGCCUGCAAACCAAGGGAGAAAAGCUCAAUCGUUGAGCAUGUGCUCAGAUUGUCUGAGUACUACAAUCACUUGAAUCGAGUGGGAGUUAAUCUUCCAGAUGAGAUAGUGAUGGUUCUCCAUAGUCACUGCCACCAAGCUAUUAGAGCUUCGUGAUGAACUAUAACAUAUCAGGGAUAGACAUGAUGAUCCUUGAGCAAUUCGCGAUGUUUGACACCGCGAAAGUAGAAAUCAGGAAGGAGCAUCAAUUGUUGAUGGUUAGUAAAACUACUAGUUUCUAGAAGGGCAAGGGCAAAAGGGAUACUUCAUGAAACAGCAAAUCAUUUGCUGCUCUAGUAAAGAAUCCCAAGGUUGAACCCAAACCCGAGACUAAGUGCUUCUGUAAUAAGGGGAACGGUCACUGAAGCAGAACUACCCUAGAUACUUGGUAGAUGAGAAGGCAGGCAAGGUCGACAGAAGUAUAUUGGAUAUACAUGAUAUGAAUGUGUACUUUACUAGUACUCCUAGCAGCACCAGGGUAUUAGAUACCGGUUCGGUUACUAAGUGUUAUUAACUCGAAAUAAAAGCUGCGGAAUAAACGGAGACUAGCUAAAGGUGAGAUGACGAUAUGUGUUGGAAGUGUUUCCAAGGUUGAUGUGAUCAAGCAUCGCAUGCUCCCUCUACCAUCGAGAUUGGGGUUGAACCUAAAUAAUUGUUAUUUGGUGUUUGCGUUGAGCAUAAACAUGAUUGGAUUAUGUUUAUCGCAAUACGGUUAUUCAUUUAAGGAGAAUAAUGGUUACUCUGUUUAUUUGAAUAAUACCUUCAAUGGUCUUGCACCUAAAAUGAAUCUCGAUCGCAGUGAUACACAUGUUCGUGCCAAAAAGAUAUAAGAUAGUAAUUAUAGUACCACAUACUUGUGGCACUGCCACUUGAGUCAUAUUGGUAUAGAACGCAUGAAGAAGCUCCAUGUAGAUGGAUCUUUGGACUCGCUCGUUUUUUAAAAGAUUGAGACAUGCGAACCAUGUCUAUUGGUAUAUAUGCAUGAAGAAACUCCAUGCAGAUGGAUCGUUUGGACUCACUUGAUUUUGAAUCACUUGAGACAUGCAAAUCAUACCACAUGGGCAAGAUGACUGAAAGGCCUCGUUUUCAGUAAGAUGGAACAAGAAAGCAACUUGUUGGAAGUAAUAGAUUUUGAUGUGUGCAGUCCAAUGAGUGCUGAGGCACGCAGUGGAUAUCGAUAUGUUCUUGCUUCACGGAUGAUUUGAGUAGAUGCUGAGAAUAUUUACUUGAUGAAACACAAGUCUGAAUUAUUGAAAGGUUCAAGUAAUUUCAGAGUGAAGUUGAAGAUCGUCGUGACAAGAGGAUAAAAUGUCUAUGAUAUGAUCAUAGAGAUAUCUGAGUUACGAGUCUGGCACACAAUUAAGACAUUGUGGAAAGUGUUUCACAAUUAAUACCGCCUGGAACACCACAGUGUGAUGGUGUGUCCGAACAUCAUAACUGCACCCUAUUGGAUAUCGUGCAUACCAUGAUGUCUCUUAUCGAAUUACCACUAUCGUUUAUGGGUUAGGCAUUAGAGACAACCGCAUUCACUUUAAAAGGGGCACCAUGCAAUUCCGUUGAGACGACACCGUUUAGAGAAACCUAAGUUGUCAUUUCUUAAAAGUUUGGGGCUGCGAUGCUUAUGUGAAAAAGUUUCAGGCUGAUAAGCUCGAACCCAAAGCGGAUAAAUGCAUCUUCAUAGAAUACCCAAAACAGUUGGGUAUACCUCCUAUUUCAGAUCUGGAAGCAAAAGUAAUUGCCUCUAGAAACGAGUCCUUUCUCGAGGAACAGUUUCUCUCGAAAGAAUUGAGUGGGAGGAUGGUGGAGACUUGAUAAGGUUAUUGAACCGUCACUUCAACUAGUGUGUAGCAGGGCACAGGAAGUUGUUCCCGUGACACCUACACCAAUUGAAGUGGAAGCUUAUGAUAGUGAUCAUGAAACUUCGGAUCAAGUCACUACCAAACCUCGUAGGACGACGAGGAUGCGUGCUACUUCAGAGUGGUACGUGAUCCUGUCUUAGAUAUCAUGUUGUUAGACAAUACUGAACCUACGAGCUAUGGAGAAGCGAUGGUGGGCCCAUAUUCCGACAAAUGGUUAGAAGCCAUGAAAUCCGAGAUAGGAUCCAUGUAUCAGAACAAAGCAUGGACUUUGGUGAACUUGCCCGAUGAUCGGCAAGCCAUUGAGAUAAAUGGAUCUUUAAGAAUAAGACGGACAUGGAUGGUAAUGUUACCGUCUAUGAAGCUCGACUUGUGGCAAAGAGUAUUUUCACAAGUUCAACGAGUUGACUACGGUGAGAUUUUCUCAUCCAUAGCGAUGCUUAAGUCCGUCGGAAUCAUGUUAGCAUUAGCUGCAUUUAUGAAAUCUGGCAGAUGGAUGUUAAAACAAGUUUCCUUACCAGUUUUCGUAAGGAAAGGUUGUAUGUGAUACAAUCAGAAAGGUUUUGUCCUAAGGAUGCUAAAAGGUAUGCUAGCUCCAGCGAUCCUUCCAUGGACUAGAGCAAGCAUCUCGGAGUCAGAAUAUACGCUUUGAUGGAGUGAUCAAAGUUUUUGGGUUUAUACAAAGUUUGUUAGAAACUUGUAUUUACAAUAAAGUGAGUGGGAGCGCUACAACAUUUCUGAUAAGUAUAUGUGAAUGACAUAUUGUUGAUCCGAAAUGAUGUAAAAUUUCUGGAAAGCAUAAAGGGUUGUUUGAAAGGAGUUUUUCAAAGGAAGACCUGGAUAAAGCUGCUUACAUAUUGGGCAUCAAGAUCUAUAGAGAUAGAUUAAGACGCCUGAUGAUACUUUCAAAGAACGCACACCUUGACAUAAUUUUGAAAGAGUUCAAAAUAGAUCAGCAAAGAAGGAUUUCUUGGUUGUGUUACAAGGUGUGAGUAUUGAGUAAGACUCAAGACCUGACCACAGCAGAAGAGAGAGAAAGGACGAAGGUCGUCCCCUAUGCUUUAGACGUAGGCUCUACAGUAUGCUAUGCUGUAUACCGCACAUGAACUGUGCCUUGCCAUGAGUUGGUCAAGGGGUACAAUAGUGAUCCAGGAAUGGAUCACAUGACAGCGGUCGAACUUAUCCUUAGUAUCUAGUGGACUAAGGAAUUUUCUCGAUUAUGGAGGUGAAAAGGAGUUCAUCGUAAAGGGUUACGUCGAUGCGAACUUUGACACUAAUCCGGAUGACUCUGAGUAGUAAACCGGAUUCGUAUAGUAGAGCAGUUAUUUGAAAUGGCUCCAAGUAGCGCGUGGUAGCAUCCACAAGAUUACAUAGAUAUUCGUAAAGCACACACGGAUCUGAAAGGUUCAGACCCGUUGACUAAUAACCUCUCUCACAAGCAUAACAUGAUCAAACCAGAACUCAUUGAGUGUUAAUUGCAUAGUGAUGUGAACUAGAUUGUUGACUCUAGUAAACUCUUUGGAUGUUGGUCACAUGGUGAUGUGACCUGUGAGUGUUAAUCACAUGGUGAUGUGAACUAGAUUAUUGACUCUAGUGCAAGUGGGAGACUGUUGGAAAUAUGCCGUAGAGGAAAUAAUAAAUUGGUUAUUAUUAUAUUUCCUUGUUCGUGAUAAUCGUUUAUUAUCCAUGCUAGAAUUGUAUUGAUAGGAAACUCAAAUACAUGUGUGGAUACAUAGACAACACCAUGUCCCUAGUAAGCCUCUAGUUGACUAGCUCGUUGAUCAAUAGAUGGUUACGGUUUCCUGACCAUGGACAUUGGAUGUCGUUGAUAACGGGAUCACAUCAUUAGGAGAAUGAUGUGAUGGAAAAGACCCAAUCCUAAGCCUAGCACAAGAUCGUGUAGUUCGUUUGCUAAGAGCUUUUCUAAUGUCAAGUAUCAUUUCCUUAGACCAUGAGAUUGUGCAACUCCCGGAUACCGUAGGAAUGCUUUGGGUGUACCAAACGUCACAACGUAACUGGGUGGCUAUAAAGGUUCACUACAGGUAUCUCCGAAAGUGUCUGUUGGGUUGGCACGAGUCGAGACUGGGAUUUGUCACUCCGUGUAAACGGAGAGGUAUCUUUGGGCCCACUUGGUAGGACAUCAUCAUUAUGUGCACAAUGUGACCAAGGAGUUGAUCACGAGAUGAUGUGUUACGGAACGAGUAAAGAGACUUGCCGGUAAUGAGAUUGAACAAGGUAUCGGGAUACCGACGAUCGAAUCUCGGGCAAGUAACAUACCGAUAGACAAAGGGAAUUGAAUACGGGAUUGACUGAAUCCCCGACAUCGUGGUUCAUCCGAUGAGAUCAUCGUGGAACAUGUGGGAGCCAACAUGGGUAUCCAGAUCCCGCUGUUGGUUAUUGGCCGGAGAACGUCUCGGUCAUGUCUGCAUGGUUCCCGAACCCGUAGGGUCUACACACUUAAGGUUCGAUGACGCUAGGGUUAUAGGGAAUAGAUAUACGUGGUUACCGGAUGUUGUUCGGAGUCCCAGAUGAGAUCCCGGACGUCACGAGGAGUUCCAUAAUGGUCCGGAGGUAAAGAUUUAUAUAUGGGAAGUCCUGUUUUGGUCACCGGAAAAGUUUCGGGUGCUAUCGGUAACGUACCAGGACCACCGGGAGGGUCCCGGGGGUCCACCAGGUGGGGCCACCGGCCCCAGAGGGCUGCAUGGGCCAAGUGUGGGAAGGGACCAGCCCCUAGGUGGGCUGGUGCGGCUCCCACAAGGGGCCCAAGGCGCAUGGAAGGGGGGAAGGGGGAAACCCUAGGCUCAGAUGGGCCUAAGGCCCACCUAGUGGAGCACCCCCUCUCUCCCCCCUGGCCGCCCCCCUAGAUGCAUCUAGGGCUGGCCGCACCCCUUGGGGGGGGGGAACCCUAGAUGGGGGCGCAGCCCCUCCCCCUCCCUAUAUAUAGUGGGGUUUUUGGGGCUGCCAUAGACAUGAGAACAUCUCUCUCUUGGCGCAGCCCUACCCCUCUCCCUCCUCGUCUCUCGCAGUGCUUGGCGAAGACCUGCUGGAGUGCCACGCUCCUCCAUCACCACCAUGCCGUUGUGCUACUGCUGGAAGGAGUCUUCCCCAACCUCUCCCUCUCUCCUUGCUGGAUCAAGGCGUGGGAGACGUCACCGGGCUGCACGUGUGUUGAACGCGGAGGCGCCGUGGUUCGGUGCUUAGAUCGGAAUCAACCGCGAUCUGAAUCGCUAUGAGUACAACUCCUUCAUCCGCGUUCUUGCAACGCUUCCGCAUCGCGAUCUACAAUGGUAUGUAGAUGCACUCCCCUUCCCCUCGUUGCUAGAUUACUCCAUAGAUUGAUCUUGGUGAUGCGUAGAAAAUUUUGAAUUUCUGCUACGUUCCCCAACAGCCCAUGGAUCCUACGCCCCGUAAAAGUCCCAUGGAUCGUACGCCCCGUAGAAGGCCCAUGGAUCCUACGGCCCGUAUAGAAGGCCAAUGGAUCCUAUGGCCCGUAGAAGGCCCAUGGAUCAUACGGCCCGCUGGAGGCCCAUGGUUACAACAGUCCGUGUGUUGCCAUGAUUAUUUUGGCCUAGUUUCCAAAAAUAGGUUAUUGUGGCCACUAGAAAAACACAGAAAAAGAACUGCAGUGACUACAAGCAAACAACUAAACAAGAAAAUAAGGAAAUAAAUAAGCAAGCAAUUAACGCUAGCCUAUUACCGCUAUUACACAUAUUACAUCCACUGGGCAUAAAAGUUCGCCACCAGUGCAAAUAUAGGGAACAAAGCAGCAUAGUACAUACACUGGCCGUCAAAAUUGGCCACCAGUGCAAAUAAACGCGGCAGCAAAACAAGAGCAUAACUGAAACAACUUCAGAAGAGCUCAAGAAACAUGGUAUCCACCAUGCUGGCAAUAAGUAGCAAGCUUAUUAGCUUUGUCCUGUUUGGCGCUAAAAUCCUCCAAUGCUUGCUGUUGCACCAGAAAGUAUGCAUCUGAAUGCUCCAGGGACUUCCGCAGUCCUUCCGCUUCUUGUCGCAGCACAGCCGAUCGAUGUCUUUCAGCUUGUAGUUGAGACUCAAGAAACCGAACUGAUUCAGACAGUGAGUUUGAAUAGCUUGUGCAAGCGGUAGUGGCCAGUAACUCGAACACUAAACCAAGACAGGACUUUGGGGUUGUCUCAUUGUCUUCGAGAUAGUCUUCCUUAGCUGUUUUAUCAGCUUUGUUGGAGACCAACAAGGAUGUGUCACUAUCCUGAACCUUCUGCAUUACUGCCUUUACCAUUGCUUAAUAAGGCACUCUUCCCCAAUAUUCUGUUAGCAUUCUAAAAGAAGAAACAAGCAGACACAUAACAGGUUUAGCAUGUACUAGUAUAUGAAACUCAUUUCGGUGCCAGUUCAUUAGUAAGGUGGACAGGAUUAAACUACCAAGUCUUCUAUUGCCAAGUACUAGUACAUAAUAAAAGCAUCAAACAAACAUAUAUCUAUGUCCUAUGGUCACCUCAUUGUCUUGCCAAAUCAAAAUAGUGACACGGUUCAAAUCAUAUCAGUUCAAGACAAAGCAGCAGUGAAAGAAUACAAAGCGUGGGAAACUACACGGCAUAACAAGAUUUCAGAUGGGUACCACGGGUCUACAUGUACAACAACACUAUUGGCUUUGUUGUGAUGCUAGUAAUGUGCAUGAUAUGAGAAGUCAACUGUAUACACAAUUGAAAUUGAAAUCAACAGAGCUAUUGAUAAGAGCAAGCCUAUUAAAGAAACAUGCGUGAACACACCUGAUGUGCCAUUGGAGUUUCGAUUGGAUCCUUCAAUUUAAAAAUAAGUUUGUAUGAGUAAAUACAGUGAUACAAGAGCAAAGCAGUAUGCACGAUAGCAAUCAUAGUUAAAAAGGCGCGCCUAAGCGAGCGUUUAAGCGCGCCUAGGCUCUAGGCAUUGGCGAAACACAUAACUACGCUUAAUUUGUGCAUAACUGCGCAUAAGCAUGCGCUUUGGUCAGUAAAGUGCAAGGCGGUGGCAAAACGCACAAUUAACGCCUAACGCUUUUUUGAACUAUGAUAGCAAUGGAAUCUUAAAUUAGAACAGUUGUUCUUCAGGUUUAGGCACUUGUUCUACAUGAACAGAGUACAGUAAGAUGCAAGAAUAUAGUACUUAAAAUAGAAAAUGAGUUCAUAGACCUUACCACAUUCUUGGUUCGGGACCAGUACGGAACAAGGCGUUCCCAGUCAUCGUCCAGUAAAUGUGUCUCAGGAGAACGUAAGGGAAUUUGAUGAGUUUCUUUGCCGGUGAAGUACGUUUUCUUCAGGUAAUUCCGAUACUGCCACCAAGCAUUCUUGAAGAUAGCAGAGGUAUUAGCACAAGUUACCUCAUCCUGAGUUUCCAAAUCGGUCCUUCUCUAUAGAGAAAAAUGGGAAAAUUUGCUGUAUUAUAACCAUCAUGGAGGUAGGAUGUAUGGGACAAAGCAAAGUAAUUGCCAUGAAUAACAUUACUUACACAUAACUCCUGGACAAACACCUGCAACUAGCAUUUUCCUUCAUCUUCAGUAUAAUAUUUCCAAGAUGGGAAGAUACGCACAUACGAUUUAACAACAUCAAAUGCGAUAGAUGCUAAACUACGACUAGCUGGUUGUGCUUCCUCCACAUGAAUAGGAGUACUAACUGGUGGAGUUGGGGUUCGUCGUGGUAGUACUGGCCCUUUGGGCACUGGAGCUGCCUUACUAACUGCUCUUGUUUGGGAGCUCUAUGGUGGAGAUGGUGUUGUGUCAACAGGAACUGGGUUACUAUCUGCUGGGGUUGGGGUUAGAUUGGGUGAAGCUGGUUCUCUGUCCAUCGCAGUAGGGGUACAAUCUGCGAGAGUUUGGGUUAUGUGUGGUAGGGCUGGUUCUUGUGCAUGUACAACCGGGGUGCUAUCUCCACCAAGAGGUAGCACUGUUUUAUUUGAAGACCGUGUUUUUAGUCCGCUAGAUGCUGGCGUCACCCGCUCCAAUUCAAUUGGCUGAUAAACAGGAAACAUAGUUGAAUGUACAAACAUUGUAUGAGAGACAGAUGCAAUAGAUAGUGUGGAAAAAAGAGGGCAUGAAAUAGUUGACAUGUAUAUUGUUUAACUAAAACGGAUAGCAUGACAUAAUUUCACAUAUAUGAUGUCUAUCUAAACUGGAUAGCAUAGCAUAACAUAAUUCAAAGAUAUGAUGAAUAACUAAACAGGAUCGCAUGACAUAAUUCACCUACAUGUUAUCUAAGUAAUCAGGAUCGCAUCAUUUAAUUCACAUAUGUGAUUUAUAUGCUAAACAGAGGGCAUUAGAUAUGAUGUCUGAACUAAGAACAUGGUGUUGAAUAUUGUGUAUAUGAUGUCUAAACUAUGUAAUGCAAGACACCAUAUGCAUGAUAUGAGCAGUAUAACCGUGCCAAGUUAGAGCAUACACCUCGGUGGGGGAAUAGGACUGGUCAUCUGUCUAUGAAUCCAUCUCUGAGGAGCUAUCGGGACCCAACAAGAGAUCUGCUUUGACAGGUAGCACUGUCUGCUCUGAAGGCCUUGUUUUCACUCCAGAUCUUUCAAUCUCCCACCCAAAUGGUUGAUUCACAGGAAGAGUAGUUCAAUGUACAAACAUUGUCGACAAAUGGAAAUGUAAUGAAGAAAAGGAUGGGCAAGAUAUCAUUCAAAUAUGUGAUGCCUCGUUAAACAGGAUGGCAUUGCACAUUUCACAUAUAUUAUGGCUGGCUAAAAGACAUGAGACUGCAUAAUUCCCAUAUAUGAUAUAGAAACUAAACAGGUGGCAUUACAGAACAUGUCUAAACUAAGCAGAUGACAUAUAUGAUGUCAAAAGUAGGCACUGCAAGGCAACAUAUGCAUGAUAUGACUAACAUCAUCAUGCCAAGGUAGAGCAAACACCUUGGGGGGUAAAUAGGAGUGGUCAGCGGCGUCUGAAUCCGCCUCAGAACAGAUAUCUUCCUCUGGAUUACAAUCUGGAGAGGGGUGGGGAGGGUUUGCCAUUGAACCCACCAUGGAGCGAUGUCUGCAUGACAUUGUAUUGCCGCGCAAAACUCUUCUCUUUUUCUCUACAUGUUCAGCAUGACUGUGUACAAUAUCUGACAUGCAUACGAAAAAAAUGUGGUGAGAUUAUGUAAGGAGAGCAUGCAGAAAUUUAGAGUGAUGGUAACAACCAGUGGAUGGAUCCAAAAAUAAUGAUAGCAGGCUGGUGAUUUCUUUAACUUAAUAAAAAGACAGAUGAUGAUUGCUUUACUAUUUGUUUCCCACCCAAGAUGAACAACAUAGGCAUACCCUAGGUGAACCAGAUAUUAGACAGAGAUACUAUUCAUUGCUUCCUCGAUAUGUGCCCCACAACUAAUUUAUAACUCAAGUUUGAACAUUAAUUUGGACCUGACUUGGAGUCCAAGAGGUGAACAAGACGAUAAAGUAGCAGGUAAUUUUAAGCAAUGCAUAACAUAAGCAGAAACAAAAGAGUGCGACCUCUCUUGUGGACCCGUGUACUCCUCAGGUUCAUCUGCUGAGUCGAUGAUGGUGAUGCCGUUGCGGUGGGUGCCGGCGACAGGGAAGGAGAUCUGAGGCGGCGAAAGACGGUCAGGAGUCGUGAUGUCUGGUUUGGUGGAUGUUUCUGUCGAUGGAGCAGCUCAGUUGAGGUGGACGACGUCGUGGCAGGAGCAGGACAAACCACACAAAGUUCCCUUCGACACCUACCUAUAACUGAAGUAAUUCUGUAAGGGAUCAUUUGGCUUGCAUAAUUCUAAAAACGCAGGGAUAGGGAAAACGCCGGAAUAGGAUAGGAAUGCACAUGGUAAACAGAGCAUUUGUAAACACAGGAUUUCUGUCAACCUGAGGGCCUCUUUGAUUUGUAGGAUUGCCAAAACGCGGGAAUAGGAAAAACAUGGGAUUAGAGUGGAAUGUCAUCUUGAAUCCUACAGGAUUGUACGAGUGUUUGAUUGUGCAUAGAAAAAACGUAGGAUUCUUUCAAAGAGGUUUGAGUGGAUGGAAAGUUUCCUAUGGAAUCUAGUGCAAAUGAAUCCUAUGGAAAAAUUCCUAUGGUUUACAAUACUACGAAUCAAACAACCAAGAUAGGAAAAAUUCCUAAGGAUUAGAAUCCUCCAAAAUUCCUUUGAGAAUCCUUUGAAUCAAAGAAGCCCUGAGUGUUUGGUUUACAGGAAUUGGAAGAGCAAAGGAAUGCAAAGAAACAUGGCCAAAAUAAAGUGAAACCAUAUGAAAGCGUGUACAGUUAGAAUGUUAUUCUGCCACUAAUGCACUUGGUCUUGUUUUCAUGCAUGGGAUUUUGAAAAGUAGGUCCAGGUGGAUGUUUUGCUUCAUUCCUUUCAACAAAAUGCAUGAAUAAUUGAAUAGUAGAGUGCCAUUGGAAAAUUCCGUAUUGCUAUGUUUUUCCGUUGAACCAAAAUAGCCCUAAUGGAUCGACAUGAAUGUAUAGUAAUAAGUGAUGCAACAAGUGUAAACCCUCUUUGCCGUAGCCGUGUCGUCCUCAGCAUCAUUAGGUUGGUCGCUGAAGCAGUUGAGGUAGAGGUGUCUGUCGGAGGUGUGGAGGAAGAUCUGAGGAAUCUGUAGACGGCGUCCAGGGCACUGCUCUGUAGUGAUGGAUCGUUCUAUCGUUGGAGCAGCCCCGGUGAGCCGUAAGACAUCAAGGCUGAAGCAGCACAAGACAGACAUCGUCAAUCUCAAGUGGGAUUCUAAUAGCAUCUCCAAUAGAUGAUGUAAAAUAUAUGUAAAAUUUACAUCACCAAAACCACCUGACUACAACAGAUGAGGUAAAAACUGUUAACUCUGAACUUAACUGUCGAAACUUAAAUUUACUGUGGAAUCUGAAUGUUAGUGUCGAAACUGAACGCAAUGGUAGCAGGGAGGCACUUGACAUGUAGUUUAGGGAGGGCCUGCAGUUCAUCUUCAACGUGCACCCCCCCUGAGCCGCCAGCCACCACCGGCCGAACCGCCGGCCCCAGCGCCGCCUCGCCGCCCCGAAACAACUCCCCACCGCCGGUCCGCCACCGCCCCGGCCAAACCUAUAGGCCCCCUGCCCCACCCUGAACCCGAAGAUAGAUAGUGGGGUACCUCUCUGGCGAGCCCCCAUCCCCACUGCGGGUGGUUUUUCCUUAACUCCGUCGAGCCCCCCCACCCCCUGAAAAUCGACUGACCCAAAAGUCGAUUCAGUCGACUGAAGUGUAGCUAAAUCGGAGCAGAGCAACAACACGAGAGAGGGGGAGAGCAGCAGCAAUAGCGCGAGCGAGCGAGCGAGCGAGAGCCGGAGUAGCAGCAGCGUGAGCGAGCGAGUGCCGGAGCAGCAGCAGCAGAUCCGGCUGGUAUGGACGCCGCCGCCGAAGGGGCCUCGCACUGGGGGAGAGCCGCCGUGGAGAUGUCGCCCGCGGUGCCGGCUUCAAGGUAGCCGCUCCAUGGGGGUGCGGGAUGGAGCACCGUCGGCGCCAGGAGGUCGAGCUAAGGAGAAGGUGCGAUGCGAUGAGUGUACAACCUCUUUGGUGGCGCCGAGUAGGCCUCGGCUUCGUCCGAGGAAUCGGUGAGGAUGCUGCGGUUCCGGUGGAGUAGGUUAAGGCGGCGCUGUGGGGAUGGAGCAGCCACGAUAGACGAGGCGAUCGUCGGAGCAGCUCCUUGGAGGUGGAGGAUGGGGCGGCUGAACCGGCGGGACGACGAGAUGGACGAUAGAUCCUCAUUCGGGGAGGUGGACGAGGGACGUCGAGCUGUUGCGGUGGACGACGUCGUCGGGGAAGAGGCUCCGGCUGGGCAGCGGUGAGGUGGCGGAUGGAGGAGGGUGGGGUUUCGCGGCUGGAGCGGAGAGGUUAUGGCGGCCUGGGAUUUCGAAUGGCAAAAAGGAGGCGAUGGGAGGGGGUGAACCAUGACUUAGGGACGCGCUUGUCCAAAAUGCAGCGUGUGUUACAAAAGUACCCCCCACCGAUUUGAACUAGCGGCCCUUUCGGCUUAGGGUUAGAAGGGGGAUUUCACGUGUCGGGAUUUGGCAGCUGGAGGGAGUUUUCGCGCACGUUGUAAUUUCGGGAUAGCAAGGCGCGGGUUGUGAAGGCGCCAGUUUUGGGAGCACGAUAUCUGAAUUUUCGGGAUAUAACAAGGCGCGGGUUGAAUUUUAGGGACAAGCCUAACGUGUAAUAUUGUACUUGUACGUACCAAAUCAAUUCGCACUUCCCUCAACCAAAAAGAAAACGAAAAAAUAAAACUAUUCACACCACACAAAGAGAGAGUCUUGCCCCGUUUUACUAUAAAAAUGCUAUUCAAAGCUACUCCCUCCUUCCAUCUAUAUAGGGCCUAAUGCGUUUUUCUAUGCUAACUUUGACCAAAUAUUAGAGCAAUAAUAUAUGACAUGCAACUUACACAAAGCACACCGUUAAAUUCGACUGUGAAAGGUUCUUUCAAUGAUAUAAUUUUCACAUUGUGCAUGUCAUGUACUAUUAAUCUUGUCAAUAGUCAAAGGCGGUCUUAAAAACCGCAUUACGCCCUAUAUAGAUGGAAGGAGGGAGUAUGAAUCCAUGUUAUGUCCAAUUAAAUCUUUUUGCUUCCUGUAUAAUGCAUGUAACCUACUCAUACCAACAUUUUAGUGCAUUCCAAAUGUCUAUACUACCGCUGCAAUUUGAACUGAAUUUGAAUUCGUUUCUCUAUUUCAAUAAGAAUCUACAAUCAUGAUUGUUGCCAACUUCAACCAUCAUUCGUGUAUUACCUUAAUAACACACCACAUGAUUACUAUAGAGAUAGAUAUGAACUAUGUGUACUACAUGAACUCGAAUUCUAUUUUUUGAAUACACUUGAUGUUGAUUCCAAAUAAUAGUACAUUUGAUGUACUAACUAUAGUAUAGUGCCCCGCCCCCUACAUUAUGACAAGUAUUUAGACCUGAGCUGCAAAAGCCACACAUUAGCCCAAAUUAUGAUCAAUGUUCUAUAUAUUAUACGUAGUACUAGCAAGAUGCCCAUGCGUUCCACAGAACAUCAACAUGAUCAAGGGGAGGCCUAAUUUGCAAAUAUGGAGAGGGGUGUGGGUAUCUUUUUUCAAAAUUGCCAUAGUUUCCUUCCUAUCCGUCAGAUAUAAAUCGGACGACCUAUAUUGCAGGAUGGCAGGCACACCAUCAUCAACAACUCCGUUUUUUUAUAAGAGUAGAGAUAAAAUAUAUUAUAUGUAGUAUAACAUGUUCAUAACCACACCAUGUGUAUCACCGUUAUAUAUAUUCACACAUGGUCGGUUUAAAACACUAUGAUAAAUUCUUCAAAUAUCCGAAUUCGCUUUUUAUAAUGAAGUAUGAUCUCUAUUCGUCUUUUACACCCACACAAUCCUCUUAUCUUUGUAGCUAGCUAGCACUAAUUAACUUUCUCUCGUGCAUGUACACGCCCGCAUCCCUGUCACCGUCCCUCAGCAUUCUCUAGCUCCAUCGCGCAAAUUCGUCUUUUCACUUUAGGUCAUUCACCCACGGUGUGUGUAGGCCCCCCCGCUCCUUCUUUACGGCACACAUCGACCGAUAUGCCUCUCUAGCCAGGUGUGCCUAGCACAAAACACAAGCUUCCCCUCUUCUCUUAUCACCGUCCAUGCCUCACUCCCACCACUCUUUUCAUUGAUCUCGUACUCGCACACUCCUCCCCCUCGAUAUAGUAUGACUCUCGCACCACUUCCUAGAUGCAUCCCUCUCUCUCUAUCCUUCUCCCCAUGCCUCAUUUGCUUCUAACACACACAUGCAUGUAUACCGGUCGAUCUCCCAACAUAUACCUAGGUCGACUUUAACUAUUACCCCCCCAUCGAUCGACGUACCUCACAAGUUAUGUCUCUCCUUUCUCUGACAAAGGACGAUUGAUAUUCCUAUGUAGUUAUGUCUGCUUACCAUAGCCAUAUCGCCCCCCUCAUCAUUCGUGCAUGCCUCCUAACCCGUCUCUCACACGCACGUGCACAGACAGGCAUCCAUCCCCUCUCUUAUUGAUAUUGCAGGCGUGCCCUCCGGUUGUCUAGCAAGCCUAUCCCACCAUUUGUUAGAAGCAACUCCGCUACCACCCCCUCCAACACUCUAGCUCUGUCUCUCUCCCAACCUUAUUCCUCUCCUACACAUAUGCAUGGAUGCCGAUCGAUCUCCCUUAAUACAUGAGGUAGGCCUCUCUCCUCCUCCACACAUAUACCAGCCAUUGUACCUCUAUAGUUAAUUAGGCCUCCCUCCCCCCACCACACAUCGAUAGUCGAGCGCUGUAGGUAGGUAUCCAUGCCACAGAGACAAACUGCACCUGUCCCCUCUCACGUUCCAGUAGGCCAGCCACUCUAUAUCUUUGACGUGGGCACACACAAAUUCGAUGGCACUCUUUAUCGAUCGCGCGCACACAUACACACAUCAUCCCUCUCUUCGAUUCUAUUGACACCUCAAGCCGAUGAUACCUCCACUCUCUUCUCGUGGAUCGCCCCCUCUAUAUAUAUGAUAUAUCUAGGACUCUAUUUCACACACAUUGCAUAUGUUACAUUUUUUGAUUGACCCACCCCCCCCCCAAAAACUCUCACGAACCCACACANNNNNNNNNNNNNNNNNNNNNNNNNNNNNNNNNNNNNNNNNNNNNNNNNNNNNNNNNNNNNNNNNNNNNNNNNNNNNNNNNNNNNNNNNNNNNNNNNNNNNNNNNNNNNNNNNNNNNNNNNNNNNNNNNNNNNNNNNNNNNNNNNNNNNNNNNNNNNNNNNNNNNNNNNNNNNNNNNNNNNNNNNNNNNNNNNNNNNNNNNNNNNNNNNNCUCUCUAUGUUUGUAUCUCUCUCACACAACCCCACGUAGGUGGUGUACGUAUACAAGAAGAGAAUAGGUGCACCGUGCACGUACUCACGCUUCGUGCCUAGCCACACCCGCGCGGGUACACGGUGGAGCUCAUUUCUGUACGAAAUGGCAGCCCACGUGCUAAUUUGAAUGCGUGUAGCGGUUGUUUACCUACGGAGGUCGUGUACCACGCGUGCACGAAACAAAGUUCGACUUGAUGUGUUGGUGCGUUAUUUUUAAAUAAAGUUAUAUUGCUCAAUGGCACGUACAUAGAAUAUAAAACGAUUUUUAUGGAGAAAAAGGUAGUCCGCUCCACUAUAUACAAUGGAGCCUGCCUGCCUGGUUUGUCUCUCUUCAGAGUAUCUCACACAAGGCUGCGGUGGCCUCUCUCUCUCUCACAGUUGGUCACUGAUCCGGCCGCAUCCCGUCCGCCGGCGGAAAGGGAGGACGUGCAUCGUUUCUCCGUUCGACGGCGCCGAGGCAGCACAUCCCGAUCUGCGGUACACGCCGUUCUCUCUGACCAAGCUCCGGCGUGGUAGGGCCUAUGCCACCUGCUCACUACCGCAGUAUGGGCAGAUUCCGCCCGCCGCCGCUCACCUAGUUAUAUCCCAACGACCUCCAGGUAUCCCCUCUGGCCUUGCUCCACUGCCCAUCUUCCCACGUCGCUGCAUGUGGAUCUUCCAUAGUUUUUUGCCCAAAACAUAACUCGUCCGGCGUACUUUCCAUAUUGCAAUCUCGUCCUCACACCGUUUUAGACAAACACAACCGUGUUGUUAUCUUCCCUUAGGACAAGGAAUAUGCUUCUUUUUUGUUGUCGCAUGUGUCAUCAACUGUUAUUGGCCAGUAAUUGUUUCCUUUCUACCUCUUUUUUGCAAACAGGGCUAUCCAUUUCACCUCGUUGCUAUUGCGACCUUUCGGUGAACUGCACAAAUCACUUUUUCUUAAGAGUGUUUUGUGCAGUUCUACCAAAAUGUCACACGGGUAACGUCUCUACAUUUCAGUGCGACUGCACAAACGGAGAUUGGUUUUGCUCUAUCCUCCUCAUCCAACUCCGAGCCUAAUCUUCUCCAACUAGUUAGUCUUAAGAGAGACUGCAAAGGUGAUCGGCUUCUAUUUGUGUGUUUAUUGUUUCAUCAGCAGUCCUCUAUUAUCAUAAUCACACUUAAUAUCUUUGGAACAGGGACGCUCAGCUCUAUUUUAGUGGAACUGCACAAAAUGAUCGGAAUGUUGCAUGCUCCAGACAGCUACUUUUUUCCCAACAUGCCUUGUUGAUUUAGACAGAGCUGGGGGGACGUUGCUGCCAAUGAAAGCAUGGAUCAAUUUUAAUUUAACACCUUCUCACAACUUUGUCUUCAGUUCUGAUGUAAAUAUUAGCUCUGAUUAGCAAGGAAGUUAGUUUAUUAUUAUUUCCGAAAGAGCAUCGAUGGCAUGACACACGAAACAAAAGCUGAAAGCUCACACCAUUGUACAAUUUCAUGUCGCUGGAAAAUUAUUUGUAUAGUACGUAAAUUAUGUAAACAAAUGCUGGAAGCUUGAUAUCAUUGCCAGAAGCCUCUUCGGCAUCCGGGUCCAUGUGCCAUGCACAAAAUUAUACUCCUUCGUUCCUAAAUAUUUGUCUUUUUACAAAUUUCAAAUGAGCAUAUUUUAGAGUGUAGAUUCACUCAUUUUGCUUCGUAUGUGUACUCCCUCCGUUCCUAAAUAUUUGUCUUUCUAGAGAUUUCAACCAGUGACUACAUACGGAGCAAAAUGAGUGAAUCUACACUCUAAAAUAUGUCUAUAUACAUCUGUAUGUAGUAGUCCAUUUGAAUCUCUAAAAAGAAAAAUAUUUGAGUAGUCACUCGUUGAAAUCUCUAGAAAGACAAAUACUCCGGAGUAUACUUAAGAAUCGAGGGGGUAGUGCACAGCCGCAUGGGAGACUCAGACCGGUCGUUGCGCCGCAUUAAUAGUGAGUAAUGAGCAGUCAAAUCAUAAGCCCCACCUUUCCCACUGUAAGUUGCUCGGAAGAACCAACCAUCAAUACGCUCUUCUUUGAAUCCGCUCAUACUACUCCAUCCGUCACUGUUUAUAGAGCGCGCUUCAGAAAAAGAGAAAAUCUCUGGGACCAAGGCGACUAGCGAUCGGCCUGAAAAAUAGCAUUGGUAGUUAUAGCACGGCGUCUAUUACUACUAGAGGAAAUAAUGCGUACACACAUGCAUGAAGUGCUUCCACCCCGGGUACACACAUGCAUGCACUUACUCCACUCCGUAGUACUACAUCGAGAGAAAAUUGCGGUUACCACGCCCUAAUUAAUUGAGCAUUAAACCAAACGCAUCUAAAGUCUCUGUGCUGGUGGAAAUGCAUUGAGAGAAAUGCAUCAUAAUGAAGCGCGCCCUGUAAACUAUGACGGAGGGAGGAGUAGUAUGAAGGUGCAAAACCAAGUACGUGUAUGGCCAGUCGGUCAACGCACCUCCUCUUGGCAUAUCACUGACAUGUGGGACCGGAGUGUGAGCAAACCGAUCUCAAUUGACGGCAAAAUGGCCAACCCGCCGUUCCUUGAGAGAGACGAGGAGCGAGAACAUACAGACGAGCUCGCACGGAGGCCAAGAUAUAUUCGAGCAUGGUUGAUCGAUAUCAUCAUUACAUGUUGGGCUGCCGUUUUCCGCCCUUCUCCGGAAUAAAUGUGUACUUUAUCAGAGAUUAAAAAAAUUAAGAGUACAGAGGCUCCACCAUGCGUUUCUAAUAGUAGUACUACUCGUACUACUAAACCUUGCGCUUGGCUCUUCGCCUCUUCGUGAAGUCGAACAAUGAUGGUACUCCGCAUGUUCGGUACUACAGUGUAUGCCUCUGGCAAUCUGACACCGAAUGAACUGAUGCAUGUCCACCGCCUGGGCGAGGGUACAUUGCAUUAGUCAAAAGGCGUAAGCGAGCUUCACCUUGUCCUGCAAGCUUCUCCUCAUUCUGCGAGUUGACGGGGCACACCAACAAGUAGUGCUAGUCCAUACUCCCUGCUUUCCGGUUAAUAUGGCUUAAUCUUUUUUGCGGGUAAAUGAGAGAGCUUUAUUCAUAUAUAAGCAUUCUUAGGACGAUCAGCCAAGACACUGGUCACUAGGAAGUGAGGUACCCUGCAAAAAAAGAAGUUGGAAGCGAGGUGUUUCAUCAAGCCAGCUCUCGGCCACAUUCAAAGUGCAGCAAGCACAGUUCGCACAAAGAUGCGCUGCAAGGUUUGCUGACCUGUUUACAUGCUGAAUAACAAUGCCACUCUCAGAAUUAACUACUGAACUAUUUUAACAGAAUUUCUCUGUUAAUAUGAAUCAAUGCAACCGUUUUAGAAAUGCUACUGUCCUAUACUUUGUUUUCCAUCAAGAUAAGGUAGAUGCUUCUUUUUGUGGCCGCAUGUUUCAUCCUCCUUUAUUGGCAGUAAUUGUUUCCAUUUUUGCCUCUGUUAAAUCAGGGAUAUCUAUUCAACUUGCUGCUAUAGCAAACUUAAAUGUCACACUGGCGACUUUACUUGAUUUCAGAGUAACUGCACAAAACAAGAUUGGAUUUCCUAUUCGUGUUGGCAGAUUCGUACGUGAUCUUGUGUGCGUCAUGACAAGUUGGUACCUGCCUUCAUCCACAUGAUCAUGCAGUGUGUUUUGAGAUGUUGUGCUACUUGUAUUGGUACUGUUUUAAAUAAAUGUUGAAUUGAAGCUAUUGUAUUGUUGUCUUUUCCCAUUAAGUAGUGAACAAAAAUGGGACCAACCCAGACAUUAUGCUUGUUGCUUUGUUACAACAAACUCUGCAUCACCCCCUUUAUAAGUAGAUGGAAGCACAUGUUGUUGUUGCGCCCACUCUCCCCUGGAACUGUUUAUGCUUUUUGUUAAUCUAAUGCCGCUGGUAAAAUUAAGCAAUGCCACUCUCAGAAUUAACUACUGAAUCUUAUUUCAACUGCAACACUUGUUAGGGAUUGGCGGGAUUACCAUUUUUCUGGCCGCAUGUUUCAUCCUCCUUUAUUGGCCAGUAAUUGAUUCCUUUUUUGCCUCUGUUAAAACAGGGAUAACUAUUCAACUUGUUGCUAUUGCGACAUUUUGCUUCGCUUAAUUUUGGUGGAACUGCACAAAAUGAGACCGGAUUUCAAUAUAUGUGUUGAGAUCUCUCUCAGGUCUUCCUCACGAGUUGUUUCAAAUCUUGGUCUUGAAAGGUCAGUACCGACUUUCCUCAGAAUUAACUACUGAAUCUUAGUUCAAAUCUGCAACACUUGUUAGGGAUCGGCGGGAGUACCAUUUCUGUUAGGGAUCGGCCGGAGUACAUGUUUAAGAAAUGUAUUGUUAAGAUAAUGUCUUUGUUAUUAUAUAUCAGUUACUGUGUUUUACAAAUGGUACUAUCCUGCUUUGUAGUUCUUUCUACAUGUUUAACCAAGGUAUUGUUAAGAUAAUGUCUCUGUUAAAAUGAAUCAGUCGCAUUGUUUUAGGAAUGAUACUUUUCUGCUUUGUCGUUCUUUAUACAUGUUGAAACAAGGUAUUGUUAAGAUAAUGUCUCAGUUAAUAUGAAUGAAUCACAAUGAUUGAGAAUUGCUACUCUCCUGCUUUGUUUCCCAUUAAGAUAAGGUAGAUCGGUAGAUGUUUUUCUUUUGGGAGUACAAGUCAUCAAUUGUUAUUUCUUAGUAAUUGUUUCCCUUAUACCUUUUGUUGCUUACAGGGAUAUCAAAAUUAAAGCUCGGUUUUAUUCCGACUUUGAUUUUAGUUGAACUGCACAAAAGGAGCCAAUGUGUCUAAGGCAAACUACUGCAUUAGUGGGUCCAAUUGGUCUUACCACUUUGCAGAAAGAAGCAGUCACUGUUUGCGCUACAUUACACAAGGAAGGAUCGAGAAGCUUUACAGAGUAUUAGUAGACGCUGGUGACAUGACUAGUUUGCAGAGAGCAUAGGAAACUCUACAACAUGUGGAGUGCACUGGGCAAAAAGUGCCCAAACAAGUACAGGAAGCCACGACAGGACUCCAAAUCUGUCAAUGUCAUUCUAAGCAACAAUGAUGGGGCAUCUGGGUAUGGUAAUCUGUUUACCGUACUUUCAGUUUGUUAGUCCACCGAUUGGUGGGUUGACACUGGGGCCAAUAUUCAUGUGUGUGCUGUUGUGUCUUUGUUUUCUUGCAGCAUAUAAAUAUGAUAUCCACAGGGAUGCUCAGCUUGAUUUUAGUGAAACUGCACAAAAUGUCCAGAUGGUUUGUGUCCUCCAUAAUACUUCAUCAUGCACAAUACAUCGAAUGGUUCUCUAAUCAUUCAUCGUCACCUUGAGCCACCGGACUAUAUGUUUGAAUGGUGCUGCCAGCGUCGGCCAUUAAGAAGGGUAAGAAGAAAGACAAAACGAGAGAUGGCUGCUUUACUUGUGGCUCGGAGGAACACUGGGCAAACAAGUGCCCAAACAAGUACCAAGAAGCCAGGACAGGACUCCAAGUCUAUCAAUGUCACUCUAAGCAACAAUGAUGGGGCAUCUGGGUAUGGUAAUCUGUUUACCGUACUUUCAGUUUGUUAGUCCACCGAUUGGUGGGUUGACACUGGGGCCAAUAUUCAUGUGUGUGCUAAUGUGUCUUUGUUUUCUGGCAGCAUAUAAAUACGAAAUCCACAGGGGUGCUCAGCUUGAUUUUAGUGGAACUGCACAAAAUGUUCAGAUGGUUCGUGUCCUCCAUAAUACUUCACAUCAUGCACAAUACAUCGAAUGGUUCUCUAAUCAUUCGUCGUCACCUUGAGCCACCGGACUAUUAGAUGACAAACUGAUGACAAACCCUCCCCGUUCCACAAUCAUAGGCAUUACAUAUUUUGAAUGGGAAAAGCUUGUCAAAGUUGACAUUAGUUUAAUAUAUUGGAAUUGGAAAACCUUGUCAUUUUUUGCUCAUUGAUGUUAGCCAGAAGACAUGCAUUUGAUAUUUUUGAGUGGGACGCCCUUUGCUGUGAGCAACGUCGAUCGUUUUUUCCUAUUCCCGUCUUCAGUUCAGAAGUAAAUAUUUACUCUGCUGAGAUGCAUAGUCACAUGAAUGUUGACUUAUGUAAGAUAUUUUAAGAGUUUGUUCUGAAUAUUGUCUAUGUAAUGCCAGGCCUUGUGUUUGAUUGCAAAGUUGAGCUUGGAAUGUUGUGGCAUGUGGCAUCACGAGCUAUUCACUGUGCCUCUUGAGAAUAAUGCUUCGUAUUGUUUUGCAUGUCGAUCUAAUGCCAGUGAUUUGCUUGUUAGGAAGAUCAUCCUCUUCUGUUGUUUCGUGCUUAAGAAGUUCAUUGUCUUAUGUUUCAUUCAUAGCCUAUACGACAAGUCGGGUAGGUUAGACGUGAAACCAUAUGAUCUUCUGACCAACUCAUCAUCUUAGGCCGUGAUUGGAUCGUCGUUUUCCAUCCAAAACCGCUUGUAAAACUGACGCUUGUAAAUAAAAGCAGAUGGUCUCGGGCGAAGCGCUUGGUUGGUCGAUUUCGACUAGUAAAAUAUACACCGGUCUCUCAAAUUACAAGCGUAACCCGCCGGUUUUACUUACAGAACUCGGGCCCUCGGAUUCAUUACGCCUGUAUUUUACGCGUUGUUUUCGAUGACGAGUAAACGACACUUGUAUCUUAAUACAUGUGUAAAAUAAACUAGAGCUCCCAAGCGCGGCCUUACCGUUUCAUGCCGUCUCAGUCUCUCGAAGGUGCUCAUAGGUGUCCGAUGAUCCUGGCUUCCUGAAUGAGCAGCGGGCACUGUAUCAGAUCAUCCGUAGGGCCCGCGAGGCCCUCUCCGUCGUCCUUCGAGUUGUUGCGCUCGCCGUGGCGCCGAGCAUUGUUAACAUGGUCAAUGAACAUGAGGAUUCAGGAGAUGACUUUAUUUUGACUGGAUGACAGUAGGGACCCACUAGGGCCAUAGCCGUACGUACGCAAGUGCCUCCUUAUUAUGUACAACUAUAUUUUUUUGCUUCCUCCUGGUUUCCUGACAUCAUGAUCCCACACCAUUGUCAACCUGUGUAGUCAAUAUAAACGAGAGAAUUUCACAAGGUGCGGCCGACAGCUGGGACCAAGCAGCUCGAGCAGUAUUUGUGUUUUUGAGGCGUGAGCACUGCAGAGUUUUUCUUGGCGAAGUUUUCGUUGUUGUUUAGAGGAGAGCAGGGUAUUAACUGGGCGGGCUUUAGCCCGUCUAGCCCAGGACAGAUAUCCAGCCCAGAUAUUAAUUUUUUUCAAGAUGAAAAUGGCUAGCCCAGCUAUACGUUUUUUUGAGGAAUACCCAGGCAAGGUCAACUUGUUAUUCUCUGCCCCGCUGGGCUGCAAAUCUUUCUUAGGAGGGAUGCAUUAGGCUUAACAGGAAAAUGGGCUUUAAAAAAUAAUAAAUGGGAUGUAAUUAUAAAAACUGGGCAGUAACUAUAAAAAAAUGCACCAAGCACGAAAUUAGUUUAUAAAAUAUUAUUUAUGGAUUUUGAGAAUCUUAAUUUUUAAUUGUUGCGCGCGCAAUGUUUCAUUAGAUUUUUACGUAAUACGAAUUUAUAUUUAAUCUAACUAGAAAUUUCAGGAUGAAAAUAUUUCGGAUGCCAUCAAAAUGUGGGAAAUUUUAUUGAAUUCUGUCUUGAACGGUUGGUUGAAAUUAUUAAUCGUUGUCCUAGCUAGAAAAUGGGCUGUACUUUUAACAAACUGUAAAUGGGCUGUAGUAAAUUCCAUUAGAAUUCAAAAAUGGGUUGUACAUUCUUACAAAUCGCAAAUGGGCUAUAAGUUCUCUGUCACACACUUGUGGGCCUACUAAGUUGACGCGUCCCAUAAAAAAAAGAAGUUGACGCGUAUGCAAGGUUUGUCAACUUAUUAUAGUCAACACACGGUUCUGGCAGCAGUGGCCGUUGGGUGUCCAUCCAACGGAUGCCGUGCUUCUUCUUCAAUCUCGGAUAUUCUAGAUUCAGCCACCUAAAAAAUGAUUCCUCCCCCUUACAUCUGGGGUGCACUAUUUCGGAAGAUGACCUGUGGGCCUACUAAGUUGACGCGUACCAAGGGCUUUGUCAACUUAGUCAAUAUGAACAAUUCUAGCUGCAGUGACCGUACGAUGUCCAUCCAACGACCGUAGUGCUUCUUCAACCUCUGGUCUUCUUGCUCCAGCUGCCCAAAGCAGCGCCGGUCGUGCCACCCGCUCCUGCCUCCCGUGGCCGGCUGUGCUGCCACGGAGGCCUCACCGCCCCCUACUACACCCACCACUGGCCAGGCCAUCCCUCCACUCACCCACACCCCCUGUUAUUCUACGGCGACGGCAACCUCACACCGCAGCCGAACGAGUGAACCCUCGUACUCCUCUCCGCGCGGGCUUCCACUACCGCGUCUUCCCCGGCUCCCCGUCAUCCCCUUCCUAGGCCUCGCCGCUCGCCGUCGUCCACCGCCCUGGUGCUCUCGGUGCGGCAUGGUCAACGUGGUCACGGAAUGACUUCCAUCGGGAGAGUACUAUACGUGGAGAGGCUGACAGCUGAGUCCACGGCAGCCGCAAGGAAGUGCCUCCUUAUUACGCGGAAAAUAAUUAUUCCUCCACCUGACAGCAGGGACCCACCUGACAAGCCACCGUAUUUGGCGAAAAAACGUUUCCCCCUGACUGCUGGGACCCAUCGGACGGGCCACCGUAUUUCACGAAAAAAACGUUCCCCCCGCUGUCAGCUCGGACCCACCGGAAGUGCCUCCUUAUUACGCACAAAAAAAUGAAUACCCCCCCUGCUAGUUGGGAAUCACCUUGGUGGGAGGCUGACUUGUGGGCCUACUAAGUUGACGGGGACGGAGUGCUUUGUCAACUUAGUCAAUAUGAACGAUUCUAGCUCCAGUGACCGUAUGAUGUCCAUCCAACGGCCAUAGUGCUUCUUCAACCUCUGGUCUUCUUGCUCCAGCCGCCCAAAGCAGCGCCGGUCGUGCCACAUGCUCCUACCUCCCGUGGCCGGCUGUGCUGCCGCGGAGGCCUCACCGCCCCCUACUAUUCCCACCGCUGGCCAGGCCCUACGGUGACGGCAGCCUCACACCACAAGUCGAACCAAUGAACCCUCGUACUCCUCUCCGCGCGGGCUUCCACUGAAGCGACUUCCCCGGCUCCGCGUCAUCCCCUUCCUAGGCCUCGCCGUCGUCCACCGCCCUGGUGCUCUUGGCGCGGCGUGGUCAACGUGGUCAAGGAACGGCUUCCAUCGGACAUGGACUGUACGUGGAGAGGCUGACAGCUGGGUCCACGGCCGCAGCAAGGAAGUGCCUCCUUAUUACGCGGAAAAUAAUGAUUCCUCCACCUAACAGUAGGGACCCACCGGACGGGCAACCGUAUUUCACGAAAAAAAUGUUUCCCCCUGACUGCUGGGACCUACCAGCGACAUCUUCGCACGCAAGGAAGUGCGUCCGGGCAAAAAAAAAUGAUUCGCCCCCCUGACUGCUGGGACCCACCAGCUGCAUCUUCGCACGCAAGGAAGUGCCUGGCAGUCGGGACCCACCUGGUCGAAGCGUACAUAGCGUUGUCAUUCUGGUCGCGAACGUGUACGUACAUACUGGUCGAUGUAGAGGCGCGCACAUGUCGUAGUAGAGGCGCGCACGUAGCAUGUACACGUACGUACAGCGGCCAGGGUGCAAGAAAGUAAAUACAGCCACGUACGUACAUACGGGCGGGGUCUCGAACGCCUACUUGCGCGUACGUACGGCAAGGGCUCGUGUACAUGGCUGGGUCGGAACGGAGAAACUGCGUCGUCGUCGUGUUCAUGGGGAGGCAACGGAAUGCGUCGUGUUCAUCGGGAGGCAACGGAACGUGUGGGAGCCAACCGGCUUGGACGGGACAGCCGAUGGAAACGAGGCCUGGCGUACCGCAGAACGAAGGAAACGGCCUUGUGUUCGACCGACCACAUUCGAAACGGGAUCCUGUUCAUCGGGAGGGGUCUGGCGUACCGCAAAACGGAGGAAAUGGACAUCCUAUGGUCGAAACGGGGGUCUUGUUGAUCGGGAGGGGUGUGGCAUACCGCAAAAUGGAGGAAACAGACUUGUGUUGGAGCGCUACGGUCGAAACGGGGGUCCUGUUCAUUGGGAGGGGUGUGGCGUACCGCAAAACGGGACUCCACGGGAUACUGUUCAUCUCCACCGUCGACCCCCUCCAGCCUCCACGGGCUACUGUUCAUCCACCGUCGACCUCCUCCAGCCUCCACCUGCGACUGUUCAUCCACGGGCUUCUAUUCAUCCAGCUUCAACCGCGCGCUACUCCACCGGCUACUGUUCAACCAGCCCUCUCCACGGGCUCCUGUUCAACCACCCCUCCACGGGCUACUGUUCAUCCAGCCCUCCACCAUCUACUGUUCAUCCAGCCCUCCACGGGGUGGUCCUGUUCAUCCAGCCCUCCACGGGGUCCUGUUCAUCCAGCCCCAACUGGCUCGAUCGAUCGGGGUCCUGUUCAUCCAGAGGCAACACCACGGGGUCCUGUUCAUCCACCCCCAUCGGGAACUGUUCAUCCAAACCCCCCAGCAACGCUCACUGUUCAUCCAGAGGCAGCAUCAAUCGGCUUCAGUUAGCAGCAGUAGCGAAGGAAUCGCUCGAUCGGGUUCAGUUAACAACCAUCGAUCGAUCGCUCGGGUUCAGUAAUGCGUGGCCUGCAGUGCAAUCGCUCGGGUUCAGUUAGAGCCCAACUCCUUGCUCGGGUUCAGUUAGAGCCCAACGCCUCGCACCCACGCGCGUGCGUGUACGAGAGAAACGUGCAUCGAUCGGCCCCAACCACCCACCGUAACCGGGAACACCCUGAUAUUUUCCUCGCCCUCGCUUCUACCACGGUUUUUUCCGUCAUGGACGGCCCAAAGAAUGUCAUGCAGCUGCGUCUCCGGCCCGCCCAGGACGAAAAGCCCAUUUUCUGUCAUGAUUUUUUGUCAUAGAAGUAGGACCCCACCACAUCUAUGAUGAUACCGGGUUUUGUCACAAUUAUCGUCAUAGAAGUGUCAUAAGUAUGGCAGAAAAAAAUUUCGUUCGGCCCAAAAUGUCAUGGAUGUGUCUUUUUUUUGUAGUGCCUUGUUGCGGAUCCGAAGAGUACGGGCGCGGCUUCCACGGAAGUCAAGUCCUUCACUUCUGAGGAUCUGGAACGAGCGCUUGCUAAGUAAAAGGAGGAGCAUGAUGCUUCUCUUGAGGCCUUGGUCCAAAUGACACUAGCCACACUAACCACGAUGCUUGCACCACUUUCUGGUGGUGCAGCCUCGAGGCCAGCUGUGCCUACUCCUUCACUUGGUUAACAACCUCAUAGUAAUGAACACUCCAGUGUUCCUUGGCUUUAUGCAAGACCUCAAAUAGAGAAACCAAAGUAUAACCCUCAAGGCAAACCUCCUUUACUUGAUGACACUACUGAUUUUGCUUUGUGGAGAGUUGCUAUGCAGGAUCAUCUUCGAUAUGGAAAUGAUGAGAUGUUGGAAAUCUUGGAGUAUGGCUACCAAGCUGUUGACCCGAAGAAUCUUACUCCAAGAGAGGUAUAUGACAAGAAUCUCAACGACAUAGCAACCAUGUGCAUAAGGAGAGGUAUGACUGACAAGCAAAGGAGACCAUACAUACAUAUCACAAGUGCCAAGGAAUUAUAGGAUAGCAUUGUGAGGACCAAGACCGGUACCUCCACUCUCCGGCUUGCUCAAUAUGAAAUUGCCAAGGGUCAAUUGCAAAACUUUUGUAUGGAGAAAGGUGAAUCUCCCAAGCAACUCCUUGAGCGUCUCAUGACUCUCACCGCUGACAUCGAGUCUUGUGAGUGUGACAAGACACAAGAUGGAUUCAACUUGACUAAGCGAUUUCUCGUGGACAAGUUGCUUCAUGCUCUUGUUGGGGAACGUAGUAAUUUCAAAAAAAUUCCUACGCACACGCAAGAUCAUGGUGAUGCAUAGCAACGAGAGGGGAGAGUGUUGUCCACGUACCCUCAUAGACCAAAAGCGGAAGCGUUAUCACAACGUGGUUGAUGUAGUCGUACGGCUUCACGAUCCGACCGAUCAAGUACCGAACGCACGUCACCUCCGAGUUCAGCACACGUUCAGCUCGAUGAUGUCCCUCGAACUCCGAUCCAGCCGAGUGUUGAGGGAGAGUUUCGUCAGCACGACGGCGUGGUGACGAUGAUGAUGUUCUACCGACGCAGGGCUUCGCCUAAGCUCCGCAACGAUAUUAUCGAGGUGUAAUAUGGUGGAGGGGGGCACCGCACACGGCUAAAAUAUCGUAUAUCAAUUGUGUGUAGAGGUGCCCCCUGCCCCCGUAUAUAAAGGAGCAAGGGGGAGGCCGGCUGCCCUUGGGCGCGCCAAGGAGAGGGGGGGAGUCCUCCUCCUAGUAGGAGUAGGACUCCUCUUUCCUAGUCCAACUAGGAAGAGAGGGGGGGAAGGAAAGAGAGGGAGAGGGAGAGGGAAAGAGGGGCCGCGCCCCCCUCCCCUAGUCCAAUUCGGACUCCUCAUGGGAGGGGGCGCGCCACCUCCUGGCUGCUGCCCUCUCUCUCCCCUCAAGGCCCACUAAGGCCCAAUACUUCCCCGGGGGGUUCCGGUAACCCCUCCGGCACUCCGGUUUUAUCCGAAACUUCUCCGGAACACUUCGGGUGUCCGAAUAUAGUCGUCCAAUAUAUCAAUCUUUAUGUCUCGACCAUUUCGAGACUCGUCGUCAUGUUCGUGAUCACAUCCGGGACUCCGAACAACCUUCGGUACAUCAAAACAUAUAAACUCAUAAUAUAACUGUCAUCGUAACUUUAAGCGUGCGGACCCUACGGGUUCGAGAACUAUGUAGACAUGACCGAGACACCUCUUCGGUCAAUAACCAAUAGCGGAACCUGGAUGCUCAUAUUGGUUCCUACAUAUUCUACGAAGAUCUUUAUCGGUCAGACCGCAUAACAACAUACGUUGUUCCCUUUGUCAUCGGUAUGUUACUUGCCCGAGAUUCGAUCGUCGGUAUCUCGAUACCUAGUUCAAUCUCGUUACCAGCAAGUCUCUUUACUCGUUCUGUAAUACAUCAUCCCGCAACUAACUCAUUAGUCACAAUGCUUGCAAGGCUUAUAGUGACGUGCAUUACCGAGUGGGCCCAGAGAUACCUCUCCGACAAUCGGAGUGACAAAUCCUAAUCUCGAAAUACGCCAACCCAACAAGUACCUUUGGAGACACCUGUAGAGCACCUUUAUAAUCACCCAUUUACGUUGUGACGUUUGGCAGCACACAAAGUGUUCCUCCGGUAAACGGGAGUUGCAUAAUCUCAUAGUCAUAGGAACAUGUAUAAGUCAUGAAGAAAGCAAUAGCAACAUACUAAACGAUCGGGUGCUAAGCUAACGGAAUGGGUCAAGUCAAUCACGUCAUUCUCCUAAUGAGGUGAUCCCGUUAAUCAAAUGACAACUCAUGUCUAUGGCUAGGAAACAUAACCAUCUUUGAUUAACGAGCUAGUCAAGUAGAGGCAUACUAGUGACACACUGUUUGUCUAUGUAUUCACACAUGUAUUAUGUUUCCGGUUAAUACAAUUCUAGCAUGAAUAAUAAACAUUUAUCAUGAUAUAAGGAAAUAAAUAAUACUUUAUUAUUGCCUCUAGGGCAUAUUUCCUUCGGUCUCCCACUUGCACUAGAGUCAAUAAUCUAGAUUACAAGUAAUGAUUCUUACACCCAUGGAGUCUUGGUGCUGAUCAUGUUUUGCUCGUGGAAGAGGCUUAGUCAACGGGUCUGCAACAUUCAGAUCCGUAUGUAUCUUGCAAAUUUCUAUGUCUCCCACCUGGACUAAAUCCCGGAUGGAAUUGAAGCGUCCUUUGAUGUGCUUGGUUCUCUUGUGAAAUCUAGAUUCCUUUGCUAAGGCAAUUGCACCAGUAUUGUCACAAAAGAUUUUCAUUGGUCCCGAUGCACUAGGUAUGACACCUAGAUCGGAUAUGAACUCCUUCAUCCAGACUCCUUCAUUUGCUGCUUCCGAAGCAGCUAUGUACUCCGCUUCACACGUAGAUCCCUCCACGACACUUUGCUUAGAACUGCACCAACUGACAGCUCCACCGUUCAAUGUAAAUACGUAUCCGGUUUGCGAUUUAGAAUCGUCCGGAUCGGUGUCAAAACUUGCAUCAACGUAACCACUUACGAUGAGCUCUUUGUCACCUCCAUAAAUGAGAAACAUAUCCUUAGUCCUUUUCAGGUAUUUCAGGAUGUUCUUGACCGCUGUCCAGUGAUCCACUCCUGGAUUACUUUGGUACCUCCCUGCUAAACUUAUAGCAAGGCACACAUCAGGUCUGGUACACAUCAUUGCAUACAUGAUAGAGCCUAUGGCUGAAGCAUAGGGAACAUCUUUCAUCUUCUCUCUAUCUUCUGCAGUGGUCGGGCAUUGAGUCUUACUCAAUCUCACAACUUGUAGUACAGGCAAGAACCCUUUCUUUGCUUGAUCCAUUUUGAACUUCUUCAAAACUUUGUCAAGGUAUGUGCUUUGUGAAAGUCCAAUUAAGCGUCUUGAUCUAUCUCUAUAGAUCUUAAUGCCUAAUAUAUAUGCAGCUUCACCGAGGUCUUUCAUUGAAAAACUCUUAUUCAAGUAUCCCUUUAUGCUAUCCAGAAAUUCUAUAUCAUUUCCAAUCAGCAAUAUGUCAUCCACAUAUAAUAUCAGAAAUGCUAUUGAGCUCCCACUCACUUUCUUGUAAAUACAGGCUUCUCCAAAAGUCUGUAUAAAACCAAAUGCUUUGAUCACACUAUCAAAGCGUUUAUUCCAACUCCGAGAGGCUUGCACCAGUCCAUAAAUGGAUCGCUGGAGCUUGCACACUUUGUUAGCUCCCUUUGGAUAGACAAAACCUUCCGGUUGCAUCAUAUACAACUCUUCUUCCAGAAAUCCAUUCAGGAAUGCAGUUUUGACAUCCAUUUGCCAAAUUUCAUAAUCAUAAAAUGCUUCAAUUGCUAACAUGAUUCGGACAGACUUAAGCAUCGCUACGGGUGAGAAGGUCUCAUCGUAGUCAAUCCCUUGAACUUGUCGAAAACCUUUCGCAACAAGUCGAGCUUUAUAGACAGUAACAUUACCAUCAGCGUCAGUCUUCUUCUUGAAGAUCCAUUUAUUUUCAAUGGCUUGCCGACCAUCGGGCAAGUCAACCAAAGUCCAUACUUUGUUCUCAUACAUGGAUCCCAUCUCGGAAAGAGAGGGAGAGGGAGAGGGAAAGAGGGGCUGCGCCCCCUCCCCUAGUCCAAUUCGGACUCCUCAUGGGAGGGGGCGCGCCACCUCCUGGCUGCUGCCCUCUCUCUCCCCUCAAGGCCCACUAAGGCCCAAUACUUCCCCGGGGGGUUCCGGUAACCCCUCCGGCACUCCGGUUUUAUCCGAAACUUCUCCGGAACACUUCCGGUGUCCGAAUAUAGUCGUCCAAUAUAUCAAUCUUUAUGUCUCGACCAUUUCGAGACUCCUCGUCAUGUCCGUGAUCACAUCCGGGACUCCGAACAACCUUCGGUACAUCAAAACAUAUAAACUCAUAAUAUAACUGUCAUCGUAACUUUAAGCGUGCGGACCCUACGGGUUCGAGAACUAUGUAGACAUGACCGAGACACCUCUCCGGUCAAUAACCAAUAGCGGAACCUGGAUGCUCAUAUUGGUUCCUAUAUAUUCUACGAAGAUCUUUAUCGGUCAGACCGCAUAACAACAUACGUUGUUCCCUUUGUCAUCGGUAUGUUACUUGCCCAAGAUUCGAUCAUCGGUAUCUCGAUACCUAGUUCAAUCUCGUUACCGGCAAGUCUCUUUACUCGUUCCGUAAUACAUCAUCCCGCAACUAACUCAUUAGUCACAAUGCUUGCAAGGCUUAUAGUGAUGUGCAUUACCGAGUGGGCCCAGAGAUACCUCUCCGACAAUCGGAGUGACAAAUCCUAAUCUCGAAAUACGCCAACGCAACAAGUACCUUUGGAGACACCUGUAGAGCACCUUUAUAAUCACCCAUUUACGUUGUGACGUUUGGCAGCACACAAAGUGUUCCUCUGGUAAACGGGAGUUGCAUAAUCUCAUAGUCAUAGGAACAUGUAUAAGUCAUGAAGAAAGCAAUAGCAACAUACUAAACGAUCGGGUGCUAAGCUAACGGAAUGGGUCAAGUCAAUCACGUCAUUCUCCUAAUGAGGUGAUCCCGUUAAUCAAAUGACAACUCAUGUCUAUGGCUAGGAAACAUAACCAUCUUUGAUUAACGAGCUAGUCAAGUAGAGGCAUACUAGUGACACACUGUUUGUCUAUGUAUUCACACAUGUAUUAUGUUUCCGGUUAAUACAAUUCUAGCAUGAAUAAUAAACAUUUAUCAUGAUAUAAGGAAAUAAAUAAUACUUUAUUAUUGCCUCUAGGGCAUAUUUCCUUCAGCUCUUGCUCCAUAUCAUCAUCAAAUGGUGUGGGGCAUAAGACAGCACCAUGGAUUCAAGGAAAUGACUCCGGAUGACAUCAUAUCCACCUUCCAACUAUUUGAAGAGUCGAAGGCAAAUGCUACAAAACAUCUUGCCAUGCAUGGUACCUCAACAUCAAAAAUCAAUCUUGCAUUAAAGGCCAAGCAUGUAUAUGAAGAAGAGCAAAGUGAAGAAGAGGAAGAUGAUGAGGAUGAAGAUGGUGAUGAGAUUGACUCCGAUGAGAGUCCCUCAUAUGAAGACAUUGCUCUCUUUGUCAAGAAGUUUACGCGGGAAAAUUCAAGGGAAGAUUCCAGAAGAAGAAAGUGGGAAAAUGCUACAACUGUGAAGAAACCAACCACUUCUCCAACGAUUGCCCUUAUGAGAAGAGAGCAGAUAAGCCAAGGUUUCCCAAGACCUUUCCCAACAAUAAGUUGCCAAAUCCUUUGAACUCCAAGCUCGAGAAGAGAGAUGGGAAAGCAAUGGUUGCUCAUGAAGAAUCCGAUCCGGAUGAUGUUAGUGGUGUUGCCGGAGUAGCACAAGAUUCUCAAAACACCUUGAGGCUAGUCAACAAGAGUGGUGAUGUUAUCACCUACAACUAUAUGAAAGACUACAAGGGCAAUGCUCACAAGUGCCUAAUGGCAAAGGCCGUGGUAGAAGAUGGAGAGGACCAAAACUCUUCUGACAAGGUCAAGGUAACCCCAUGAUCAAAUCCUCCUCUCUUCACACCUCCUCCUCCUAGUGAUGAGUACCUUGAUGCGGAGGAUAAUUAUGAUGAUAAUGAUAUAGAUGACCCCAAGUUUGCUAAAUUAAAAAAGGUCAUGUUCUCCCUCAAAGGAAAGAAGCUCACUAUGUUUCAUAUGCUUACGGAGAUGGUGGGUAAGCACACAUUCACCAUUAAGGAACUCGAAACCCUCAUAACUGAGGAAAAGGAAAAAUAUGAAAUCCUUGAGCGAAAAGUCCAAUAUGAGGAAGCACGAAAUGAUGAACUAUGCUUGAAAAUUGGUGCAAACAUUGAUGUUCAUGCUAAAGAUCUUGCCUCUUUGAAAAAGGCUAAGGACUCUUGCGAAGACUUGAUGAAUGAUAAAAGUAAGCUUGCAAAGUCUCAUGCUUCUCUCUCUAAGGAUUGUGAGCUCCUAUCCGUGUCUCUCAAGACUAAGGAAGAAGAUCUCACCCUUCUUACCAAGAGUUUUGAGACGCUCAAGCUUACUUAUCUUGAAACUCUAGCCAAGGCUUACUCUUCUCCUAUUAUCAAUGUUGAUGCUUGUACUACUAAUUCUAGUAGUGAUCUAGCAUCUAUUCUUGAGGAGAAUCGCUUUCUCAAGGCUCAAACUCAUGACAUGUGCUCAAGGACAAAAGAACCUUAAUGAGGUAUUGAGCCAACACAAUGAGGUUUUUGCCAAAGAGGGACUUGGGUUUGACCCAAGCACAAGCAAGAAGAAGCCAUCUUCUCAAAAGUGCACCACCCCUCUAAAAGAAACAUUUGCACGAGAAGGGCAUAAGGAGAAAGGUAAGGUUAUUAGUGGGAAGGCAACAAGGGGCAUGCCCACUCUCAACAAGCCAAAAGAGUUCAUGCCUCCAUCCUAUGUACUUCGUAAGACUAAGGAUGGAGAAGUUUAUGCAAAAUUUGUUGGUCCUCGAAAUGCAUUCCGAUUCUAUGAUAUUUGGGUGCCUAAGACCCUUGUGACUAACUUGAGAGGUCCCAUUGCAAAAUGGGUGCCUCUAACCAAGUCAUAAUUGUGUGUAGGUUGCUUUCUCUGGUGGAGUAAAAUGGGUGAUUGAUAGUGGAUGUACCAAUCAUAUGACCGGAGAUAGCAAAUUGCUCUACGAUUUCAUGGAAGCUAUUCGGCCAUUUAUGAGCAUUAUGUUUGGUGGAGGAUCAAAAGGACAGGUACUCGGGUUGGGCAAGGUGGCUAUCACAAAUGACAUGUCUCUCGCAAAUGUCAUGCUUGUUCAAUCCCUUAAAUAUCAUUUGCUUUCUGUUCGCCAAUUGGCUUCUGUUAGUUAUGAUACACUCUUUGGACUAACGGAUGUGAAAGUCUUUAAGAGAGGUACUCUCGAAGUGGCCUUGGUUGGAGAGUUGGAUGGCAACCUUUACACGGUUGAUUUCUGGAAAGAGAGAACAUUCCAUGCAACUUGUCUAAUGGCCAAGGCCGAAAAGGGGUGGCUAUGGCAUCGCCGGCUAGCCCAUGUCGGCAUGAGAAAUCUUCAGGAUCUCUUAAAGGGUAAUCACAUCCUUGGACUAAUCAACGUCUCUUUUGAGAAAGAUCGUGUGUGUAGUGCAUGCAUAGCCGGGAAGCAACAUCAAUCAAAGCACCCACCCAAGAAUAUCGUGUCUACUUCAAGGCCUUUGGAGCUCCUUCAUGUGGAUCUUUUCGGGCCUCCUUCAUGGGAUAGUCUUGGUGGAAAAAAGUAUGGACUUGUCAUUGUUGAUGAUUACUCACGAUAUACAUGGGUGUUUUUCCUCAAGUCCAAGGACGAGACGAAGAUCACCUUCAUUGAUUUUGCAAAGCAAGCACAACACAACUUUGACGAAGUAAUCUUGGCAAUAAGGAGUGAUAAUGGCUCUGAGUUCAAGAACUACACCUUGGAAGAAUUUCUUAGUGAUGAAGGGAUUGAGCAUCAAUAUUCAACUCCAUACACUCCUCAGCAAAAUGGUGUAGCCGAAAGGAAGAACCGUACACUUGUGGAGAUGGCAAGGUCCAUGUUGGAUGAAUACAAGUCGCCACAUAGUUUUUGGGCCGAGGUUGUCAACACUGCAUGCCAUGCAUCAAACUGGCUCUUCCUCCGCGCAAUAUUGGAAAAGACUCCAUAUGAGCUCCUAACUGGGAACAAGCCAAAUGUCAAGUACUUUCGUGUAUUUGGGUGCAAAUGUUUCAUCCUCAACAAAAGGGAACGGUUAGGAAAAUUCAAUCUAAAACAAUUGAGGGCAUAUUUGUUCACUAUGGAUCAAACUCUCACACCUAAAGAGUCUACAACAAAUCCAAUGGAUUUGUUGUAGAAACUUGUGAUGUGGUGUUUGAUAAAUUUAAUGGCUCCCAUUGGGAGCAAGUUGAACUAAGUGAUGUAGGUGAAGAAGAUUCUUAAGAUAUUUUGACCAUGGGUGUUGGUGCACUUGUUCCAAUGGAACGAGAACCUCAUGAUGAUGAAGAAGAAGUUGGAAGCUUCACACAUCAUCAAACUACUUCAACACCCAUACCACCACAAGCUCCUACUGCUCAACCAAUGCCCUUAGUCCAAGUACAAGAAGAUGAUCAAGUCCCUCUUCAUGAUAAUCUUCAAGACCAAGAUCAUCAUCAAGGGCAAGAACAAGAAAGUGCAAUCAUUGAUGAUGAACCUCAACAAAUGCAAUAUGAAGAAGAAGAUCUUCCACCACACAUUAAUGAUCCAUAUGUUGAGGACGUGGAUGAUGGACAUGAAGUUGAACCUCGCGAAACCCUAACCUCCAUCAUGCCUCGAGUGGCCGGUCAUGUUGAUGUUGACAAAAUUCUCACUGGCAUAUCGGAAGGUAGAGUCACUCGUAAACAUUUGAAAAACUUUUGUGCUCACUUCUCGUUUGUGUCUAGUGUUGAGCCUCACAAGGUACAAGAUGCAUACGAUUGGCUCAUUGCUAUGCAAGAAGAGUUGAACAGUUUUGAAUGCAACCAAGUGUGGUCAUUAGUCGAGAGGCCAACUACAGAGCACAAUGUCAUUGGAACAAAAUGGAUUUUCAAAAACAAGCAAGAUGAGAAUGGUGUAAGCAUCCGUAACAAGGCAAGGUUAGUGGCACAAGGGUACUCACAAGUUGAAGGUUUGGACUUUGGUGAGACCUUUGCCCCCGUUGCCCGUCUUUGAAUCUAUUCGCAUCUUACUUGCUUAUGCCGCUUUCAAUGGUUUUACAUUACAUCAAAUGGAUGUGAAGAGUGCUUUACAAGAAGAAGUAUAUGUAUCACAACCACCUGGGUUCGUUGAUCCCGAUCACAAAGACUAUGUGUAUAAACUUCAUAUGGCUUUGUAUGGCCUCAAACAAGCACCUCGUGCAUGGUAUGAUCAUCUUAAGAAGUUUUCACUCGAUGAUGGUUUUGUGAGAGGGGUGAUCGAUCCCACUCUUUUUACUAAGAGGGACGAAGAUGAUUUGAUCUUAUGCCAAAUCUAUGUAGAUGAUAUCAUUUUUGGUUCUCCUAACAUUCAUUUGUGCAAGAAGUUUGCGGCCUCCAUGACCAAGAAUUUUGAAAUGUCACUCAAUGCGGAUUUGAAGUUCUUUCUCAUAUUCCAAAUUCAACAAUUUCAAGAAGGAAUUUUCGUGUCUCAAGCAAAAUACCUCAAGCAUAUCCUAGAGAAGUUUGGCAUGUCUGAUGCUAGUCCAUGUAAGACACCCAUGCCAACCAAAAUUGUACUCACUGAAGACACAAAUCGUAUCCCUUUAGACCCAUCUAGUUACCGCUCUAUGUUUGGUUCAUUGCUUUAUCUUUGUGCAUCUAGACCAGACAUCAUGUUCAGUAUAUGCAUGUGUGCUAGAUUUCAAGCUUUCCAUAGGGAAAGUCAUCAUAAGGCGGUUAAGCAUAUUCUUAGAUACAUCACACCCCAAAGUUGGGUCUAUGGUACCCCAUGGAUGCUAAGUUUGAUCUCAUUGGGUACACGGAUGCGGAAUGGGCUGGAGACAAAGUGGAUUGUAAGUCCACCUCCGGUGCAUGUCAAUUUCUUGGACGCUCCAUGGUAAGUUGGUCCUCGAAGAAACAAAAUUGUGUUGCUCUCUCCACUGCCGAAGUUGAAUACAUUGCAACCGCCAGUUGUGCAACUCAAUUACUAUGGAUGAGGUAAACUUUCAAGGAUUACGGUAUCACCUAUAGACAUGUGCCUCUUCUAUGUGAUAAUGAAAGUGCCAUCAAUAUUGCUGAGAAUCCCAAAGAUCAUACUCGCACCAAGCACAUUGAUAUUAGGUAUCAUUUCUUGUGAGAUCAUGUGGAAAAGGGUGACAUUGAUAUUGCUCAUGUGGGUACAGAUAUGCAACUUGCAGACAUUUUCACCAAGCCAUUGGAUGAAGCAAGGUUCUGUCAACUUAGGCGUGAACUUGGUAUCUUGGAGCUUGAAAACAUUAUGUGAAAUCUAGUACCCAUGCAUGCAUUUUCAUCAUGUCUUGUCUUGAUGUAGGCAUAUAUUUAGGGGGAGACACUCAACUCAUGAGUACUCUCACCCUAUGUAAUGCAUAAAUAGAACAAACACUCCAAAAGCUACCAUGUUAUUCUAACUAUGGUGCUUUAAAUGAUGGAGUAGUGAUUAUGCACCCAAAGUUCAAAUCCUUGCGGUGUCAUGUCACAUAUACUCAAACAUGGUGGCAUCAGCCACCGCUCUUAUCGGUUAGAACAUUAUCUGAGCGGUGUGUUUUUAUUAUUAUUUUGAGCGUAGGAUAUUCUCUGCUUAACAUUGUGACUUUUCUUCUUACUUCAUAUUGAAAUCAUCAUCUCACUACCAUUGUCAUUGGCACCAAAAUUUUCCUUGACCUUCUCAAAAAUUCCAGAGAGCUUCCGGUAUGUUCCGAACGUCCGUAAAUUUCACUCUGUUGUCCUCAUGCUGGACGUCUGGUAUGACCGGUGUUCCAUUAAUUUCAACUUUGUCUCCUCGCAUCGGAUGUCUGGUUUUUCCGGUCAUCCGGUACCUGGCUCAUCUUGCGAUUCCUCUCAGGCACCGGACGUCCGUAACGCACCGGUCGUCCGGUCAUUAUCUGGCCCGUAUAUAUAGGGCGGGGUGUGUUUGGGGCAGUUUCUUAAACCUAAAUCGUUCGAUCCUCUUUCUCUUGUCCGCCGCCGCCGCUCACCCUCCUCGCUAUGAUCGCGCGCCGGCCGUGCCCCUCGUCGUCUCAGCGCUGCCUGGGUCACCCCGGUUGCCGUCGCGCCUCCGGCGCCGCCCCGUGCAUCUCCCUCCGUCUCGUCUUCCCUCCAAGGUCGGGAUGCCAAGGACCAAGCACUCUGCACGCAAGAAGGCCCCAUGUGGGUCCUGUCGUCCGUCUCGUCGUGGUGGUUCCGAUGAUGCACAAGAACGGGCUCGUCCUCGGAAGCGUGUCGCCCAGCCUCACAGCCCUGCUAGCGACUCCUCAACGGAGGAAUCCGACUAUGAGGAUGAGCUGGAACAUAUGGAGCAGGCUGAGUAUGUUGCUGUUCGCACCACUUCACCCAAGCCGGGAACUCGUCGGCCCACUUUCAAGCCUCCUCCUCCGGUGCAACCUCAAGGUGAUGCCCGUCGCAUCUCUCUUGAACCUCCUCUGCCUCUCAGCCACAAAGUUAAAAGGUUCAAGGACGUUCCCAUUGCUUCUUAUCUUAAGCUUCGUCGUGAGGUUGACCAAUUUUCGGUUGCUAGCGACUCUCAGGACGAUCGCUUUCGCACUAACGUCCAGGCAGACAUUUUUACCACUGUCAUCAUUCCUAAGGGUCUGUCUCUGCAUGUGUGCAUUGACUUAGAGCACAUUCGUGCUCAUCCGAUGAAAUAUUCGAGGGCUAUUGAGCUCAUCGAGUCAUUAAAUCUUGCUGGUCCGUUUGCAUUUCAGCACGAUUUUAACCAAGCUGCCAUUCAUCAAUUCUAUGCCACAUGUUUCUUUGGUCCAAAUAACACUGUCACUUGAAUGACCUCCGACACCGUGCUUACGGCUUCUUAUUCUCAAGUUGUUGCUGCCCUUGGUUUUCCUGACACUGGUUUCAAAAUUCAUAAGGAUGACCCCAACAAUAGGCCCAAGGGCAUUGAGGCAUGUGCGGAUCUUCUCAAACCCAUAGAUGAAAUGACUAAUCAGAAGAAAAAGAAGGGUCUGAACCAAGUCUCCAUUUGGCGCUCUCCUUUCUACAUUAUCUUUCAGUGUGUCAUUCGCACCAUUUAUCCCAAGAUGGGUGACAAGGGGUCUUGCAAUAGCUACUGCAUCGCCUCUAUGCGUCUCCCAAGGGGAAGAUCAAUGUCCCUCAUUUUCUGUGGCAUGACACUACAAAAAAAGACACUUCCGUGAUGAUACAUGUUUGUCACAGUAUGUCAUGUUUUCUGUCAUGCAUGUACAUCCAUGACAAAUUUAUGACAGAAUCAAGAUAGUCAUACCUGUGCUAUCGUAGAAGUGUUCCAUGACAUUACCAAAAUUAUCAUCACGGAAGUGUCCACUGUGACGCGCGUGGCAUCCACCGUGACAAAAUUAUCAUCACCAAAAUCGCGCGUCACAGAAGUGCUUUCGUCAAGGGUGACCGACACAUGGCAUCCACCGUAACGGAACGCCGUUAAGCUAUCGGGUCCGGUUUUGGAUCCAAUAACCCGUUAACAGCCCGGACCAAUGGGGAUUUUCCACGUGUAAAAUCAUCAUUUGGCCGGAGGAAACACGUGUUGCCUCACCGUUGGGACAGAUGUCAUCCACUCAUUGGACAGGAGGCGCCUAUGAUAGGUCGACACGUGGCACAGCCCAACAGUGGCCCAUUCCGGUGAAAAAGGCCGGCCCAGUAAAAAAUAGCAGGCCGGUCCAUAUAAGGCCUACUUGUGCCAGGUCCAUUUAAGCCCACGGCCCAUACGAGAUGUGCCAAUUCGGCCCGUCAACGGCCCGUUAAAGAUUUGACACCAUCGCAGCCCAUCGUCAGUUCGAGCCCGUUAACAGCCCACUAUAUAUUGGGGCUCAAUAUCGGCCCGAUGAGAUUUCGGCCUGUUAACGGCCCAUUCAGUGGAUGGGCCAAUUUUCACGAUGUACAUAUUUCGGCCUUUUAGCGACCCAUUUAAAUAUUGGGCUAAUUUCCGGCCCGGUGUGUCUUUCAGCCUGUUGACGGCCCAUAAAGCAGUUGGGCCAUUUGUAGUCGGACCUGAGUUUUGGCCUUUUAGUGACCCAUUUAAGUGUUGGGCCAAUUUCCGGCCCGGUGUGUCUUUCAGCCUGGUGACGGCCCAUAUAUCUGUUGGGCCAUUUGUAGUCGGACAUGAGUUUUGGCCUUUUAGCGACCCAUUUAAGUGUUGGGCCAAUUCCCGGCCCUGUGUGCCUUUCAGCCUGUUAACGGACCAUAAAUGUGUUGGGCCAUUUGUAGUCGGACCUGAUUUUUGGCCUUUUAACGGCCCAUGCCCUUCAUGGUCCAAUACCAGCCCGGUUUCUCUUUCGUCCUGCUAAAGGCCCACAACACAGUUGGGCCAUUUACAAUACGACCUGACUUUCGGCCUCUUAGCGGCCCAUGCUCUACAUGGUCCAGUACAAGCCCGCUGUCUCUUUCGGCCUGCUAAAGGCCCACAGUAUAGUUGGGCCAUACGUAGCCCGAACUUAGUAAUGGCCUGUUAACGGCCCGUGAAAUCAAUUGGGCCCACCUGUUGCCCGCUUCGAUGUCAGCCUGUUAAUGACCCGGGAGUUAAGAGGGCCGACCAUUAACUUUCGGCCUGGUAACGGCCCAUUAACUUAAUGGGCCCACUAAAGUUCGUACAUGUCUUUAGGCCGAAUUAGAUAAUUUGAGUCCAUUGCGACGAGCAAUUAUGCACAGGACCAAAACCGAUCAAGCAAAGGUACGUCAUACAGGGAAAAAAGUUGCACAUCCAGCAUAUAUUACAGGAAAUUACAUCCACUGAGCAAUCAAAGAUUGAUGCCAAUGCAAAUAAAUGAAUAGAACCUAACGAUCUACAAUGUCACAAUCUGCAACCUCAGCACGGAUGAUUCCCAUAAGCAUGUGGGAAAGUUCUUGCUGCUUUGCUACACUGUCUCUGAAAACAUUGAUCAGUUGUUGUGUCGCACGACUCUGCACCUCUGAUUCCUCCACCAUUUCCAUCAUUCCUUCAGCCAUUAAUUGGUUCACAAACAUACAUUUUUUCCAUUGCAUUCGAGACAGAGGAUACUGAACAGAUUCAGAUGGCGAUUUUGGCAGGCUUGUAUUAUUGAUAGUGGAGAGUGUCUCGACCACUGCAUCAUAAAAUAAAUUAGGAGGGGAACCAAACAGAUUAAUCAUGAGUUAUUGGCAUAUUACCUGGCCUAGAUUUAUUGGAAAGAAACAAUGGGGUUGCCUUGCUGUUUUCAGAGUUUGUCUUCUUAUCUUCAGCAGCCUACACCAAAUUAAGACAAUAGCAUUGCUAUCAUUGGCCAAUUCAGAUAAUAGGAAAGCAACAUUGGCACAACGAACGUUUGGGCAACUAGCCAACACCAAAUUAACACAAUAUGGCAUAGCUAUCGUCAACCAGGUAAGGUAAUAAAAAAGCAACAUUCACACAAUGAAUGAAUGGGCAAGCAGAGCAGCACUAACAUUUCAGUAAUGUGCAUGAUAUGAGAUAGUACACUCAUGCAGCUCAGUAUGCAAAACUACCAGGCAGUUUUCUUUACAAAAAUCAACAUUGGCGCCUUUAACAUUUUGCUACAACAAAAUUUAGAUCAGACAAAGGUUGGAUUCACGCCGAUUAACAAAAUACAUGCUGAUGUAAAAAUAUAGUGAUAUACAACAGGUACUUACAUUAGCAUUGGAGCACAGAGAAUUCCCGCAAAAUAUUUUCCUCGAAUACAAUCCCAAUGAAGAAAAUCUUCUAUCAUUUAACCUUAUUUUCUAAAAGAGAGAUGGGUAAGAAACAUGUAGAAAAUAUGAUCAGAAUGCUAUAAAAUUUCAUGAUGCGAGGAUACGCACACGCUUCUUAGAAUGGAGUUGACAUUCUUUUGCUGGACUGGAGCGGACUAGUUCUUUGGCCACUGGAAUCUGCUUAUUAUCAGUGGGAGUUGGGUUUCUCUGUGCUGGAGCAGUAUCUAUGAAAAAUGGAGUUGGUUUAUUAUCUCCUGGCCUUAUAUAGAAGAAUGGUGCUUCAAUUAUAAAACAUGCUACAGCAGAGAUGGAAUAGGUACUGAAGAAUAGAAAGGCAUGACAUAUUGACAUGUAUUCCCUCCAUCCAGAAAUAAAUGGACGGGUCUAGGCGUAUUUCAGUUCUAGAUACAUCCAGUUUUAUCCAUUUCUGCGACAUGUAAUCCGGACGGAGGGAGUAUGAUGUAAGAGCUAGGGAUACGACAGGACAACACAGUAAAAAAACACUGAAAACCCACUGCAGAACCAAAGUAAUCAAACCCACUGAUAUGAGAUAGUACACUCAUGCAGCUCAGGAUGCAAAACUACCAGGCAGUUUUCCUUACAAAAAUCAACAUUGUGGCCUUUAAUCAUACAUUUUGCUACAACUAAAUUUAGAUCAGAUAAAGGUUGGAUUCACGCCGAUUAACAAAAUACAUGCUGAUGUAAAAAUAUAGUGAUAUACAACAGGUACGUACAUCUGUAUUGGAGUACAGAGAAUUCCUGCAAGAAUCUUUCCUCACAGACGAUACUAGUGUAGAAAUUCUUCUAUCUGUUAAGCUUAUUUUCUAAAAGAGAGAUGGGUAAGAAACAUGUAGAAAAUAUGAUCAGCAUGCUAUAAAAUUUCAUGAUGCAAGGAUACGCACACGCUUCUUAGAAUGGAGUUGACAUUUUUGCUGGACUGGAGCGGACCUGUUAUUUGGCCACUGGAAUCUGCUUAUUAUCAGUAGGAGUUGGGUUUCUCUGUGCUGGAGCAGUAUCUAUAAAAACUGGAGUUGGUUUAUUAUCUCCUGGUGUUUGGAUCUUUUGCAAAGACCUGGUUUGUAACCCUUCAGAUUCUAACAUAGUCGUCUUCCCCUUGCAUGCCUUGUAUAGAAGAAUGGUGCUUCAAUUAUAAAACAUGCUACAGCAGAGAGAUGGAAUAGGUACCGAAGAAUAGAAAGGCAUGACAUAUUGACAUGCAUACCCUGCAUCCAAAAAAAUGGAUGGGUCUAGGCGUAUUUCAGUUCUAGAUACAUCCUUUUUUAUCCAUUUCGGCAACAUGUAAUCCGGACAGAGGGAGUAUGGUGUAAGAGCUAGGGAUACGACAGGACAACACAGUAAAAAAACACUAGUUGAAUGAAAAACUGUAUGCUAGCGGAAUACGUACAGAAAAAAAUAAGGCAGCAUACAUGUGUAUGAUUGGGAAACUAAGCUGGCAUUGCAAUAGAGCACUAGAACAGCACUUCAAUGUAAAAAAACAUGGUAUGGUAGACAGAUGAAGUACGUACUGAUGAAUAACAAUGCAUAAGAUAUUCGGAAGCAUGAUGUCCAAAUUAAGCAGAUGGCAUUGCGAUAGAGUAGAAUGACAGUACUUGAAUUUGAAAACAUGUUAUCAUGAAUGGAAUAGGUACUGGAAAACAGGAAGGCAUGACAUAUUUACAUGCAUGAUCAGCAUGCUAAGCACAUGGCAUUGCAAUAGAGUACAUACACGGGCCAAGUUAGAGCAAGGACCUUGUGGGGUGAAGAGGAUUCAACAUCUUUUUGCAAGUCUUCUGAAGAACUGCCUUUACAUGUUCCAUCAUAUUGGGUACCAUUGACAUCAAGUUUAUUGGCCUUUACAUUGCUCCGUGAGGUUCUUGUGGAUAUAUCAGUGUGUGCAAUUAUAUCUGACAUGCGUGGAAGACAACUAGUAGUUAGAUUUAUGUAAUGAGUGCCUGUAGGAGACGGCAUAAAUAGUAGGACUGGGGUUAACUAGCAGCAACAGGUCUCAAAAUCUAAAGGGAGAACACAUAUGAGAGCUAAAGAAUAUGUAUCGUUUGUACUCAAGAUUAACUAGAUGGCACACAAAAGUAUUAAAGAACAACAUAGGUAAUACUAGAAGUGGUAUAAUACUAUAAUCACCAGCCUGUGGGAUAGCAUUGGCUGAUGGAUGAUAACUAUGGAACAGCGUUACCUAAAGAACAAGUAUCUUAGCUGAACUAUGGAACAGCGGUAACUCUUGAACAAGACCCGUAAGAGAUCAGCAUGAAUAUACAGUGAAAUGUGAUAAUCUAUUUUCCAUGCUUAGAUGAAUAAAAAAGCCAUAAAUGUUGCACACAAGUAAGAUGAGGGUACAACCUAACUGGCCGCCAUCCAUAGGAGUGAGCAUCAUGUGCUGACUUGUCGAUGGCCCUGCAGUUGUUGUGGCUGUCCAUGUCGGGCACGCGCAUUCAAUGCAGGAACUAUUGAGUGGGGACUAUAGCUCCCUUCUGCUGUAUGCUUCCCUUGUUGGAGCAGCUGCGGUGAGUCGGAAGAUGGUGUGCCUGAAGAUGCAGAUAACGCAUAAUGUUAAGAACGACACAUAUCUUUGAUCUGAAGAAAUACACUAAGAGAUCAACAGCAAGGUACGAGAGUGGUCACACGUCUGUUGACUGAGACUAAAUUGGGGUCACACGAUUUUAUUUUAUUUUGGUACUGUCCGAUCUAUGCCGGAUGUCUUGAUGGAUGUCUUGUGCCUCCCGGCUGACACUGUUAGGAAUCUUCCCCGAAGAGCCAGCGACCAACGGCAGAGCAGCUUGCCUCCGCCGUCCGUGGCCCCGGCCAAAACCCCGCUCCCCGCCCCACCGCACUGCCGUGGUUGCGCCGCCCCCGGGCCAAUCCACAAAGACUCCCCGUCAUCCAGUUCCGGCGAUGGCAGUACCUUGAACCCACACAACUCUAAGAUAGCCAUCUAAGCGCUGCUACCGCGGCGAACUUGCGUCCUCGCACCCUUACGUUAGACACCAGCCAACCGGCAGCCUAGGAGCUCCGCCGCCUCGAGGGGUGCUGCUUCCCAUGGGAAUCGAUUGGCCCAGAAUAAAAAUUCAGACAACUGACGCCUAAAUAAAGUGAUUUGAGAUGAGGGUGCGACCUAUCUGGCGGCAUGGUGAAGUAGGCAGGUCCAGCUGCCGAGCUGGUGAGGCCGGCGCGGUUGCGGUGGCUACCGGUGACAAGGAAACAGCGAUGUCGCGACGGUCGACGGCUACGGGGAAGCAACGCCGGGACUCUGGACGGAUCCGAAGUUGGAGCCGCUCCGACGCCGUGAACAACGGCGGGGGUGAAUCGGCUCUGGUACGGUUCACGCGGCCGUCGUCGAGGCAGCUCCAGCAGCACGGAGUAAGAGGCACACGACCCAGUGCACGACGGCAAAUGGACAGCGUCUCCGGCAUUAGGGAGGAGGGCGGCUGUGAAAUUGGUGCGGUGGGGGCGCCAUGGAGGAGGGGCUGAGGUUUCGCGGCUCGGGAGAAGGGAGCUUCCGGGGAGAAGGUGAUUUGGUGCCCAUGAGGUAUGAAUGGGGGGGGGGAAUUGGGAUACGGAUGCAUUUGUAUGAAAUGUGAGGGGGAGUUACAGUUCUACCCCUGCCUUUAGGCUUCUCGGCUUGGGUCUGUGUACUGAGGGUCGGGGAUAGUAGAGUAACUUUGCUUCUCCUCAAAUAGUGGGCGGGAGCGAUUUCGGGCGAGGAGGGUGUGUUUUAAAAUAUAGUGGGCGCGAGCUAUUUCGGGCGAGGAGAGCGUGUUUUGAAAUAGUGGGCGCGAGCUAUUUUGGGUGAGGAGAGCGUGUUUUGCCGACCAUGGUUUAUGAAUUAUUCGGCACAUGUCAUUUCGGCCGAGGAGAAGGCGUGCUUGGAUGAAGUUACGAACCUACCCUUGAUGCACAACGGGCCAAUUAAUGUGUCUCCCACAUAGGACGGUAAUUUCGCGUCUCCCAUUUAUUUGCUCGGGCGAAUUCCACCGAGCAGAGGAUGUUUAACGGUUCGUUCAAAAUUUGGGAGAACAAGCAUCCACGUCUACCUUACCAAGUCGAUUCGAAUCAAAUUUAGAAAUAUUAGCUUGCCACUUCUUUUUUAGAUGGAGAGAUGAUGCUCGGGAGUAAUGUGUUUUUACAUGCUCGUUGCUAGUGAUUUACUAUAUGACAAAUAGUUGACCCACUCAAAAACGGGAAUCAAACCCAAAAUGAAAUAUCUCGAUUCAAUGAAAAUAGCUCGUUCACCAGGUCAAAAUAGUGAACUAAAUCCAAAAUUGAACACCUCAAUCGAAUAGCAUGUUGUACAGUAUUAUAGUACUCCAUGAACAUGUUGAAAGUCAAAUUAAUGAACUUGUUUGAUAUACGCAUAUAUCCGUUGAUGUGUUGAUUAAAGACAACAUGUUCUCCAAUUUAAAUAUUUGAAUACAAGUUUAUAUCGAAACAUGGUCUAUAUCAGUCUUUAAUGCAUAAAACGCGACCUCCCCCUCUCCCGGACUCCUGCUCUCUCUCUCUCUCUCUCGCCGACAAUCUUCAAUUCUGUCACACGCAUCCAACACACAAACCUUGUUGGUCCUCUCUCUUUCUCUCCAUCUCUCUCUCCCUUUUUGUGUGUGUGCGUGGGUGGGGGGGGUCUUUCUAGUUCGCAUGCAUAUAUACUCCAUCUAUAGGUCUCUCUCGCACACUAUGUAUGAUUCUCUAGUCCAAGCUAGAUAUCUUUGGUGCACUCAUCGUACGCAUACAAAUUCCUUGGCUCGUUGCCCGUAACUCUCUCACGCACCACUCUGUCGUCUCGGAGCUCUUCCCCCUCUCUCUCAAACUCUCCAUCUAGCUACCUGGGUCACACAUACACAUGCAUAUCUCACUCGCACUUGAUAGGCCCAUCUAAAACUCUAUCUCUCUCCCUCGUUCUCUCUCCAUCUCACACGCACACACACACAAUCUCAUGCCUAGCUAGCCAAGUAUGAUGGUCUCUCACUCAAUUGUAGGCACACGCAGUCCCCCCUAUAUGUAUAUGACUAGCUAAUCUUAGUCUCCAUCACAAACAUGUACAUGGUCUAUCUCGAUUUCUCUCGGGGGAUCUUUCUAUCGCGCAUGCACCUCCCUCGAUCUCCCACCCAUAUAGUCCCCUCAUGAUCUCGAGGGGGUCUCUCUAUCACAAACACACCCUCUCGCCCUCCCCAUGCGUGCAUGUUCUCCAUGUGUCCCUCUCGACCUUUGUUCCUUGUUGGCCAGACCUCUAUUGGACAUGUGCUAUAGGGUUGUCUCUCUCCGUUGCAAACAAUCACACACUAGCUAUCUUCGUGUAUCUCCUCGCCUCACUUUUCUAUCUCGGAGAUGCAUGCGUGAUAUGUUCGCCUAAGAAACGAAAAAACACACACUCUCUCUAAUUUAUCGUUUGUUGUCACUUUCUCUUUCACACACAUACUCUUUUUGCACACUUACUCAUUCUCCUUCACACGCACUUGAUCCCUCUCGACUUAGGCACUCUCCUCAGUCCAUAGCAUAUUGAUUUAUUGAGAAGUCAAACAUCACAAAGUGUGACCAUGUACGUGGAGAAAAACAAUUACAUCUGGAAUGGCAAACAGAUACCAUUAGAUUCGCCAUGAGAUGUAGUUUCAUAUGAUGUAUCUUUGGUAUUGAAGAUAUAAAUAACAUUUGUGUAAACCUAAUCAAAGUUUCCAAAGUUUGACUUCUAAAAAUGUUACAUGCACUGCAUUAUCGAGCGGAUGGAAUAUCUCUUUCCCCCUCUCAGCUAUCUGACGCUCCACUCAGCCUUAUCGGGGCUCCUCAAUCUCUCUCAAACUUUAUAUCUCCCUAGUUCACACAUACACAUGUCUCGCUCGCGCUAUACAUAUAGACCCAUCCAACACUCUCCACCCUUGUUCUCUCUCUAUGUGACACGCACCCCCCUAAUAAGUACCAUAAUCCCUCACUCCACCAUAGGCGUAAGCACUCCCCCCCCUAAGUAUGAUUAUCUCUCACUAGCCAUCAGGAACACACGUAUUGUCUCCUUCCAUCCAUACGUCUAUCUCGAUAUCUCUCGGGGUAUCUUCUAUCGCGCACACACCUUGUCACUCGAUCUCCCACCCAUGUACUCCCAUCAUGAUCUCCAGGGGAUCUCUCUAUGACAAACAUACACUCUCUCCUCCCCAUGUCUGCAUUUUCUCCGUACGUCUCUCUCGACCUCUCUCCCUUGUUUGUCAGACCCCUCUUGGCCACGUGCUAGGGGUCUUGCUCUCUCGGUUGCAAACAACCACAGACUAUCUCCUCACCUUGCUUCCGUUGUCGAAGAUGCAUCUGUGAUAUGUUUGCAUAAGACACACACGUUUUUUCUCGACUUUUAUCGAGUGUUGUCCAUGUCUCUUUCACACACGCACACACACUUUUUUCACUCACUCUUUCUAUUUCUCUCUCUCUCUCUCUCUCUCUAGUUAGGGACUCUCUCACGUCCAUAAGCAUAUGGAUGUUUUGAAAAGUCAAACCUCAGAAAAGUUUGACCAGGUAUAUGUGGAGAAAAACAUUUACAUCUGGAAAGAUCAUUAGAUUCAUCACAACAUGUACUUACUUCAUACUAUCAUUUAUCUUUGGUAUUGUACAUAUAAGUAAUUUCUUUAUAAACUUGGUCAAAGUUUCAAAAGUUUGACUUUAAAAAAAAUGUUGGAACUACAUUAUCGAACGGAGGGAGUAGCUCUUUCUCUCUCUCUCUCUCUGCUAUCUCUCACGGGCCUCCCCUCUCACACGAACACUCUAUACCGACGGAUUAUACGCUCACUGUGUCAGCGUAUAGCUCCGUAUAUUGUUUAGUUGACCGGUCAACCAGUCCACAUGCUGCCUUGUCAGCUCGUGUUCUGUAUCUUCGUGUGCUGGCCCACGUGACAGUGGGUGAAAAUAAGUAAACUAGAGGCCCAUCUGACACGCGGUGAAGUAAACAAAGUUGAAACCACUCGGGGUAGCACCCCGCAUGCUAGUAAAUUGAGGGCGCAUUGAGGACACACUUCUUCCGCGUGGAGGACGCACUCGCGCACAAUUCAUGACUGCGCGGUGGCAUGCACAGAAGGACGCACUCGCGCACACCCAGCACACAACACACACCAGCACACGUGUACACCGGCGUCGCCGCAGGUUGAGAUGGACGGCGAGGCAGCCAACAAGCGGAGGCGGCUCGAGCCAAAACCGCAUCCGGUGAGCCUGGUCUUCAUCAGCAGCCUCCCCGACGACAUGCUGCUCGUCAUCAUCGGCCUCCUCCCACCAAAUAUGCCGUGCGGACCGCCCUGCUCUCCCGGCGGUGGCGCCCCCUCUAGCGCCACGUCCCCCUCAACCUCACCAUUGACAGCUGCCUCUGCGAUUGGGAUUGCAAACGCAUGGCCGCAGUCUCCAAGAUCCUUUCAUCGCACCCUGGGCCAGCCAGACGCCUUGACAUCCGCAUGUUCAGUACCAACUGCAAAGUCCAACCCAAGUUCGAUGAGUGGUUCUUAUUCCCGGCCCUAGAUCAGCUCGAGGAGCUCAGCUCUGAAGCUGGACGAUGUCGCUCUUUGCCGCCGUCCGCGCUCCGCCUCACGCCAACGCUGCGCCGCGCCAGCUUCAGCUCCUGCUAUCUUCCCCAGAUUAAUGUUGCGCCCGCCCUUCUUCUCCCUCAACUCAAGCAGCUCGACCUCUUCGAGUUGUCAUCUCGAAGAAGUCUAUGGAGCACCUGCUCCGCAGCUGUACUGCGCUCGAGUACCUUCGUCUUGAGCAGAUCAACGGGUUCAUUAGCCUCCACAUCGCCUCGACGAAUCUCCGAUGGAUUUAUGUGUCUUGCUGGCCGCGCAACAAGACAUCAAUUGGGAAGAGAUCACUCCAGCUGUUCCACGUUAUGGUCAUUGAAAAUGCGCCUUUCCUUGAGAGAUUGCUUGUAUCGGAUCUAGAAGGUCCAACAAAAAUCAAGGUCAUUGACGCGCCGAAAUUGACAGCGUUGGUGCACUCGUCUGCCAAAUUCUCCGAACUCUUUAUUGGAUCCGUAAUCAUUUAGGUACAGCACUCAUCUUCUUCUCCGUCUUCUUGAAAAUCACAUUUUUAAAUUUCUUCUUGAUGUAUUUAUGACCGUCUUCCAGAAAAUGAUUCCCACAAGCUUGACCCAAUCUAUGCGCACAGUGAAGAUCUUGGCAAUAAAGUCUAUCGGCCCCAAUCUGGAUCAAGUUGUUGGAUUCCUUACAUGCUUUCCGUGCACGGAGAAGCUACUCAUCGAGGUGAAACUUCUUUCCUAUUAGUAAACGGUAAUCACAACGUAGCUAAAAAAAUUCGUAAUUUUCCCAAAUUACGAUGACAAGUGUAGUGUUCAAAACGGCAUCUACGCACUGCACCGAAAGAAAUGUUUUUAGUAUUUUUUCUCACGUGAUCACCUGCUUCGUUUUGUUGUUGUACUACUAUAGUAGCCUAGGCUAGUCAUAGUGGAAAGUAACUUAGACUACUCCAGUAACUCUAUGGUUACCCUGAGAGCAAGUACUACCUCCGUCCUGGUUUACUCUUCCUAUUUUGUAGUAUGAAAAUUUGACCAUAGAUUUAACUGACAAAAUGUUAUGCAUGUCACUAAGAACUAUAUUGUUGGAUUCGUAUUUGAACAUAAUUUCAAAUGGUGUAAUUUUUAGUGACAUGCAUUGGCAUUUUCUUACAUAAAUAUAUGGUCAAAAUUUUAUACUAAAUAAGAGGUAGUACAAAAGUGGGCUAUAACGGCCCUCCACUAUGUAGGCCAAAACACGUGCCAAAUUCACUUGUGAUGCAUUUGGCAUCGAUGCCCCUCCAUUGCUCACCUGGUGCCCCAAUCUGGAUCACCUACUUUGCUCCGGUGCCAAAUUAACUCACGCAAUGAAAAAACACUUGCGUGGGAGAGAGAGAGGACUGAGGCAAUUAAAAAACACUUGUUUGGGAGGGUGAGAGGCUGAUGUUGUUGGUUUGAUUGAUUUGUUUAUACAUGUGGGUCUGUGUGCACAGCGGUGCGAACUCUCUCACAUCGCGAGAGCGGUGCCAUAAUCUUUUGAUUUGACAUUGAUGCGUAUUAUGUGGUAUACUCUUGCAAAAUAUGGCAUCGGCCACAUAGUGGAAGGCAACAAAUACCCAAGCUCUUCACGUACUCCUAGGUAAAUGAGAGGAAAGAGAAAGAGAGAGAGAGAGAGUGAAAAAAUAUCACUAGCCAGCCAACCCUAUCGUAUGAGCGAAUGAUAUUGGUACCUCUUGAUGAGACGGCAAUCUUAUACAGCCAGCUGCUCUAAUAUGUUCUGUUCUUUUGCAGAUAAAAAAAGACCCGAAAGUACAAAAUGUGGUGCACUAUAACAAUCUCAUCGAAUGCCUUGAUCUCCAUCUUACAGAAAUUGAUUUGAUCGACUACCGAGGCAGCACAUCUGAGAUUAAAUUGGCCAGGUUCUUUGUUCUGGAGGCAAGUGUGCUCAAGGUAAUGAGGUUUGGCGUUCUCUGGCGCAACAAUGAAUGGCGUGCUGAUCACCGCAAGCGUCUAAGCCUAAAUGACAAAGUCUCCGCAGAAGCUGAAUUUGUUUUUGAAACAUCAAGUGGCCAGAGACUCGAAAACUUAUUUGCCCAUUAGUGACUUGUCAGGGCGGUGGAUUUUAGUUUGUACGAUAAUGCUGGAUCCACCUAAAGUAACGAAAGUUCUUACGUAAACUUCCUAGUAAUUCCCUCUUCGUAGGUGCAGCAUUACUCCUAACAUUUGUAAUAUCAGUUUGAAACUUGUAAUAUUGCCAUGUCCUAUUCCUGCGUUUUCAAAAUCCUGCGAAUCAAACAGGUCCUGAGUUGGUAAUGAUGUUGUGCCUGCCAUCUUUCACAAAUAGCCGUCGGAUCUAGAUCUGACGCAUACAAACCAAACUUCUCCAGUUUUGCAAAAAGAUGCCCGCACUUCUUCCCUAUUUACAAACAACUCCUUGUCUCUCACAAUCAGCCUUAUCUCCUCCCCACCACAUCUAGAUGGCCAUGGAAAAAUCUGGNNNNNNNNNNNNNNNNNNNNNNNNNNNNNNNNNNNNNNNNNNNNNNNNNNNNNNNNNNNNNNNNNNNNNNNNNNNNNNNNNNNNNNNNNNNNNNNNNNNNNNNNNNNNNNNNNNNNNNNNNNNNNNNNNNNNNNNNNNNNNNNNNNNNNNNNNNNNNNNNNNNNNNNNNNNNNNNNNNNNNNNNNNNNNNNNNNNNNNNNNNNNNNNNNNNNNNNNNNNNNNNNNNNNNNNNNNNNNNNNNNNNNNNNNNNNNNNNNNNNNNNNNNNNNNNNNNNNNNNNNNNNNNNNNNNNNCAAUCUUGGUGUUCCGUGCAAUGCACGGGCAUCUACGCAUGGGAAAUUAUGUCGAACACGGCUAGUUGUAAGCAGGCUAGGUCUACAGCCAUGAUGAUAGUGACUGCAGACGGUGAGGCUGACUAUGGUAUGCCGAACACGGCGCCUAUACUCAGGUGUCAUCUCUGGCGUAGGGUCUUGUCACUUCACUGUGAGGAGCAGCACGUCAUAAUUUGACCAACGGGUAGUACAGUGCUACUACAUUGGUAGUACUCUCUCCGUCCAAAAAUACUUGUCAUCAAAAUGAAUAAAAGGGGAUGUAUCUAGACGUAUUUUAGUUCUAGAUACAUCCCAUUUUAUCCAUUUUGAUGACAAGUAUUUCCGGACGGAGGGAGUACUACUACUACUAGUACUAGCACCACCGUCUAGAUUUAGUAGUACUACCACGUCCAUCUGGAUUUAGUAUUUGACUAGCAAUAUCUAGUAAUGCAUGUCACAAAAAAUGUACUACUCCCUCUGUAAAUAAAUACAUGGUGUAUUGUUUUAUUCCUAUCGGCGAGGUAACAUAAUGUCUUUUUGCUACUUAAUAGGAUUACAUGCAAUGAACUAACCACCGCAUGUGAUGUUUGGUAGUCUCAAGUCAUUGAAAGCAUGCACGGGCACGGAGGGGGACGCAGCUUCAUUGACUUACUGCACCUGCCUUUGGGUGUAUGACACGUGGGUCCAACGGGUGGCUGGCCAACCUGUCAUACAGCCAAAGGCAGGUGCAGUAGAGGGGUGAGGAGUAGAUGGCCAACACGCACGUGAAUUCAACGCAGUCUGCAUUUCUCAUAUAAAGGCUCCCGCCAGUCCAAUCUACGAAAUCCUACGCACCUAUGCACCCAAGGGCAAGAGUGAUCACUCCAAUUGCAAGAUCAGUUGACUAGAAGCUAGACCCAUGGAGGCGAUGAGGCGAGCAUCAGCCGGCUGUGCCAGAUGGUCCACGACGCCGGCCUGCGGCCCGGCACCGAGGAACGUCUCCAGGUAGUGCUUGAGGCCGCCAGGGCGAGGGGCCGCUUGGACGACAGCUUCGUCUCCUUGUUCGACGAGGUCCUCGUCGGCUUCCUCGACAAGUUCACCGUCGUCAAGAAGGUCGCGGACGACCUUGACGUACGCCUCCAGCCCACGCGCCCAGGCUCUGCGAUGCCUGCCACCCUCAACGGCCUCUAUGGUGACAACCUCUUCGACGCACUGGUGGCCCUGCGACUGCCCGCCGUCGCGCCGGAGAAUGUCCACCUCGAGGUCGCGCUCGCCGCGCAGCGCCUGGCGCAGCAAGUCACCAUCGACAUAAUCACCCACGUCUACGCGCAAAUCGUCCACAAGGACUACUACAUGCAAGAGGAGGACGAUAGGAUGCUGGCCUUCUUGGACCGCAGGGCAACCUUGGACGGCAUUGUUCAGAAGCACGUUGAGCUUGCCGCCAACGCCGCUGCUCCUCACACGUCGGUUGGUGACCCGGUGCACUAGGGCGUGAGGAUGUCGUUGAGGGAUCCGUAUGUAUCUUUAUCUUUCCGUCAAAUCCAUGUAGUAGUAUAUGGUACUACUAGUAAUUAUCUUACCUUUCGCAUCAACUUCAUAAUUUUCCUACGUACUCCAUGCAUGAACCGCGCCAGAACCAAACUUCUCAUUACUCUAGGGAAAAUCGUUAUUUUUAUCUAUUGGUCGCCCCAUGGAGCAGAACCAAAUUUUACAAGUUACAAGUUCAAAAUGAAAAGCCUGCCGUGUUCGCGUCGCACCCCCACACGGUUUGUCCGGCACGCUGCUCAAGGGGGAAUGCGUGCUGUGUUGCAUUUUCACUUACAAGUGGGACCGCAGUUGAGCAAACCGACUAUCGGCAAACCCCCACCCCGCCCACCGCGCGAUGGCUGAGAAAACAGGAGGGAGAAGAGAUGGCUAUAGCUAGCACGGACUCCAAGAAAAUAGGUGUCGGAUGGGACUCGUGUGGGUGGCGUGUGCCGUACUGCUAGACAUGAAUGCUAGUUAUGGCCCAUGCCACCACACUAUAUCGAGGUGCUGGUUACUCCACUAUAUCGAGUACGUAGAACAAAUUUCCUGGAGUCCGUGCUCAGCCCUCCUCUAUCUCUCUUCUGAGCCAGCCAGCAGACGUGCGGAGCCCAUCGUCUGUUUGCUCAUAUGCGGUCCCACAUGUCAGUGAAAACGCAAGAGGACCCACUAAACCUGCACAUCUUUCACCUCGACGUGCUGGUGAUGAAACAUAAAUCCAAUAAAGACCUUCAGUGGCUGCUUUUGGAGUUACUCAAGAGUAGUAAGAUUCUAUUUACAGUUUAACCCAAGAUGCACAUCACGUGGCUUCACCUACCACUCUAUUUUCUUGCAUGACACGACCUGGAUGCUGGAUGUCCCACGUAUCGGCAAAAGGAGGAAGAACUCGACCAAAUCUUCGGUUGUGCUCUCGGAUUAGACUUGUUGUGCUAACUUAAAAUUUUAUUGUGUAGAAUGGAUGCAAGUUUUGGUAUUGGGAAGAAGAGUACAACGACAUAUUGAUAGAGCGCAAUUUAGUAGAUGUUCUAGCACUUUUAGCUAGCAUAGAUGCUAGAGAUGAGACUAGUGCACUUGUUGAUAGAAUAGAGGCUAGACACGUCUACUUCUUUACACUCGAAGAAGAAAGAAGCACGCAAGAUCGAGGCUCCGCAGAUCAACAAUGAAUGCAUCGAGAAGGCACUAAUCCAACUUACAGGAGCAGUUAUGGAAGUUGGAUAUCUUCUAAAAUGUAUUCUUGUGGUUCUUGUUUUCUUUGGUCUUGCUUUUCUAGUCAAAAUUUUGGUGAUGUAUUUCCAUGUACCAAAAAAUCAAUGAUGAAAAAAAGAUAUGUGUUUGCAAAGAAAAAGGUACGCGGCCGGGACGCGGUCGCGCGUUCAGCGCACGACCACCACAUCCGAGAAAUGGCCUGGACACGACCCCAUUGCCCUACCCAAACGGACAGAAUCCAGGCAAAACGGAGGUCCGUUUGGGGUCGUGCAUUGGAGUUGGCCUUACACGUGGGACAGCAGUUGAGGAAACCGACUAUCGGCAAACCCACACCUCGCCCGCCGCGCGAUGGCUGAGUUAGAGAAACGACUAGGUUGAAGAGAUUGCUGUAGCACGGACUCCAAGAAAUAUGGUGUCAGAUGGAAGUCGUGCUGGUGGCGUGUGUCGUACUCCUAGACGUGAAUGCUUGUUCUGGCCCAAGCCACCCUACUACUCCUAGUACUACUUAUAGUACUCCCUCCUUUCCGGUUUAUAGGGCUCAAUUCAAAAAUCUCACCAACCAAGGUAGAUGGUGAGUGGUGGAAUAAUUUUUGUAGUUCACAAAAAUACUCAAUUAAUGCACUCGUUUUCCUUAAAAAAUUAUGAUUACCAAUGCAUUAAUUGCAGUGCAUGCAUGUUUGGCCAAUAAAUGACAAAGAAGCUUUACAUGCAUUGGUGUGUGUGUUUUCGUAAUCCUUGCACGCAAAGAGUUAAUGCACAUUGAAAUCUGAACAAGUGAUGGGAAGUGGUAGAAAUGAGACUUAUAAAAUAAAAAAACUGAAACUUUGAGAUGAGCCCUAUAAAUCGAAAGGGAGCUAGUAGUAGUAUCGAGGAUUCGAGGUGCUGGUUACGUACAGCGAACUCAUUAACAUAUGGCCCACCUCACACUGUGGCCAAAUUUCCUGGAGUCUGUGCUAGGUUAAAAAGUGUUCUUUGUGAGGAUGGGUGGCUGGUCUCAAGUUUAAAACUUGUUGUAUUACGUACGUAGACGUAGAGAUAGUGGAGCAUGUGAAGCUAGUACAAAUAGUGUACUAUUGUUGAUUGGCCUCAUCCGAUAACCUGUUGCAAUGCACGUACAAUUAUGUAUUCGGAAAAUAUUAUUUUGCCUCGUCGCAGCACCCACUCAGAGAAGCGACUCGAUAGCCAUUCAUAAAUUUAGUAAGUUUAUCACAGGCAUAUCAUUUUACUACAUACAACAGGUAAUCAACCCACAACGACAACGAGGAUUAAAUAAAUACUGAAGUUUUCAUCACACAACAAAUAACAAGCAAUGAAAUGAACUUCAACUCAACCAAUCCUCGGCGUUGGAAACGCUUGCUUUGAACCACAAGUGAUUCUCUGGGAAGGGCCAGCUAUUGUAAAUCUUGAGGCCAACGCAGGACUGAUCAUCUAGGCCGAAGCGGCCUACAAUAUCACGACCAGGGUAGGUAACCACCAAAAUGUCCGACGUAUAGAUACAGUUGUUUCUCAUAAAUGGUAGUAACGUUGUGUCAACAGCAGCUGGAUUGGCUUUCACCAUCAUUGGAUCGUUUUGUCCAAGGAAGAGCGAGUUUUCUCCAAGACUAUCAAUACUGUACCAGGGAGAAGGUGUUGGCGCUAGCACAGUAGUAUCCAUCCCGAAUACCAUGCAACGAGUGUUGGAAUAGGUCCGGAGAGUGCAACCAUGGGAGACAACACCUGCUUCCUUAGUAGUAACAUCAGAAGUGGGCUGUAUACACACAAGAAGGGGUGAUCCAUCGGAAGUUGCCAGGCGCCACUGAGUAUAUGGGCCCUCCUCGUCCUCAUGCUCGUGAUCAUCACCAUCGUCAUCUCCCCCUUGCUUAUAAUUUUUUCAAGUAUAGGUGGUGGAAUGUUCACAGGACCUUGGAAACACAAGAAGAAGGUUAAUUAGUAAAGGGAAACUUGCUAACCCGCAUGCAUGUGGAUGAAACAAUUAUAAUUACGGUGGAGGACAAACGUACCGAAACUACGAGGAUCCCAUGCAAAAACAGUGCCACGAGUGGUGGCAGCAAACACAAGAUCCUCGUAUUCAAUUGCAUCACAGUACACAUCCGUGUAUAGAAACUGAUUUUCGAGCAAUAUCCAUCCAGUCGAACCACGAAGGAUGGCAACAAGCUUGUCGAAGAUAGCAACAACUUGAUAGUUCUUGUAAUUCCAAGAGCGGUUGGGAACUCGACAAAUUGCUAUCUUCAGUAGACGACAGUCACCAUGAUCGUAUUUGAACAUACGUAGAUCAUCUGUGUGCUCAACCUCAGGGCACUCGGAGAUUUUUGGAAGUGGAAUCCGCUGACGAGUGUACACAUUCACAAGUUCCCACUCGCAAUUGUACCCAAUAUAAACAACCCAAUCUCCAUUUGCGCCAGCCCAGGACUUACCCUUAAGCGAUGGCAUCUUGACAUCACACGUAUCAUUAUCAAGCGGCAUCAACUUGCACAAGGCGAGGCCUCCGUCGUCCGCGCCCAUGCGAACAGGCUUAUAGCAAAGAUGAUAAGGGAGAUCAAACCGCUCCUGGACCCUUGGGUUCCUUGUAAUGAUGUUAUUAGUUGAGUCGAGAAUGGGCUUGAACGAACCUGCCAUGCUAGCCGAGGUGAUGACGUCGCAUCGAUCAAUGAGUUCCCCCACCACGUCAUCUUUCAGAUCGGGGCAAGAAUAACAGGGUCAUUUCCGGCUUGUUCCCUCCAUGGAGAAGACGAUCAAACAAUGGCAAAAGGAAGGGUGAAGGCAAAUGGAGGAGGGAGGAAGAGCGUGCGACAGCAGUUGCAAAUCAAGGGGGAAAGGCGAAGAGUCGGUGGACGGUUGCCAGUUUGCCACGGUACACGAAGAGGCGCCCCGGCCUACACGUCCUUUUGGAAAUUGUACUAAAGGACUCGCCGUCGCCUCACUGACAUGUUGGAACGGGACCACAUGUCAACGAAACAUGGUGUAUAAUUUCUCGUGCAAAAUGCGAUCUGGCCGCGUUGGCCCGAGGUGCCGCAUUAGUUAUCGACCUUUAUCUUUUUAACAUACAAUCUGAGUGGAUAGCUCCUGUGGUCAUCACACGUGAGCGGAUAUAUAGGUGGGCAUGCGGUAAGUGCUAAAAGAGUUGAUCUCGAAAAAAGAGUUGAUCCAAUGCUUGGUUUUGUUUGGAUUUUCCAACUAUGAACAUUGGAUAGAGUGAAUCAAUGGCUUACGUUCAAAGUUAUUCUCAUACUAUAGAAUGGUAUACAAACAUGGAGAGAUUUGGUUGAUUUUAUAUCGCUGAAUAAUAUAAAAUAUUAUGAGUGCAGACGCUCCACCCCGAGGUUUGUUGCUCCUUCUCGGUCGUCGGGAAUCUAUGUUCUUCCACUCUUUCUUUUAAGACAUGAGCUUUGUUCAUCCUUUUGCCGACACGCGGGACAUCUAUAUGCCUCCAUUUUACAAAAUCAUACUAUAUGCCUCCAUGACACGCGGGAAAUCUAGCAUCAAGGUGGCGUGUCAUGCAAGAAAAUGGAGAUAUGCAGUGCGUAAGUGAGUCAUGCACUUCGAUGGCACCUGGUACUACGCAAUAUUUUUUAUCCUCGAUGGCACAUGAAUAGUGCACAUACUCAAUGACAGAGCACGGGAUGGUAGCCAUGGACAUGGUCGGCCCUUUUUGAAGAGAGUACUAAUAAAUAACUUUGAUGUGUCCCAUCAACUCGCAGAACGACGAGAAGCUUGCUUACUACGCCUUCUCCCUCGCCAACGCGUGCGCGGUGGCUCGCAGCACGAGGAGAAACUUUUGCUUACAAGCGGUGGACAUGCAGCAGUUCAUUUGGUGUCAGAUUGCUAGAAGUACUACUGUAGUACCAUCAUUAUUGUUCGACUUCCGGAAGAGGAGAAGAGCCAAGCGCAAGGUCACCUACUAACCUAGUACAGUACUACUAUAGCCAAAGCUGGUCCACCUUUUUAGAGCAUGGUUAAUAAAUAUAGGCGGCUCUUGCAGCGACACAUCAUUUAGAGCAAGUACUCUCUUCGUAGGAACAAAGGAAGUGAAACAAAAGUUGGAGUGGAUGCUAGAUUGCCAAUUAAAACAUGAUUACAUAUGAAAAAAAUCCUAUAGCAUUCUAUCCUAUGAAUCAAAUGACCAAUGUAGGAAAAUUAUGAGGGGGGUCUAUCCAACAGUGUUCCUGGGCUCACACCUAGCACCACGGUGGUCGAACUUGGAGUCAUUCAUCUGGUACACGUGGCAUCUCAGAUCUGGACACAAGGUGACGCGACCUCUCACUUCCUCCGCCAUUUGAAGCGGCGCGCCGGUGGAGGGCUAGCAUACUCCAAUAUUAGGUUGGCUCUAUGUGAUGUGGCAACUUCAUAUACUAACCGGAUGCUGGCUAUACUACUACAGUACUCACACUCCAAGAAGUGACUCGAAAACCAUUCAUAAAUUGAGUCAAUGACAUGCAUUUGCAACUGAAAUGUACCAUUCAUUAAAUACAAUAAGUCAUCAACACACAACGACGACGAGGAUACAUGUUGGAUUAUAGAUUAUUUCCAACAAAACAUUCUAGAAAAUACUAAAGUUUUCAUCACACAACAAAUAACAAGCAAUGAAAUGAACUUCAACUCAACCAAUCCUCGGCGUUGGAAAUGCUUGCUUUGAACCAUAGGUGCUCUGGGAAGGGCCAGCUAUUGUCAAUAUCGAGAGCAACGCGGGACUGAUCAUCCAGGCUGAAGUGGCAUAUAUCAGGACCAGGGUAGGGAACCACCGAAAUGUCUGAGGUAUAGAUACAGUUGCUUCUCAUAAAUGGUAGUAACGUUGUGUCAACAGCAGCUGGAUCGCCUUUCACCAUCAUUGGAUAGUUUAGUCCAAGGAAGAGCGGGUUUGCUCCAAGACUACCAAUACUGAACCAGGAAGAAGGUGUUGGCACUAACACACUAGUAUCUGUCCUGAAUACCAUGCAACGGGUGUUGGAAUAGGUCAGGAGAGGGCGACCAUGGGAGACAACACCUGCUUCCUCAGUAGUAACAGUCUGAGUGCACUGUAUACACACAAGAAGAGGUGAUCCAUCGGAAUUAGUUGGCAGGCGCCACUGAGUAUAUAAGUUCUGCUCCUCCUCAUGCUCGUGAUCAUCACUAUCGUCAUCUCCCCCUUGCUUAUAAAUUUUUUCAAGUAUAGGUGUUGGAAUGUUCACAGGACCUUGGAAACACAAGAAGAAGGUUAAUUAGUAAAGGGAAACUUGCUAACCCGCAUGCAUGUGGAUGAAACAAUUAUAAUUACGGUGGAAGACAAACGUACCGAAACUACGAGGAUCCCAUGCAAAAACAGUGCCACGAGUGGUGGCAGCAAACACAAGAUCCUCGUAUUCAAUUGCAUCACAGUACACAUCCGUGUAUAGAAACUGAUUUUUGAGCAAUAUCCAUCUAGUCGAACCACGAAGGACGGCAACAAGCUUGUCGAAGAUAGCAAGAACUUGAUGGUUCUUAUAAUUCCAAGAGCGGUUGGGAACUCGACAAAUUGCUAUCUUCGGUAGACGACAGUCACCAUGAUCGUAUUUGAACGUACGUAGAUCAUCUGUGUGCUCAACCUCAGGGCACUCGGAGAUUUUUGGAAGUGGAAUCCGCUGACGAGUGUACACAUUCACAAGUUCCCACUCGCAAUUGUACCCAAUAUAAACAACCCAAUCUCCAUUUGCGCCAGCCCAGGACUUACCCUUAAGCGAUGGCAUCUUGACAUCACACGUAUCAUUAUCAAGCGGCAUCAACUUGCACAAGGCUAGGCCUCCGUCGUCCGCGCCCAUGCGAACAUGCUUAUAGCGAAGAAGAUAAGGGAGAUCAAACCGCUCCUGGACCCUUGGGUUCCUUGUAAUGAUGUUAUUAGUUGAGUCGAGAAUGGGCUUGAACGAACCUGCCAUGCUAGCCGAGGUGAUGACGUCGCACCGAUCAAUGAGUUCCCUCACCACGUCAUCUUUCAAAUCGGGGCAAGAAUAAUGGGGUCGUUUCUGGCUUGUUCCCUCCAUGGAGAAGACGAUCGAACAAUGGAAGAAGGAAGGGUGAAGGCAAAUGGAGGAGGGAGGAAGAGCGUGCGACAGCAGUUCCAAAUCGAGAGGGAAAGGCGAAGAGUCGGUGGAUGGUUGCUAGUUUGCCACGGUACACGAAGAGGCGCCCCGGCCUACACGUCCUUUCGGAAAUUGUACAAAAGGACUCGCCGUCGUCUCACUGACAUGUUGGAACGGGAGCACAUGUCAACGAAACAUGGUGUGUAAUUUCUCGUGCAAAAUGCGAUCUGGCCGCGUUGGCCCGAGGUGCCGCAUUAGUUAUCGACCUUUAUUUUUUUAAUGGUGUGCCAUUCAGUUUUGAAGCACGACUAACUGGUACUGUUUGCAGAGAAAAUAUAAACUACUCUACCACUACUCCACCUCUAGUACUAGUAGUAUAAAAAAGAUAUAUAGGCUGGAGCUUAGAGCUUUCUUGCUAAGGGCUGCCCACUUGCUUCUCACACCAUCACCCUCUCUCCAGAUCUCAAAAAGACGGCCUCUCUCUCCCUCCUCACCGGUGGUCACAGGUCCGCCGGGGAAGAAAAGGACGUGCAGCGUUGAUGCACUCGUCGACGGCGAGCGAGGUCACGCACUGACGACCAGGCCGUCCUCUCAGACCUAGCGCCCGCGCGGGAUGGCCUCCGUCCCCAAGCUCGCUGCCGUAGUGCGUGCGGAGGACAACGACCACGAGCGAAGCCACUUCCCGCCGACCCUCAGGUAUGCUACCUCUUUUCGAACCAUACCCUUGUUCUAUUGCCCCAUCUACCACGAGCGUCGAAUUUUGUUUGGGCAAAAACAAAUUAAUUUGGCAGCACAUAGAUCUUGCCCAGGCUCUAAACUUGAGCUGGCUCCGCCACUGUCGCUGCAUGUGGAUCUUUUUCCACUCCACCAUCUUCCCAAUUUCCUGUCCUCUGCUCUGCUGGUCAUGCAGACAAAAACCUUAAUUUGCACUAUUAAAGGAAACCCUACUUCAUGCAGACUAAUCCAUGUCUGGGUUGAAUAAGAAAAGGAAGGGAGACUGUACUGUCCAAGAGAGUAGGCAUCGAACCCGCAUCUAGGUUAAAAAGGGGGAAAUCAGUAGCUAAGGAACGAGUCUCGUGUCUCUUGGUUGAAGAAGGGUAGAAAGGCAUGACAACGCAAUAGAGAAUGACCAGGUCGAUCGGUUUGUUGUCCUCACAUAGGAAAAAGGUGGCUAAAGAGAACAAAAAUGGGACGUAAUCCACAUAUGCUGCCUGGAUAUUUGUUGCUUUGGGCAACCAUACCUCCCUCACCACUCUAUGCGUCUGUGGAGGUACAUCGUACUGGUGCGCCCACUGUCCGAAUAGGUCUCCCAUGCUCUUAUUGCCACUUUUUUGCUGUUAGUAUAACGCCAGCGGUAAAGUCAACCAAUGCUACUGCUAAAGUGAUGCCACAUUUAACUAAUGCCGCAUUCAGUCUAAUGCCACCGAUAAAUUUAAGCAAUGCUAUUUAAUGUCUCUGGAUUAUUUCAGGGUUAGCUGUUGAUUGUGGAUGUAUUGAAGAUUUUUCAGCUAAGGCAUUCUAAUGUUGUUGCACAGCCAGUAUACCAACGAUGAAACUUGUUACUACCUUCAGAUUUUUGCAUUGUUAAUGCUUAUAGAUUACAUACCUCACUUUCAUGAGAUAAGUCAAUUUUUUUGUACAGUGUCACCAAAAUGCCAAGGCGCUGAUGUCAUUUUAUUUUGGUUAAACUGCACAAAAAUUAUGAAGACAAGAGGAAAGGUCAAGAGUGGGCACCUCCUCCUUUGGCUAUUGUGUUGAUUCGUUCGAUCAAGUUUUUAUGUUUGAUCGAUUAUCAAGAUUGGGAUAGCAAUUUUUCAUGUCCACUCGAGUUAGAAAUGAUAUUUACCUUGAAGGUACAUGGUUUGCAAUUUUUUAAUACUAUCAUUAGUUAAUAGUGCUAGUUACCUUCAGACUUUUGUAUUUGGUUUAAUGCUCUUGCACAGCUAGUAUACCAGUGCUGAAACUUGUUACCUUUACAUUUUGUAUUGUUAAUUCUUAUAGAAAUCUUCCAGUGCUAGAGCUUAUGGAAAUCUGUUCAGUAAAACCAUUGUACUGUACCCUGUAAUAAAAUAAUUACUCUACUGUUUCACUAGCCACUGGAUUAGUGUAUAUUUGUACUAUUCGAAUGGUGUUGCAUUAGCGUAUGGACAUAUAUAAAGUGUGGCAAGCUUUCCCAGAUAUGUGCUCAAGAAAACUACUACCUGUUUUUCUAAAUACUGAACGUUUGGGAAAACGUCUUAUAUUAAGGAACAGAGGGUGUAGAGUUCACUCAAAUUAUGCCAGUAAAGCGAGUCACACCUUUAUUAAAAUUAAUGUUCAUUAUGUUAUCGGAGGAGGUCUGUAUGUUCGUCUCUAAUGCCUGUCGACUACAUACCUGACAUCAUGAUGUAAUGUUAAGUCAUUUCCUUUUGUACAGUGUCACUGAAUUGUCAAGGCGGUGAUGGCAUUUUAUUUUAGUUGAACUGCACAAAAUAUGCUUAAAAGAAGAGGAAAGGUCAGGAAUCGAUCAUUCUUUCAGAAAGAACUAUAUAUGCCUUUCUGACAUCAGCCGUUGUUGCCUUAUUUAUUCCUUCAAACAGGUGGCUAGAAACAGUCUUGCUACCUUUUCCCAUUAAGAAAUUGGAAUGCUUAUAUUUGUGAGUCUAUGCUUCAACUAGUGCCACUUUUAUAGUAAUCACACUUUCAAUAUCUAUGCAAACAAGGAUGCUCGAUUUUAGUGGAACUGCACAAAAAGUCCAACUGGUUCAACAUUAGGAGCAUGUUUUCUUCCAAACCUUUAUAUCCAAUUGGUGGCACUAUGAGCUGUUCAUUACGAAGGUACAUGGUUUGCUACUAUCUUGCUACUCUUUUUGUACUGUCAUUAGAUAGUAAUACUAGUGGUUUGCAUGUGAAUUUAUUGGCAGGGUGGACCUACAUUGGAGGUGCAGGACAGGAUUCAAUGAUUGGAUGCUCAAUUUCGGUUGUAUCGAUUUCACCUCUUCCAUCACUGCGAACAUGGAUAUCCUUGGUCUGAUGAAGAAUAGGCGCUAUAUUUCUGCUCUGAACCAGCAAAUCAAUUCAGUAUGAAAUUGUCCAGGGCAAAACAUGACUGUAUCAAAUUGUCCAGUGCAAAACAUGACAGAUGCUAAGCGGAAGAGACAUGUUUAAACCGAAAAUACAAGGUGGGGUAUAUGUUUACUAGCUGCUUGAUAUUUGUGCAGACAAAGAUAUCUGCCCGUUGCUAUUUGGCAAACACACAAAGUGACCACAAUUUUGGUUGAACUGCACAAGAGAAUAGUAUAGUCACUGCAUGCAGUGCCAUUUGAAAAUAGACACAGAAAGAUUGGAUAGUCACUUCAUGGACUGCAGAAAAGUAGUACUGUACUAUUUAUUGGCCAACACUAGGUGCUUCAUUGCUUUGGUGUUAUUAUACAAUGGGCAUCAUUUUGCCUAAGUUAAAGUUUGUAUUCCAAAAAUAGUCUCGCCGUGUGAUCGAGAGAAGACCAAAUCAUAUUGCAGUGGAUGUUCCUCCAUCAUGUGUGGUUCAUUCUCAUGGUUCCAGCUGUUGGUGAAACCACUUACGUUUGCAAGAGGAAUUGUAGACUUCACAAACAAAUUUGUCUUUCAGUCUGUACUGAACGUUGGCCAACAGAAGCAUCCAUGUUAGUAGGAAGAACAGAUGUUUUUUCUAGAUCUUUGCUUUUGGAGCUACAUAUUUAUAUAUGAUCUAUGAAUCAUUGAGAUGCAGUAACAUGUUGAUCUUAUGUAUGGGAAUCGUACUAGUUGGUUUUGAAUUUGGGCUACUAAUGUGAACAUAUUACAAUGCCAGGCCUGUGAGUCUCGUGUGAACAUUUUGAACGGAUCGGCUCUUACUGUUUUGCACAGCAUGAUCCUUAUUUCUGUGUUCUCAGUGUUUACAAGUUACUAACAGUUCCUUAUUUCUGUUCGCUCAGUGUUUACAAGUUACUGAUCGAUCACUAGCUAGCCUACUAAUGCGCUCCUGGCAGUUUUAGUUCCGACGCAAGAUCCGAAGUGGUAGUUUUUUGAAUAAAAAUGCCUACCUCUGAAGAAACUGACAAGCUGCUUUGAAGAAAAUGUCAUGCGAAUCUGAAGAAACUGCCAGCAAAACGUUCGCAAAUGCCUUAUCUCCCAGCAAACGUUCAUCAGCUAAUGCGAUCGUACACGUACACCAUCUGACCUGCUCGAUCCUACACGUACACUAUCCGACCUACUCGAUCCUACACGGAUAAAUAGCGGAUCACGCACGUACUACCUCCUUUCUGGUUUGCAGGGGUCAAUUCAAAAAACGACCUACUCGAUCCUACACGAAUAAAUAGCGGAUCACGCACGUACUACCUCCUUUCCGGUUUGCAGGGCUUAAUUCAAAAAUCUAACCAACCAAGGUAGAUGACGAGUGGUGGAAUCAUUUUUGACAAGGAGGGAGUACCUCAUCUGGAUGAUUUGAGUGCACUCGUUUGAACGUCAUGCCGGCGUGCGACCCAGCACGGACGGGACGCAUCACUAAAGGGACGGGACGACACAUUCAUAAUUUCAGUUUUUCUAGUUUUCCAUGGCAAGCUGGCGCGCUAAGCCAUGCCUGCUUAUGCAUUGAAUUCCGAUGACCGUCGCGUUUCCCGCGACACGCUAGUUCGCCUACCUUCCGCCUAUAAUUACUAUUUCCCGGGCUUCUCCGGUGGCACCAUCACCCAACUCGCCCUAUCCUCAUAAGCCCCCACCGGCCCAACGUUGCUCGCCACUUAUCCUCGCUCUCGCCACAUCCGCCAUGCCCCUGCCCAUCCGCGAUAGGCGACACCGGAGGCGGUCACCGCCGGAACUAGUGUUCGGUUUUUCACCGGAAGUCAGACGGAGGGAGGAGGCAUUCUAUCGGUAUUUAGAUGGCAAUGCGGAGAUCGAGGAUUUGUUGGAGCGCGACUGCCUGGCGGAGGAGCAGGAGUUGUUGGAGCGCGACCGCUUGGCGGAGGAGCAGCGUAUCACCGAUUUGCGCCGCCAGCGGGACAUGGAGCAGCAGCACACCAACGCUCUGAUUCGCGAGCAGAGCGCCAGCAACUGGGCCGACUACGUGGAGGCCGGUGCCCGGUAAAUAGCCCAGGAGGCUGUCGGGCACGCACGCGUUCGCGAUGCUGAUUUUUACUACCAGCUCGUCAAGUGGGUUUCCCGCUUUGAAGCCGAAGCUUCGGUGGACCACGCCGGCAUGGAAAGGGCCAACGCGCGUGAGCAACGCGCCUUAUCGCACCUCUGGCAAGUCCGAGGCGAGGCGGAGGACGCCGGUGCCGGCGUUUAGCGUGUACCGCAGAUGGCGGCCGACAUCGUCUAGUUAGUACUUGUACGCUACUAGAGUAUUAGUGGGAGUAGAUAGUUAACUUGGCUAUGAUGGUUGUCAACGUGGAAGUUCAGUACUCUAUAUGUGGAUCAGACCUGUUACUUUGCUCUGAAUGUUGAACUUUCCGUUUGAACGUAUGGAAUGGGCUAUUUUUUUUUAAAUGGGUUGUAUUUGUCCUCCACGGGAUUAGAGGUUGACUUGUGGGACUAUGUGACGCCCCCGAUUUGACCGUACACUAAUCAUGCACGCAAAUGUGUACGAUCAAGAUCAGGGACUCACGGGAAGAUAUCACAACACAACUCUACAACAUAAAUAAGUCAUACAAGCAUCAUAAUACAAGCCAGGGGCCUCGAGGGCUCGAAUACAAGUGCUCGAUCAUAGACGAGUCAGCGGAAGCAACAAUAUCUGAGUACAGACAUAAGUUAAACAAGUUUGCCUUAAGAAGGCUAGCACAAACUGGGAUACAGAUCGAACGAGGUGCAGGCCUCCUGCCUGGGAUCCUCCUAACUACUCCUGGUCGUCGUCAGCGGGCUGCACGUAGUAGUAGGCACCUCCAGUGUCGUAGGAGUCGUUGUCGACGGUGGCGUCUGGCUCCUGGACUCCAGCAUCUGGUUGCGACAACUAGGUAGGAAGGAAAAGGGGGAAAAGAGGGAGAGAGGCAACCGUGAGUACUCAUCCAAAGUACUCGCAAGCAAGGAGCUACACUACAUAUGCAUGGGUAUAUGUGUAAAGGGCCAUAUCACUGGACUGAACUGCAGAAUGCCAGAAUAAGAGGGGGAUAGCUAGUCCUGUCGAAGACUACGCUUCUGGCCAUCUCCAUCUUGCAGCCUGUAGAAGAGAAUAGAUGGUAAGUUCACCAAGUAGCAUCGCAUAGCAUAAUCCUACCCAGCGAUCCCCUCCUCGUCGCCCUGUUAGAGAGCGAUCACCGGGUUGUAUCUGGCACUUGGAAGGGUGUGUUUUAUUAAGUAUCCGGUUCUAGUUGUCAUAAGGUCAAGGUACAACUCCGGGUCGUCCUUUUACCGAGGGACACGGUUAUUCGAAUAGAUAAACUUCCCUGCAGGGGUGCACCAUAUAACCCAACACGCUCGAUCCCAUUUGGUCGGACACACUUUUCUGGGUCAUGCCCGGCCGCGGAAGAUCAACACGUCGCAGCCCCACCUAGGCUCAACAGAGAGGCCAACACGCCGGUCUAAAUCCUAUGCGCGCAGGGGUCUGGGCCCAUCGCCCAUUGCACACCUGCAUGUUGCGUACGCGGCCGGAAGCAGACCUAGCCUAGCAGGCGUUCCAGUCCAAUCUGGCGCGCGCCGCUCCGUCGCUGACGUCAAGAAGAGCUUCGGCUGAUACCACGACGUUGAGUGCCCAUAACAGUUCCCGCGUAGUUGGUUAGUGCAUAUAGACCAAAUGGCCAGACUCAGAUCAAAUACCAAGAUCUCGUUAAGCAUGUUAAGUAUCCGCGAACGCCGAUGUCGGGUGGUUGGUGCGACAUAUGCCAAGGGAUGGCUUAUCAUUGUGGGAGCCAAUAAAACGUCGCCGGUGCCUAGAAACGGGAUGAGGCGAAGACAUGCACACCGGCGAAUCUUACCCAGGUUCGGGGCUCUCCGAGGAGAUAACACCCCUAGUCCUGCUCUGCGGGGUCUCCGCAUGAUCACUAGAUCGAUAAAGAGUAGCUAAAAUCGCUCCUAGAGCUGUUGAGGUCAAGGGAGAAGAAGAACAAGGCUAGCUCUUGCUUCUCUCUAUCUAUGGUGUGGGUGCAAUGCGUGGGUGUUAACCUAGAAGCCAACUAUGCUCCGAGGCCAACCCAGAAGCGAACCCUUUGCAUGGGUGCUCCGGGGGGUUUAUAUAGGCCUACCCCCCGGGGGUACAACGGUAAUCCGACUGGGAAUAGGUCCCAGCCGUCAGUGUCCACGCUCGCCGGCUUCUCCGCCGGCUGCUGGGUCCCGCCAGCUAGUGGGUCCCGCCGGCUGCCGGCUACUCGGCCGACAGGCCGGUCCGACCGCCUAGGGUCUUGUCGGCGGCUGCUUACUGUAGCCGCGCCUCUGAUGAUGAGGGCUUUGUCGAGGUAAGCAUGGCUACAGUGGGCCGCCUCGGGGGCUAUCACUGUAGCCUCACCUCGUCUUGUCUCCUUAAUGGGGCUCCCGCUUCGAGGAAGGGAGUAGCCGGCUUCUGGAGGCCGGCUAUACUCUUGGCCGACUAGGAAAAGCCGGGCCCUCCUCGCGCCUCUCGCUGACUGAAGGGGCCCGCAGUCCUCAGGCCGUACAGGAGUGGGUCGCGGAUGACGUCGAGGCUAGCGUGGCUACAGUGCCGAGCCGCACGGGAGACGUCCCUCCCGUACGGCCUCCUGUAGCCAUGCCCGCCUCGGGCUUCGGGGGUCGUGGGCCGCACUGUGGCCAUACCCCGUCAGGUCGCCGUUAUGUAGGAGUGGUUGUGGUCUCGACCGGCUCCUAGGAGUCGGCGUCCUUCUUGGCCGGCUUCUUGGAGUCGGCCACCCCGCGGUCGUCCUGGGGAGGAGUCGGUGAGGCUGGGUCGCCUUCCGGGAGUCGGCUUUAGUGGUAGCCGGCCAGGGAAGGCGGCCCAAAUGCUUGGACUGCUUGAAGGCCCAAAAGGCCUGAUAAAUUUUCCGAAGAGCCAGGGGUAGUCGGUUAGGCUACCCGUGGCCAUUCCCUCCGACAGUAGUCCCCGAAGCUGAUUGGGCUUCGAGGUGGAGUGGGGUUCAAGAAGCUCGAUCAGCUUCCUAUCGUGACAAGCCGGCAGCUGGGAGCCGGCCUUGGUCAGGCGUGCCGCCUUAGUCGAAUUCUCCUGGAGUCGGGGGGGCGGGAACCCGCGGGCACGUGCACCGGGCCGCGGGCCGGCCUCGGGCCGUUGGCGUGCCACGUGGCCGGAAAGCCUGCCAGCCCACGCGCGUGACGGGACAUCGCCGCAGGGAGGGGGCCCGCCACGUCCGCGCCCCGGCCCAGGCGCGGAUCCUUUGUAUCCCGAAACCGCCCGCACGUUCCGUGCGGCAGUUUCGGCUCGCACUUAUGCGUAAUAAACGCGAGACGUGGGGGGAGUGGGCGUAGUUGAUCCCAUGUCUCCCCCCACGUCCGGCCUCUUCGGCCGCGUGAGGCUAUAGGUAGGGGGAGCUGGAGGGCGGCAGGCCCUCGCACGCUCCUCCUACUUCCACCGUCUUCUUGCCUUGCUCGUUCUCGCGACAGCGCUUCGCCGCCGCGCUCUUCCCCCGCACGCUCUUCCGCCGCCGUGCUAGCUUCCGCUAUGCCUCCCCACGUAGAGCAGCUUGGCGGGGAUUGGGACGGCUCCAUCGUCCAUAACGAUCACAUCGACUUCCUCCGCGACACCCGGCGUCUGCCUAGCGCGGACAAAGUGGAGGUCCGCCUCGCGCCGUAGAAGGAAGUCAGGCCGGCGCCACGGGAGGGCGAGCGGGUAGUCUUCCGCUCGCACUUCCUGCACGGCUUUGGCCUGCCAGUGAGCGCCUUCUUCCGCUCCUGGCUGGAAUUCUAUCAGCUCCAGCCGCACCACCUCACCCCCAACGCGGUGGUGCUGCUGUCGGCCUUCGUCACCCUGUGCGAGGGCUAUCUUGGCGUCCUCCCCACCCUCGAGCUCUGGGGGGAGUUCUUCCAGUCGAAGCUGGGCACGCGCGUGCGGGGCGUGCCGGCUCAGACCGGCGCCUUCAUCGCGUCGCGGAGAUCAGGCGCCGACAACCCCUUCCCCAUCAUCACACUGAUCCAAUCGGUGAAGAAGUGGCAGAAGUCAUAUUUCUACGUGCGGAGCAUCGCUCCCCGGGGCGACUACCUCAACUUGCCGGCCUACGUGGCCGGCCCACCGGCGGGCAGGCUGCCCCAGUGGUCCUUCCGGGCAGUGACGCUGUCGCAGGGAGGAAACGCCGCCAUCGCCCGCCUGCGGGUGAUGGUCCAGUCGGAGGGCCUGACGGGGCCCGACCUCCUGGCCGCGUUUGUCACGCGCCGGGUCCUUCCGCUCCAGAGCCGGCCUCAUCUGAUCUGUCAGAUGAGCGGCCAGCUCGAUCCAUGCCGAAUGUGCACCAAGGAGAUGCCGCAGCCCGACGCCGCCGACAUGGUGAAUUACCUCGCCAACUGCCAACUUUCCGAAGACUGGCAAUUCGGCAAGGAGCCAUACAGCCGCGCCAAUCCUCUGCCUACGGUACGCUCCCCUCGUCUCUUUUUCUUUCUCUCUCUCAGCUUUGUCGCCGAGUUCCUCUGGGCCGACUCUAACUCAGUCGGCUUGCUCUUUUGACAGAGUCCUCUGCUUCGGCCCGCGGUCCAUAUGGAGGACGCCGUCGAGCCGGCCGGCGGCCAAGCCGUCGGCGAAGCAGGCGGCUCCGGGUUCACCGCUACCUUCGACGACUGGCCGGACGAGGACGAAGCCGAAGCCGUCCCGCCCCGCCAGCCGGCCUCCGGACGCGGCGCGGGCUCCUCCGGCGCGCAGCCUGCUCGGGGUAGAGGCCAAAAAUGUCGCGCCACCCAGGGCAUGUUCGCCAGCCGGACGAAGAGGCCCAGGGGUGGGGCGGCAGCCACCAGGCGGGAAGAGGCGGCCGCGAAGGCGGCUCGCUUCCGCAAAGUGGUGAAGCAGCCGCAGACUGUGUCGGCGUAAGCUCUCUCUUUCUAUGUACUGUCCUUCUUUCUUUCCUUUGGUGGUUCUUGAAUCUUCGUCUUCUUUUUCAAUGGUCAGAGCUCCGCUGUCACUUGAGCGGGCGGCUGCUGGCUCCGUCGUUGAGUCGCCAGGGGGCUCUGGGAGCACCACCCGCCGCGUAGAUCCCCGUGCCGCCCUCCUGGAGGCGACGGAAAGGAACGCGCGGGAGGUGCGGGAGGAGCAGGAAGCGCGGGAGGCGGAAGCACGGAGGGCAGCCGCCGCCCAGGCAGCUCGGGAGGAGGAGGCGGCGAAGGCGCUCGCCAAGGCCCAGGCAGAGGCCGAGGCCGAGGUGGCGAUAGGGGAGGCUUUGAUGGUCACCCCCCUGCGCACCAUGGCGCCCGGGGACGUGGAUCCCUCGCCAGGGGGAGCCAGCGGUUUCCAGCCGGGGCUGGGAGGAAGCGGCAACGACGUCGUCAUCUUGGGGGAGGAGCCGGGGCCGACUCCUCCGACUAGGGCGACCCAAGGCCGCCAGCCUGAGCCUGCGCCCGCACAGUCGGCGGAGGGCGAGCCGGCCGCGGGGGCUGAGGUGGCGGUCCGGGUUCCGCCAAGCCGGCGUGCAGGGAAGGCCGCGUCUGAGCCGCAGAAGGCUGCGUCGGAGCCACAGCCGGCCGUAGGCUCCAGCUCGUCGGCCCGAGACGCGGAGGCGGCCAGCGCUACCUCGGGGUGGACGCCGGGCGGAGGGACGGCCGUGGUGAACGUCGCUGCACAAGACGUCCGGACCCGGCUGCAAAGCCAAGCCACGGCGCUGAGGCAGUUCACCGACGAAUUCCUCGCCACGCGGGCAGCCAUCCGGGUUAGUAUUCCUAUCUUGUUCUUUUUUGAUCUUGAUUUCUCUCGUGGGGGCGCGUCAGCGCACCCACUGGGUGUAGUCCCCGAGUUCCGAGUCGGCUGCUGAGCAGGCGGCUUGGAACUUCUUGGAGAUUUUGUCUUUGCUGCUUUUGUUCUCACUUCGGUCUUCUGUCCGUCUUGCAGGACUACCACAACCUCCGAGUGGCCGCCUUCAACUCCCAGGCCCGGGAGCUAACUCAGAAGACUGCCGAUCUCACUGAAAGCCGAGGUAUGUGACUUGAUCUUUAUCACGCGCCCCCACUGGGUGUAGUCCCCGAGAUUCGGGCCGACUGCUGAGCAGUCGGCUCGGAUAUUCCUUGAUGAUUUCUCAUUGUUCUUCUUCUUCUUCUAUCUCUGCAGCGGCCAACGCCAGUCUGAGGGCACAGCUGGGGGAGUCCCAGACUGCUCUUCGUGCCAAGGACGCGGAGCUCACCGCCUUGGUGCAGGAGCGCGACCGCCUGGUCAAGAAGUUGGCCGACCAGGAGGAAGGUCACAAGGUGGCGCUGAAGGCUGCGCAGGAUCGCGAAGCCGCCCUCCAGGCCGAGUUCGAGACGGAGGCGGCCGGCUGGGCAGAGGCCAGGCAGACUCUGGUCUCCGGCUAUGGCCAGAUUGAGGACCUGGUUGACGGUAAGUUGUCUACCCCUUCAUUCUUUCUUGCCAUCUGCCAUUUCGGCUUAUUUUUCUGAUUUCGGUGUUUCUCUUUUCUUUUCUCCUUCGCGCAGAGUACUUCCCUGGCUACUCAACUGCUGCCAACCAGGCCAUUGAAGCCCGUCGCCAGGCGAAGAGGCAAGCCGGCUUUGAGAUCUCGCCAACCGCCGGCCGCUCGCUGGAAGAACAGCUCCUGGCAAUCCAGGCUCGCAUCCAGCCGGCUCACAGGCUGCUCCGCCGGCUUCAGCGCGCGGGAUCGCAGGUCUUGGCCGCCCUCUGGCCCGGCGAAGUGGUCCCUCGCACCCCCAGUCGGACCGCCGACUGGCUGGAGGUGGCAGUCGGCCGCUUCGAGGCUUGGAAGGCGUCAGCAGCUCGCUCCGGUGCCAGGCGGGCGCUGGAGUUCGUCAAGGCCUGGUAUCCCGGCCUGAACCUGGACCAGCUGGCUACCUGGCGGCAGCAAGCCGAUGCGGAGCUGGAGCCGGCGCGGCCGGCCAUCAUUCGGCGGGCUUCAGCGAUCGCCAACUACACCGACACCAACGUCUUCGCCCCCGAGGUGGACGACAAUGGAGUCGCCUAGCCGGAAGAUUGGUUCGGGCUGGACCCGGCGUACGGCGAGGACUCGGCGGAGGAGAUCGACUCCAGCGAUGAGGGUGAAGAGGAGGAGGAGGAGGAGGAGGGUGAAGACGCCGAGCCGGCUGGUGGAGUAGCCGGCCAGUCUGACCGCGCCUCCAGCACUACGUCGCGUGCGAGUGCGUCUCCUGCCGCGGGAGGUGGCCAAGCCGGGACCAGCUAGGCGGCCACUUCUUCAGCCGGCGAGCCGCCUUCACCGACCAGCUCGGCCUCCAUGUCGCGCCUUAGUCUUCUUUCUUUUGUUUUCUUGUCUUGUUGCUUUUGAACAAUGUUUGGUUAAGUCUGCACAAUUCCACCCACUGGGUGUAUUCAAACUUAAGUCUGUUGCUGGCCUGUAGGCGGCUUUAUGUAUAUAAGUCAUGCAAUCGGUCUUUCCUUGUACUUUCGCUUUUUGUCCUUCUGCUUUUUUCCUUUGCCGCCCUCCCUUGACUGCCGCCUCCCUAGUCAAACAGUUGCUCUGCAAUCUGUGGCCGGGGAGUGCCUGGCCGAUUGGGGAGGGGGAAGUACUUUUAGCUCUGCCGGACUUAAGCUAAGUUUUUUAGGAAGCCAGCCAGCCGGCUGCUUUUGACAGCCGGUAGGCAUAUUUGGAGGCCGUCUCUUCGCUAUAUAGGUUAGUUGUUCCUUAGCCGUUUUUCGUGUGGGCGUCCUUUCUGUCUUCUCUCUUGCUAGUCGGACAGUCAGUUCUUUGAGCUGCGACUUUCAACAAGGGAGGACUUGGGAGCCGGCGCACUACUUUGCUGACUUCGGGAAGAACUUUGAAUAUAGCUCAAGGCGGCCAGUCCCCGGGCCGACUAGUCGGACCCGGUGCCGGACAGGAAUUCAGAAUGUAAUAAUACAUUCAUGGGUAUGCUACUCAUCAUUCAUAGAUAAAUAAAAGGCAGUCCCCGAGUACUGUUCGGGGGGCCUGUUGGUUUGUACUUAGCACAAAGGGGGAGCGUGAUACAUACUGCUUUUCAGCUGUAAAAUCGUCUUAGGAGGUUUGCGUUCCAUGGUCGCUCCGACUCCUUGCCGGAGUCGUCUCUCUUGCGUGCUCUUGGCUUUUGCGCGUCGAUCAAGUAGUAGGAGUCGUUGUCGAGUGCCUUGCUGACGACGAAGGGGCCCUCCCAAGGGGCCGAGAGCUUGUGCUGGCCGGCUGUUCGCUGGAUCAGCCGGAGCACAAGGUUGCCCUCUUGGAAGGAUCUUGGCUUGACCUUGCGGUUGUAGUAGCAGCGCAGGCCUUGCUGGUAGAUGGCGGACCGGCUGAGGGCUAACAGCCGGCCUUCUUCCAGUAGGUCGACGCCGUCUUCUCUUGCUUCUUUGGCUUCCUCCUCCGUGUACAUGGUGAUCCGAGGCGAGUCGAACUCGAUGUCUGUUGGGAUGACAGCCUCGGCACCGUACACAAGGAAGAAGGGAGUGAAGCCGGUUGACUUGUUGGGUGUAGUGCGCAAACUCCAGAGGACAGCCGGCAGCUCUUCGAGCCAACAGCCGGCCGAUCGCUCCAGUGGUACAACCAGCCGGGGCUUGAUGCCGGAGAGGAUAAGUCCAUUUGCUCGCUCGACCUGGCCGUUUGACUGCGGGUGGGCAACGGACGCUAAGUCCAGUCGGAUGCCCUGCGUCGCGCAGAAACGUGCCAGUGCGCCUUUGGCAAAGUUUGUGCCGUUGUCGGUGAUGAUGCUGUGCGGCACGCCGUACCGAGUAGUGAUGUCGGUGAUGAAUGUCACGGCAGUCGGCCCGUUCAGCUUCUUGAUGGGCUUGGCUUCGAUCCACUUUGUGAACUUGUCCACCGCAACGAGUAGAUGUGUCAUGCCACCGCGGGCUGUCUUGAAAGGGCCCACCAUGUCCAGUCCCCAAACAGCAAAAGGCCAGGUGAGGGGAAUGGUCUUGAGGGCAGAAGCCGGCAGGUGUUGUUUGGAACUGAAGACUUGACAUCCUCUGCAGCUCUUGACUAUUUCUUUAGCAUCCUCCAAGGCAGUCGGCCAGAAGAACCCGUGGCGGAAAGCCUUGGCCACGAGGGAUCUUGAGGCGGCGUGAUGGCCGCAUUCGCCUUGGUGGAUGUCUUUGAGGAUUGCCACUCCUUUUUCUGGCUCAACGCAACGCUGGAAGACUCCAGUGACGCUGCGCUUCACGAGCUCCCUGUUGAUUAUUGUGUAUGCUGCGGCUCAUUGUUGCACUAGUCUUGCUGCGAUCUCAUCAGCCAGCAGCUCUCUGCUGACUAGGAACUUGACGAUGGGCUGGGCCCAUGAGGGAGCUGUGACUUCUUCUGCUGUUAAUGUGGCCACCAUGACUCGGGUGGGUGGGUUGGGUGUUGCAUUGGAGUCGACCACCGCUUUUUGUGUCGUUGCAGUCCCCGGGCCGACUGCUGUAGUCCCCGGGCCGGGUCUGAAGUCCCUGGGCCGGGUGCGACUACGUCAGUCCCCGGGGCAGUCGUCGAAGUCCCCGUGCCGCCUACGGGAUUUCUUGAGCCGGAUCCGGCUGUUUCUGGCGCAGGCGGUACGAAGAUGGAAUCCGACUCUAGAGACGGCUUGAUGGACGGCUUGAGGAGGCGCUGGAGGGAGACGCCAGUCGGUAUGGCUUGUCGGGUGGAGCCGAUCUGUGCUAGGGCAUCUGCUUGGUCGUUGUCGGCCCUUGGCACGUGAAGGAACUCGCACCCUUCGAAGUAUCCGCUCAUCUGCUGGAUGAGGAAACGGUAGCUCGCCAUGUUUGCGUCCUUGGCGUCCCAGUCGCCAGAUGAUUGCUGGACCACCAAGUCUGAGUCGCCGUAGCACAGGAUCCGGCGUAUGCCGAGUUCUUUGGCUAGCCGGAGCCCAUGUACGAGCGCCUCGUACUCGGCCACGUUGUUGGAGGCGGCGAAGUGGAUCUGCAGCGUGUACUUGAGCUUGUCGCCUUUGGGAGAGGUGAGGACGAUGCCGGCUCCCAAGCCGGUGCGCAUCUUGGACCCGUCAAAGUGCAUCCGCCAAUGGGUAGAGUCGGGAGCCGGCGGUAAGUACUGGGUCUCGGCCCAGUCGACGAGGAAGUCGGCCAAUGCUUGCGACUUGAUGGCGGUGCGGGGUUGAUAGAAAAUCGUGUAGGGCGCCAAGGCAAUGGCCCAUUUGGCCACCCGGCCGGAUGCAUCCCGGCUGCCUAUGAUCUCGGCGAGCGGGGCAGUGCACACGACCGUGAUAGGGUGCUCUUGGAAGUAGGGCUUCAAUUUCUUGGCAGCGAAGUACACCCCAUAGCACAUCUUCUGAUAGUGCAGGUAGUUUUGCUUUGAGCUAGACAGUACUUCGCUGAGAUAGUAGUCCGGCCUCUGGACCAGCUGGGCUCGGCCUUCCUCCGGGCGCUGGACCACAACAACAGUGCUAACGACUCGGCUUGUCGCGGCGAUGUAGAGGAGCAUGGGCUCCUUCUCAGUCGGCGCAGCCAGGACAGCCGGAGUGGUCAACAUCUUCUUCAACUCAUGGAAGGCUUGGUCGGCUUGAUCAUUCCACUCAAAGUGAGUGGACUUCUUCAUGAGUCGGUACAGGAGGAGAGCCUUCUCUCCUAGUCGGCUGAUAAAACGGUUCAGGGAGGCUAAGCAGCCAGUGAACUUCUGCACAUCUCGCAGCUUGGUGGGAAUCUGCAUCCUCUCGAUGGCCUUGAUCUUGACAGGGUUGCACUCAAUGCCGCGUUCGGAGACCAGGAAGCCUAGCAGCUGGCCGGCUGGCACUCCGAACACGCACUUCUCGGGGUUAAGCUUGAUCUGGAAUCGGCGCAAGUUGGCAAAUGUUUCCUUCAGGUCUUCCAGCAAGGUACCGCGCUUCUCUGUCUUCACCACAAUGUCGUCUACGUAGACGUGGGCAUUUCUGCCGAGUUGUUUCAAGAGACAUUUCUGCAUGCAACGCUGAAAAGUGGCACCGGCGUUUCUCAAGCCGAAUGUCAUUGUCAGGUAGCAGAAAGCUCCAAAGGGUGUGAUGAAGGCAGUCUUCAGGCGGUCAGCCGGGUCCAACUUGAUCUGAUGAUACCCUGAGUAUGCAUCCAAAAAACUUAACAACUCGCAUCCGGCUGUGGAGUCUAUCACUUGGUCGAUCCGUGGCAAAGCAAACGGAUCCUUUGGGCAGGCCUUGUUCAAACUUGUGUAGUCUAUACACAUGCGCCACUUGUUAUUCUUCUUCAAAACCAGAACUGGGUUGGCAAGCCAUUCUGGAAAGAACACUUCCAUGAUGAAGCCGGCUGCAAGGAGCCGGGCUAUCUCUUCUCCCAUGAUUCUUCGCUUCUCUUCUGAUAGUCGGCGGAGGGGUUGCUUGACCGGCUUCGCAUCAGCUCGGACAUGUAAUUUGUGCUCGGCGAAAUCCUUCGGGACACCCGGCAUGUCCUUUGGGUACCAUGCAAAGAUGUCUCGAUUCUCACGGAGGAAGUCAGCGAGCUCGCCUUCCUAUUUACUGUCCAAGUUCGCCCCGAUCACGGCGAACCUCUCCGGGUGCUCCGGGUCUAGAGGUAUCUUCUUUGUCUCUUUUGCAGGCUGGAAGGAGCCCUGCGCAUCACAGUCCUUGGGGUUGGGGGACAAGGCCGGCUGCAUGCUGGCCAUGGCCACAACCCGCUCCAACAUUUUCUUCUCUUCGGCCACCACGAGGGACUCGGCCAGCCGGCUGCUGGCCAUGGCACAUUCGAUGGAUUUCUUGUAGUUGCCGGCUACCGUGAUGAUCCCCUUCGAGCUCGGCAUCUUCAUCUUCAGGUAGGCAUAGUGGGGUACAGCCAUGAACUUGGCCAAAGCAGGUCGGCCAAGUAAUGCAUGAUAGGGGCUUUCCAAAUCCACCACCUCGAACCACAUUGCUUCCCGGCGAAAGUGAUCUUUAUCUUCGAAGAGAACAUCCAUCUUGAUCUUGCCGAUUGGAGAGCAAGAUAGGCCGGGUACGAUACCAUGGAAGAUGGUGCGGCUUGGCAUGAGCUGCUUCGCUUUGAUGUUCAGCUUGUCCAUGGUAUCACGAUACAGUAUGUUGAUACUGCUUCCGCCGUCUAUCAGGACGCGGGAAAAUCUGGCAGCUCGCCUCUCCGUCGCAAGGGUGACGUCCAAGACCAUAGCAUAGGAGCCAGGCGAAGGCAUCACCUCUGGGUGGUCAGCCUGGCUCCAGCUGAUGGGCUUUUCCGACCAGUGCAUGAACUCGGCGGUGCUAGAGGCGACUGCGUUUACUUCUUGGUGCUGCCGGCGUCGGCUGCGCUUGUCGUCGACUUGACUUGUGAAGACGACGUAGGCGUCGUGCGCUUCGGGGAACUCGUCUUGGAUGGCGCCGACUGCCGGCCGGGCCGCCGGCUGCUGGGGAGCUGGAGGCGGCGGGCCGGGAGGCGGAGGCGGCACCAUCCCUUCGCCUUUGGUGAUGCGAGUGAGCCAGUGGCAUUUCCGUGUUGUAUGGUUGGACGGCUUCGCGCCGCUGUGGAACUUGCAGGGAGCAUCGAGUGCUUGUUCGUAGGAGAAGGACGGCUGCCAGGGCGGCCGGCCACCCUUCUUCUUGGGAGCGGGCCGCUCUUUGGGCCGCUCAUCUUCAAUUGUGGCCACCUGCCGACUGGAGGAAGUCGGCAUGGGGCCCUUGCGCUUGUGGUCGUUCUGGUAGGGGCGCCAGUUAGGGUCGCCAGCCGGUGUCUUGGGAGCCGGAGCAACUACCUUCCCCGAGGCGUCCACUCGGAGCUCGGUCUUUAUGGAGGAGUCGGCAGUGGCAUACUUGUCGGUGAUGACUAGUAGCUCGUCGAGGGUAGCCGGCUCGUCGCAGAGGAGUCGGUGCUUGAGGAGGGUGCCCUCUCGGCACCCGGUAGUGAAGUACUCGAUGGCCUGGACCUCGUGCACUCCCUCGCAGGAGUUGCGGAGCUCGGCCCACCGCGUGAGGUAGUCGCGGGUCGACUCGUUGGGCCCCUGGACGCAGAGGGAGAGCUGGCGAGGCUUGGGAGGCCGCUUGUAGGUGUUGGUGAAGUUGCGGACGAAAACUUCGGUGAAGUCCAGCCAGCUGUUGAUGCUGUAGGGCUUGAGGCUGUUGAGCCAUGUGCGUGCAGUGCCUUGCAGCAUCAAGGGGACGUACUUCACGGCAACGCGCCGAUUGCCGUUGGCGAUGCUGACGGCUGUGGAGUAGUCGAUGAGCCAAUCUUCCGGCUUCACCGAGCCGUUGUACUUGGGUGUGUCUCUGGGAAGCGAGAACCCUUUGGGGAAGGGCUCGUCGCGGAUGCGGGGGCCAAAGCAUGGCGGGCCGACAUCGUCUUCUUCUUCUAGCGCCAAGGAUCGAGCAAGGCGGUCGAUCCUGUGGCGGGCGUCGUUUUCGCCGACUCCUUCUCGGCGGCCGAGUCGGUCGCCAAGAGUCGGAUGGGUGACAGGCGGUGGAGUGAGGCGUCUUUCUCUUCGAGGCGGGGCAGGAGGCAGGUUUCCCUGGUGCUCUACAGCUCGAGGGCGGCCAUCCGCGUCGCGCUCGAUGGUAAUGCGAGUCCGGCUGCGGCUGGCAGCCGGCUCCUUGUCUUUCUUCUGGUGCGCACCGCUCGCGGUCGGCGAGCGGGACGUCGCGGCGUGCUCCCGGCGCGGGGGAUGGCUAUCAGCUCGGGUGCCGACUUCAUGCCGUUCUGCAGCCGCGUCGAUCAGCUGCUGGAUCCGUCUUGUCAUGUAAGGGAGCUCGUCGGCUCCCAGCCCAUUGAGCUCCUCUACGGCCACCUGAGCGGCUCGCAGGUUCUCGAGCGGGGUGGCGUAGACGGGGCGAUCCGCGCCCAGCAUGCUGGCAACGGCUGCGCCGCGCUUCUGGACGAAGCCGGCUCGGCUCGGGCCGCUAGGCGGCGGCGUCCCGAAGGCAGCGCGGUCGACUUCGCGCUGGUGGGCCUCGGUGAGGCGUCUCAUCGAGGCUAUCUUCUUGCUCUCCGCGAUGAGGGCAAGGCGGCGUGCCUCCAGGGUCUCGGCGUCGGCGUCGGUCGGGAUGGGGACGGAGAGGUCGUGCAUCGCCGCUUGCUGAGCGUCGCGGGCGUUCUCGCCCGAGUUGGAGACGUGGCUGAUGACCAGCACUUCGGUGACAGCGCUGCUGCCGCUGUCAGCUCGAGGGAGGGGGUCGUCGAAAACCACCAUGUCGGAGGGGUAGGCGUCGAGCGACGCGGUGUCGGAGUCGACGAGCAUCGGGUCGGUGGAGCCGACCGACUCCAUGUCCGCGGCAGGCUCGCUGGAGACGUGAAGUUGGUCGAGGAGGCUGACGAGGCGGCUCUCGGGGUAGUCGGUGCCUGCGUCGGACGCAGGCUCGUCGGAGAUGCGAGUCUCGCCAAGCAGAUCGGCGAGACGGCUCGCUGUGCAGGCGUCGUCGACGCCUUGCAGCGCGUCGGGGCAAGCGCCAUCGGGCGCAGCAGGCUGGCUGCGCUCGCGGGGAAGGAAGAGGGUUCCCGUCCAGAACAGGUCUCCGGACGACGGUGCACUUGGCCCCAUGGUGGGCGCCAAAUGUCGGGUGGUUGGUGCGACAUAUGCCAAGCGAUGGCUUAUCAUUGUGGGAGCCAAUAAAACAUCGCCGGUGCCUGGAAACGGGAUGAGGCGAAGACAUGCACGCCGGCGAAUCUUACCCAGGUUCGGGGCUCUCCGAGGAGAUAACACCGCUAGUCCUGCUCUGCGGGGUCUCCGCAUGAUCACUAGAUCGAUAAAGAGUAGCUACAAUCGCUCCUAGAGCUGUUGAGGUCAAGGGAGAAGAAGAACAAGGCUAGCUCUUGCUUCUCUCUAUCUAUGGUGUGGGUGCAAUGCGUGGGUGUUAACCUAGAAGCCAACUAUGCUCCGAGGCCAACCCAGAAGCGAACCCUUUGCAUGGGUGCUCCGGGGGGUUUAUAUAGGCCUACCCCCCGGGGGUACAACGGUAAUCCGACUGGGAAUAGGUCCCAACCGUCAGUGUCCACGCUCGCCGGCUUCUCCGCCGGCUGCUGGGUCCCGCCAGCUAGUGGGUCCCGCCGGCUGCCGGCUACUCGGCCGACAGGCCGGUCCCACCGCCUAGGGUCUUGUCGGCGGCUGCUUACUGUAGCCGCGCCUCUGAUGAUGAGGGCUUUGUCGAGGUAAGCAUGGCUACAGUGGGCCGCCUCGGGGGCUAUCACUGUAGCCUCACCUCGUCUUGUCUCCUUAAUGGGGCUCCCGCUUCGAGGAAGGGAGUAGCCGGCUUCUGGAGGCCGGCUAUACUCUUGGCCGACUAGGAAAAGCCGGGCCCUCCUCGCGCCUCUCGCUGACUGAAGGGGCCCGCAGUCCUCAGGCCGUACAGGAGUGGGUCGCGGAUGACGUCGAGGCUAGCGUGGCUACAGUGCCGAGCCGCACGGGAGACGUCCCUCCCGUACGGCCUCCUGUAGCCAUGCCCGCCUCGGGCUUUGGGGGUCGUGGGCCGCACUGUGGCCAUACCCCGUCAGGUCGCCGUUAUGUAGGAGUGGUUGUGGUCUCGGCCGGCUCCUUGGAGUCGGCGUCCUUCUUGGCCGGCUUCUUGGAGUCGGCCACCCCGCGGUCGUCCUGGAGAGGAGUCGGCGAGGCUGGGUCGCCUUCCGGGAGUCGGCUUUAGUGGUAGCCGGCCAGGGAAGGCGGCCCAAAUGCUUGGAGUGCUUGAAGGCCCAAAAGGCCUGAUAAAUUUUCUGAAGAGCCAGGGGUAGUCGGUUAGGCUACCCAUGGCCAUUCCCUCCGACAGCCGACCAGGGCCAGGCCCACCUCUCUCCUAGGUGGUCCCAACCUGCCCUGUCGCUCCGCCACAAAGUAACAGUCGGGGGCCGUCAGGAACCCAGGCCCACCUCUACCGGGAUGGAGCCACCUGUCCUUUCAGCUCCCUCAUCAGAAUCACUUGCGGGUACUCCUCGAGCCGAGCCGACUUUAGUCACCACAUGUGUCAUGUAUAUAAAGUAUAUAGUAUAUACCCGUGAUCACCUCCCGAAGUGAUCACGGCCCAGUAGUAUAGCAUGGCAGACGGACAAGAAUGUAGGGCCACUGAUGGAAAAACUAGCAUCCUAUUCUAAGCUGUAGGAUAGCAGGUAAGGCUAACAACUGUAGCAACAAUGAGAGGUUAUGCAACAGAAUAGGGUUAACCGAAAGCAGUAACAUGCUACACUACUCUAAUGCAAGCAGUAUAGAGAAAAAUAGGCGAUAUCUGGUGAUCAAGGGGGGGCUUGCCUGGUUGCUCUGGCAAGUAGGAGGGGUCGUCUUCGAUGUAGUCGAACACACGAACAUCGGCAGCGGUCUCGAAGUCUACCGGAAAGAAGUAACGGAGGGGGAACACAAUAAAUAACAGAGCAAUCAAAUGUAACACAAAGCAAGACGGCGGCGAUACGUUGUGCUAGGGGUGACCUAACGUAGGGAUAGGUGAUACCGGCGAAAGGGGAAACAUCCGGGAAAAUAUCCCCGGUGUUUCGCGUUUUUGGACAGAUGAACCGGAGGUGAAAUGUUGCAGGUUCGCUAUGCUAGGGACGCGUGGCUGGUGAACAGGUUGCGUAUUCGGAUUCGUCUCGUCGUUCUGAGCAACUUUCAUGUACAAAGUAUUUUCAUCCGAGUUAUGGAUUAUUUUAUAUGAUUUUUAUAAGUUUAAAUGAUUUUCUAAAUUUCCAGGAUUUAUUUUAAUUCGAAAAUAAAAGAGAAAUUGCUAAAUGUACCCAGCCCUGUGCACACAGCAGUUUACACAGGGGCUGACAUGUGGGCCAGGGGGACCCAGUUGACCAGUCAAUGUUUGACUGGUCAACAGGGGGUGGGGCCCCCGUGUCAUUGACAGGUUAGGCUAAACAGGGUUUAAUUAAGUUAACUAGUGAUUAGGUUAUUCUAAUUAUGAUUAAUUAAGUUAAUUAAUUCUUUAAUUAAUUAAUAUUUUUAUUAUAUUUUUUAAUUCUUUUUUUUAUAAAAAUGUUCUGGGCAGUGGGCCCCGUUUGUCAUAGGCCCAAGGCCUUAACGGGGCGGGCGCUAGGCAGCUGAAGCGGGCGCUGGGCGCAGCCCGUCUGACUGGGCGCUCGCCCGAUGCAGCCGCGGGGCAGGGCGCUGCGGGGCACCGGCGGGGGGACGGCGCCAGCGCCAGGGGGUGAAGCGAGGAAGGCAGAGCAGUUGGGGGUGGUGGAGGACGUCGUUCGCGGCCAGAGGUCCGCGGCGGGCGCGGAGCAAGGCCACGACAGGCGCGGGCCUCGGUGGCCAGAGCAGGGGGAGGCGCGCGGGGCACCUUGGUGCGCGUCGGUGCACGCGCGCGCGACGUGAGUGAGUGGCGGACGGUGGCCGUACGGGAGGAGGGGAAGGAGGAUAGGAGCGGGGGUUCCUCACAGGGGAGCUCCAGGGGGGAGGCAAUGGGCUCGGUGGAGCCGUCGAAGGGGAGUCGAGGACGGGGCGACGGACGAGGCGGAGCAGCUCCGGGCUGCGGCGACGAGCAGCGACGAUGGGUGGUCCGGCGAUGAGGAGGCCUUCGGGCAGCGGCGAGGGGCGAUGUAGCCCAGCGGGGAGGUGGACGAAGAGGCGGGCUACGGGGAGCACCGGCGACGACGGGGCGGCGAAGGACGGGCGCAGGGCGAUGGCGCGCGACGGCGACGGGUCGGUGACUAGGCGAGCUGCGGCUUCAGGCGAUGCCGCACGAGGGAGAGGAGGGAUGCGGAGGAGUCCGGGAGGGGCGGGGCCGGCACCGGCUGGCGAUGGGGUUCCCUGGGCAACGGCAGGCGGCGGCGAGCCUGAUCCCAAUUGGAUCGGGNNNNNNNNNNNNNNNNNNNNNNNNNNNNNNNNNNNNNNNNNNNNNNNNNNNNNNNNNNNNNNNNNNNNNNNNNNNNNNNNNNNNNNNNNNNNNNNNNNNNNNNNNNNNNNNNNNNNNNNNNNNNNNNNNNNNNNNNNNNNNNNNNNNNNNNNNNNNNNNNNNNNNNNNNNNNNNNNNNNNNNNNNCGGCUGGCGAUGGGGUUCCCUGGGCAACGGCAGGCGGCGGCGAGCCUGAUCCCGAUUGGAUCGGGGGAGAGGGAGAGUGGGGGCGUGUAGUGGAGCGAGUGGGGGUGGGGGUUAGGGUUUCGGGGGGUGGAGGAGGCCUAGUAGGCCAGGGGGUGCGGAAGUGAGUCGGCUGGGCCGACUGGCUCCUUCGGCCAACUGGGCCAAGGCCCAGUCGGGGGGUCCUUUAUUUCUUUUCUUUUUCUUUUCUACAGUUUUUAUUUUAUUUUUGCUCUGGUUUGUUAAUUGCUUAACCACCAAAGGACUUUUGUAAAUCAUGUAGCUUGUCACAUGAACAUCAUUGCAUUAUAUAGCAAUGCCACAAAAAGCUGAAGGUCUUUCGAAAAGGUUUAAUUAUUUUAGAAAUCGAAAAGGCCAAGUGAUGUGCCGUUGGUCCACUGUUUUAAUUUCUAGGGGCAUUUCUGGAGUUGCUAAAUUGUUGGUUUUAUUUUUAUAACAGCUUUGGUAAUUUUUGCAAUAUUGUGAACAUUUUAGUUUUUAGUGUUUGAAAACUUUUGUUGUUUGUUUUUAUUUUAUAUUUGAAUUUGAAUUGUCUUGAACUAACGCUAGUUUAUCAACAGUAACCUAGGUGACGUGGUAUCAUUAGUAGAGGUUUACUGUAGCCUAAAUAUCCGGGCGUCACAAAUCUCCUCCACUACAAGAAAUCUCGUCCCGAGAUUUAAGAGGGGGACUAGGGAGGAAAGUGAUUUGGUUACGAAAUUCUAACGAGUCAUCUCGGUCUUGGUUGCUCUUCUCGAAGAGGUCAAUCCAUUACGUGGGUGUCUUCAUUUCUCUGCUUUGGUCAUCAUGACGAUGUUGGCAUCCUUUCUUCGGGAGCUCCAUCGUACUUACGAAUAGGAAAGGGGCAGCCUGACAAUGAUAGAACGCUACCAGGGGUAAUCACCGGGGGUUAUCCCACGAAUGAACAUAUGAGUAUCUCUCGAGUUGAACGAAUAAAACAUGCCAAGAGCAAAGUAAUAUGGUACAAUAAGAAGUUUCAAACGGGUAGAUAGUUGCUCGAAGUCUGAACCAGAGAGGAAAAGGGGUUCAGAGCAGCGAGAGUAAGUAUUGCGUUUGAUACCAGAAUAGAGCACUAGGAAGGUGGCCCGUGAAUUAAAUACGAACCCAAGUGUGAGGAAUAACCAUUACAGACAGGGUUGUACAAGAGAGUCAGGUUUUGAUCCUGUGGAACUGUGGGUUAUGGGCCCACCAUGUGGGUUAAAAGUAGGAAGGGCGGAGACGUCUUGCGCGAUCANNNNNNNNNNACGGGAAGAUAUCACAACACAACUCUACAACAUAAAUAAGUCAUACAAGCAUCAUAAUACAAGCCAGGGGCCUCGAGGGCUCGAAUACAAGUGCUCGAUCAUAGACGAGUCAGCGGAAGCAACAAUAUCUGAGUACAGACAUAAGUUAAACAAGUUUGCCUUAAGAAGGCUAGCACAAACUGGGAUACAGAUCGAACGAGGCGCAGGCCUCCUGCCUGGGAUCCUCCUAACUACUCCUGGUCGUCGUCAGCGGGCUGCACGUAGUAGUAGGCACCUCCAGUGUCGUAGGAGUCGUCGUCGACGGUGGCGUCUGGCUCCUGGACUCCAGCAUCUGGUUGCGACAACCAGGUAGGAAGGAAAAGGGGGAAAAGAGGGAGAGAGGCAACCGUGAGUACUCAUCCAAAGUACUCGCAAGCAAGGAGCUACACUACAUAUGCAUGGGUAUAUGUGUAAAGGGCCAUAUCAGUGGACUGAACUGUAGAAUGCCAGAAUAAGAGGGGGAUAGCUAGUCCUGUCGAAGACUACGCUUCUGGCCAUCUCCAUCUUGCAGCAUGUAGAAGAGAAUAGAUGGUAAGUUCACCAAGUAGCAUCGCAUAGCAUAAUCCUACCCGGCGAUCCCCUCCUCGUCGCCCUGUUAGAGAGCGAUCACCGGGUUGUAUCUGGCACUUGGAAGGGUGUGUUUUAUUAAGUAUCCGGUUCUAGUUGUCAUAAGGUCAAGGUACAACUCCGGGUCGUCCUUUUACCGAGGGACACGGCUAUUCGAAUAGAUAAACUUCCCUGCAGGGGUGCACCAUAUAACCCAACACGCUCGAUCCCAUUUGGCCGGACACACUUUCUUGGGUCAUGCCCGACCGCGAAAGAUCAACACGUCGCAGCCCCAUCUAGGCUCAACAGAGAGGUCAACACACCGAUCUAAAUCCUAUGCGCGCACGGGUCUGGGCCCAUCGCCCAUUGCACACCUGCACGUUGCGUACGCGGCCGGAAGCAGACCUAGCCUAGCAGGCGUUCCAGUCCAAUCCGGCGCGCGCCGCUCCGUCGCUGACGUCAAGAAGAGCUUCGGCUGAUACCACGACGUCGAGUGCCCAUAACUGUUCCCGCGUAGUUGGUUAGUGCGUAUAGACCAAAUGGCCAGACUCAGAUCAAAUACCAAGAUCUUGUUAAGCGUGUUAAGUAUCCGCGAACGCCGACCAGGGCCAGGCCCACCUCUCUCCUAGGUGGUCCCAACCUGCCCUGUCGCUCCGCCACAAAGUAACAGUCGGGGGCCAUCAGGAACCCAGGCCCACCUCUACCGGGAUGGAGCCACCUGUCCUUUCAGCUCCCUCAUCAGAAUCACUUGCGGGUACUCCUCGAGCCGAGCCGACUUUAGUCACCACAUGUGUCAUGUAUAUAAAGUAUAUAGUAUAUACCCGUGAUCACCUCCCGAAGUGAUCACGGCCCAGUAGUAUAGCAUGGCAGACGGACAAGAAUGUAGGGCCACUGAUGGAAAAACUAGCAUCCUAUUCUAAGCAGUAGGAUAGCAGGUAAGGCUAACAACUGUAGCAACAAUGAGAGGCUAUGCAACAGAAUAGGGUUAACCGAAAGCAGUAACAUGCUACACUACUCUAAUGCAAGCAGUAUAGAGAAGAAUAGGCGAUAUCUGGUGAUCAAGGGGGGGCUUGCCUGGUUGCUCUGGCAAGUAGGAGGGGUCGUCUUCGAUGUAGUCGAACACACGAACAUCGGCAGCGGUCUCGAAGUCUACCGGAAAGAAGUAACGGAGGGGGAACACAAUAAAUAACAGAGCAAUCAAAUGUAACACAAAGCAAGACGCGGCGAUACGUUGUGCUAGGGGUGACCUAACGUAGGGAUAGGUGAUACCGGCGAAAGGGGAAACAUCCGGGAAAAUAUCCCCGGUGUUUCGCGUUUUCGGACAGAUGAACCGGAGGUGAAAUGUUGCAGGUUCGCUAUGCUAGGGACGCGUGGCUGGCGAACAGGUUGCAUAUUCGGAUUCGUCUCGUCGUUCUGAGCAACUUUCAUGUACAAAGUAUUUUCAUCCGAGUUACGGAUUAUUUUAUAUGAUUUUUAUAAGUUUAAAUGAUUUUCUAAAUUUCCAGGAUUUAUUUUAAUUCGAAAAUAAAAGAGAAAUUGCUAAAUGUACCCAGCCCUGUGUACACAGCAGUUUACACAGGGGCUGACAUGUGGGCCAGGGGGACCCAGUUGACCAGUCAAUGUUUGACUGGUCAACAGGGGGUGGGGCCCCCGUGUCAUUGACAGGUUAGGCUAAACAUGGUUUAAUUAAGUUAACUAGUGAUUAGGUUAUUCUAAUGAUGAUUAAUUAAUUUAAUUAAUUCUUUAAUUAAUUAAUAUUUUUAUUAUUGUUAUUAUAUUUUUUAAAUUCUUUUUUUUAUAAAAAUGUUCUGGGCAGUGGGCCCCGUUUGUCAUAGGCCCAAGGCCUUAACGGGGCGGGCGCUAGGCGGCUGAAGCGGGCGCUGGGCGCAGCCCGUCUGAUAGGGCGCUCGCCCGAUCCAGCCGCGGGGCGACGGCGCCAGCGCCAGGGGGUGAAGCGAGGAAGGCGGAGCAGUUGGGGGUGGCGGAGGACGCCGUUCGCGGCCAGAGGUCCGCGACGGGCGCGGAGCAAGGUCACGACAGGCGCGGGCCUCGGUGGCCAGAGCAGGGGGAGGCGCGCGGGGCACCUUGGUGCGCGUCGGCGCACGUGCUUGCGACGUGAGGGAGUGGCGGACGGUGGCCGUACGGGAGGAGGGGAAGGAGGAUAGGAGGGGGGUUCCUCACAGGGGAGCUCCAGGGGGAAGGCAAUGGGCUCGGUGGAGCCGUCGAAGGGGAGUCGAGGACGGGGCGACGGACAAGGCGGAGGAGCUCCGGGCUGCGGCGACGAGCAGCGACGGCGGGUGGUCCGGCGAUGGGGAGGCCUUCAGGCAGCGGCGAGGGGCGAUGUAGCCCAGCGGGGAGGUGGACGAAGAGGCGGGCUACGGGGAGCACCGGCGACGACGGGGCGGCGAAGGACGGGCGCAGGGCGAUGGCGCGCGACGGCGACGGGUCGGUGACUAGGCGAGCCGCGGCUUCAGGCGAUGCCGCACGAGGGAGAGGAGGGAUGCGGAGGAGUCCGGGAGGGGCGGGGCCGGCNNNNNNNNNNNNNNNNNNNNNNNNNNNNNNNNNNNNNNNNNNNNNNNNNNNNNNNNNNNNNNNNNNNNNNNNNNNNNNNNNNNNNNNNNNNNNNNNNNNNNNNNNNNNNNNNNNNNNNNNNNNNNNNNNNNNNNNNNNNNNNNNNNNNNNNNNNNNNNNNNNNNNNNNNNNNNNNNNNNNNNNNNNNNNNNNNNNNNNNNNNNNNNNNNNNNNNNNNNNNNNNNNNNNNNNNNNNNNNNNNNNNNNNNNNNNNNNNNNNNNNNNNNNNNNNNNNNNNNNNNNNNNNNNNNNNNNNNNNNNNNNNNNNNNNNNNNNUGAUCCCGAUUGGAUCGGGGGAGAGGGAGAGUGGGGGCGUGUAGUGGAGCGAGUGGGGGCGGGGGGUUAGGGUUUCGGGGGGUGGAGGAGGCCUAGUAGGCCAGGGGGUGCGGGAGUGAGUCGGCUGGGCCGACUGGCUCCUUCGGCCAACUGGGCCAAGGCCCAGUCGGGGGGUCCUUUUUUUCUUUUUUUCUUCUUUUCUACAGUUUUUAUUUUAUUUUUGCUCUGGUUUGUUAAUUGCUUAACCACCAAAGGACUUUUGUAAAUCAUGUAGCUUGUCACAUGAACAUCAUUGCAUUAUAUAGCAAUGCCACAAAAAGCUGAAGGUCUUUCGAAAAGGUUUAAUUAUUUUAGAAAUCGAAAAGGCCAAGUGAUGUGCCGUUGGUCCACUGUUUUAAUUUCUAGGGGCAUUUCUAGAGUUGCUAAAUUGUUGGUUUUGUUUUUAUAACAGCUUUGGUAAUUUUUGCAAUAUUGUGAACAUUGUAGUUUUUAGUGUUUGAAAACUUUUGUUGUUUGUUUUUAUUUUAAAUUUGAAUUUGAAUUGUUUUGAACUAACGCUAGUUUAUCAACAGUAACCUAGGUGACGUGGCAUCAUUAGCAGAGGUUUACUGUAGCCUAAAUAUCCGGGCGUCACAGCCUACCAAGUUGAUGCGUACACAAUCAGGAGAUGAUUGUACGUGGAGAGGAUGACAGCAGGGACCCGCCAAGGUCAUGGCAGUACGCAAGCAAGUGCCUCCUUAUCUGAAGCCAAUAAAAAAUGGCUCCUCCUAAUGGAUUUCUGACAUCUGGGUCCCAGGCCAUUGUCAACGUAGUCAAUAAACGAGAGAAUUGCACAACGAGCGGCUAACACCAGGGACCCAGCAGCUCGCCCAGUUAUUUUUGUUUUGGGUUAAUUUGAUAAAUGCCACUCCAAAUCUGGUGUUUCUGAGAAAUGCCACUGCAAUUUCCAAACUUUGAAAAAUGCCAUUUUGUAAGUGCAUCUAGUGCCCUUAGUGAUUUUGGUGUAUUGAAGACUUAUAGGUUAAGGGACUAAUGUGUUUAUGAGUGUACACAGGUCUAUAAGUCUAUGAGGAGUUUGAUAUUUACAGAGAAAGUCGACCCCUAAAAAUGAAGUUCUUCGACUGAAGACUUUGGAUUUCUGAAGACUUUCGGAAGACUUUGAAAGUGAAGAAAUUGGUGUGACCUUGAAGACUUGGUAUUCAUUUGAGGAACAUGAAGCGUGAAGACUUUUGUUUUCGUAGUUCCAUUUUCUCUUUCUUGAGUCAUAGGAAACACCGUACUGUAAAAGGGGGUUGAGGAAAUACUAAGGAAAAAUUUCCAUGUGAUGCUCAACUCAAAAUCCUACACCUACCAAUCCCUUCGAGUGAAGCCAUUGGAAAUCUCAUACAGUUUAGUCAAUUUCUUCAGUGACAGAGACGAAGUCCUUCUGGUCUCUGAGGAAUUUGUUCUGACUAAGGAGUUAGGAAUUCGCCAGUGCGGAUUGCCUACACGGUGAGGAACAUGAUAGCCCUGAGAAAUUUGAUACUCAAAUUUCCGACCGUUGCUGUGUUAUGCGCCAGCUGUUCCAAAAUAUCUACCCACCUAACGGUCAUAUCAUUGAAGGGCAUUUAUGUCUUAUCAUGUCGGGCUGCUCCCUAGGCUAUAAAUAGCCGCCCCCUACAACCACUAGCUGGUUGGCUGCUCCGAGAGAAACUGACACUUGUCAUUUGAGAGCAUCCCAUCCUCCGAGGACUUUGAGCGAAAAUCAUCAAGUGAGGAAAACCCAAACCUAAACACCCACAAACCCAAAGUGAUUGAGCAUCACUGAAGAGAUUGAUCUUGUGUGGAUUCGACGCUUGUUACCUCUGAAGACUGUGCUUCUUCUAGACAGUUAGGCGUCAUGGUCUAGAGCAUCCAAGAGGAAAUUGUGGAUCGCCGAGUGACCGAGUCUGUGAAGGUUUGGAAGUCACCUGAAGACUUACCACGAGUGAUUGGGCGAGGUCUGUGUGACCUUAGCUCAAGGAGAAUACGGUGAGGACUGUGUGUCCGGGACUGUGUGUCCUCAGGUUUAAAUACCUAGCCGCUCCAACCAGACGUACAAUUGAGACAGCAGUUGGAACUGGUCUACCAAAUCAUUGUCUUCACCAAGCUUACUGGUUCUAUUUCCUCAACUCUUUCAUUUCCUCAUAACUGUGUUGUGCACUUGUUCAUAUCUGUGUUUGAAGACUUUGACUGAAGACUUUCUCAAUUUCCUCAGUUCAAUUUCUUCAGUCUGUUUGUCUUCAUCUUGUGCUAUCCUAUGUUUACGCUUCUGUACUAUGUGCUUGUCUUCAUUUCAUCAUGAUGAUCAUGCUUGUGUUUUGCUAUGCAUACUUUUGAGUACUUAUUCCGCUGCAAGUAGUUCUUCGCUAAGGAAUUUCCUCAUUGGCAAAUUCCUCAGUGAAGAAUUCAUAAAAAUCGGCUAUUCACCCCCCUCUAGUCGAUAACGCACUUUCAUUUGGUAUCAGAGCAAGGUACUCCCUUGUUCUGUGUGAUUUUGGUUUAACCGCCUGGAGUUUUAGUUAUGUCGACCGCAGGUAUGAUCAAGGUCUCUGCUGGGUGUCCUACCUUUGAUGGGACGGACUACCCCUACUGGAAGAAUAAGAUGCGAAUGCAUCUUGAGGCAAUUGAUAACGAUCUCUGGCAUGUUGUGGAAAUGGUGUUCCCUCUGUCUCACCCUCACUGAAUGCUACCGAUGUGAAGAGAUUCAAGCAACUCGAUUCUCAAGCGAAGAAUAUCAUAUGUGGCCAUCUGAGCAAAGAACAGUAUGGAAGAGUGAGUGCUUUGGAAACUACUAAGCUUAUCUGGGAUAGGCUGUCCAAAGUGAAUGAAGGAGUCUCAACUCAGCGUGACUCUCGAGUUGAUGAUCUUCGCAAUCUCUUCAACCGCUUCAAAAGACUCGACAAUGAAAAUGUUCAACAAACCUUCGAUCGCCUCACUGACAUCUCAAAUGAGCUUCAAGCGCUUGGUGCCACUGACAUCACCGACCAUGAGGUGGUGAAGAAAUUUUUUAGAUCGCUUGAUUCCUCAUUUGAUACUCUGGCAUUGAUGAUACAAGAACGUGCUGAUUACAAGUCACUGGACCCCGCUGAUUUCCUCGAAAGGCUAAAUACUCAUGAGUUCCAGCUUGCUGAAAAGAGAGACCUCUAUGGUUCGAGCUAUGGCAGAUCACGUGCACUAAAGGCCAAGGCAGUUUCUGAGUCUGAAGAUGAAGACUCUGGCAGCAGCCUUGGUGAUCCUGAAGAACUAAGCCAGGAACUAGCACUGCUCAUGAAAAAAUUUCAAAAGUUCUCAAGACGUGGUCGCUUUGGAAGAUUCUCAAGGAGCAAUGAUUCCUCAUCCAGUGACUACAAGAAGAGGCUUUGUCACAAAUGCAAGAAACCUGGACACUACAUUCAAGAGUGUCCUCGGUGGGAAAAGGAAUCAAAGAAGAAGAAAUACAAGGAUUACAGUUCUGAUGAUGCGAAGAAAAAGAAGAAAUCCUCAAAAUCUUCAUCAUCAAAAUCCUCAAAGUCUUCAUCUCACAAGAAGAGCAGCUCCAAGAAGGCUCGGCCAUUCAUUGGCAAGGAAAUGGACUCUGAAGCUGAAUCUGAGGAACAUGAGGAAGAGGAGGCAUCUGAGGAGUCUGAGUCUGGAGUAGCGAGUCUAGCUCUCGCUACUGCAUUCGUCAGCAAGUCUAUCUUCAACUCUGAAGAAAAUGGCUUCACCAACAAGGCUAAUGAAGGCAAUGAUGACUACGCUCCCACCUAUUGCUUCAUGGCAAAGGGUGCCAAGGUACUCAAAUAUACCUCCUCUGAAUCUAGUGAGAAUGAAUCUGAUGAAAACCUCAAGCCCAGCUACUCUAAACUUGCUAAGAUUGCUGUGAAACAACAAAGGGCUUUUGAAAAGGUUCAAAACAUGCUAGACAAAAGUGAUGAUAUGUUGGGUGAAGAAAUGGAUCGCACUAAAACCUUGACUGAAAAUCUUCAGAGACUUCAGACUAGGUUUGACAACCUUCAAGCUCAUCAUAACACUCUCUUAUCUGAUCAUGAGAAGCUUUCUUAUGAAUUUCUUCAAAGAAAGCAAGAUCUUGAGAAGCUAAGAGUGAGUUAUGAAGAUCUUCAGAAGGAGCGCGAUUCAUUACUUGCUCAACAAAUCAGCGCUGCUCAGGAAGAAUUUGUUCCUCCAUGUUUGAAAUGCAUUGAACGUGAAUCUGCUAAUUCUUCACCUGAAUGUUCAAAUGCUUCUAAUGCUACAAAUUCCUCACCUGCCUCUGCUAUCACUAAUUCCUCAUCUGAGGACAUUGCUAGUAUCACUGAUGAUGCAGGGCUGAAGAAACUGUACAUGACAGGCAUGUACAAAAGCCUCAAAGGGCAUCAGACUCUUUGUGAUGUGCUCAAAAAGCAGAUCCUCAACAGGAACCCCAGGAAAGAGGGUAUUGCCUUUGAGAGGAAACUCAAUGCUGAUGGUACAUAUUGGAAGCCUGAGCAAUACCCCAAAACCUCAUGGGUUGCUGCAAAGGGACCUCCAGUUGAUCCAUCUAAUUUAUCUGGCUUUACAUGUGAAUCUUCUCAUUCUUCCGAUGAGUCACUUGACUCCAACUAUAAACUGUUUAAAAAUCAGAAUGGUGAAGUAUUUGCUAGAUAUGUUGGCACUAACUGCAGGAACGGUUCUCCUAUGAAGAAAAUCUGGGUUCCCAAAAGGUGCCUUGAAAGUCUUCAGGUGAAUGUCCUCAUGACACCCCCUGUGAAGAAUAGGAACCCCAGAUCAAAUUCUUCAUAUGGACCAAACUCUUCAUAUGGAUCCAAGUCCUCAUACGGAUCGAAUUCCUCACGUGGAUCAUAUUCCUCAAGAGGAUCAAAGUCCUCAUAUGAACAUCAUCGUGCUAACAACUCUGUUUCGCAGGGAAGAGCUAAGGGCUAUGAAUAUGAGCAUUAUUCUUCUAAUCAUUAUGUUCAUAAGUCCUCGAAGAAUUUCUCUGCUUAUUCAUAUGCUUACCCUAACUCCUCUUAUGUGAAACGAAAUGGAUUGGCUUCUAUGCCACCUUUCUCGUAUGGAGCUCGCAGAGUGAUGAACUCUUUGCCACCCCUUCAGAUGUGGGUGGUGAAGAAAAAGAACUAAUCUUUUAUGCAGGGUCAGGUCUCCAAACGUACUUAAACGUCUGAAGAAUUUGCUGGAGACCUGAAAAAUGCCUGAAAGGACGCAGGCUAAUCAUGAAGAAAUGAACUUUCAUUUCUCACGUCCUCAUACUGCUUUAACUAUUGCAUUGCUUGAUGAAAUUGGUCUGAUUAAUUGUGAUGUCAUAUUCUUCAUUGAUGAAGUAUAUGAAGUUCGUAAGCUGCACUAAUUCAUCUACAGGAUGAUCAACCCAAAGCCACUGAGUGGGUCCUCGAUAGUGGAUGUACAAAUCACAUGACUAGUGACAAGAAUCUAUUGAUGGAUGCUCCCUUAUCACCAUCGCAUCUGAAGCAUAUCAUCUUCGCUGACAAAGGCAAAAGUCAGGUAUUGGGUCUAGGUAAGGUUGCGAUCACAAAGGAUCGACACAUGGACAAAGUCAUGCUUGUCGAGUCCUUAGGAUACAACCUCAUGCCUGUCUCAAUGCUUUGUGAUCUUGAUAUGGUUGUUGUCUUUGGCAAGUAUCAUUGUGUUGUGGUUAUGGAAGCUGACAAUUCCAAAGUCUUCAAAGGCUUUAGGAGAGGAGACUUGUAUAUUGUUGAUUUCUCUACAGGACCGCAACCAGCCAUGUGCCUACUUGCAAAAGCUUCAGAAGGCUGGCUAUGGCAUCGACGACUUGGUCAUGCAGGCAUGAGGAAUUUGCACACGCUUGCGAAGAAGAAGCAUGUCAUUGGCAUUGAGAAUGUCAAAUUCCUCAAGGAUCACUUGUGUGGAGCUUGUGAAGCUGGAAAGAUGACCAAGGCUAAGCAUCCAGCGAAGACUAUCAUGACCACUACUCGACCAUUUGAAUUGCUUCAUAUGGAUCUCUUCGGUCCUAACCAUUACUCUGCAGUCACAAAUGACGCAUCUCUCUAUGGCUUUGUUAUUGUUGAUGAUUACUCUCGUUACACAUGGGUACAUAUUGUCACUUACAAACAUGAAGUGCAGGAAGUCUUCAAACGAUUUUCCUCAAGGGCUUCAACCAACUUUGGUGUGAAGAUCAAGCACAUCAGAAGUGACAAUGGAACUGAGUUCAAGAAUUCUGGUCUUGAUGACUAUCUUGAUGAACUUGGCAUUACUCAUGAGUUAUCUGCUCCUUACACUCCUUAGCAGAAUGGCGUCGUGGAGCACAAGAACAGAACUCUUGUUGAGAUGGCUCGCACUAUGCUUGACGAGUACAAGACGCCUCGUCACUUCUGGAUUGAGGCAAUUUAUACUGCGUGCCACAUCAUCAACAGGGUAUAUCUUCACAAAUUCUUCAAGAAGACUGCCUAUGAACUCCUCACUGACAAGAAACCCAAUGUGAGUUAUUUCAAAGUCUUCGGUGCUAAAUGUUGGAUUAGAGAUCCUCAUCACAAUGCUAAAUUUGCACCGAAAGCACAUGAAGGUUUUAUGCUUGGUUACGGAAAGGACUCGCACACCUACAGAGUCUUCAACAACGUUCUUCACAAGGUUGCUGAAACUGUAGAUGUGCGGUUCGAUGAAACUAAUGGCUCACAAAGAGAGCACCUACCUUUUGUGAUAGAUGAACCAGCACCUGAGGAAUCUAUCAAGUUCAAGGCUACUGAGGAUGUCAUUCCUACCAAAGAAUCUGCUGAAGAAUUCAUUCCAGGACGUGAAGAACGUCGAGCUAAUGCACCUGAAGAAAAUGCUAAAGAAAAUGGUGCUGAAGAAAAUGCUGAUCAAAUUCCUCGAUGACAACCAACUCACCCUCGCGUUGCAAAAGAAGUGCAAGUUGAAAAGAUCAUCGAUGACAUUGAAGCACCAGGUCCUCUCACACGCUCAAAAGCUUCACAUUUAUCUAACUUUUGUGGGCACUAUGCUUUUGUCUCUAUCACAGAGCCCACUAAGGUAGAUGAAGCAUUCCUGGAGCCUGAGUGGAUUCAGGCCAUGCAAGAAGAAUUACAUCAAUUCGAACUCAACAACGUUUGGGAACUAGUUAAACGUCCAGAUCCUCGCAAACACAAUAUCAUUGGCACAAAGUAGAUCUACCGCAACAAGCAAGAUGAAAAUGGCCUUGUGGUGAGGAAUAAGGCAAGGCUUGUAGCUCAAGGCUACACACAGGUUGAAGGAAUUGAUUUCGAUGAAACUUUUGCACGUGUUGCUAGACUUGAAGCUAUUCGCAUAUUACUUGCUUAUGCUAACCAGCAUGAUAUCACUUUAUAUCAAAUGGAUGUGAAAAGUGCAUUCCUCAAUGGUAAGCUUGAGGAAGAAGUAUAUGUUGCUCAACCCCCAGGUUCUGAAGAUCCAAAGCAUCCUGACAAAGUCUUCAGACUCAAUAAGGCCCUCUAUGGCCUCAAGCAGGCCCCUCGGGCAUGGUAUGAUACUUUGAAGGAAUUCCUCAUGAAGAAAGGCUUCAAACCCGGUUCACUCAACCCUACUCUUUUCACUAAAUCUUAUGAUGAUGAAUUAUUUGUGUGCCAAAUAUAUGUUGAUGAUAUUAUCUUUGGCUGUACUGACCAACGUUAUAGUGAUGAAUUUGCCUAUAUAAUGAGUGAAGAAUAUCAAAUGUCUAUGAUGGGAGAGUUGAAAUUCUUAGGUCUUCAAAUUCGUCAACAGCGCAAUGGCAUAUUCAUAUCUCAGGAGAAAUACCUCAAGGAUGUACUGAGGAAAUUUGGCAUGCAAGAUUGCAAAGGCGUCAAAAUUCCGAUGCCCACAAAUGGCCAUCUGUGCACUGAUGAAAAUGGUAUUGAUUUCGAUCAAAAGGUAUACCGCUCCAUGAUUGGUUCUUUAUUGUAUUUAUGUGCAUCUAGGCCAGAUAUUAUGCUUAGUGUUUGCAUGUGUGCCUGAUUUCAAGCUACACCGAAGGAAUCUUACCAUAAGGCUGUGAAACAUAUUCUUCGAUAUCUAGCUCACACCCCAACACUUGGAUUAUGGUACCCCAAGGGCUCAGUUUUUGAUCUCAUUGGAUAUUCUGACUCUGACUAUGCCGGUGAUCGUGUGGGCCGCAAGUCAACAUCUGGUACAUCUCAUUUCCUCGGACGAUCUUUGGUCUGUUGGUCCUCGAAGAAACAGAACUGUGUAUCACUGUCUACUGCUGAAGUUGAGUACAUUGCUGCUGGUUCUUGCUGUGCAAAAUUGCUGUGGAUGAAGCAAACUCUCAAGGACUACGGCGUCAACGUGAAGAAUGUGCCUAUCUUCUGUGACAAUGAGAGUGCCAUCAAGAUUGCUCACAACCCAGUUCAGCACUUGAAGACAAAGCACAUUCAGAUUCGUCAUCAUUUUCUUCGCGAUCAUGUGUUGAAGGGCGACAUUUCUAUUGAGCAUGUGAAGACUGAAGAACAGCUAGCCGAUAUCUUCACUAAGCCCUUGGAUGAGAAGAGAUUUAGCAAGUUGCGGUGUGAGCUAAAUAUCCUAGAAUCUUCGAAUGUUCUUUGAAAAGGACACUCAUCCUAACACUUAUGUAAAAUUGAUGACUUAGAUGUGCAACACAUGAAGAAACGUUUUUCUUCAAUCAAUGAAGAAUAACACUCUAAGUGUGAAGAAAUUAACGAAGAAUUUGAUUCUCAGAACCCUACGACAAUUGUACGCGGUGUCUGAAAUCAUCAUUCUUAUACGGUGGGUCACGCCACCACCAAAAGUUGAAAAUCUUCAAUUUGAGUUUUUCCGCAGUUUUGAAAUUCCUCAGUUCUUCAAAAUCUUCACUGUUUCCAUCAUUUUUCUUCAUUGGCUAUAUAUAUAUAUAUAUAUAUAUAUAUAUAUAUAUAUAUAAGAGUUUAUGUCCUCUACAGCAUUCACUUAUUGCUAUUUCUUCAAGUCAUUUUUUUCUGCUAAGUGAAUGUGAUCGGACUCUUCCCCCUCUAUGCUAUACUCAACCCAAUCUAUUCACAAAUUCUUCAUGUGCGUUCUAUUUGAAACUCGUUCAAAAUCUUCACUGUGUCCUUGUCAGCUGAAGAAUUUGCAAACGGAACUUUUAACUUAUCUUAUCAAAAUUUUCGGCUUUGCCGCUCAAACCGUUCCGCAUCCCACGAAUACUUAUCUAUUCACCCACGAUCUAACACGAUCUCCACUUCUCAGUACGUGGGUGACACAUGUCAAGCGAAUGAGAAGGGUCAGGGGCACGUUCGUCCAAUUUCUUCGGGCGAACAGUUUUUCACCGUGGCUAUAAAUACCCCCUCUCCCCUUCCUCACUUCCUUUACUCCGCUCGACCUCUCUCCAGCUCGAGCUUCUCAAACCCUAGCGCCGCCACUACUUCAUCAUCGCCGGUGAGGAAGAGCUUCACUGCCUCGACCUCGUCGCCGUCAUACUCGCGCCGGCCACGGAAAUCUUCACUGCACCGCCGCCGUAGCCGUCUUCCUCCGCCGAGUUAGGGCGUGGAAGAUCUGCACAGACGAACUUCACUUCUCCACCUCACAGUUCGUCGUGUUCUUCGUUCAGGGUAAUUAAAAGUUACUUUUACUGCCCUCUUUGAUUCAAAUGAUUUCUACAAAAUCUUCACACACUAAACACCUCACAUGUCAUCUGAUCUUGAUUCAUUUCUCUAAGCUAUAAUUUCUAUUCAAGAUUCCUCAAUUGUGCGGAUUUCUGAUCUGUACAACUCUGGAACCUAAGACUAAGAAUGCUUAGUGAAAUUCUUCAAGACUCGCCUGGUCAAAUUCCUCAAACUUGUUCUUUUUGAAAAACCUUCUGAGAACGCAUAUGACCUCUCCAAAUUCCUCGCAACUAUACUCUGUUCACAGGUACUCAUGUUCGCAGUUGAAUCAGUAGGUUCUCAUCAACUUAACUCAUUUGCAGCGUUCCUCGAAGAAAAGUUGCAUACUUCUUCAGAAAAUUCAAUUGUCCAAAUUCCUCAUCUGAAGAAAAUGGCUGAUGGAAAGAAGCCACAGAAAUGAGGAAAGAGGCCUGAGAUCAACACUGCAUUUGAAAUCCCUGAGGACAUCUAUGCUGGGUACUGCACACCCCCUGAGGAAGAUAAAAAUCAGCGCAAGGUGUGCAUUCAGAAGAUAGAGAGGAGAUGGGCAAGAGAGUGGAGGGAGUACAGAUAUGUGACUCCCAAGUACAUGAAGAAAUUCGCACUCAAUCCUCCAUGCUCAAGACCUCCGUUGGCACCUGGCCAAGAAGCUGAUCUCACCAGCCUCAAGCGUGGUGAAGAUUAUCCUGAAGAAUGGGCCAAGCGCCAGGCCAAGUUGGCCAAACAAGCAAAAGAUGCAGUGAGGAAAUUCAGCGAGGACUCUGCUGCUGCUGCUGCCUCUGCUGAGGCCUCUGCUGUCAAGCCAAAGAAAUCCAUGGCAAAGAAGCCUGCGCUAAGCCAAGUGCUUCACCGUCAAUGUCCUCACGGCAAAUUCCUCACGCUGCUCCUGCCCCUCCAAAGUCCUCAGCUGCUCCGACCAAAUCCUCAGCACCUGUGCAUCUUGCCACGUGCCAAAGGACUACAGGCUUCUCUAUUGCCUCAGGAGCUUCAGCUAGUUCCUCAGCUGCACCAAAUUCUUCAACAGGACCCUCUCUGCUGAAGACUAAGACCACUGUUGGACGAGGCUCUUACCCAAGUCCUCACAAGGAGCAGGUCGCCUUCCAAGUGCCGUCUGAAGAAGACGAAGCUGAUGAUGAAGAACUUGCUGAAAUCAUCAGAGAUAGGCAAGUCAGGGCCGCUAGAGCCAAGGGCACAAAUGUGCCUCUGCUUUUGGAUCCAAAGUUGAUCCUCGAUUACAUUGAUCUCUAGCACAAGGACCCAAACACUCCUAUGCCUGACUUCAAGCUGACUCCUGGCCAAAGUCAUAUGCUGACUGCCUUCAUCCAAGAAAAAAAAUGGAAAUUUGAGAAGGCCAGGCAGCUCAAGAAAGCACAGUACAGGAAGGAGAAAUUCCUGAAGAACAAUGUUGUCUCUAUGACAACUGAUGAACUUGUGAAGAUCCAGUCUGAAAUCAAAGUCCUCAGCGAUGAUUUCAAUGCUUACUAUGCUGAUUGGAAAGGAGCCAAGGUCAGGUUGUUAAACUGACUAAGAUGUUCACCUCCAAUGUUGCAGCCCCAUCGCAACAGGAAAUUCCUCAGGCUGAAGCAUCUGCUCAGCCAAUUGAAGAACAUGCCAGCACCUCGCCCCGGGCAUAAAAACCGAAGACCGAAGACCAAACCCGAAAAGACCGAGACCGAACCCGAAAUGACCGAACUAAAUAAGACCGAAUAAAAAACGGUAUGCACUACUGUAUGACCGAACUAGUUACGGUCUGAUCGGUCAUCUGAUGUUGUGGACCGAAUAGCCCGUAUAGACCGAAUUUAGAAAAGCCCAUCUGGCCAGCCCAAGGUCACAAGCGAGAUAACACACAAACACACCUCGUCAUCACCUCACGAUGCAAUCGAUUCACAGAACCUAGCCGCCGCCCACUUUUGCACAAUUCCUCUUUUCUCUCCCACCACGAACCCUAGCCGCCGUCCCUCACGGUGGCGUGAUGCCGUGAGCCGUCAGCCGUGACCGAGGAGCGCCGCGCGCCUCUGACCGAUGAGCGACGAGGACCGGCGCCCUGAGCUGCUGCCCUGACCGGUGACGACGAGCCGACCACCAUCCGCGACCACCGUGCCCCUUGCGUCGCGCCGCCAAGCCCGACCCUCUUUCGUCGCUCCACUGCCAGUGACGGGGACAUCCGCCGACGAUGCUCCAUCUCCUGGCUGCUGCAGUUCAUCACCACCUCUCGUCCUCUUCGAGGUUGGUGCUGGGUCAUCGCCUGCUGUUCUUCCGGUGUUGUACCUUGCAGCUGAAUCCUGAAGGCGAGCAAGAUACUUCAUCUCUCUAUGUGCAUAUGUGAUGUCUAGAUUGUCAUUCUUUUAUGUGAAUCAAUUAUAUUGUUCAAGUUCUGUGAUGUUCAAAUUAAGGUUGAUAUAGUGGCUUGCCUUUUUUUGGCUUGUAUAUAUUCACGACAGAUUCGUGCCAUGCUGCUUUAUGUACUAACUAGGCUAUAAGUAGUAUCUUUUUGUUAGUUUGUAUGUUCCUGUGUACCAUUAGAUGAAGAAAUGGUUCAGUAACGAGUAACAUGUUUUUUUGUAGAUGCUUUCUAUACUGGAAUCUGAACAUGAUGAGGGAUUGAAGGACAAAGAUGAUGCAUUUAUGAGUGUAGAUGCAGAGGUAGAUGCAGAAGCAGAUGCAGAAGCAGCGGCUGCAGAAGCAGGAGACGAAUCAUUCUUACGUAGCAUCAUUGAAGAUGAAGAUGCCGAAGCAAAAGUUGGUGAAGGUGCCAAUCCAGAAGCUGCUCAAGAUGACAAGCCAAAAGGACGGAAGCAAAUGGCGUCAAGAUCACAAAUCUGGGAGCAUUUUACCAAAGUUUUUGAUAACAAGGGGUUAGUAAAGGAAGGAAAAUGCAAGUAUUGUGACCGACCAAUUCAAGCUACUACAUCAAUCAAUGGAACAACAGCAAUGCGCAGGCACUUUGGUACAUGCAAGCGCAGUCCGAAUAAGAAAAUGGAUCCAAAUCAGACCACUUUGCAAGCAACUCCAGGAGAUGGCAUUAAUACUUGGAGAUAUGAUGCAGAAAAAGUUAGGAAGGCAUUUGCUGUGAUGGUCAUAGAGGAUGAACUGCCUUUUGCAUUUGGUGAGAAAUCUGGAUUCAGAAAGUUCAUUUCAAUCGCUUGCCCCCGCUUUACUCCACCAUCAAGAAGAACUUGUACUAGGGACACUGUCAAAAUCUAUCUAGAUGAGAAAUGCAAGUUGAAAAAGUUUUUCAAAGAGAAUUGUGGAAGUGUGUGUGUAACCACUGAUUGUUGGACUUCUCAGCAGCAAGAUGGCUAUAUGGUAGUGACUGCACACUUUGUUGAUGAAGAGUGGAAGUAUCAUAAGAAGAUUAUUAAUUUCAUUAUGGUGAAGGGCCACAAAGGGAAGGAUCUUGGGAAGAACUUGCAGAGAUGUUUGAUGGAAUGGGGGCUAGAGAGAGUUAUGACAGUCACCGUGGAUAAUGCAAGCAAUAAUGAUGGCUGCAUUGUUCACUUGAGAAAGUGAAUGGUUGAGGCCAAAACUAGCAUAGCUGCUGGAAAGUUUUUGCAUAUGAGAUGUGCGGCACAUAUUGUCAACCUUAUUGUACAAGAUGGCCUAAAAGAAGUUGAACUUUCAAUCAAACGUGUCCGAGCUGCUGUGCGAUACAUCAAGAAUGGGACUUCUCGGUUGGUAAAAUUCAAAGAGCUAGCAUUGGAAGAAAAAGUUAAGAGCAAAGCAUUCUUGAACCUAGAUGUAUGCACUCGGUGGAACUCAACUUACAUAAUGUUGAAGGCUGCCAUCACCUACGCGAAGGUGUUUACAAGGUACUGUGAGGAUGACCCAUUGUAUGCGUUGGACUUGUCUGAAGAAAAAGGAGGAUUUGGGUAUCCAGAUGAAAUGGAUUGGUAAAAUGCUAGGAAAAUGGCUGCCUUUCUUGCUCAUUUUUAUGAUCUUACUAUUCGUGUGUCAUCCUCACUUCAUGUCACUUCCAACAACUUUCUUUUCGAGGUUGGCAAUAUACACAUAUUGGUUCAAAAUUGGAUGAGCAGUACAGAUCCUUUGCAAAAACCUAUGGCAGAGAGGAUAAAAGAAAAGUUUGACAAAUACUGGGGGUCUUGGCAUGAGAAUGAAAAGGUGAAGGAUAAGGGUCCUAUUGUAAAUGAAAGAGGGAAAGGGAAGAAGAAGGAGAAGGAGGAGAAGGAGAAGGAAAAUCUCAACUUGCUCAUUUUUAUUGCUGCAGCUCUUGAUCCAAGGUAUAAGCUUUCUGAUUUCACUAGGCUCACUACUUUGGAAUGUUGGAAAUAUGCCCUAGAGGCAAUAAUAAAUUGGUUAUUAUUAUAUUUCCUUGUUCAUGAUAAACGUUUAUUAUCCAUGCUAGAAUUGUAUUGAUAGGAAACUCAGAUACAUGUGUGGAUACAUAGACAACACCAUGUCCCUAGUAAGCCUCUAGUUGACUAGCUCGUUGAUCAAUAGAUAGUUACGGUUUCCUGACCAUGGACAUUGGAUGUCGUUGAUAACGGGAUCACAUCAUUAGGAGAAUGAUGUGAUGGACAAGACCCAAUCCUAAGCCUAGCACAAGAUCGUGUAGUUCGUUUGCUCAGAGCUUUUUCUAAUGUCAAGUAUCGUUUCCUUAGACCAUGAGAUUGUGCAACUCCCGGAUACCGUAGGAAUGCUUUGGGUGUACCAAACGUCACAACGUAACUGGGUGGCUAUAAAGGUGCACUACAGGUAUCUCCGAAAGUGUCUGUUGGGUUGGCACGAAUCGAGACUGGGAUUUGUCACUCCGUGUAAACGGAGAGGUAUCUCUGGGCCCACUCGGUAGGACAUCAUCAUUAUGUGCACAAUGUGACCAAGGAGUUGAUCAUGGGAUGAUGUGAGUUACGGAAUGAGUAAAGAGACUUGCCGGUAACGAGAUUGAACAAGGUAUAGGGAUACCGACGAUCGAAUCUCGGGCAAGUAACAUAUCGAUAGACAAAGGGAAUUGUAUACGGGAUUGAUUGAAUCCCCGACAUCGUGGUUCAUCCGAUGAGAUCAUCGUGGAACAUGUGGGAGCCAACAUGGGUAUCCAGAUCCCGCUGUUGGUUAUUGACCGGAGAACGUCUCGGUCAUGUCUGCAUGGUUCCCGAACCCGUAGGGUCUACACACUUAAGGUUCGAUGACGCUAGGGUUAUAGGGAAAGUAUGUACGUGGUUACCGAAUGUUGUUCGGAGUCCCGGAUGAGAUCCCGGACGUCACGAGGAGUUCGGAAUGGUCCGGAGGUAAAGAUUUAUAUAUGGGAAGUCCUGUUUUGGUCACCGGAAAAGUUUCGGGUGAUAUCGGUAAUGUACCGGGACCACCGGGAGGGUCCCGGGGGUCCACCAAGUGGGGCCACCAGCCCCAGAAGGCUGCAUGGGCCAAGUGUGGGAGGGGACCAGCCCCAGGUGGGCUGGUGCGCCCCCCCCCCCACCAAGGCCCAAGGCGCAUGGGAGAGUGGGAGGGGGCAAACCUUAGGUCCAGAUGGGCCUUAGGGCCCAUCUAGUGGGGCGCCCCCCCCCCACUCCUCCCCUUGGCCGCCCCCUUGAUGGGAUAUAGGGCUGGCCGCCAGCCCUUGGGGGUGGAAACCCUAGAGGGGGCGCAGCCCCUCCCCCCCUAUAUAUAGUUGAGGUUUGGGCUGCCCAAGGCACAUGAGAACGUCUCUCUUUCGGCGCAGCCCUACCCCUCUCCCUUCUCCUCCUAUCCCGCGGUGCUUGGCGAAGCCCUGCGGGAUUGCCACGCUCCUCCAUCACCACCACGCCGUCGUGCUGCUGCUGGACGGAGUCUUCCCCAACCUCUCCCUCUCUCCUUGCUGGAUCAAGGCGUGGGAGGGCUACACGUGUGUUGAACACGGAGGCACCGUUCUUCGGUGCUUAGAUCGGAAACAACCGCGAUCUGAAUCGCUACGAGUAUGACUCCUUCAUCCGUGUUCUUGCAACGCUUCCGCAUCGCGAUCUACAAGGGUAUGUAGAUGCACUCCCCUUCCCCUCAUUGCUAGAGUACUCCAUAGAUUGAUCUUGGUGAUGCGUAGAAAAUUUUGAAUUUCUGCUACGUUCCCCAACAGUGGCAUCAUGAGCUAGGUCUAUGCGUAGUUUCUAUGCACGAGUAGAACACAAAGUAGUUGUGGGCGUCGAUGUUGUCAAUUCUUCUUGCCGCUACUAGUCUUAUCUUGUUUCAGCGGCAUUGUGGGAUGAAGCGGCCCGGACCGACCUUACACGUACGCUUACGUGAGACAGGUUCCACCGACUGACAUGCACUAGUUGCAUAAGGUGGCUAGCGGGUGUCUGUCUCUCCCACUUUAGUCGAAACGGAUUCGAUGAAAAGGGUCCUUAUGAAGGGUAAAUAGAAAUUGGCAUAUCACGUUGUGGUUUACGUAGGUAAGAAACGUUCUUGCUAGAAACCUAUACAAGCCACGUAAAAACUUGCAACAACAAUUAGAGGACGUCUAACUUGUUUUUGCAGCAUGUGCUAUGUGAUGUGAUAUGGCCAGAAGAUGUGAUGAAUGAUAUAUGUGAUGUAUGAGAUUGAUCAUAUUCUUGUAAUAGGAAUCACGACUUGCAUGUCGAUGAAUAUGACAACCGGCAGGAGCCAUAGGAGUUGUCUUUAUUUUUUGUAUGACCUGCGUGUCAUUGAAUAACGCCAUGUAAAUUACUUUACUUUAUUGCUAAGCGCGUUAGCCAUAGAAGUAGAAGUAAUCGUUGGCGUGACAACUUCAUGAAGACACAAUGAUGGAGAUCAUGGUGUCAUGCCGGUGACAAAGAUGAUCAUGGUGCCCCGAAGAUGGAGAUCAAAGGAGCAAAAUGAUAUUGGCCAUAUCAUGUCACUAUUUGAUUGCAUGUGAUGUUUAUCAUGUUAUGCAUCUUAUUUGCUUAGAACGACGGUAGUAAGUAAGAUGAUCUCUUAUAAUAAUUUCAAGAGACGUGUUCCCCCUAACUGUGCACCGUUGCGAAGGUUCGUUGUUUCGAAGCACCACGUGAUGACCGGUGUGAUAGAUUCUAACGUUCGAAUACAACGGGUGUUGACGAGCCUAGCAUGUACAGACAUGGCCUCGAAACACAUGCGAAACACUUAGGUUGACUUGACGAGCCUAGCAUGUACAGACAUGGCCUCGGAACACAAGAGACCGAAAGGUCAAACAUGAGUCGUAUAGUAGAUACGAUCAACAUGGAGAUGUUCACCGAUGAUGACUAGUCCGUCUCACGUGAUGAUCGGACACGGCCUAGUUUGACUCGGAUCAUGUAUCACUUAGAUGACUAGAGGGAUGUCUAUCUGAGUGGGAGUUCAUUAAUCAGAUGAACUUAAUUAUCAUAAACAUAGUCAAAAGGUCUUUGCAAAUUAUGUCAUACGCUUUAGUUCUACUGUUUAAGAUAUGUUCCUAGAGAAAAUUUAGUUGAAAGUUGGUGGUAGCAAUUAUGCGGACUGGGUCCGUAAACUGAGGAUUGUCCUCAUUGCUGCACAGAAGGCUUAUGUCCUUAAUGCAUCGCUCGGUGUGUUGAACCUCAGCGUCGUCUGUAGAUGUUGCGAAACAUCUGACACACACGUUUUGAUGACUACGUGAUAGUUCAGUGCGUAUUGCUAACGGUUUAGAAUUGUGGCACCAAAGACGGUUUUGAAACAUCGCAGAACAUAUGAGAUGUUCCGAAGACUGAAAUUGGGAUUUCAGACUAGUGCCCACGUCAAGAGGUGUGAGACCUCUGACGAAUUUCUUAAGCCUGCAAACUAAGGGAGAAAAACUCAAUUGUUGAGCAUGUGCUCAGAUUGUCUGAGUACUACAAUCACUUGAAUCGAGUGGGAGUUGAUCUUCCAGAUGAGAUAGUGAUGGUUCUCCAUAGUCACUGCCACCAACCUAGUAGAGGUUCGUGAUGAACUAUAACAUAUCAGGGAUAGUUAUGAUGAUCCUUGAGCCAUUCGCGAUGUUUGACACCGCGGAAGUAGAAAUCAAGAAGGAGCAUCAAUUGUUGAUGGUUAGUAAAACCACUAGUUUCUAGAAGGGCAAGGGCAAAAGGGAUACUUCAUGAAACAGCAAAUCGUUUGCUGCUCUAGUGAAGAAUCCCAAGGUUGAACCCAAACCGGAGACUAAGUGCUUCUGUAAUAAGGGGAACGGUCACUGAAGCAGUACUACCCUAGAUACUUGGUAGAUGAGAAGGCGGGCAAGGUCGACAGAAGUAUAUUGGAUAUACGUUAUAUGAAUGUGUACUUUACUAGUACUCCUAGCAGCACUAGGGUAUUAGAUACCGGUUCGGUUGCUAAGUGUUAGUAACUCGAAAUAAAAGCCGUGGAAUAAACGGAGACUAGCUAAAGGUGAGAUGACGAUAUGUGUUGGAAGUGUUUCCAAGGUUGAUGUGAUCAAGCAUCGCAUGCUCCCUCUACCAUCGAGAUUUGGUGUUUGCGUUGAGCAUGAUUGGAUUAUGUUUAUCGCAAUACGGUUAUUCAUUUAAGGAGAAUAAUGGUUACUCUGUUUAUUUGAAUAAUACCUUCAAUGGUCUUGCACCUAAAAUGAAUCUCGAUCGUAGUGAUACACAUGUUCGUGCCAAAAGAUAUAAAAUAGUAAUGAUAGUUCCACAUACUUGUGGCACUGCCAUUUGAGUCAUAUUGGUAUAGAACGCAUGAAGAAGCUCCAUGUAGAUGGAUCUUUGGACUCACUCGUUUUUGAAAAGAUUGAGACAUGCGAACCAUGUCUAUUGGUAUAUAUGCAUGAAGAAACUCCAUGCAGAUGGAUCGUUUGGACUCACUUGUUUUUGAAUCACUUGAGACAUGCAAAUCAUACCACAUGGGCAAGAUGACUGAAAGGCCUCGUUUUCAGUAAGAUGGAACAAGAGAGCAACUUGUUGGAAGUAAUACAUUUUGAUGUAUGCAGUCCAAUGAGUGCUGAGGCAUGCAGUGGAUAUCGUUAUGUUCUUACUUCACAGAUGAUUUGAGUAGAUGCUGAGUGUAUUUACUUGAUGAAACACAAGUCUGAAUUAUUGAAAGGUUCAAGUAAUUUCAGAGUGAAGUUGAAGAUCGUCGUGACAAGAGGAUAAAAUGUCUGUGAUAUGAUCAUAGAGAUGAGUAUCUGAGUUACGAGUUUGGCACACAAUUAAGACAUUGUGGAAAGUGUUUCACAAUUAAUACCGCCUGGAACACCAUAGUGUGAUGGUGUGUCCGAACAUCAUAACUGCACCCUAUUGGAUAUGGUGCAUACCAUGAUGUCUCUUAUCAAAUUACCACUAUCGUUUAUGGGUUAGGCAUUAGAGAUAACCGCAUUCACUUUAAAAGGGGCACCACGCAAUUCCGUUGAGACGACACCGUUUAGAGAAACCUAAGUUGUCGUUUCUUAAAAGUUUGGGGCUGCGAUGCUUAUGUGAAAAAGUUUCAGGCUGAUAAGCUCAAACCCAAAGUGGAUAAAUGCAUCUUCAUAGAAUACCCAAAACAGUUGGGUGUACCUCCUAUUUCAGAUCUGGAAGCAAAAGUAAUUGCUUCUAGAAACGGGUCCUUUCUCGAGGAAAAGUUUCUCUCGAAAGAAUUGAGUGGGAGGAUGGUGGAGACUUGAUAAGGUUAUUGAACCGUCACUUCAACUAGUGUGUAGCAGGGCACAGGAAGUUGUUCCGGUGGCACCUACACCAAUUGAAGUGGAAGCUUAUGAUGGUGAUCAUGAAACUUCGGAUCAAGUCACUACCAAACCUCGUAGGACGACGAGGAUGCGUAAUACUUCAGAGUAGUACGUGAUCCUGUCUUGGAAGUCAUGUUGUUGGACAACGAUGAACCUAUGAGCUAUGGAGAAGCGAUGGUGGGCCCAUAUUCCGACAAAUGGUUAGAAGCCAUGAAAUCCGAGAUAAAUGGAUCUUUAAGAAGAAGACGAACGUGGACGGUAAGGUUGCCGUCUAUGAAGCUCGACUUGUGGCAAAGAGUAUUUUCACAAGUUCAAGGAGUUGACUACGAUGAGAUUUUCUCAUCCGUAGCGAUGCUUAAGUCCGUCGGAAUCAUGUUAGCAUUAGCUGCAUUUAUGAAAUCUGGCAGAUGGAUGUCAAAACAAGUUUCCUUACCAGUUUUCGUAAGGAAAGAUUGUAUGUGAUACAAUCAGAAAGGUUUUGUCGAUCCUAAGGAUGCUAAAAGGUAUGCUAGCUCCAGCGAUCCUUCCAUGGACUAGAGCAAGCAUCUCGGAGUCAGAAUAUAUGCUUUGAUGGAGUGAAAAAAGUUUUUGGGUUUAUACAAAGUUUGUUAGAAACUUGUAUUUACAAUAAAGUGAGUGGGAGCGCUACAACAUUUCUGAUAAGUAUAUGUGAAUGACAUAUUGUUGAUCCGAAAUGAUGUAGAAUUUCUGGAAAGCAUAAAGGGUUGUUUGAAAGGAGUUUUUCAAAGGAAGACCUGGAUAAAAGCUACUUGCAUAUUGGGCAUCAAGAUCUAUAGAGAUAGAUCAAGACGCCUGAUGAUACUUUCAAAGAACGCACACCUUGACAUGAUUUUGAAAGAGUUCAAAAUAGAUCAACAAAGAAGGAGUUCUUGGUUGUGUUACAAGGUGUGAGUAUUGAGUAAGACUCAAGACCUGACCACAGCAGAAGAGAGAGAAAGGACGAAGGUCGUCCCCUAUGCUUUAGACGUAGGCUCUACAGUAUGCUAUGCUGUGUACCGCACAUGAAGUGUGCCUUGCCAUGAGUUGGUCAAGGGGUACAAUAGUGAUCCGGGAAUGGAUCACGUGACAGCGGUCGAACUGAUCCUUAGUAUCUAGUGGACUAAGGAAUUUUCUCGAUUAUGGAGGUGAAAAGGAGUUCGUCGUAAAGGGUUACGUCGAUGUGAACUUUGACACAAAUCCGGAUGACUCUGAGUAGUAACCGGAUUCGUAUAGUAGAGCAAUUAUUUGAAAUGGCUCCAAAUAGCGCGUGGUAGCAUCCACAAGAUGACAUAGAUAUUCGUAAAGCACACACGGAUCAGAAAGGUUCAGACCCGUUGACUAGUAACCUCUCUCACAAGCAUAACAUGAUCAAACCAGAACUCAUUGAGUUUAAUCACAUAGUGAUGUGAACUAGAUUGUUAACUCUAGUAAACUCUUUGGAUGUUGGUCACAUGGUGAUGUGACCUAUGAGUGUUAAUCACAUGGUGAUGUGGACUAGAUUAUUGACUCUAGUGCAAGUGGGAGACUGUUGGAAAUAUGCCCUAGAGGCAAUAAUAAAUUGGUUAUUAUUAUAUUUCCUUGUUCAUGAUAAACGUUUAUUAUCCAUGCUAGAAUUGUAUUGAUAGGAAACUCAGAUACAUGUGUGGAUACAUAGACAACACCAUGUCCCUAGUAAGCCUCUAGUUGACUAGCUCGUUGAUCAAUAGAUGGUUACGGUUUCCUGACCAAGGACAUUGGAUGUCGUUGAUAACGGGAUCACAUCAUUAGGAGAAUGAUGUGAUGGACAGGACCCAAUCCUAAGCCUAGCACAAGAUCGUGUAGUUCGUUUGCUCAGAGCUUUUUCUAAUGUCAAGUAUCGUUUCCUUAGACCAUGAGAUUGUGCAACUCCCGGAUACCGUAGGAAUGCUUUGGGUGUACCAAACGUCACAACGUAACUGGGUGGCUAUAAAGGUGCACUACAGGUAUCUCCGAAAGUGUCUGUUGGGUUGGCACGAAUCGAGACUGGGAUUUGUCACUCCGUGUAAACGGAGAGGUAUCUCUGGGCCCAAUCGGUAGGACAUCAUCAUUAUGUGCACAAUGUGACCAAGGAGUUGAUCACGGGAUGAUGUGAGUUACGGAACGAGUAAAGAGACUUGCCGGUAACGAGAUUGAACAAGGUAUAGGGAUACCGACGAUCGAAUCUCGGGCAAGUAACAUAUCGAUAGACAAAGGGAAUUGUAUACGGGAUUGAUUGAAUCCCCGACAUCGUGGUUCAUCCGAUGAGAUCAUCGUGGAACAUGUGGGAGCCAACAUGGGUAUCCAGAUCCCGCUGUUGGUUAUUGACCGGAGAACGUCUCGGUCAUGUCUGCAUGGUUCCCGAACCCGUAGGGUCUACACACUUAAGGUUCGAUGACGCUAGGGUUAUAGGGAAAGUAUGUACGUGGUUACCGAAUGUUGUUCGGAGUCCCGGAUAAGAUCUCGGACGUCACGAGGAGUUCCGGAAUGGUCCGGAGGUAAAGAUUUAUAUAUGGGAAGUCCUGUUUCGGUCACCGGAAAAGUUUCGGGUGAUAUCGGUAAUGUACCGGGACCACCGGGAGGGUCCCGGGGGUCCACCAAGUGGGGCCACCAGCCCCAGAAGGCUGCGUGGGCCAAGUGUGGGAGGGGACCAGCCCCAGGUGGGCUGGUGCGCCCCCCCACCAAGGCCCAAGGCGCAUGGGAGAGUGGGAGGGGGCAAACCCUAGGUCCAGAUGGGCCUUAGGGCCCAUCUAGUGGGGCGCCCCCCCCCCCUCUCCUCCCCUUGGCCGCCCCCCUUGAUGGGAUCUAGGGCUGGCCGCCAGCCCUUGGGGGUGGAAACCCUAGAGGGGGCGCAGCCCCUCCCCCCCUAUAUAUAGUUGAGGUUUGGGCUGCCCAAGACACAUGAGAACGUCUCUCUUUCGGCGCAGCCCUACCCCUCUCCCUUCUCCUCCUCUCCCGCGGUGCUUGGCGAAGCCCUGCGGGAUUGCCACGCUCCUCCAUCACCACCACGCCAUCGUGCUGCUGCUGGACGGAGUCUUGCCCAACCUCUCCCUCUCUCCUUGCUGGAUCAAGGCGUGGGAGACGUCACCGGGCUGCACGUGUGUUGAACGCGGAGGCACCGUACUUCGGUGCUUAGAUCGGAAUCAACCGCGAUCUGAAUCGCUACGAGUACGACUCCUUCAUCUGCGUUCUUGCAAGGCUUCCGCAUCGCGAUCUACAAGGGUAUGUAGAUGCACUCCCCUUCCCCUCGUUGCUAGAGUACUCCAUAGAUUGAUCUUGGUGAUGCGUAGAAAAUUUUGAAUUUCUGCUACGUUCCCCAACAUGGAAAUAUUUGGUGUUGAGUCUAGAGAGAAGGUGUGGUAUGCAGUCAACAAAUGUGUUCGCGAGUUGUUUGAAGAAUACCGAGUAAGAUUGAAUACACAAGAACCAACAACACCAGCCAUUAGCCAAGUAACAAUAGAAGGAGGAGGAGCAAGUAUGAUGAAGGAACUAAUUGCAAGUAGGUUGAGGCAAAAUAAUAGUGGAGGAAGUGCAAUGUAACACCCCGCUUGUAACUUGCCAUAUUUGUAACUCCGACUCUUGCCAUUUUUGGCUAUGUGAUAUGUUUUUCCCUCCGUUGUCGGGUUUUGUUUUUCGUUUUGUAUUUUUUCAUGUCAUGCAUUUUCAUAUCAUGUCAUCAUGUGCUUUGCAUUCGCAUACGUGUUCGUCUCUUGCAUCCGAGCAUUUUCCCCGUUGUCCGUUUUCCAAUCCAGCGCUCCUAUCUCCUCCGGUGCACCCCUCUUGUUUUCUUUCGUGUGCGUGUGUCAAACUUUCUCGGAAUGGACCGAGGCUUGUCAAGUGGUCUUCUUAUACCACCCGGAGACUACCGGUCAAGUUUCGUUCCAUUCGGAGGUCGUUUGGUACUCCAACGGUUAACCGGGCAUCCGCAAAGUCCAUUUGAAUAUCCAGCAAAAACCUCCUCUAAAACCAGCCCAAAACCCAUCAAACUCUCUUCCAUGCUCUAGGUCGUUCGAUCACGAUCGUGUGGGCGAAAACCGCACCUCAUUUGGAGUCUCCUAGCUCCCUCUACCUAUUUAUAGGUGGGCAUCCCGAAAACGAAAUCGCAGUCUCCCGUAACCCUAAAUUCCCCUCUCCGCGGGCGGACGCGUCCAGCGCNNNNNNNNNNNNNNNNNNNNNNNNNNNNNNNNNNNNNNNNNNNNNNNNNNNNNNNNNNNNNNNNNNNNNNNNNNNNNNNNNNNNNNNNNNNNNNNNNNNNNNNNNNNNNNNNNNNNNNNNNNNNNNNNNNNNNNNNNNNNNNNNNNNNNNNNNNNNNNNNNNNNNNNNNNNNNNNNNNNNNNNNNNNNNNNNNNNNNNNNNNNNNNNNNNNNNNNNNNNNNNNNNNNNNNNNNNNNNNNNNNNNNNNNNNNNNNNNNNNNNNNNNNNNNNNNNNNNNNNNNNNNNNNNNNNNNNNNNNNNNNNNNNNNNNNNNNNNNNNNNNNNNNNNNNNNNNNNNNNNNNNNNNNNNNNNNNNNNNNNNNNNNNNNNNNNNNNNNNNNNNNNNNNNNNNNNNNNNNNNNNNNNNNNNNNNNNNNNNNNNNNNNNNNNNNNNNNNNNNNNNNNNNNNNNNNNNNNNNNNNNNNNNNNNNNNNNNNNNNNNNNNNNNNNNNNNNNNNNNNNNNNNNNNNNNNNNNNNNNNNNNNNNNNNNNNNNNNNNNNNNNNNNNNNNNNNNNNNNNNNNNNNNNNNNNNNNNNNNNNNNNNNNNNNNNNNNNNNNNNNNNNNNNNNNNNNNNNNNNNNNNNNNNNNNNNNNNNNNNNNNNNNNNNNNNNNNNNNNNNNNNNNNNNNNNNNNNNNNNNNNNNNNNNNNNNNNNNNNNNNNNNNNNNNNNNNNNNNNNNNNNNNNNNNNNNNNNNNNNNNNNNNNNNNNNNNNNNNNNNNNNNNNNNNNNNNNNNNNNNNNNNNNNNNNNNNNNNNNNNNNNNNNNNNNNNNNNNNNNNNNNNNNNNNNNNNNNNNNNNNNNNNNNNNNNNNNNNNNNNNNNNNNNNNNNNNNNNNNNNNNNNNNNNNNNNNNNNNNNNNNNNNNNNNNNNNNNNNUGCCCCUGCCUCGCCGUCGCCAUCGACCGAGCCGGCGAGCUCGAGCUCCUGUUGACCGCGAUCCCGAUCUGGUCAAAGGUUGACCCGAGACCCCCCUCCGUUUUUGCCAAGUCAUGAAAUUUUCUCUGCAUGUGCUCCUGUUCCCGAGGCUAUAACUCUGCGCAUGUAGCUUCGAUUCGCGCGUGUAAUAUGUCAAAUUGUUCGCCUCGUGAUGCUCUUCAUUUUGUUCAAUUGCACCAUGUUCAUUAGAGGUCAUCUUGAUGCUCAAAUCUUCGUUGGAAGAGGGCUAGUUGCUGUUAUUCUCUGGUUCUUGACAGAACUUGGAGAUUUGUCAUUUUUGUAUCAUUUAAUUUGUGCAUCUUCUGAGCAUGAGCUCUACAUGUGUUUUGAAGUAUGCCAUGCCAUCUUUCCAGUGGUAUAGUCCAUAUAUUUUUGUGAUCUCUAUGGUGACUAGCACAAGCAUGCAAAGUAGGCCCCGUAAUAUUUCUGAUUUCAGGGACUUAGGGAUUUUUCUAAGUCCUUGUCUGCUGUAAUUUUGUUGCCAUCUAAAUUUGAUACUACAGAGAGAUCCAUGCAUAUUUUGGAGAUAUUCAAUAAGGAUGUUUUGGAGCUAUAGUUGUAAUUGAUCCAUUCCUGCAAUUGUUUGCAAUUUUCGAGUACCAUAGCAUGACUCAAUAUUGCUCUACUUUUGCUAUAAAAUAUUUCUGGCAGAUUCUUAACAUGAUAUGCAUUUUUUCCAAACUUAUUGUAGUUGACCCAUACAUGCUAUGCAAUUGUUCUUGCCUUAGAUAGCUUCAUAAACAUGCCAUAUUGCUGUAGUUAUGCUUGGUUUGUCAUGCAUUGCUCUGUAGGGAGUGCAUCAAGCUCACAAAGAGGCCUACAUAUUAAUAUUUCUGCCAUGCUCUGUUUUCUGCCAAGUCUGAAACCUGAUAACGAAACUUGCUAUGUUUACAUGCUUGCCAUCAUAUCUUCUGGUCCUUUUUGGAUAAUGGUCAGUAAGGGACUUUUGUCAUGUGCAUUUAGUAGAACACUACCAUGCCUUGUUUUGCUAUGUUAAGUUCCUGUAGCAUGUUGAUUUCGUGCUCUAAACAUUGCUACCUGAUGCUGUUUUCUGCCAUGUCCAGUUUUUCACCAAGUCUGUGAACCUGUAAUCUUUUGCACUUUUGCCAUGCUUGUUUGAGCUUGAUAUGUUGUGAACUAGCCGUAGCUCAGUGUUCAUCUUUUGUCAAGGAUCUUCUGUAGAUUACUUCCAUGUGCUUUGUCGCUAUGUUGGGGUGCUGUAGCUUUGUUGUUUGUUGCAUUUUAAGUGCUAUCUUGCUGUUUAUCGCAGUUUAGUGUCAUUCUUGUUUCGCUUGCCAUUUGCAAACCGUGCAUCCGAUUCCGAUGAUCUUUAUAUCGAUUUCGACCGAAAUCAUCUCAUCUUUCCAGUGGCAUGCUUGGUUUGCCAAGUUACUGCCAUGUUCAUCAUUUUCCUUCCGGAGCACGCAUAUGCAUCGCAUAUCAUAUAUUGCAUAUCAUACAUGUUUUGCAUCAUGUUGCUUGCGCAUUUCUCGUUGUUGAUUGUGGUUCCGUUUGUUUGUUUUCUUGUCUUGGGUAGAUCCGGGAGACGAGUUCGUGAACGAGGAACCUGUCGAGUACGCUUACGAGGAUCAAGCUUUCGACAACUCUGAGAAUCUUGCAGGCAAGAUGACCACCCCUCGAAAUCACUUCUAUCUUUGCUAUGCUAGUUGUUCGUUCUGUUGCCAUGCUCGCUACCUAUCACUUGCUAUAUCAUGUCUCCUAUUUCAGCUAUGUCAGCCUCUAACCAUCCUCUCCUAGCAAACCGUUGUUUGGCUAAGUUACCGCUUUUGCUCAGCCCCUCUUAUAGCGUUGCUAGUUGCAGGUGAAGUUGAAGUUUGUUCCUUGUCGGAACAUGGAUAUGUUGGGAUAUCACAAUAUCUCUUAUUUAAUUAAUGCAUCUAUAUAUUUGGUAAAGGGUGGAAGGCUCGGCCUUAUGCCUGGUGUUUUGUUCCACUCUUGCCGCCCUAGUUACUGUUAUACCGGGAUUAUGUUCCUUGAGUUUGCGUUCCUUACACGGUCGGGUGAUUUAUGGGACCCCCUUGACAGUUCGCCUUGAAUAAAACUCCUCCAGCAAGGCCCAACUUUGGUUUUACCAUUUGCCACCUAAGCCUUUUUCCCCCGGGUUUUCGCGAGCCCGAGGGUCAUCUUAUUUUAACCCNNNNNNNNNNNNNNNNNNNNNNNNNNNNNNNNNNNNNNNNNNNNNNNNNNNNNNNNNNNNNNNNNNNNNNNNNNNNNNNNNNNNNNNNNNNNNNNNNNNNNNNNNNNNNNNNNNNNNNNNNNNNNNNNNNNNNNNNNNNNNNNNNNNNNNNNNNNNNNNNNNNNNNNNNNNNNNNNNNNNNNNNNNNNNNNNNNNNNNNNNNNNNNNNNNNNNNNNNNNNNNNNNNNNNNNNNNNNNNNNNNNNNNNNNNNNNNNNNNNNNNNNNNNNNNNNNNNNNNNNNNNNNNNNNNNNNNNNNNNNNNNNNNNNNNNNNNNNNNNNNNNNNNNNNNNNNNNNNNNNNNNNNNNNNNNNNNNNNNNNNNNNNNNNNNNNNNNNNNNNNNNNNNNNNNNNNNNNNNNNNNNNNNNNNNNNNNNNNNNNNNNNNNNNNNNNNNNNGGGCCAGUGCUCCUUCGAGUGUUGGUCCGAACCGAGCAGCCUGCGGGGCCACCUCGGGGAAACUCGAGGUCUGGUUUUACUCGUAGCUUGACUUAUCCGGUGUGCCCUGAGAACGAGAUAUGUGCAGCUCCUAUCGGGAUUUGUCGGCACAUUCGAGCGGCUUUGCUGGUCUUGUUUUACCAUUGUCGAGAUGUCUUGUAAAACCGGGAUUCCGAGACUGAUCGGGUCUUUCCGGGAGAAGGUUUAUCCUUCGUUGACCGUGAAAGCUUAUGAUGGGCUAAGUUGGGACACCCCUGCAGGGUAUUAUCUUUCGAAAGCCGUGCCCGCGGUUAUGAGGCAGAUGGGAAUUUGUUAAUGUCCGGUUGUAGAUAACUUGUCACUUGACCCAAUUAAAAUACAUCAAUCGCGUGUGUAGCCGUGAUGGUCUCUUCUCGGCGGAGUCCGGGAAGUGAACACGGUCUGUGUUAUGUAUGACGUAAGUAGGUGUUCAGGAUCACUUCUUGGUCAUUGCUAGAUGACGUCCGUUCCAUUGCUUCUCUUCUCGCUCUCAUUUGCGCAAGUUAGCCACCAUAUAUGCUUUUGCUGCUGCAGCUCCACCUCUUUGCACCUCCUUGUCCUAUAAGCUUAAAUAGUCUUGAUCUCGCGGGUGUGAGAUUGCUGAGUCCCCGUGACUCACAGUUACUUCCAAAACAGUUGCAGGUGCCGACGAUGCCAGUGCAGAUGAUGGCGUCGAUCUCAAGUGGGAGUUCGACGAGGAACGUGGUCGUUACUAUGUGUCUUUUCCUGAUGAUCAGUAGUGGAGCCCAGUUGGGACGAUCGGGGAUCUAGCAUUUGGGGUUGUCUUAUUUUCAUCUGGAUUUUGACCGUAGUCGGUCUAUAUGAUUGUAUUUUGGAUGAUGUAUAAUGAUAUUUAUGUAUUGUGUGAAGUGGCGAUUGUAAGCCAACUCUUUAUCCCAUUCUUGUUCAUUACAUGGGAUUGUGUGAAGAUGACCCUUCUUGCGACAAAACCACUAUGCGGUUAUGCCUCUAAGUCGUGCCUUGACACGUGGGAGAUAUAGCCGCAUCGUGGGCGUUACAUGCAAGUAGUAAAUCUGAGCUUGAAAAAUACCUUGCUGAAGACUCUGAAGACCCUGACAAAAAAAUUGACAUCCUAGGAUGGUGGAAAGAGAAUUCAUCUAGGUUUCCAAUCUUGGCAAAUAUGGCUCGUGAUAUUCUUGCUAUCCCCAUUACAACUGUGGCUUCUGAGUCUGCCUUUAGCACAAGUGGACGCAUACUUGAUGACUUUAGGACAUCUCUAACUCCGUUUAUGGUGCAAGCUUUAGUUUGUACGCAAGACUGGCUGAGAAGGUCAACAGAUCCGGUCGACAUCAAGGAGAACUUGGAAGAAUUAGAAGUGCUAGAAAAAGGUAAAAAAAUCAGCCAACUUGUCAAUACAUUUGUUUUUUUAUUGUAGAGAUAUUAAUAUGCAUGACAUGCAUCAGUACCAAACCAAUGUAUGGAGAACUUUAUAUGCAUGACUUGACAAACUUCUUCAUUAACUAGACCUAGCUAGUAGAUCUCAACAAAAUCACAUUGCAUUUGUCACUAUCAGUAUAUCACCAUAGCUAGCAGAUUAUGAAAUUUGAUUGAAUACUUGACUUGUUGUAGAGUUGAUUGAAGAAUUUGGUGACAAGGUGAAGGGAAAGCGCAAGUUCAAUGGUGGUGUUGUUGCUUCUUCCAUGGCCAAGUCAAACAAGUGUGCAAGUCGACCAACAAAGUGACAUCCACGUCUACUCAUGGCUGAACUAAAAUGAUGUUGAAUGUAUGUUGUUUUAGUUAUCAUCUUUUGCUUUUAAUUUGUGACUCGAGACUUGAGAAUUGAGAACUGAGAGUGAGAGUGUGAGACCUUAAUGUUUGUUGUUUGCUGCUGAAUUGAAAUCAUGUACUAAACUUGAUUUGUUUCAUGUCAAGUACUAAGUGGUGAUGGUGUUUGCUGCUUGUCGACUCCAUGGGCUGAUCCGCUGAUGUUACUGGAUCUUCUUACUUUCUGGUGUCAAAUAUAAAUGAGUAUGCAUGCAUGGAUCUUGUUGCUGGUGAAGUGGUGAUUAUAUAUAGUGCUAAUUUUCUAUUUUAAAGAUUUUCAUAUGGUGUACUGUAUUCCAUCCAGAUUGCAUACAAGUGUUACUUGUUUGAAUUUUUCUUAUGUACACAUGCGCCAAUUUACAGACAUAUGUUAUCUCUAUACACACAGCUUUCUGCACACAUGUACCUCUUUACUCUAUGUAGUUUGUAUACAAUUGGUACUGGAAGUAACAUAAAUCUAGGUUCUAGCAUUUAAUUUGGUCUAUUUGGUCAGGACCGAAGACCAAAUAGUAAAGACCGAAGACCGAAUAGUGAAUAACCGAAAAGACCGAAAUUAUAUCGGUCUUCAAUUAUGGGAGACCGAAAUUUUGAAAGACCGAAAAGACCGGACCGAACAAACCGAAAAGACCGAACGCCCGGGGCUACCAGCACCGCUGAUGACAAUCAGGCUGCUGAAGAAAAUGUGAGUUCCAGGGCUGAUGACUGCAUUCCAGCCGCUGAUGAAAUUGCCAGGGCACCCACUAGUGGUGCGCCUGAAGAAAAUGAAGAGGUCAGGGCAACUGCAUCAGUUGUGCCUCAAGAAAAUCAACCACAUUCCUCUGCUCCUCCUGCGCCUACUCCAACUCCAAUCCUUCCAUCUGCAUCAGAUGUGAAGAAGACCAAGGCUGCAGAGCGUGCAGCGGUGAAGAAAAGGAAAGCAUCAGCUCCUUCAGAUUCUUCAGCACCGAAGAAGAUGAAGAAAUUGACAAGCUCAUUUGCUAAUCCAAUUGAUGUUGUUCCGGUUUCCUCCAUGCCAUCAAAGGAAAUCGUCCCUUUUGAUGAAGAAUAUGUGAUCCCUAGCAGAUCUGAUGAAGAAAAUCCUUCUGCUGCUUCGUCAGAGCAGAUGGAUGAAGAAAUUGAAGUGGAUAAAAUCCCUUCAACCCCCACAGUUUCCUCGCCUAUGCCUCAGUUUACUGCUGAAGUGGCCGGCGUUGAAGAAAUGGAAGAUGAAGAUGUGGACAUUGGCUGCACCACACCGGUGAUUAAUGAUGACUUUUGGGAAAGUCAGCACCCCAACUCUCCACUCUUCACACCAUUGCAACAAAUUCCUCAGUCCCCAGCAACUACAGUUCAAAUGGGAUCUGAUGAAGCUCAUGAAGAAAUUCCAGCCACUAGAGCUGAAGAAAAUGAAAAUGAAGAAUUGAAGACCCAGGCUGCCACUGAAGAGGAACCAGAAAUUCCUCAGCCUGAAGAACCUGAGAUUGUGAUUCCUGAGGUUGUAAUGCAACUGACUGACACUCCUCUACCCAAGCCAAAGGAUCCAUUCUCAAGGAAGCAAAAAUUUGCUAAUGAUUUCUUUGGGGAGCACGUAUUCUUCACUGAUUACAACCCCUAUGACUCUGCUCGCAUUAGGAAGAGGCGUUUCUGGACUGCCAGCUAGGCAAAUUUUUAUUCCUCAGUGUUGUUCAACAAAGACAAAGUCUUUGAUCAUGAGCACAUUCCUCACGUGGAUAUGGAAUCUCUACCGUGCUUCGGGCCAGUCCUCAGUGUUCUUUACGACGCGGGACUGUUAAAUUUCUGCACUGAUAUAUGUGAUUGGAACGAAGAGCUUAUUCUUCAAUUUUAUGCAACUCUGCACAUCACCGGAGACUCUGAAGAUGUGAAUUCAUGGGUGCUGGACUGGAUGUCUGAAAAUACUCACUACAAGGCACCAGCUACUGAAUUGUUUCGUGCUUUACCUCUUAGUCCUCCCCUUGAAGCUGCUUGUUGCGUCUACAGUGAACCUGAGUUUACAGAUCACUAUAUGCAAGUGCUGAUGAAGCCUUUGAAGCCAGGUCAGGCCCCAAGAACAAAAUUCCUUGUGAAGGAAUUGUUAUAUGUGCCUCGGACUGUCUAUCGCAUUCUGACGAAGACAUUGAGUCCUAUCAAGGGCCACGACUCGGAUAAAGAAGAAGUCGUUGGCAUCAUGAAGAAUCUGCUUUUCAAUAUCAUUCAUAACAUUCCCGUCAACUUCCAUGAUAUCUUCAUGAGGACUCUGGCCAAUGUCGCAAUGACACCGUUUGAGUUGAAGCCUUAUGCUCCUUGGAUCAUGAGAUUCAUCAGAACAAGGUCUUCACUCAACUACAAAGCUGACACACUGAACCAUUGCAGCUACUUGCCCCCGAUUGAAGUCCUCAAACGGACAUUUUCCUCAGCUGAUGAAAAGGACAAGGCUAUUGCUGUCAUUGAUGAAGGCAUUCGUCCAUUGGAUGGUCAAUUUCGCAAGGCUGCAUCCUACUCCACCAAUGAUGACUCUGCCACCCAUGACUCUGCCGCCAACGCCACCAAGCCAAAUCCUCAAGGCACAGCUCCCAGGGUGAUGACUGACCGUGAGCUUCUCCUCAGUCUUCACCAGAAGGUUGAUCGCAAUCACAAAUGGGUCAAGCGUCAGUUUGGUUCAAUUCUUCACAACAUGACUGCUACCCACAAUGCAGUGAAGAAAAACCACUACUACCUUCAUGAAACCCUCAACCGCACCUGGGUUGUUCUGUCUCACAUUUACGGCGAAGAAGAUGUGAAGAAAAUGGGUCUCCAGGAGGACUUUGACUGGUCUGCACCUCCAUCGAAGAAAUACAAGAAGGUCAAGGUUCCGUCCUUGGUGGCCAGCUCCUAUUCUUCAUCGCGCGACACCGAUGAACAUGAAGACUUGGACGACACUGCAGCAGGCCCUACUCCACCAAACAACCCCAACAACGCUGGCGCUCCUUCAUCAACUUGAUAUUCUUCAGGGGCGUUGGUUCUCAUUUUCGAACCUUUUGGUCAUUCGAUGACAAAGGGGGAGAAAUUUGAGUUAGUCUUCAAGCAGGUCUAUCUUAUAUGGGCGUUUUUUUUCUAAGUUACAACUCUCGUUCUUCUGAUGACUUUGCUGGAUCGAGUUGUAAACUUAAAACUCUAUGGUGGCCUGAUACUUUUGUUGUUUCUUCUGCAUGCUUAUUCCUCGUUAAUGUUAUUGCACGCAUGCUGAAUUACAUCAAUCACCAUAUUUCAUCAUGCAUUUCAAAUUCUUCAUAUAUUAUAUCAAAUGCGUGUAUGAAUUACAAGAUAUAGGGGGAGAUCUCCAUGAUUCAACUCUUCAAGUGUGCAUUGCUUCAAAAGCAAAUUCCUCACUAUGCACAUAUUCAGGGGGAGUUCUUCUAUAUCUUGCAAUCAAAUUCCUCAAUAUCAUUAUUUACACUUCAUAUGUUUAUCCCCGUUGAAAACUUAACCUAUAUUGUCAUCAAUCACCAAAAAGGGGGAGAUUGUAAGUGCAUCUAGUGCCCCUUAGUGAUUUUGGUGUAUUGAAGACUUAUAGGUUAAGGGACUAAUGUGUUUAUGAGUGUACACAGGUCUAUAAGUCUAUGAGGAGUUUGAUAUUUACAAAGAAAUUCGACCCCUAAAAAUGAAGUUCUUCGACUGAAGACUUUGGAUUUCUGAAGACUUUGAAAGUGAAGAAAUUGGUGUGACCUUGAAGACUUGGUAUUCAUUUGAGGAACAUGAAGCGUGAAGACUUUUGUUUUCGUAGUUUCAUUUUCUCUUUCUUGAGUCAUAGGAAACACCGUAUUGUAAAAGGGGGCCGAGGAAAUACUAAGGAAAAAUUUCCAUGUGAUGCUCAACUCAAAAUCCUACACCUACCAAUCCCUUCGAGUGAAGCCAUUGGAAAUCUUAUACAGUUCAGUCAAUUUCUUCAGUGACAGAGACGAAGUUCUUCUGGUCUCUGAGGAAUUUGUUCUGACUGAGGAGUCAGGAAUUCGCCAGUGCGGAUUGCCUACACAGUGAGGAACAUGAUAGCCCUGAGAAAUUUGAUACUCAAAUUUCUGACCGUUGAUGUGCUAUGCGCCAGCUGUCCCAAAAUAUCUACCCACCUAACGGUCAUAUCAUUGAAGGGCAUUUAUGUCUUAUCAUGUCGGGCUGCUCCCUAGGCUAUAAAUAGCCGCCCCCUACAACCACUAGCUGGUUGGCUGCUCUGAGAGAAACUGACACUUGUCAUUUGAGAGCAUCCCAUCCUCCGAGGACUUUGAGCGAAAAUCAUCAAGUGAGGAAAACCCAAACCUAAACACCCACAAACCCAAAGUGAUUGAGCAUCACUGAAGAGAUUGAUCCUGUGUGGAUCUGACGCUUGUUACCUCUGAAGAUUGUGCUUCUUCCAGACGGUUAGGCGUCGUGGUCUAGAGCAUCCAAGAGAAAAUUAUGGAUCACCGAGUGACCGAGUCUGUGAAGGUUUGGAAGUCAUCUGAAGACUUACCACAAGUGAUUGGGCGAGGUCUGUGUGACCUUAGCUCAAGGAGAAUACGGUGAGGACUGUGUGUCUGGGACUGUGUGUCCUCAGGUUUAAAUACCUAGCCGCUCCAACCAGACGUACAACUGAGACAGCAGUUGGAACUGGUCUACCAAAUCAUUGUCUUCACCAAGCUUACUGGUUCUAUUUCCUCAACUCUUUUAUUUCCUCAUAAUUGUGUUGUGCACUUGUUCAUAUCUGUGUUUGAAGACUUUGACUGAAGACUUUCUCAAUUUCCUCAGUUUAAUUUCUUCAGUCUGUUUGUCUUCAUCCUGUGCUAUCCUGUGUUUAUGCUUCUGUACUCUGUGUUUGUCUUCGUUUCAUCAUGAUGAUCAUGCUUGUGUUCUGCUAUGCAUACUUUUGAGUACUUAUUCCGCUGCAAGUAGUUCUUCGCUAAGGAAUUUCCUCACUGACAAAUUCCUCAGUGAAGAAUUCAUAAAAAUCGCCUAUUCACCCCCCCCCCUCAGUGAAGAAUUCAUAAAUCAAUUUGAAUGUGACUCGAAAUUUCGGGAUUAAAAACAGUUCGGACUGCACCGAAAUAUGCAAAAAUUUGUAUAAUUUUUUAACCGUGGCCACAAUAUGGGCUGUAAUGCUAACAAAAAAAAUAUGGGCUCCAAAAAAAACCUUAAGAAUUAGCAAAUGGGCUGUAAAUUAUUAGAAAUAAUGGCAUAUGGGUUGUAUGCUGUUUUCCACAGAUUUGAGGCUUUCCUAAAAAAAGGUUGACGCACAAGCAGUGACUGUUGGAUGUCCAUCCAACGGCCCUCGUGCUUCUUCAAUCUCUGCUCUUCCUGCUCCAGCCGCUCAAACAAGCGCCGGCGGGACUGCCUGCUCCCUCCUCCCCGCGGCCGGCUGUGCUGCCGAGCAGGCCUCACCGCCCCACUGUACUCCCAUCGCUGGCCUAGCCAUCCCUCUACUCACCCACCUGCUGUUAUUCUCCGGCGACGGCAGACGAACCAAUAAACCCUCGUACAGUCGUACUCCCCUACGUGUGGGAAACAACUGCCGAGUCUUCCCUGCCUCUGUGUCGUUCCCUUCCUAGGCCUCGCCGUCGUUCACCGCCCGGGUGCUCUCGGCGCGGCCUGGUCAACGUGGUCAAUGACCGACAUGCAUCUGAAGUGGACUGUAUGUGGAGAGGCUGACAGCUGGGUCCACGGCCGCACGCAAGGAAAUGCCUCCUUAUUACGCGCAAAAUAACGAUUCCUCCACCUGACAUCUGGGACCCACCGAAAGGGCCUCUGUAUUUCGCGAAAAAAUGUUACCGCCGUUGAUAGCUCGGACCCACCAGCUAUAUCUUCGCACGCAAGGAAGUGCGUCCUUAUUACGCACAAAAAAGAAUACUCCCCCUGCUAGCUGGGACCCAGUAUAGUGGCAGGCUGACUUGUGGGCCUACUAAGUUGACGGGGACGGAGGGCUUUGUCAACUUAGUAAAUAUGCACGAUUCUAGCUCCAGUGACCGUACGAUGUCCAUCCAACGGUCGUAGUGCUUCAACAACCUCUGGUCUUGUUGUUCCAGCCGCCCAAAGCAGCGCCGGUCGUGCCGCAUGCUCCUGCCUCCCGUGGCCGGCUGUGCUGCCGCGGGGGCCUCACCGCCCCCUACUAUUCCCACCGCUAGCCAGGCCCUGCGGCGACGGCAGCCUCACACCACAGCCGAACUAGUGAACCCUCGUACUCCUCUCUGCGCGGGCUUCCACUGUCGCGUCUUCCCCGGCUCCGCGUCAUCCCCUUCCUAGGCCUCGUCGUCGUCCAUCGCCCAGGUGCUCUCGGCGCGGCGUGGUCAACAUGGUCAAGGAACGGCUUCCAUCGGACGUGGACUGUACGUGGAGAGGCUGACAGCUAGGUCCACGGCCGCAGCAAGGAAGUGCCUCCUUAUUACGCGCAAAAUAAUUAUUCCUCCACCUGACAGCGGGGACCCACCGGACGGGCCACCGUAUUUCGUGAAAAAAAUGUUUCCCCCUGACUGCUGGGACCCACCAGCUACAUCUUCGCACGCAAGGAAGUGCGUCCGGGCAAAAAAAACGAUUCGCCCCCUAACUGCUAGGACCCACCAGCUACAUCUUCGCAGGCAAGGAAGUGCCUGACAGUCGGGACCCACCUGGUCGAAGCGUACGUAGCGUUGUCAUUCUGGUCGCGAACAUAUACGUACAUACUGGUCGAUGUAGAGGCGCGCACGUGUCGUAGUAGAGGCACGCACAUAGCAUGUACACGUACGUACAGCGGCCAGUGUGCAAGAAAGAAAAUAUGGCCACGUACGUACAUACGGGCAGGGUAUCGAACGCCUACUCGCGCAUACGUACGGCCAGGGCUCGUGUACAUGGCUGGGUCAGAACAGAGAAACAGCGUCGUCGUCGUGUUCAUGGGGAGCCAACCGGCUGCGUCGGAACGGAAUGCGUCGUCGUGUUCAUCGGGAGGGCUUGGACAGAACAACCGAUGGAAACGAGGCCUCACGUACCGCAGAACGGAGGAAACGGCCUUGUGUUCGACCGGCCACGUUCGAAACGGGAUCCUGUUCAUCGGGAGGGGUCUGGCAUACUGCAAAACGGAGGAAACAGACCUCCUACGGUCGAAACGGGGUCCUGUUGAUCGGGAGGGGUGUGGCGUACCGCAAAACGGAGGAAACGGACUUGUGUUGGAGCACUAGGGUCGAAACGGGGGUCCUGUUCAUCGGGAGGGGUGUGGCGUACCACAAAACGGGACUCCACGAGAUACUGUUCAUCUCCACCGUCGACCCCCUCCAGCCUCCACGGGCUACUGUUCAUCCACCGUCGACCUCCUCCAGCCUCCACCUGCGACUGUUCAUCCACGGGCUCCUGUUCAUCCAGCCUCCACCGCGCGCUACUCCACCGGCUAUUGUUCAACCAGCCCUCUCCACGGGCUCCUGUUCNNNNNNNNNNNNNNNNNNNNNNNNNNNNNNNNNNNNNNNNNNNNNNNNNNNNNNNNNNNNNNNNNNNNNNNNNNNNNNNNNNNNNNNNNNNNNNNNNNNNNNNNNNNNNNNNNNNNNNNNNNNNNNNNNNNNNNNNNNNNNNNNNNNNNNNNNNNNNNNNNNNNNNNNNNNNNNNNNNNNNNNNNNNNNNNNNNNNNNNNNNNNNNNNNNNNNNNNNNNNNNNNNNNNNNNNNNNNNNNNNNNNNNNNNNNNNNNNNNNNNNNNNNNNNNNNNNNNNNNNNNNNNNNNNNNNNNNNNNNNNNNNNNNNNNNNNNNNNNNNNNNNNNNNNNNNNNNNNNNNNNNNNNNNNNNNNNNNNNNNNNNNNNNNNNNNNNNNNNNNNNNNNNNNNNNNNNCAUCCAGAGGCAGCAUCGAUCGGCUUCAGUUAGCAGCAGUAGCGAACAAAUCGCUCGAUCGGCUUCAGUUAGCAGCAGUAGCGAACAAAUCGCUCGAUCGGGUUCAGUUAUCAGCCAUCGAUCGAUCGCUCGGGUUCAGUAACGCGUAGCCUGCAGUGCAAUCGCUCGGGUUCAGUUAGAGCCCAACGCCUCGCUUGGGUUCAGUUAGAGCCCAAUGCCUCGCACACACGCGCGUAUGUACGAGAGAAACGCGCAUCGCUCGGCCCCCGACCAUCCACCGUAACCGGGGACUCCCUGAUAUUUUCCGCGCCCUCGCUUCUACCACGGUUUUUUCCGUCAUGGACGGCCCAAAGAAUGUCAUGCAGCUACUUCUCCGGCCCGCCCAGGACGAAAAGCCCAUUUUCUGUCAUGAUUUUUUGUCAUAGAAGUAGGACCCCACCACAUCUAUGAUGAUACCGUGUUUUGUCACAAUUAUCGUCAUACAACUGUCAUAAGUAUGACAGAAAAAAUUCGUUCGGCCCAAAAUGUCACGGAUGUGUCUUUUUUUGUAGUGUGAGAUUCGCCUCGCUUGUCUUCAGCACAAGCGGGCCUUUCCUCAUGCUCCCUUUCUUCAGGCAUUCAUCGAGAGUGUGGCUCCGUUUCCCAUUGUCCGCACUCACUUGCAUGAGCGGUGGGUCAUUCCAGCUCACAUGGCGGAUGAUUGGGUCCCCAAGGACUCUUCCUCUUCUGCUAAUGCUAGCUGAACUGCUGCUAGCGUUCCUCCUACUGCUCCUUCCGGAUUUGCAUCUUUUGGGCGCAUUACUCGCUUUGUUGGGAAGGCUCACUCUGCCAUGAUGAAGGUUUUUACCUUUCACUGCUCCCAAAAUCACGAUGUUGUCACUCGCCUGGUCACUUCCAAGAAUGCUCUGAAGGCUCGUUUGAGAGACUCCGGAGUUUUCGAUGUGAGUGAUGAUGAACGUCUUCCUGAGGAACCACCUUCUGACUUUGGUUUUCCCUCGGGUCCUGAGUGGUCUGACUUCUUUGACGAGGCUGGUGGCAGUGGUGCUCAUGAUGAUGAUGCUAUUUUAAGAUGUUCUGACCCCUUUUGGGUACUUGAUGCCAAGGGGGAGUAGGCACUUAUCUAUUAUGUAAUGUUGUGAUAUUAACUUGUAUCGAACCAUGUUAUUAUUAUUGUCGUUUUAUGUACUAUGCUAUGAGUAAUGAACCUUUAUGGGUUGAGUAAUGCACCUAUAUAUUGAGCCUAUUAUGGUAUUAUGGUAUCUUGUUUACUUUAUGAGAAUUGGUUGUGUUGGUAUCAUAUUGAGGGGGAGCUCUCCUCAUGCUUAUUUUAUUUAUGCACAUGUUUAGGGGGAGCUCCGCAACAAAUCCUUUCGAUAUUCAAAAGUUUUUUUUAACAUAUUGAGAAGUGCAUGUAUGUUGUCAUCAACUACCAAAAAGGGGGAGAUUGAAAGUGCAAUCAUGCCCUUAACCUUAUUUUGAUGUUGAUGACAACAUGCAUAUAGGGGACUAAUCAUGUUUAUCAAGUAUAUCUCAGGAUUAAGUCUCAAGGGUCGUGUGUGGAUCAUGACUACGGACAAAUAUAUAUCACUCAACAGCGGAGAUACAAGACAAUAGCUUUGGCUCUUUUUCGGUUUGCUCUUGGGUAUAGGGGUCCCGCACUAUUAAGAGGGGAUCGUCGGAUAUCGUGAAAGACUUGCUCAUAACCCACAAAGUAUCCUCUCACAACAUCUCUGUUUCAUCUCUAAGUUCUUCCACUACCUUGUGCACAAAGUCUGUUGUGAUCCUGAGCUAGUGUGCUCUGUUAUCACCGGACGUACGAAAUUCUACGGACGUCCGACCCCUCACAGCCGACCGGGCAUCUGGCUCUCUCCGGAUGUCCGGUGCAUCUUCACAUAAAGAACAUAGCAGAAAUCUGGUCCUCUCCGGACGGCCGGUCACCGGACGGCCGUUUCUCUCCAGAAAUCCGGUACAGCCUCAGCAGAACACUUAUUAACGGAUUUCCGAUCCUCACCGGACGUCCGGUGGCUGUGUGUCUCAUGCUACUUUGUGGCCUGGUGGAUUCCCAGCGAGCAGACGACCGGCGGCCUGGUCGGACGUCCGGUCCAAUCUGUGCCAUUGGACGUCCGGUAUUAUCCGGACGUCCGACAACUCCAGUACAUUAUGUGGUUCAACGGUCAGUUUUUACACUACUACUAUAUAUAGCCUCCUCCCUCCACGGGAUAAGGUUAACCAUUCACUUUGAGCUUUCCAAGAACACAUUACACUCCCUCUCUUUAUCCCCUACACCAAAUCCUAGAUCCCCAAGGGAUUUGAGAACAUUUGAGAGAAGUUCUCCAAUCAAGUGAUAGAUCCACUCCUUCCCCUUCUUCUCACCAAAGGAAUUCGUGAUUCGAGCAAGUUCUUAAGAUUUUCCCAUCGUUCUUGUUACUCUUGGAGGUUGGAGACUCCUAGGCGGUAGGAGUCAUUCGGAGAGGAAUCGAUCAUUGUGAUUACCCCUGGAAAGUUUGUGAGGGUUUGGAGAUCACCCCAAGGUCUACCACUAGUGGUUGAGAAACGCCUUCGCGGUGUUGUCUCAAAGGGAGAAUAGGGUGAGCCUUCAUGGCGUUGGUGUGCCUUCAUGGUAACAUCCACCUCUCUAACGGUGACGUAGCUUCCCUCCAAGGAAGUGAACAUCGGAAUACAUCCUCGUCUCUCGGAGUUGCGGUUAUUCCUAACCCUAACUCUCUACUUGUGGUUACUUGUCUCUUAGUCCUUACUUACAUCAUAUAGUGCUUGCUUACUCACAUAGUUGUGUUACUUGUUUACCUUGCUUAGCUCUUAGCAUCAUACUUGCAAUUGUUAGGCUCACUUUCAUAUUCCGCAUUAUUGCCUAAAAUUGCUAAGUAAUAAUUAAAAUUUGUAAUUUUACCUAUUCACCCCCCCCCCUCUAGGUCCAUCUCGAUCCUUUCAAUGUCAACGAGAAAAUAGAACAGAACGGGUAACGAGGAGACCGGUGUAGUGAACAUGCUUAUGACUCAAGAGGAUACCGAUAUAUCUCACCUCGGGUUUUGUAAAGUAUCGCGAAGUAAAGGGAAUAACAUGUGAUAACCAAAGGUUCACUCGAAUUUCAUUCGUGUACUCAUAGGGAUUGAUAUGGACGUCCACGGUUCCGGUAUCAUUGAACGAAAGGGGUUUUAUUCAUGUCUAUGUUUUAUUGAACCUACAGGGUCACAAGCUUAAGGUAAUCAUGAUCCGCUGAGUGUUAGUAUGACAGGACUAAUGAGGUGAUGUCCUACAAGUGCACAUGGCUAUGUAGCUAUUUCGUGAAAAGUAAGGUUUGUCGAUCCCAUAGGGAGUGAAUAGGAUACCACAAUCCUCGCAGCUGUGUUGUCACUAACACAACCACGUUCACACCCAAACCAGAGUUUGGAAAUAGUUCACUUAAGUAGGUUGCUAGGGAACGGUAAAAAGAGAACUAAACUAAGGUACUAGAGAGAACAAAAAAGUAAAUACUAAACUAAACAAAGGAAAUAAACUAAGAGAGGUGUGUGAUGUUUUAAAUGAGUUUGCUGGCAUCUAGGUACGGUCUCGUUCAGUACGGGCACAGAAUGGAGUUAAGCUUUACGACUAUGCCACGUAGUAGCUAAGUCGUUACAUGCAUCAUAGGAUACGAUAAUCUACGGAUGGUGGGCGGUCCCUCACAUAAUGUCAUCUCUGAAGAUGUGUUGUAUUGAGAUAACUCGUUCAUCCUACUUCUUGUCUCAUACCUGAGGCGGCUAACGCAAAGAUAUUGAGGUCCUCGUGGUUGAGGACCGGACGAAGGCAUUAGGCUCUAUGGACAACCGUGAUUCCUGGAGUAAUUGUGUUCCCCUCAAGAUAUAUGCACCUAACACGUAACAGGUCCAUCGGUCUGCACAAUCCUCUAUCUACUUCAUGUGUGGCCUAAGAGUUGAACAUCUUCAACUACACCAAUGGAUUGAAUGUCUCCAAUCACUAAAUUACCGCAUAGGUAAAUAAGCAACACGAAGCAACACACAUAAAUAGACUAAACAUAUCAAACAACCACUUACUAAUCGAUCGACCCAUAUCCAACAAUUACUCAAAUAACACCACAUAAAGAGGGGUUCAAGAGUUACUACAACCCAUCACGGAGACUGUGAUGGGGGAGGAAGAAGGGCUGAUGAUGGUGAUGGUGAUGGUGAUGGAGGCGGCGCGGCGGCGGAUGAUGGUGGUGAAGGUGCGGCGGUGGCGGUCCCUUCCAGUCUCCCUCCUUGUUGCCCCAAUGGUGUUCUUGAUGUGGCGGCGGAUGGACGUGAAGAUGAAUUUCUGAGAUGAAAAGUGUGUGUGGAGAUGGAGACGGCGACUAGGGUUGAAGCUGAAUAUAUAAGAGCUCUUCCAUAGCUUCCUCCCUUGAUGUGGCUUCUCUCCUUUGAUCCAAGGGCUCUAGAUGAGCCGAAACCUCUCCCAAAUCAUCCCUUGAAGGCCAAAGAGUCGUGGGAACAAACGGGGACGAAAUCCAUGAAGAAUCCCGUCACAAGAGGCAACUUUCGGUGUUGUGUGGAGUCCACCCUCUUUUAUACUGCUGCCCCUCUUCAGUAAAACGACCGUCAUUUCUUCAUACGAACUCAGAAUUUGACGUUCUUGAACUUGUUGGAUUCGUAUGAUCGACGCUGAUCAAUUUUUGGUUUUAGAUCUUGAUUGGAGCAUUUUGGAAAAAUGACUUUUCCCACCUUCAAAAUGGCUCAAUCUGGGUCCUGUGUGUCCACCGUUUGAACUCCUUUCAACGUGCUAAGUACUUGGGAAGUACAUCCCACCUACAAGACACACAAAGACAAAGAAAAAUAAUAAAAACUAACAAACCGAUGCCAAUUGAUUCCCCUGCCUUAUCCCACAUGUGACCUGGUCGCUGCCACAAGCUCCCCGAUCUGGCUGACGACAGGAGGACGCGCGCUCCCCGUCCUCGAGCUCCUGCCAGCGACGCUCCAAUGACACCGUUGUGUGACACCCAAGGAUUCGCCGUUGCCGCCAGGAGCUAUUUUGCGGCGUCGAGGAGGGGGUGGGCGAGAGUUCAUGUCCUCCCGAGGCUGCCGCCACCAGGCUCGUAUCCUCAGGUGAACAUGGAGUCUAUGCGGCCACCGGCCACGCCCCGUUCUUCUCCCUCUCCCUCCCAGUUCAUGCUCCCUUGCCUCUUCCCCCAUUCUUGAGGUCAAUCUCGUGAUGGACUCCUGAUUUCUGGACAUAUAUGUUGCUUGUUGUGCUGCAGCGCGUGUGUCGUUGAGGUAGGGUGUGGCAACUCGUGAUAUGGCAAGGAGCUACGGCUGUAGGGCGUCCAUGGCAAUGACGUCACCUGCAUCAACCUCUACAUGAUCAACAUCCAGCUUAUUUUCACUUGGCAGUAGGUGCUAUUGAUGCCAGUUGAAUUUUCGAGCAAUCUCGCACUUUGCAUGUUCGUCUACCCAUGUCACUAUCCCCUCCAACAAGUGACAACUCGGUAACAAGCAUCGCUGAGAAAAGAAACUGGGAGAUACCAUGUCAACCAAAGUGCAGCACUUCUUGUUGAGGCUAACCCAUAAUAGUUUCCCUUUGAGACUCUCCCUAAAGCGUACAUGAAUAUUGUGACAUGAUGUGUGUGUGUGUGUGUGUGUGUGUGUGUGUGUGUGUGUGUGCUGCAAAAGAUUAGAUAAGGACAGCCCACAAGGAAGUCAAGAAACUAUGGAGAAGUUCAGAGCUAGGACUACAUCCACAUGGAUGCUAAAGAAGUAGUAAAAACAAUACCAGACCUGUCGAAAGGUCAAAGGGUGUUGGUUACAUGCAUAGUAUGGAGGUGGUGGAGCCACUGAAACAAGGUAAAUGUUGGGCGGGGGGGAGUGGGGGGGGAUAUAGCCACGCCACAAUUCAGCUUGACAUUUUAGUACCGUGGAGCGCAAGCGCACGCAGCUAGCAGCGGCAAGCCAACAACACAGUUCCUUCUCUGAAUCUGAGCCUUUCCAAUUUUCCUUGAAUCAUUUGCAAGCUACACAAAGCGGCAAGCCAACAACAUAGUUCCUUCUCUGAAUCUGAUCCUGUCCACCGGUAAUUUUCUGUUGUUCAUUCCCAAUUUCUUCCCCUAAAUUUUACAUAGGUUAUUGUCUAUUUGUCUGUGUUACUAUAAAUAAAUUAUGGAAGAACUUGUUCGUUGACCUUGUUGCUUGCAGAUUAUGAAAAGGCACAAUGGUUUAAAAAAAUCAGAUGAUAGCAUAAACAGUUCACUCAAUUGUGUUUACAGUUCAGUGUACGUCUACUGUAAUACUACCUAUAUAAACUAAUAUAAGACGUUUUAGAUCACUGAUCUAAAACGUCUUAUAUUAGUGUACAGAGGGAGUACUAUAUAAAUGGUUCAGAAGUUGUAUUGUCCUUUAGCUUUGCCCGCCCACCCUUUUGUUUGUAGCUCCUCCACUGAGUUACAUUUCUCAUUUCUGCUACAAAUGCUUACUGUUCGAGUAGUAUCAUAAGCAGAUGAUCAGCAGAUUAGCUAGCCUGAGAUUGGCUCCUUAGGUCCAUCAAUUUUUGGGGCCUUCUUUUUCGUUGGCUCAAAGGCAAUGGAGGUGAUGUCAAAAUCGUAGUUUACUUCUAACGGCUGCAUGUCAUGUAAUAGAGCAAAAAUACGUUUUUCCGCUUUGUCACCAUGGACUAAUUGUGUUAUUCUUUACUCCCUAUGCUAAAAGUGAGUAACACGCACGCUUUAAUGUCUGUUCAAAAUUUUAUUUUUUUACUUCGAAUAAAUUAUGGUGUGUAAUAAUAUAUUUGCAGGAAAUGAAUAAUGUUGAUAUCUUGGAUGAAAGCUAUCAUGAUAGUUUGUGCUCUCUCUACAGGAACAAGGUGGACAUGUAACCUCAGAUGCUUAGUUGAUGAACUUUUUCGUAUUAUACAUGUGAUAUUUGGAUAAACCCAAAUAUCCCUUUUCCGUACAUGCUGGGUAUAAUGGGCCUUUGAUUUAUUUUGAAGAAUGGUAUUUGUGACUCAAAGAACAAGCCGUAUUGAUGGAGAUGGCGAGCAUGAAUUUGUAGGCGGAGACAGUGGGACGAAGAGCAAGAGUAAGAAGAAACUGAUUGGCGGUAGAAAGGUUGAAAAUGUCACGUGAGGUACAUUAGAACUUAAAGAUGUAUGUUCAGCAUGAAUAGUAAUGAGCAAUUAGAAUAUGUGUGCCCCGUGCAACGCACGGGCAUUCACCUAGUCCAGUAAAAGAAAAAUAGCCAAAUCUUGUCAAAUAAAAUAUUUUCAUCCGUACAACACCAUCUCUAGACUGUGCACCUCCCUUCCUCAGUUGGCAGCAAAUACAACAUACUGCUAGAAUUAAAUCAAGACCUACGUCAAAGGUGUAUUCAACGAAAUCUUCAAAGGUAGAAGCACAAGGUUCAGAACAAAACAGAAAAAUUGUUCUGCAGAUCACAGAGUUAAAAUAACUGACGUCUUCUUAACUGAAACUUCCUACUCCCACUGUAAAACGUCUUAUAUUUGUUUACAAAGGGAGUAUACAGUAGAGCUGGACUUUCAGGGUGCUAAUUGGUUUGAAUCUGCCAAUGUUUUCUUUUUCAAACUAUUGUCGUACAGGGCUAGAAAUUCAUCGUGUUUAAGGAUAAUAAAAUCGUUCGAAUCAAACUUAUUGCAGAGUAGCAUAUUAAGCUACAGGGAUGACCAAAAUAUCAUCUGUAUUCCUCAAGAAGUAGACAUUUCAGCACUGGGUUGGAUUGUAUACAGAAUCACUAGAAUACGGCUGGCUUUCUGAAUUUUCUAAUGAGUAAGUUGUUUUAAGCUCGCAAUGAGAUCUUGCCCCUGAAAACAAAAUUCAGUAUAAAGUUACCAAAUAUGACCAAAUAACAACUUCCCAUAUAUAAUCUGUACAUCUCCCAACCUCAGUUGGCAGCCAAUCAUCUCAUCAAAUGAAUUCUACAGCAAACCAAGCAUAGUAUAGCAUAUCAACAGAAUUAAAUCAAGACAUACGUCAACGUGAAUUCAACGCAAUCUUCAAAAGGCAGAAGCACAUUCGGAAUUUAAAAAAUUGUCCGAACAGAUCGCAGAGUUAUAAAAUUCAGACAACUGAAUUCUGAAACUUCCUAGAGUACGGCUUGACUUCUAGAACUCUUAGAAUGAGAAUAAGUUAAUGGCGUUAAAAGCUCGGAAUGAAAUACUAACCCUGAAAAUAAAAUUCAGUAAGAAGUUAACAAAUCAAGUUACAAACUUUCCACCUGUAGAACAAUCUGUAGCUGACUGCAUCUACACAAGGAAAAAUAAGGACCUGCGCCAAGAGUUUACUCAACCAUGUAGUACGGCACAAGCAAAAGGUCAACUUUCCCGAGCAGCUUAAUCAAACAUGGCAGGAUCAAAAAAUAAAAUUACCAGAGCAGCUUACACAACCAUGGAGGUUUGCUUCAACGAAAUCAUCCAAGUUAAGAGGAGAAAGUUAAAUUGCUGAAGCAAGGCACGUUUGUAACAACCACUGAAUGAUUCAUUGAUUUAGCAAAUCUGACUCAUUUUUACACUGUCUGUAAAGGGGAAUCUAACCCCCUAUGAUUGACGACAUGCGAACAUUCGGAACAAAGCGAAUAAGAGAUUCAGGCGACGGCAAUCUAAGAGGAGGUGAACUUGGUGACGGCCUUGGUGCCCUCGGAGACGGCGUGCUUGGCGAGCUCGCCGGGGAGGACGAGGCGCACGGCGGUCUGGAUCUCCCGGGAGGUGAUGGUGGGCUUCUUGUUGUAGCGG
rnacentral:lncRNA from 1 species